rnacentral:lncRNA from 1 species
GCCUUCCCUUGCUGCAUGAUAUACUCAGUUCUGAUAUACUUUUGAUGGCCUGAUGCAUGCAAAUUCAACUUUUUCCUCUAUAAAUACAGGAACGAAAUCCCAGUUGUAAUCAUCAAAACCAUUCCAAACCAAUCCUUAUCAACCUCCCACUGCACCAUGAAACCAUUUUGUGUUUUUCUUACUUUCUUUCUCUUGCUAGCAGCAAGUAGUAAGAAGGUGGACUCAGCCGAAACAGUUUCCUUCAACUUCAACUCUUUCAGCGAAGGAAACCCCGCAAUAAAUUUCCAAGGUGACGUCACUGUUCUUUCAAAUGGCAAUAUACAACUCACGAACCUCAACAAGGUAAAUAGCGUCGGCCGUGUUCUUUAUGCCAUGCCGGUGCGCAUUUGGAGCAGUGCCACCGGCAAUGUCGCCAGCUUCCUCACCUCCUUCUCUUUCGAGAUGAAGGAUAUCAAAGAUUAUGAUCCUGCCGACGGUAUCAUCUUUUUCAUUGCACCGGAAGAUACGCAGAUUCCUGCCGGCAGUAUUGGUGGUGGAACCUUAGGCGUCUCUGACACUAAAGGGGCGGGUCACUUUGUUGGAGUGGAGUUUGAUACCUAUUCCAACAGUGAGUACAACGAUCCACCCACUGAUCACGUUGGAAUUGAUGUAAAUAGCGUGGAUUCGGUGAAGACCGUGCCAUGGAAUAGUGUGAGUGGAGCAGUGGUGAAAGUGACUGUGAUAUAUGACUCUUCAACAAAGACAUUGAGUGUUGCUGUGACCAACGACAAUGGCGAUAUUACCACCAUUGCUCAAGUUGUUGAUUUGAAGGCGAAGCUUCCGGAGAGGGUCAAGUUCGGUUUUUCUGCCUCCGGCUCCCUUGGCGGUCGUCAGAUACAUCUCAUCCGUUCAUGGUCUUUCACUUCAACCUUGAUAACAACAACCAGAAGAAGCAUCGACAAUAACGAAAAGAAAAUAAUGAAUAUGGCAAGUGCAUGAUUUGGUUUCUACGUACGCUACCUAGUACUUUUAAAGAAAGACCAGACCUUUGUGUGUUAUCAACUUUGUUUCUUUGUGUUUAAAUUAGGUUGUAUGGUUCAAUAUUUCCACUAAUCAUGGUCUGACGGUUGACCGUUUAAAUAAAAUAACAGGUCCAGUUUGGUAUAGUUUUUGUGCAUGGAUUUGGGUGUGAGAUUUUCUGUUGAAUCUCAUUCAUCCUUUCACCAGGCCAAUUAUAUUAUGCCCAGAUUCAAUAAUAAAGUCUGAAAUAUGAAUUUAAUAAUUAUCAUGAGUAAAAAUUUUUAAUUUUAAUAAUAAUGACAUAAUAAAUAUAUUAAAAAUUUAAANNNNNNNNNNNNNNNNNNNNNCAAAAGAGGAGUGCUAGGAGCUGUAACACCCUACUACACAGAGUUUUACGCUUAAGUCGUAGAACUAGAGGUAGUGUGGUGUUAUAGACCUCUGAACAGUAAAAUAAAUACUUAAUAGAGAAGAUGAUAAUAUACUAGGAGUCUUGAAACAAAAUGGGUAAGCAAAAAUCGUAAAAUGAAAAGCGCAGCGCUCAACGGAAAGAAUUACUUGCGUGCUAAGAAACCUAAUAGAAACAAGAUAGAGAUAAGCAAAAGAAUAAAGAAAAGCCAAGGAAACAGCAUAACUAGCCCCUGACUCAGCCUGCGAAACUAAGAUAUAUAUAUAUAAGUAUCCCCAAAAUAUACCAAAAUACCAAGUACCUUCCUAUCUCUCCCUCAACCUCUAAGAGGAGCAGCAUACACAUGUUACUUGGAGAGUAAGCUAGAUACAUAUGUACAUAUAUACAAAUAGAAAACCAAAAUACACCCAAUGGACUACUUCACUUCCCAAGAUCCAGACGCCUAGUGAGGAACCUCUCGACCUGCAUCUGAAAAACAACAAUACAAUAUGGAAUGAGAACCGGAGGUUCUCAGCAUGGUAAAAGUGCCACACGUAUAAUAAAUAAGGUCCUGAGAAUGCCAUAGGCAAUCCUAGAACUCCGUUAUUCAGUUAUCCAACUUAAGUACUAAACAGAAGCCAUAAACACGGGGUAUGUAUUCUAAAUCUACCUAACUUACUCAAGUUCAAUCUUAACCUAAUAUCAAACCAUUUCCCCGUUUUCUCCAUCUCUCCAUCAUUCAUAAUGCAACAGAAACAAGCAGCCAAAUGAGUUCACGCACAAGUAAUGAGCAGAUAGUACAAAUAGCAAGUAUAACAGAUAGCAGGUGAUAUAUAUAUAUAUCAAUUAGGCAAACCCAGGAAAUGCAUAGCAAUCAAACAAACAAAUGCAUAUGAUGCAUGCCUGUUGCCCAUCUGUCGGUUAUCCAGCCAACCCAACAAGUCCAAAAAUCUUAGACUGUCCCCCGUCGCGUAUCCCCAAGAGUCUAUGCAUAGAGUUCACAUUCAAUCAUCAUAUAAUCACUCAAUGGGGCUAUCUAUACUCGGAAAUUUAUACGUACCCGGUCACCCUUACGACGUAGGGUCAAUAGAGUAUCGAGAUUCAACCUGGAACACGUGGUGGCGAGCCACGGUCUUUACCCAGGAAAACUCGUAUCUCAGAUAUCAUUAUUCAUAAGCCAUUUCAUAAUCAUAUUCAUUAUUUAAUCAUUCAUCAAAGCCAUUGCAUAUUAACUUCAUCUAUUAACACUUCCUUUUCACACUCCUCUUCCUAUUUACCCUUUUCUUCACUCUCAAGUUAUCUUAAACUCCUACUUCUGCUAUUUACUAAAUUUACUAGUAGGAUCUAGGAUUAACAGGGCAUAAAUAGGGGUUUUAGAGUUUAAAACCAUGUUUAGAACAGAAAAAUAAAGGUACUAAAAAACAAGGCGUGUGCGCACGCACACACCUGUGCGUGCGCACAGCUCAAAAAAGAAAGCAGGACGUGUGCGUACGCACUUAUGCGUGCAUGCGCACAUAUCACUUGGUGUGCGAGCGCCCCACCUGUGCUGGUGCCACCGAUAGAAAACUCGCCCUGGCGUGUGCGUGCGCACAAGAGUGUGCAUACGAACACUUUAUGAAAAAUACCAAGUGUGCGGGCGCACAGAGGCGUGCAUACGCAUAGGUAGAUUUUCGCUUCUAUUGGGUGCGCGCGCACAGCUGUGUGCGUGGGCACACAUCAGGAAACCUGGUUCUGCUGCAACCUUUAAAAUUUCAGUUUUUCGCACCAAUUUUUCGGCAUCCAUAACUUCCUCUAUAAAAUUCGGUUUUCCGUAAGCUUUAUAUCAAUUUCAAGCUUAUAAAACACUCUUUAAUUUAAAAUAAACCUCAUGAUUAUUCAAAAUGUGUAGAGCAAGAUAUGGACUACCAAAGUUCAUCAAAAUUUACAUUUUAUCAAAAAUACCUUAAACCCCAUUUUUCACCAAUUCUCAUUCUCUACUCCCAAAACCUGCAAGUUUACAGCACCACAAGUCUUAUUCCAUCAUCAUCAACCACUAGCUCAUUAAUGUCCACAACAUUCCAUAACAUCCACCCAAUAAUCCCAAUAUAUCAACAUAUAUCACAACCCAUUAUAAGCAAGUCCAAAAGUAUGAAAUUAAUAACCUCAUAAUUCCAAUUUAAGCUCAUCAACAAUUUAUUCCAACAACAUUACAAACUACUCAUUAAGUAUAAUUAACAAUUCAACUUAUCUUAUGGUUCCUCUAACCUAAGUUUUCACAACACCGUAAAUAUUAAACGUGCGAAACUUAAACCAUACCUUGGCCGAUCACUUAGUUCACCCAAGGCAGCCUCACAACACAAAAUUACAGCCUCUCCAAGCUUAAUUAAACAGCCCCAAACCAAGCUUUGAUCAUCAACAAGCCUCUAAUUACUUCCAAUUCAAUUUCAAUACUUAUAUACCCACUUAAUCUACACCUAAUACAUAUACAUGUUCAAAUUUCAGUUUUCCAUUACAAAUACAAGAUUGAGCUAGGGUUAGUUUGUUCUUACCAUACCCAUAUGCUCAAUAGCUUGAGCUCACAAGUCCCGGAAGCUAACUUGAACCUAGAAUACAAAAAUUGGACAAGAUUUCACUAUAGGUUUUCAAUUUUACCAAAGAAAGAGGGAUAGAGAUUCUGAACCAAAUAUGAGACUUACUAGUGAAAUUGUUCGGAUAGAAAGGUAGAGCUCGACGCGCUAGACGCGUGACUGCAAAAGGUGCGGCGAUCGGAGCUCAAACGAGGGAGAUACGGUGGUUUGAAGGUUGGAUGAAGGUUAGGGUUCUUCUCCUCUCCCCCUUUCUGUUUGCUUCGUUGGUUGCAAAUGAAAGAGAAGAAGCGGCCGCUUCUUUUAUAUUAUGGGUCCGAUUAGACCCACGGGCCCGGUUUGGGCCCGGUUCAACCGGUUAGACCCUUUCGGUCCGAUUUUGGGCCAAAUUUUUUAAAUUGGUAUCAAAAUUCUUGUUUCGACGAGUUCUAUCCUAUUUUGAUAUUAGUUUUGCAUUCUUAGCUUUCCUAAUUAAAAUUCGAUUUAUUGACUAAUUAUCCGCUAAUUUCACGAGGUUUACAGGGGCCAGCAACUUUUGUGUUUUGUAACCAUCAAUUGGCCAUCAAUAGUAUUUUUAAUGGUGUGAGAUUAUAUCUAAUAGUGGGAGAUCACUCAUUUUUCUUUUGAUGGUUAAGUUUUGGUCACAAAACACAAAAAUUUUUGGCCCCUAGACUUUCUCUUUUUGCAAUUAGAUUAAGAAUUGAUGUGAUAAAUUUUUUACUUUUUAAAAAUAGUGAAUUUAUUAAAAUUAAUCACUUAAUUUUUUAAAGUUAUAGUANNNNNNNNNNNNNNNNNNNNNNNNNNNNNNNNNNNNNNNNNNNNNNNNNNNNNNNNNNNNNNNNNNNNNNNNNNNNNNNNNNNNNNNNNNNNNNNNNNNNNNNNAAUGUACAGAAACAAUGGAACAAAUUAAACAUCAUUUUACGUAUACUACAAGAAAAUUUUAAAAUAGUGACCGAUUUUGCGACUAAUCAAAAUGUUUUAGGAAAAGAAAAAGUUGGUCGCUAAAAUUAGUCGCUAAAUUUCAAUUAGCGGCUGAUUUAGUGACUACCUACUCUUGGUCGCUAAAUUCGGUCGCUAUUUUUUAAUUUAGCGACCAAAUUAGCAACCAAAACAAAAAAAAAGGCUUUUCGGGUCUGUUGGUGACUAAAUCGGUCGCUAUAUUUAAUUUAGCGACCGAUUUUGUAACCAAUAUAAAAAAGUCUUAAUAAUUGUUGGUCGCUAAAUCGGUCGCUAAGAAGUUGGUCACUAAAUCGGUUGCUAAGUGUUAAAAUAGCAACUAAUUUAGCGACCAACUUUAAAAUGCUACUUUUAAAGUAGUUGGUCGCUAAAUCGGUUGCUAUUUUAUAAUUUAGCGACCGAAUUAGUAACCGAUAUAAAAAUAGGCUGAGAAAAUAGUUGGUCGCUAAUUCGGUCGCUAAGGUACCGGUCGCUUAAGGGAUAAUAUAGCAACCGAUUUUAGCGACCAACUAUAAAAUAUGGGAUUAGAGCAAUCGGUCACUAAAUCGGUCGCUAUUGUAAUUCUUAGUGACCAAAUUUGCAACCACUAAAAAAUAAGUUAUAAAUUAAUUAGUUGCUAAAUCGGUCACUAUUUUUUUUUUUGUUGACAAAUCAGUGUAUUAAACAAAUUAAAUUUUAAACAACAAUGUUAGGAACCAAGAGCAUAUCAGCCAAAACCCAGCCAAAUGUGUCUGGGCUAGGACCCGAAAGCCCAAUACACAUCAGCACCAUCCAAAAUUGACCCAGGGUAAACCAUAUUCACCCUCCCCAAAAACCCUACCCUUCCUUUCACCGUUUUACCACACAGAAUUUGAAAAUCAUCUACACCCACGUCACGCCUCCGGAAACAUCGCGCAACCCUCUUCCCUCUCUUCUCCGGACACCGCGACGCCGCUCCUAGCGGCUUUGCCCAUCGCGACUCCACCCAAGCUACCUGAGCGCAACCCUCUUCCCUCUCUUCUCUAGACGCUUCGACGCCGCGCCUAGCCUCCCCGCCCAUCACGCCUCCACACUCGGAACCAGAGCGACGCCACUCUGCUGUUGCAUGCGGGUUUUUUCGGCGCCGCCGAAGCUUCCUGGUGUAGCUGCGCCGUCCGCCGGUGGACCUCCCCUAUCUCCAGCCUGGAAUCCUUCAUUCGUCUCACUAAUUGGUAAGUAUGGUAGAUGUUCCCUUUGACUUCCUAUGCAUGUUUUGAAAAGGGAAUUGGACAGUGUUUUGUUGUAGUGGUUCGUGUGAGUUUUAAUUGAAUGGAUGUUCUUUCCAUGUUGUACAGCUCAGGUAACACAAUUUUGGAGCAUCACUGGUCCUUGGCGAAUAUAGCAGCUGCAUGUUUUUCCUAUUUUCGGAGUGUUGCAAAAUAUUGAUCACAAGUAAGUAUGUUUUUUUAUUCCUAAUUGAAUUUGGUAGAUUCUGAUUAAACUCUCUAAAAGGGAAGAUAGGAAAAUAAAAAAGUAAAAGGGCCAGGGUCAUGGUAUGAUGAAGCAAUGUAAUACUAGUGUUGAAAUAAAAAUGGUCCAUAUAUCCUCUUAUAACAUUCUAUUUCUAAAGAGGCAUGAUGCCCAGCAUUCCAAAAAGAAUAAUGAAAGUAUAGCAUUACUUCAAUUAGAAAUCGAAUGUUGUUGAAGUUUUGCUCGGAUGUUGCAAUUGGUAGAGAUUGGAUGUUGCUUUUAUCUGGGUUGGAUAUUGUAAUUGUAGUUGUUAGAGGUUAGAUGUUUCUAUUCUGCUCUAUGGUUUAGAUACUAGGAAUGGUAUUCAUAUGAGAUGUUCUUUGAUAUUGCUAAAUUACUAGACGUUUUUGUUGAAUAAUUUUAGAUAUUUGAGUGUAUGAUUUGUUAAAUUAUUAUAAAUAGAGUAUUUUUUCUUUAAUUCAGAAGUUGAGAAGUUCUUGAAAGUAUGAAAUUUUCUUAUGUUUUUUUCUGAUUUGUCAUAAAAUGGUGAUGUUAUGUUGCAUCAUGUUUCGAUUAUCAAAGGGAGGAAAAAAGAGUUUAUUUCUCUCCAUCUUUCUAUGUUUAUGCUUUGGUUGGGGUUGCAAAUGGGUUUGAUUUUGAAAUUGGCACUGCUGUUUUCUUCUUCACUUGUUUAUUUAUUAUUGGUUUAAUUUUGCUUACUUUUUCAGCCUUUGAAGGCCUUGUUAAUUAUUAGAGAAUAGCCAUAAUUCUAAACACAUCAACUUCAAUUAAGAAUUGAAUAAUCACUGUUCAAGUAGCUAUUUUUUCUUCAUUUAAAUUAAAAAACUAAAUUGUUGACUCCUAAAAUUUGAAGUUGGUACCAUUUGAGACCAUGACACAUAGAUGCUGUAAUAUUUGUAAAUUAUUACAUUGUUGGUUAACUACUUGCUAAACUAAGGUGAUUAAAUGGUAAUUAUAGUGUACAUUCGCUACUUGUUUUGUUUUUUCUCUCUUCUUCUAAGAACAAGAGAUGGUGUGUAAAAUAUUUUAAUAUUCAAUUAGGCCAUCAACCAAAUAAACUAUAUGAUGUUUCUAUUAUAUUUCACAUCCUUUCACCAUCACAAACAAACAAGAUUUGAAUGUAGGGACAUUACAUGUGGCCCUCUUUUUUGGCCUAAAUAGUGGGUCCAUGUUUCUAUGUGAAUUUUAGCCCUUCAACCGUGUGAAUUUUCCAAUUCUUUUAAUGGUAUAAAUCAUCUAUUAAUGUUUGUCUAAACCACUUUUUUUUACUAUAAGCCAUUUACAGUAUGAGGAAAUCAUUUAUUUUUUAUUUUGACUUUGAUUGGUAAUUGAUUUUUGUUGUUUUCUUAAUUGUGUUCCGGAUUUUGGGUGGUGAAAUUAUAAUAAAUGUUGGCUGAUUUGUGUUUCGGAUGGUGAAAUAAUUGUAUUUUGGAUGGUAAAAUUGUUGUUGUUUUUCUAUAUGCAGUUUUGAGGGGCUGUUUCUUGUGAGACCGCAGCAGGAUUGAUUUGUAGUAAAACCCAACUAAUAUGGGGAAAAAGGUAAAAUAAUGUCUACCAUUCACAUUUUAACAUUCGACAUUAUCUUAUGUGUGACUUACAAUUAGUGUAACAAUUACCAGAAAUUGUUAGAGUCCCGGUGCUCGCCCAGCUACGUACAUGACAUGAUGAGCACGCUGUCAAAAAAUAACUCCGUUGAAAAGCUUGCGGAGAUUGAUGAGAUUGGUUUUGGAUUCUUGAGUCUUGUUCCAAAUUGGUCGGUAAAAUCAAGCCAUCAUGGUUCACCUAGCUGAGUCAUAUCAAGUUAAGCCGAGAACUUUUAUACUCGACAUUAGCAACAUCUGCCUCAAUGCCGAGUUAAUCGGGAAGGUUUUCGGCAUUUCAUCGCGAGGUAACUUCUGCUAUCUUAUUUACCUAGUCUUGCAUAGGCGUGCUGGUGUAAAUAUCUUUGCUUAUGCAUACAUAUUAACAUGGAAUAACACAUGAACAUGUUGUAGGGGAUCCAUUUCCAGCACUGGAUGACAGUAAUCCGUGUCACGUUGCCAUAAAAAAUCGGUUCCAUAGACGGACAACAACCGAGCUCUGGGAUUUAGUUUACAGUUGUCCAAUGGCCACAGAAUCAGAUAGGAUGGAGUUCAGAAGAUAUUUCAUAUUGGUGGUGAUGAAGAUGUUCCUGUGCCCCACCACUCAACAGGUACUUUCUCCAUGGCACAUCUACCCCAUGUAAGAUGUUUCUGAUCCACGGAGAUUCAACUAGCCGUUGAAAACUCUGAAGUGGUUCGACAAGGCAGUCGAGAAGUAUAAGCUGAAAGGGAACAAAACGUGUGAAGGCUGCAUGUUCAUCAUGCUGGUAGGACACUGUUCAUGCCCUGGGUCGAGCUGUACAAUCCGGGCUUAUUAAAGACAAGUCGACCGACCUCUUCAAGUAUGGAUUCCCCGACCUCUUCUUAAAGAGAUUGGCCAAAUCGUCAGAGGGGCCCAAACAGACCCAAAUGAAGGGACACAGCCCAAUCUAAAGGCAGUUAAAGCCUAGAAAGAUAAGGGCGGUUCCCCAGAAGAUAAGAUGACCUCACUUAAAAGAUAAGAUAAGAUAACUAUCUUUAUCUCCAGAAAGGUCACACCAUACUACUAUAAAUACACUGGAGCACCCAGGUAUAACUCAUACUCUGAUUCUACAAAAAAAUACCUGCUUAAAGCCCAUGCUAACUUAAGCAUCGGAGUCUCUUGCAGGUACCACCACCCUCCGGUGACGAAGGAUCAGCAGCAUCUCCAGCUCCACCAGUUCCACCAGGUCGGACACGAAAGCUCCGGCCACUAGUUCCAACAAGUCGGACACGACAGCUCCGGCCACCACAGCAGAUCUCGUCUGAGAUCAACCUACAGUUUCAGGUAACCCUCGGAACAUUGGUGCCGUUGCUGGAGAACCUGGCAGUCAUCCCAUCACCAUGGCAGACAACAUAGACAACGAUCACAACUGAUUUAGAAAAUAGGACGCCGCAUAAGAAUGCAGACACCACACCGAAAGACACUUCUCAACCAAACGGAGAUAAGCACCCUCCAAACACAAAAAUUCUAGAAGCUCUCCGAGAACAGCAGAAUCAUCUCAAGCAGCUCGAACAGGAGGCUGAAUACCAGCACGAAACCAAAAGAAACCUCUGAAGAGAAACUUGACGACGCCGAAAGUUAAAGGACAAACUGCUAAAGCUUGAAGCCGACCUUAGAGCCAAAGCCAUUCAGCCUAAUCACGGGGACAGCCCCGACAAGGAUCAAGAUUCCUUCACAAAAGAAAUCAUGAAAGCUAAGGUUCCAAAAGAUUUUAAAGCUCCGACAUGACCCCUUACGACGGAACUUCUGACCCAAGUCAUCAUCACAGCAAUUUCAGAAGCAGAAAGUAUCUCACUGACGCCUCAGACGAUAUUCGUUGCAAAGCCUUCCCGACAACCCUAACAAAGAUUGCUAUUAAGUGGCUCGACAGUCUGCCUCCCAGAUCUAUCACCAGUUUUGAUGACUUAGCCAAGAAGUUUCUUGCUAGAUUUUCCAUUCAAAAGGACAAAGCCAAACACGUCCCAAGCCUAUUAGGAAUCAAACAAGGAGAUCGGGAGAGUCUUCGAUCUUACAUGGAAAGAUUCAACAAAGCGUGCCUGGACAUACAAAGCCUACCAACAGAAGCAUCCAUCAUGGGUCUUAUCAAUGGCCUACGAGAAGGACCCUUUAGUCACUCUAUAUCAAAGACACACCCAACAUCUUUAAAUGAAGUGCAAGAACGGGCAGAGAAGUAUAUCAACAUGGAAGAAAAUUCUCAGUUAGGAGAGACCACAAAAUUUGGAUUCUCCUACUCCUCCCGGGAUAAGGAUAAAGAGUCCAAGAAAAAAGAAGAUCAACACAGAGAGAAGCCUAAAAAAUACCACAAUUACACCCCUCUUCGGGUGUCUCUUGUGGAUGUUUUUCGAGAAGUAUGCCACACUGAGAAGAUUCAACCACCUCGUCCAAUCAAAAGCAAAAAAAAAGAGGGGGAAAUCAGACAAAAUACUGUGAGUACCACCGAAUCUAUGGACAUCUUACAAAUGAGUGCUUCAACUUGAAGAAUGUCAUAGAAAAAUUGGUAAGAGAGGGGCGACUAGAUCGAUACUUAGCUAACAAAACAGAUGAACCCAGAAAAAGAAGAAGGGACGAAGAGGUCGGACGAGCUGAACUACCACCCCGCACCCCGGAGAGGCACGUUCACAUGAUAAAUGGAAGAUUCGCAGGAGGAGGGAUCUCUAAAUCAUCUCGCAAAAGGCACUUUAAAGAAGUAUAUCACGUUGGAGGAGGAGAAGGAUGAUCCCAUGGUCAUUACUAUCAUAUUGGCCAAUGCCAACCUCCACCGCACACUGGUGGACCAAAGAAGGUCAGCUAAUAUCUUGUUUAAAUCUGCCUUCGACAAACUCGGCCUACAAGAAAAAGAGCUCAGAGCAUACCCGAACAGCUUGUUUGGAUUAGGAGACACUCCAAUCCAACCCCUUGGAUAUAUCUCACUACACACAAUCUUUGGAAAGGGAACCCGAUCAAGGACACUCAACAUAGACUACAUCGUAGUCGACGUGAGCUCAGCCUACAAUGCCCUUAUAGGUCGAACAACGCUAAAUCAGCUUGCCGCAGUAGUUUUGACUCCACAUCUAUGCAUGAAGUUUCCAACCCUAGAAGGGAUCGCCACGAUAAAAGGAGACCAGAAAAUUGCGCGACGUUGUUACAACGAAAGUCUAAACCUUAGAGGCAAGGGAGAAGAAAUCAACAGUAUCGAACUCGGAGGAGUUCGAGGUCAGGAAGAACUUCGUCCACAACCUGAGGGCGAGAUCAAGGAAGUCCAGAUCGGAGAUAUCCUAGAUAAAACAACAAAUAUUGGGGCCACUUUGGAAGGAGACAUAAAGGAGUCUCUGAUACAGUUCCUCAGAGAUAAUGCCGACCUCUUUGCAUGGAAGGCCGCGGACAUGCCAGGCAUAGAUCUCAAACUAAUGUACCACAAACUGGCAGUAUAUCCAGGAUCUCGGCCAGUACAACAGAAGCGUCAGAAGCUCGGACCAGAAAGAUCCCAAGCUGUGAAAGAUCAGGUACAAGCUCUACUGGAGGCAGGAUUCAUAAGAGAAGUCAAGUACCCACUAUGGCUAGCCAACGUUGUAUUGGUGAAAAAGUCAAAUGGGAAAUGGCGGAUGUGCACUGAUUACACCGACCUCAAUAAAGCCUGUCCAAAAGAUCCCUAUCCACUCCCAAGCAUAGACACUCUAGUGGAUGCCUCCUCCGGAUAUAAGUACCUUUCCUUCAUGGAUGCUUAUUCGGGAUAUAAUCAAAUCCCAAUGUACCCACCUGAUCAAGAAAAGACCUCAUUCCUAACCCCAAAAGCAAAUUACUGUUAUGUCGUCAUGCCAUUCGGACUCAAAAACGCAGGAGCUACAUACCAAAGAUUAAUGAAUAAGGUUUUCACAGACCAUAUCGGGAAACUCAUGGAGGUAUAUGUGGAUGACAUGUUGGUAAAAGUAUAAACUGAGGAAUCAUUACUGUCCGACCUCGCCAAAGUGUUCGACACCAUCAGAAAGCAUGGCAUGCGACUUAAUCCCGCAAAGUGUACCUUUGCAGUAGAAGCCGGUAAAUUCCUGGGUUUCAUGCUAACACAACGAGGACUUGAGGCGAACCCGGAUAAAUGCCGAGCUAUACUCAACAUGAAAAGUCCGACCUACGUCAAAGAAGUACAACAACUCAACGGAAGACUGGCAUCCUUAUCCAGAUUUCUAGCCGGAUCGACCAUAAGAUCUCUCCCCUUUUACGCCACUCUAAGGAAGGGAAAGAAGUUCGAAUGGACAACGGAGUGCGACCAAGCCGGAAAGAGGUUUGAAUGGACCACAGAGUGCGAGCAAGCCUUCCAGGAUUUCAAAAAGUUUCUGAGACAACCACCCAUUCUUACUCGGCCACGGGAAGGAGAAGCACUCAUAUUAUACCUCGCAGUGGGAAGUCGGGCAAUAGCCUCGGCACUAGUCAGAGAAGAUGAAAGUGGGCAACAACCCAUCUACUUCAUCAGCAAAGCCCUACAAGGGGCCAAAUUGAACAAUCAAAAGAUAGAAAAGUUCGUCUACGCUCUCAUACUAACUUCUCGAUGACUUUGUCCAUAUUUUGAAGCUCACACCAUUAGGGUUCAAACCAACCAGCCCAUAAAAGGCAUUCUACAGAAAACAGACUUAGCGGGAAGGAUUCUACGAUGGGCAGUCAAGCUAUCUGAGUUCGAUCUUCAAUAUGAAGCUCGGACGGCCGUCAAGUCACAGUUUUUGGCCGAUUUUAUUGGUGAGUAUACUGACACCCCGGGAACUCCUACAAAAUGGGAUCUCUAUGUAGACGGCUCUUCAAACAAAACUGGGAGUGGUGCAGGUGUGAUAAUAGAAAGUGACCAGGGAACCCAAAUUGAACUCUCCCUAAAAUUCGAGUUCCCUGCUUCAAAAAACCAGGCUGAAUACGAGGCAUUACUAGCUGGUUUGAGACUGGCUAAGGAAGUUGGAGUUCAAAAGCUUAUCAUCUUCAGCGAUUCGCAAGUAGUCAUUUCACAAAUAGCAGGGAGCUACCAAGCUAAGGAUCCUACCAUGAAAAAGUACCUGGAUAAAACUAGGGAACAACUCAAACAACUCGGGGAAUAUGAGGUCUGCCAUAUUCCCGGGGAACAGAACGCUCGAGCUGAUGCACUCUCAAAAUUAGCCAUCACCAAACAAGGGGCAAUAAUAGAAGCCUCAUCCAGGAAAUACUGAAAAGCCCAUCAAUCUCGGAGGAAGAAAAGGUCCUAGCCAUAUCAGAUCAGGAUCAAGGAUGGAUGACCCCCAUAAUCAAUUACCUCAAAUCAGAGACACUCCCUACAGAUAAGAAGGAAGCGAAGAGGUUGAGACGGGAAGCACAAUACUACACCAUCAUAAAUAACACCCUAUACAAAAUGGGGAUUUCGACACCCCUAUUAAGAUGUGUGCCGACCUCUAAUACAAAGGAGGUUUUGGAAGAAAUACAUAACGACAUAUGUGGCAAUCAUCUGGGGGCACGAGCUCUCUCCAAAAAGGUACUCCGGGCAGGAUUCUUUUGGCCGACUCUGCAAAAAGAAGCAAUCGAGUUCAUUAAGACAUGCCCACCAUGUCAAAAGCAUGCUAACUUCCACAUCGCCCCACCAGGGGAGCUCAUCAGCGUAACAUCACCUUGGCCAUUCACAAAAUGGGGACUCGACCUCCUCGGAACCUUUCUCCAAGGAUCGGGACAAGUCAAGUUCCUCAUUGUAGGAGUAGAUUACUUCACAAAAUGGAUUGAGGCAGAGCCCCUAGCUAAUGUCACUACUCAAAGAAGUCAGAAAUUCUUAUACAGGAACAUUGUUACAAGGUUUGGGGUUCCUUACUCCAUCACUACAGACAAUGGAACUCAAUUCACAGACAUAGGCUUCAGGAAGUUGGUAGCAGACUUAAAAAUAAAGCACCAAUUCACAUCCGUAGAACAUCCACAAGCUAAUGGACAAGCAGAAGCAGCUAACAAAGUCAUAUUGGCUGGGUUAAAACGGAGAUUAUAUGACACAAAGGGAGCCUGGGAUGAAGAGCUCCCACAACUCCUACGGGCAUAUCGGACAACUCCACACUCCACCACAAAGGAAUCACCCUUCCGAUUGGCUUACGGAAUGGAGGCAAUGAUCCCGGUAGAAAUUGAAGAAGGAUCCCCCAGAAUGAUCUACUACAAUGAAGAGGCCAACUCCCAAAAUCAAAGGAAAGAGCUUGACCUACGUCCAGAAAUCCGAGAAAGAGCUCGGAUUAGGGAAGAGGCGUUGAAACGUCGAAUGGCCUCAAGAUACAAUCGAAGAGUCAUCCAGCAAAGUUUCGCCCACAACGAUCUCAUUUUAAGCCGAAAUGACAUCGGAACAGGUCAACCAGGAGAAGGAAAGCUUGCAGCUAAUUGGAAAGGACCCUACCGAGUUACCGAGGUACUGGGAAAAGGCUACUAUAAGGUUUCCAAACUCGAAGGGCGAGAGCUACCAAGGUCGUGGCAUGCCUGCAACCUAAGAAGGUAUUAUAGUUAGGAGGUAAUAAAGAUCUUAGGUCAAGGUGCACUCUUUUUCCUGAAAAGGUUUUUUAACGAGGCACCAAGCCAAGAUCUGUAAAAUUGCCUGACUUAGAGGGGGUAAACACCCACAUGUAUAUAUUCUUGCCUAUAUGCCUAUUUUUUAUUUGAAUAAAAUUUUCCAGAUUUUCUACAAAGUUUCUCUACCAAGACGCAUUAAUCCGAAGGCAAAAAAUUCAUCGCCCGAUUACAAAGCUACAGGUCAGCAAGGUGAAAACCAAAUUCACCAGCCGAUCACGAUGAGAAUCGAAUUCAUCGUCCGAUUUCGACAAAGGUCAGCAAGGUGAAAACCAAAUUCACUGCUAGACUUCGACAAAGUUGGCCAAGUGAGAACCAAACUCACCGCCCGAUUUCUACAAAAUCGGCAAGAAAAAAGCGAUAAAGACGGAUUAAUGCAAGAAGUUAUAGAAAGUAAUCCAUAGAAAGAGGCCUGACGAGGUCUGAGUAAAAAUGGAUUGCUAAAAAUAACUUAGGACGAACCGACAUAAAGAAGUUGGACCAAUCGACCAAAGUGACUAAAGUUAUAAAAAGUAAUCCAUAGAAAGAGGCCUGACGAGGUCUGAGAAAAAAUAGAUUGCUAAAAAUAACUCAAGAAGGACCGACAAGAAGAAGUCGGACCGGACCGAUCAAAGCGAUAAAAGUUAUAAAAAGUAAUCCAUAGAAAGAGACCUGACGAGGUUUGAGUAAAAAUGGAUUACUGAAAAUAACUAAGGGCGGACCGGCGUGAAGAAGUCAGACCAACCAAACAAAGCUACAAAGUUAUAAAAAGUAAUCCAUAGAAAGAGACCUGGUAAGGUCUGAUUAAAAAUGGGUUACUAAAAAUAACUCGAGAAAGAUCGAUAAGAAGAAGUCGGACCAACAAGAGGCGUGCGCUAGAAGGGACACAACUCAUCCCAAAAAGCCACGACCUCACGAUAAAGCUACCAAAAUUAUUUUAAAAGGUGUUCUAUGAGAAUACUAAAAAAGUCAUUAGACAAGUCAUCAGAUCGACAAGAAAGAGGUCGGAUAGCCGAAUCUCGACACCUUACAGAAGAUCUACAAAAAUCCCAAAAACACAGCCAGCACGUCAAAGAAAACAAGGCUAUUCUAAAAGCAUUAAAAUCUCAAAAGGCCACCUGAAGGUCGACCUCAAGAGUUCAAAGAUAUCUUUUGUUUUUCCAAAAUAAAGUUGCUAAGAAAAGCAACCAAAAUGUCAGAAAAAGAAAGAACACCAUGCAAAGGUACAAAAAAUAAAAGAGUUCAAAAGCCCACAAACCGGGCUAAACAAAUACAUAAAAAGUCACAAGGGAUCCAAGGUCUCCUCAGCGGCGGCACCCUGGGUCGUUGAGGGAGGAAUGAUCUUCAUAGGAAUAGCAUCUACCGUCCCAUCCUCCCGAUUUAAGAUUUGGACGUCAGGGUCGGACUCGGGGUGGCUGACCUCAGCAGCAGCAGUUGAAGAAGUCGUGGCAGUAGAAGCUUUGAUCGGCGGCUCUGGGGAAGGACCUUCCUCUUCAUCUUCAUCCGGCGCAGGGACAAUCUUACCAUUUUUAACAGUGUUAUCCAAACCAAAAAGACUCAGGUCGAGCUCGGGAGCAAGAACUCGGACCUGAGCUUUUAGGUUCUCAUAUGUGUCAGUCACACUGCCCACAAGGUGGCCCUGAAGUUCAACAUAGUUAGCAUGGGCCGACACAAGUCUCUCCCUGACCUCCAUCAGCUCGUCAUAAGUGCGGGUAUAACUCUCCUUUGACUUCUUGGCCAUCUCCUUAUCUAGAUUCGCAGCAGCUUCUGCAGUAAUCGCCCUAGAUUUCUCCUUCUCAACAUCUAGUUCCAGCUUGGCCACCUUAGCGUCCAGUUCAUCCUUCAAAUCCUUAAUCCUAUCAAACUCGGACUUGGCAUCCUUCAUAAAGGCUUUAGUAGCAUGAACAGAAGACUCUUGAACAGUACGGAAUAAGGCUGCACCCAUGUGAGCCAUCCGAACACUGUUACUGGUGAUAAAAUCCAGAUGGCGCAGGAUAGACACAUCGUCCAUGGGAAGUCGGCCAUAAGGAGCGAUCUGGUUAUCAACAAACCCCACGGCAUCAAAGUCAGGGGCAUCCAGGUCGUAGGGCUCAAUAGUCUUCUGCUUCUUGGGAGGAGGACCGGCAGCAGAAGGAGAAGCAGCACCAGAGGUCGACUGGGGAGGAUCAGAAGAAGCCAGGCGAACCUGGGGAGUCGGUAUGACUUUUCUCGACCCAGAAGUAUCCGAGGUUGACCUCUUCUGAGUAGCCUUUGAAGAUUCCUCCCUAAAACCUUUAGCCGAGAUGUUUUGAGCCGCGGUCGCCUUCCUCGCCCUCUUAAAAGCCUUCAUGGAAUCAGUGGUCUUCACCAUCUCUAAAAAAAUAAAGCAGCAAAACCAAAGUUGCAAGUUAGAAAGAGAUGGAUUGACAAAACAAACAAAAUAACAAAGACAAGGCUAAAAAGAAAUCGGCAGCUACCCAAUUCAGCUCGAAGAAGGGAGGGAUCCCCCAAAAACAUCUUCGUAUCAAGAUAGGGAGGCUCCCCCCAAUUUUCUUCUAGUACAUGUACAAAAGCCUGCUCAACUUCAUCCAACAUUUCCCAAAAAUACUUAGACACCAUCACAUUCUUUUGCCAGCAUAAAGGAAAAGCUGGUUCAUUAUUUUGGUCCAAGAAGAAAGACCGACCUCCUUCAACAGCUCGAACCUUGAAAUAGAAGUUUUUAAAGUCCCUAAAAGACUCAUCAUACAUGGAUAACAAGUUUUUUCCCUGGGUAGCGCGGAAAGAAAUCCAGAAAGCCUUCUUCUUAGCUACCCCAGGCUUCAUCAAGACAAAAAGGUAAAGAAAGAGAGUAUGAGAAGGUUGAACAUCCAGUUCUUGACACAACAGUUAGAAGAUUUUUAUGAAGCCCCACGAAUUCGGGUGAAGCUGAGAAGGAGCUACAUUGCAGGACCACAACAAGUCAGUUUCAAAGGAAGUAAAAGGAAUGGUAAUGUUCAUUUGACUAAAAAAGUAGUCAUACGCAUAAAAGAAUGGACGGUCCCCUUGAGUAAGAGAAGGAAAACAAACCCUCUCAUCAGGAUCGGGCACUACCAACUCAUAGUUUUUCUCCUGCUCUCUACUACUACAAAUCCUAUGAUGCCUCCUAAGCCGCACACAAUACUCAGAAUCAACCACGGAAACACACAUCAAAACAAGGGAGUCCAGCCAGUCAGACAUGCCAUCCGGGACCUUGGUAGACAUCUCAACAAUAUUUUUGCAAGAAGACAUGGGUCAACUAGUCCUACAGUGAGAAAAGGGAAAACUGGGUUACUAAUCAAACAGCUCGGACAAAAUAGGAAACAUCUCGGACAAAUAUGGAGAUAACUCGAACAAAUAGCAUGCGAAUGUUAAAAGACUCAGAAACAGCAAAAGGAAACCCCAGGACUCACACCAAAGUCCAGGGGCAUCCUUUGGAGGCAAUAACAAAGCAAGGAUCCAGAAAAAAGAAAAAUCUCGCAGUUUAAGCCCUAAAAACACAAAGAAGAUCAAAAGCCUUCUCUGACAAAUGGCGAUCCAUACAAAACAGCAAACCAUCAACAUCAGACAGACCAGGCAGAAAUCAUAAAAAAGAUACAACCUUUUUCAAAUUAACAGUUCAUUACUUCAAGCUAUAAACAGGAAAAGAUCUACGCAUAAAGAAAUCAAGUAAAAGGGGCAGAAACAAGCAACAAAGCGAAAAAACCCUCAAGGCGCGCACUACAAGCACAACGACACAGAAAAGAUUCAAACUUUCUAAACACAAAUCCGAGCAAGAUCAAAACUUUUUCAUGCCCAAACAAAGCACAAGCAUAAAAAGAACGGUGUGAAAAAUAAAAGAGGGAAAGAAGAUUAAAAACCAACCUGCAGUGGAGAGGAGAUGAUAAAUGAUCAGAGACUGAAGCAACGACCAAAAUGACGCCAACGAUCGCCUUUGCAAGUGAGGAAAAUACGAAGGCCCAGAAACAGAAGGGUAAGGAGAAGGGAGAAGUUACAGUAAAGCGAAGAGAAGAAAAACUGAGGGAAAAGGCUUUGAAAUUCAAAAUAAAGACACAAAGAGGGAAGCAAAGGAAACAGCAAAGAAUUUACGAGUUUUUGACCUUUGCACGUUUCCAAGAAAAAGUAAAAAUGCGUGCCGUAAUUAAAAGAGGAAACGUUCCGCAUUCAAACCACUAAAUAGGAGUGCUACAACGAGAUCAACAAAAGAAUGCUCGAGAUCGGCUUUUCCAAAAAGAAAUCGAAGUCUAAAAAGACACGACUUCAAAAGGAAGACCGCACUCAAGCAGGGGCACUGUUUAUGCCCUGUGUCGAGCUGUACGACCUGAGCUGAUUAAAGACAAGUCGACCGAUCUCUUCAGGUCUGGAUUCCCCGACCUCUUCUUAAAGAGAUGGGCCAAAUCGCCAGAGGGGCCCAAACAGGCCCAAAUGAAGGGACACAGCCCAAUCUAAAGCCAGUUAAAGCCUAGAAAGAUAAGGGCGGUUCCCCAGAAGAUAAGAUGACCUCACUUAAAAGAUAAGAUAAGAUAACUAUCUUAUCUCCAGAAAGGUCACUCCACACUACUAUAAAUGCACUGGAGCACCCAGAUAUAACUCAUACUCUGAUUCUACAAAAAAAUACCUGCUUAAAGCCCAUGCUAACUUAAGCAUCAGAGUCUCUUGCAGGUACCACCACCCUCCGGUGACGAAGGAUCAGCAGCAUCUCCAGCUCCACCAGUUUCACCAGGUCGGACACGACAGCUCCGGCCACCAGUUCCAACAAGUCGGACACGACAACUCCGGCCACCACAGCAGAUCUCGUCCGAGAUUGACCUACAGUUUCAGGUAACCCUCGGAACAGACACAAUGACCAUUAAUAAAUUUUGUUUGCCUUUUUUUAUGAAGAUCAUAACUUGUAUAAAAUUAAUUUCCUAUACAUUAGUUUGGAGAUUUCAGACUCUAGUACUGUUACUUGUAUGUGAUAUACUGAUAUGUUGCUGAAUUACUUGAAUCUUUGUUCACUAAUUUUAGAUGGUCCAAUAUAUGAUUUCAUCUGAAUGUUUCCUAUUACUAGUUCUGUGUCCCUUGCGAGCCUUAUACAAUCUUGAACCAUAUCUGAUGCUAACUGUUCAACUUAAGAAUAUAUUCAACGUGGUUUUCCGUCAUGUAUAACUUAAAUUGUGCCCAUCCUCUAUGUAGAUACUCUAUUUUUAGCGGUUGCAAUACGGUGUGCUCGACAACUGUCUUGAGCAUGAGACACGGCUCGAUGGGUGGACCUCAGAGAGACUUGAAAAGAAGGCACAAUAUAUUCUAUCCGAGGCACUCAUUUCUCUCUUGUAAUCGGUUAAUUUAUGCUGUUAUGUAAGUCAGAGCUUCCUAUCAGACCACUCAAGAUGUUUUUUAUGUUUACUUUUUUUUGUCAGUUGUGCUAGGCAGAUGUCGCAGAUCCCGUGUGUUUGAGAUUUUAUUUUUUUUAUUUUUCUAUUUCUGGUUUGUGGUUUGGUGGUGCUUUGAGGUUUGAUUAAGAUCAUUGAUUCUCUUCGUUUCUUAAUUCAGGGGCGCCUUUUGACUAGACAUGGGGGAGGUGAAGACAUAAAGGGCCGGUCACCACAAGCUACGAGGAGGAAACCGGGGAAAAAAGAACCACAGAAUCGUGGGAAAAAGGAUUCGGUGCCGCCAAGGGUAAACACGUUUUAAGACUUCAGCGUGUUAGCAAGCUUACUUCACCAUUGUUAAUUUGGUUCAUGCUAUUGCUUCAAAUAGGGGAGGUCAGUCGGUGGAGAGAGUAAGCAGGUAUCAAAGGAAAGACGACCAAGGGGACGCACAACAUCUCCACCUCCAACAAGGAGAACUUCACGGCACGCCGAACAAUAAAAAACUAGCCCAAGAGUGAGUAUACGAUUACUGUUGUCUACGGUUUAAAUCAUCGACUAGCUUUGCUUAAGUUUAUUAGGUUCAUUUGAAUGUACUUGGAUGUUUCUUUACACAACAUGUUCGUUAUACGUAAAACAGCCUAGCAGAGGAGUUGUGCAAAAAAAGGAGGAGGCUAAAAAGGACCGAUCACGUAGGUCCACCCCAAAAAAAUCUUGAGAAAAAGGAUCUCCCAAUUAGCACAGAUGAUGAUGAGGAGAAUGAGCCUCUUGCCAAGCGGAUGUGCCGACUCUAUAACCAGGGAGUUGACCAACAAAAACCAAGUGCCGAACCAAUAGAAGGCAACCUUAAUCAGGAUAAGGGAACCCAUGAAACACCUGUCUCUAUAGUUCCCGAUGUAGGAACACUCUCCGUUGUGCUAGUGCAACAUGAAGAAUGGGAGUUCGACGGGCAAGUCUCCUAAUCAAAACUAUUUCAUUUUGUGGUCUAUUUUGCUUGUUAGUGAAUUAGGGAUUGUAUCCGUAUACAACUGCCAUUUCUCUAACAUCGGUUGAGUUUCUUGCAGUAAUCCCAAUUUUCUGUCGAACCGAGACCCCGAAAGUGAACGAAUAUGGCAAUACCUUGAGCAACUGCAGAACACGAGGCCACUACAGACCGUGAUGCCAACCACUCCGUCUUGCAUGACUCCUAGCCCACCAAGCAAGGAAAUCUCACCGUGCAAUACUCGGACGGAACAAAAGUAUACCCAAUGUACUCCUAUAAAGGUGCAUCCACUUCUAAAAGGGUGAAAGCUGGACGAGGAUGAUGAGGAGCAAUUGCGACGAUGGGCGGCCAAUGGAUCGUUGGAGCAAAGUCAGGUUGUGGCGUCCUAUGAAGGAAGACAGCAUCUAUCAUUGAUCCGAGAAGACAUCUGCUCACUGUUGCUCCGGCACUGGGUCACCAGCAAUGUAAGUAUAACAUACUAACACAUUGAUAGAAUGAAUAUGUUUCUUAAUAUAUAUCGUGGCUAAAACAGAUGACUCUAAUGCAAUUUAAAUUUUUUAUGCAGAUCGUUCAGUGGAUGCGUUCAACCUUUAAUGACUCAGAAUCGUUGCGGUUUAAGGAUGACUUUUAUUGUAUUUCUCUAGAAAUUUUGGUAUGCACGAAUUUGCGGAUUCUUAUCGAUAAUGAUUUGAGAUCUGAACCUAAAUAGUGCUUUUUUAAUAGAAAACUGUGUUGCAAAAGAGGAACUUGGAUUCCUUCAGGGAGAUUUCCACCGUUAGUUAUGUGGGGCUGGGUCCUCACUUCGGUGAUGAUUCUAGAUUUUUUGACAAGAUAGCAGCUUCCAUGUGAAAAUGGGUAAGUUAAUGCACUAGUUGAAAAAAACUGUAUGGUUCUUGUAAGGUCUCACAUCGGUUGGGGAAGGGAACGAAGCAUGCCUUAUAAGGGUGUGGAUACCUCUCCCUAGCAUGACGUGUUUUAACGAGUGAGUGUGGGGGGUUUUGGCUAUCAUCCCUAUCGUUAAAGGCAAAACCGUGAGGCCUUGUGUGCCAAAGCGGACAAUAUCGUACUAGCGGGUGGUCUAGGCUGUUACAAGAAAUGUUAAGAGAAGAGAGGGAGAAACGGAGAAGGAGAGGAAAGGGAGGAAGGAGCCGGGCCGGCGCUGCUGAGUUCGCCGCCGCCGUCGCGUUGCCGUGCCGUCAGAAAGCCAGAACCGCAAGAGAAAGAACUGCGAAGAGAGAGGGAGACCGCAUCAGCUCACCGCGAAGCCAGCGCCGUCGUCGUCCUUAUUGCGGGUCUACACCGUCGCGUCUUGCCACCGCCGCCACCACUAAGCUUGCCGUCGUCGCCAUUGAAGCCGAAGAGAGAGAGAGUGUGUUCGCGAAGAGAGGGAGAGCGCGCGCUCACGAAGGAGAAGAACGACGAAAAGGGAAGGAGAAGCAGAAGACGAUGAACCCAGGGGAGAAGGAGGAGGUCUGUUCUCGCACCGUCCUGCUCUGCACCCAGGUGAGCUCUUCAUCCCCCUGUAUCCUCUGCCCUCCUUUCCUCUCUCUUGCCCUUUCUUGCCGACAUUGAUCCAUUGUUGUCUUGUGUGUUGCAGAUCUCACUUCGCGUAGUCAUGGUCUUCCCCGCAGUCACAGUCGCAAUCGCCGUCUACGCAGUUUGUAGCUGCCAUCAUCCUCCGCGCAGUUCCCACCUGCUCACGGUACCAUAUCCUUGACUCUGUUUUCUGUUCCCAGAAUCUUAGAUAUAGCAUAAACUUGUUAUCUUGUGCAUUUUGUUGUUUUUAUGGAAUAUGCACGAAACUUUAUAUAUUAUUGGUUGUUAUUAAUAUUGUUUCAAAUUAAAGAGUUGUUUCUGCUCACCUCUAUCUAUAUAUGGCAAUUAUAUGACAAUUUGUUUGACCUUGGAAUUCUAGUAAACAUGAGAGAUUUGAAGAGGAAUUGUUAUGGUUUUGGUUGACAAUAAUGAUGUGAGCACUACAUAAGCUUGCUAAUUAUUAUGCUUGUAAUAUCGUACUGCUGUUUAUUGGCUUGUUUAUUGUGCACAUACCUGCUGUUUUAUAUUCUCCUAUAUCAACUGGGUUGUUGAAAUGGUAUUGCACUUUUUUAGUUAUGCUAAUAUUUCUAUUAUCUGCCCAUGGUAGCAAAUCUUUCAAGUAAAAUGGUAAUGAAUACUUUUCUCCUUCCUCUCAGGAAGCAAUCUUCAGAGUUAUAGCUGCUAUUCCUCAUCUUGGAAACAUUAACUUUGCAAAAUCAGAGGAAGAAACUGAUUCAUCAGUUCUAGAAAAUGAAGAGUCCAAGUUGCAUCUCCAAAUAACCGCAGAACUUCUCAUGUGUGACAAAAUUUCUAUUGUUAUCAUUUGCAAUAGCUUUCUUUUUGUUAAUGUUACAUAUCUUUUAAAUUAUUUCUUAUUUCAGGUGCGAUCCUAGUGCUUUGGAAGAUGCACUUUGUAAGCGUGUGAUGAUUACCCCAGAGGAAGUUAUUAAAAGAAGUCUUGAUCCUCUUGGUGCAACGGUUAGCAGGGAUGGUUUAGCCAAAACACUAUAUUCUUGUUUAUUUGACUGGUACUAUGUUAAUGUCAAGUGUAAAAUUAUGAAUUUAAAAUAUGAAAAAUGUGUCCUAUCCUAUGUUUAUUGCACUUAUGUUAUUUGAAUCUGAAUAAUUUUUUAUCUGUUCUAUUGUUAUGUGCAGGUUAGUCCAAAAAAUCAAUGUCUCAAUUGGGCAAGACCCAGAGUCAAAAUGUCUCAUUGGUGUUCUUGACAUAUAUGGCUUUGAAAGCUUUAAGAAUAACAGGUGAACAUAAUCAUAUUAUUCACUCAAACACAUGCGUGUGCACGCACACACACACACAUAUCAUUGUUCCUCUUGAGAGUAGCAUAAAUCUGAGUUGAUAUCUAAUUCCCUCUUUACAGUUUUGAGCAGUUUUGUAUUAAUUUCACAAAUGAAAAGCUGUAGCAACAUUUCAACCAGGUAUGAGGUUAGUUUUUAGAUAUUUGACAACUUCAACUAUCACUUUUUCUCAUAACAUGCAUUCCAACAUGGAUAAUGUCCUGCAGCAUGUGUUUAAGAUGGCGUAAACUCUUCCGAACUUCCGGCUUCGAUUUCUUGAAAUCCGUAACUCCAAUAAAAAAUCUAAUCCGGUAAGAGUAUUCGUAACCUCCUCCUCUACACGUUGGUACCAUUUUUGAUUAGGGGAAGUUGAUAGUGACGUAGCUCCUCUUUCCUUUGGGUUUGGUCAACGGGAGUUUUAGGAGGCACAGACGAUUCUGGACAUUUUCUUUUUCGAUAGCUCACUCAGAAAGCUUCUCCUGAGCUUUGAAUAUUUUGAUUUCGUACGAAGGUAUGGUUUUGGUUUCUCGUAGUUAAUGUUUAAUGUCACGUGAAAAAUUUAGGCUAGAAGACCUUAAGAUAGGAAUGAAUUGAAUGUAUAAUUGAUGGAUUGUGCAUAUUGGAUAAAAUGUGUGGUUUAGCUGUUGAUAAUAAUUUGCUGUUGAAGUUGGUCGGUUUGGAAAAGAUUUAAUAUUGGUAUUUGUUUGAUUUUGAAAUAAUUUGUUACUGGAAAUGAUUUGAAGGACUGAGAGGUGUUUGAUUUGAUAGUUGGGACCCUUGAAGGGUGGCAGAAAUUCGAGCUUUAGAAGAGUUACUGCCAAAACUUCUAUGAGAAUUGGAGUUUUGAUUUGAGAUGGUAUUUUAAGAAGAAAGAGAUUAUUAUGUGGCUUGUGUAUUUGAGACUAUUUGUUGACCCUCUGUCGCAAGAUGUGACCGGGCACUUUAACUCCCUGGAUUUUCCCAUGGGCAUGCAUAUAUAUGAAUAUUGAAUAUUAUAUUUGAGCUUGGAGUUCGACUCCAUGGAAUAUUAUAUUUGAGCUUGGAGUUUAACUCCAUGGAAUAUUAUUGAGCUUGGGGAUGCGCGCACAGAGGGACUGUCCAAUGGUUAACUACCAGGACAUAUUGGCUUGGCUGUAUAACUGACAGAUGAGACUCAUCAGCCAUAGGACAGGCAUACAUCAUAUGCAUUUGUUUGUUUGCUUGAGUCUGCAUUGUUUUGGUUUGCUUAACUGUUUAAUUCUGCUUAUCCGCUACUUGUUCUACUUGCUGUAAAUACUUCUCUAUCUGUGCUUUCCUUGCUUGAAUUGUAUGUGUAUGUUUUCUGAGAAAUCCCUCUUGAUGAAGGUGUGAGGGGAGAGGGUUGUUCCACCAGUGAUUCAGAGGAUUGGAGGCGACAGAAAAUGAAGUAUUAAGUUAAAUUUAGAUUCAGAACUUGAUCUUUACUAUAGGAAUAUAUAUAAUUCACUCUUGAAUGUAAUUAAAAUAAAUAUAUAUUUAUUUAAUUUUUUAAAUUUUAUAUUAAUUAUUAAAAUCAUGAUACAAUGGAUGUAUUCCUAUUAAAAAAAAAUAAAAAUGACUUCAUAACUAUUUGUUUGUUGGAAGAAAAUAUGACUCAACAACUAUAGAGUCUAAUUUAAAUAAUUAUAGAUAGGUAACAUAAGUAAUAAAAAGCAGACAUAAAAUAUAACCUUUUUGUUAUUUAGUACAAAAUAAAUACAAUAAAAUAAAUCAUUUUUCUCAUACAUAAUGAGAUAAAAUUUAAUAUUAUCCUUUUCUAGAGUCUUCUAUUAUUUUAGUUUUUAUCCUUAUUUUUUACUUUAUUUCAAUUUUAUUAAACCAAAAAAUACUAAUGUCAUUUAACUUUAAUUUUCAACUUUUAUCAUAAAUAAAAAUAUGUGACUUUGUAUGCAUUAGAUAAUAAAAAAAAACUCAUAAUAAAAAAAAAUUAAAUUUACUCAUUUAUUACAUUUAUAGGAGCGUAGAUGAUUCGCAUAAGAGUUACGAGAUUUUUGUUAAGCUUUUAUUUUUAAAGUAGUAUUCACUUCUAAGUGUAAUAAUUAUAAAUUAAUAUAUGUUGGUAAAUAAUUGCGAUCGAAGUGAAGAUAGAAAGAGAAUAAAAAACGGAGGAAGGAAGAGAGAACAAGCUAAUAUAAGAGUGGUAGUGAGGCAUAUGUAGAUAGAUAAUAAUAAGAAAAAAGAAUAAUACAACUUAAUGAUUUUAGUAUUAUACCUAAAUUAAUUUAAAUUUAAUUAUUUUAUAUAUUAAAAAAAUUAAUUAAUUUAUAGAUUUUUUAUUUUUUAUUUAAUUAUUCUAUACAAAAUUUUUGAAUGCUUGAUAUCUUAAUUUUUUUUUAAAUGAUAAAAUAUGACUUAACAAGUAAGAAUGAAAAAUAAGUAUCUAUAUAAUAGUUAUAUAUUUAGAUAUCUAAAUCAAACAAAAAAUAAUUCUUUUAACAAAUCUUUAACAACUCAAAAAAUUAACACAAUGGAUAUGUAUGAAUCAAAGUGAUAAACAAAAAUGAGAUAUGGAAUAAUGAUAAUAUGAUAUGGUGGUAAUUGAUUGCGGUUGGGGUUAAUAGAAGAAGAACACAAAAAAAAGAGAAUAAAACAAGGCAAUAGAAUAAUGAUAGCGAGACAAUAAUAGUUAUACAUAUAAAAAAACUAAUAGUGUAUAAUAUGAUGAGAUGAUACAAUCAAAAUAAAAAUUAAUAAUUUUAAAAUAGUAAUAAAAUUAAAGAUGUUUAAUAUAAAAUUAAAGAAAUAAUUUUUUAUCUAUUAAAAUUAUAUAUUAAAAAAAGNNNNNNNNNNNNNNNNNNNNNNNNNNNNNNNNNNNNNNNNNNNNNNNNNNNNNNNNNNNNNNNNNNNNNNNNNNNNNNNNNNNNNNNNNNNNNNNNNNNNNNNNNNNNNNNNNNNNNNNNNNNNNNNAUUUUUUAUUUUUAAUUUAAAUUUAUUUAUUUUAUAUUUUCUACAUAUAUUAAAUAACUUAAAAUAUUUUAUUUUUUAUAAUUUAUUUUUUAAUUAUUGAUAUUAACUUUAUAAUUUUAAAAAUAAAAAUAUAAAAUAUUUUUUAAAUUCAAUAGAAAAGCGCCUAAACAUGCCUGUUGAGCAUAUAUAACUUAAGCAUGACACGUUUAUUUUUCAUUAAUGAUCAAAGACACCUAAAUCUUUAUGUGUAACUUUUCUCUCAAAGUCAUGAUUAUUAGUACCUCAACCUUGCAUGCUUCAUUUUGGCUAAGGUAAGAAAGAAAGAACCGAGAGAAAGAAGAGAGAAAUCGUGACCCACACCAAAAGUUUUGUCUUUUAUUUGUUGUGAUCCGUAAUUUCAAUAAAAAAUUUAAUUUGAUAAGAGUAUUUGUAUCUUUUUUUUUUUUAUAUGUUGGGAUUACUUUUGUUUGGUAGAAGUUGAUAAUGACGUAGCUUCUCUUCCACUUGAGUUCGACCAAUUGGAGUUCUAAGAAGUACAGAUUAUUUCUGACGUUUUUUUUUUCGGCAACUUGGUUGGAAAGCUUCUCCGGAGUUUCCAUUAUUUUGAUUUCGUACGGAGGUAGGAUUUGGUAAUUCUAUAAUAAUUAAAUGUGAAUUUGAUAAGUGAAUAUUGGUUUAAUUGAUUAUUAGUUGAGUUUGAUUAAGUUUAUAUUAAAAUUUUGUUGAAUUAUUGUUGUUGUUUGUGAAUUGUGGUUCAAUCACGAAGAACAGCCUAGUUAGGGUUAUUUUAAUGAUUUUGGGGCUGUUGUGAAUGAAAAUUGUUGAUUAAAAUUGUUGAGGUUUGAUAGCCAAGAGAUUAGAUGAAUAGCGGCAAAAAAUCAGUAAUAGUAAAAUUUAAAAACAGACUUAAAACUCAAGUUGAAAACUCGAAAAAUUUUGAAAAUGGGGUUCAGUCCUUUGAUAAAAGAUGAUUUCUGAUAUUAAAGCAAGGGAAAAAUAAGAAGAAAAUAAAAGAUUAAAAGAAUCUAAAGAACCUCUGCCACAGGAGAGUAGAGAGCAAGAAUAAAAGAAACGAAAGAAAGAACGAAACGAAGAGGAGAUAAGUGGAGAUAUUGUUUGGCAUUAAGAACGAGCUGAAAUGAUUGUUUACCUGCUAAAAAUGAGCAGAGAUAUGGUGGUGAGUCCACCGAAAUUUGCUUUCCAGAGAUACAUCGGCCAAUUCAGGGGAUGGUCGCAUCUGUAAGACGGAGGUUGCUUACAAAGUUUAUGUUUGCAUACAUCGGCUCAAGAGAGUCGCACCUGUAAGACAGAAGGUGCUUACAGAAGUUAUGACACUGGAAAUCAAACUCAGACAAAGGUUGCUGAGUUACGACGGGAGCGAGUCAAAACCGACAGAUGAGCUCAUUACCUGCACUAGGGAUAGACAUGCAUCAUACUUGUUUGCGCAUACUUCUCUGUGAUAUAUGUUUCUGUGAUUAUGUGUGUACGCUUCUUGGCUUGUGAUUCUCUCUGUAUCUUUGGUCUGUUAAAGUUGUUUGUAUUAUAAGUUUUGUUGCUGUUGGCUAUGGUAAUAAAAUGAAUAUAACUAUACACCUCGAUUCUAUUAAGAACUCCCCAGUUCUUACCCCAUAUCUCCACCCCUUUUCAGCUACAGGUGCGAAGGUUUAGUGCGAAACUACAGGAGCAUAGAAGAUUAUGAUCAUGAGUUGAGUUGUUAGAAUUUAUUUUCCCCUCGUCGUUUAUUGUUUUUAGUUUCUAGAAGGGUAGGACUUGUAUUUGGAGAUCUUUGAAUAAAUCUAUGUAUUUAAUACUAUGUGAGUAUAUAUAUACCUUGUGGUUAACUGGUUUAAAAUAAAGAAUCUUCGUUUUCAUAAGUAAAAGUUUGAUUUGUAUUCUCAAAGGCUCAAUAUUAAAUAAAGAUAGUAUAGAAUAAAAAGAUUUAGAGGUACGUGACGCCUGGGUUUUUAGUACGAUCAUGAGGUGCUAAAAGAUAGGGUGUUACAGUUACCAUUAUUAUAAUGAACUGUGAAUGUGACUUAAGAAACUCAUUUCUUUAUUCAUUCAAUCCCCUUGGCCAAAGUUUUAUUCAUCUCAGUCCUUAUAAUCAUAGAGCUCAAACUCUUUACCGAGAGUUGACAGAUUCCUUAUUAACUAAUCAUUAACUCUAAGUAUUUAAAUCAUACUUAAUAUCCAUUCAACUAGCACCCUAAUGUAUUAGGUGUCCGGAAUUAAAGUAUAAUAAAUACAUUGUCAAUUACUAUGAUAGUCGCAGGUCAAAGGAACUCUAUUACUAUAUUCAUUUUGAGAAUAUCCUAUUGACAAAUAUGCGGUAAUUAUAACCAUUAGAAAUUCUCAAAGUGAGUCAGUUCAAUGGACAUAUCUCUAUAUGCACCAUCUAUAUAUAUAAUUUAAUAAAUGAGAUCUAUUAAUUUUCAUCUAAUGAAGACCAUUAUAUAUAUAUUGAUCUUUUCGAAUUACUAUCAUAAUGAUAAAUUUUUAAAUUUAAUUAAAAAUCUUAUUAUAUUAAUAUUUUAAUAUAAUAACAAUAACAAAUUAUUUCACACAUGAUUAAUUAAAUUAUGGUUAUACUAUUUAUUCCCAACAUGUUUGCAUUGUGAUGAUGGCUAUAAGAGACAUUAUAUGGAACCUGAGUGGUAUGAUAGUUGAGAAGAAUGGCUUGUUAGUUCUGCGUUAGAUUUUAGUGUUGGUUUACGUGUUUGAGGAGAUGAAGGAGGGGUGCCCCAUAGGUUCCUAGCUACUCUCUAGGCGAGAAUGAAUGUCCCUCCAUAAGGGAAAAAAUUUCAAAGUUGUUUUCCUUUUUUUUUUUCAGUUCAACUUAGUAACAACAACCUUUUCCACGAUUUUUUGGGGGAUGGGUCUGCGCAAAAAGAUACAACAACAAGAAAGAAGACCCAAGAACAUGUAUAGGAAAAAUAUUGCACUUAAGGUUCUGGGCCUAUGGGCUUUGGCUGGGAGGCUGUCAUUAAACAGCUUGGGCGUAUAGGGCAAAGAAGUAGAAGUUGGACAACUUGGUAAGCCCAAUAAAGAAAAAGUACCAACUCUGCUUGAGCCACUUAUAAGAUAGAGCCCAAUAACUUGGUAUGAACCCUUUUUUAGUGUUGUGUAUAGAGUGGAUGAGUUGUUAUAUGACCAUAAAAAAACUAAAUAACUUCUUUUUGGUACAUAAUAUUUGGAUUAACUUUAAUAAAUUAAAGCCUCUAAUAACUUGAUAUAUACUACAUCAUCAUCAUCAUCAUCAUCAUCAUCAUCAUCAUCAUCAUCAUCAUCAUCAUCAUCAUCAUCAUCAUCAUCAUCAUCAUCAUCAUCAUCAUCAUCAUCAUCAUCAUCAUCAUACGAGAAAUGACUAAAUGUCUUUAUAUCGAAAAUUUUUUUUUAUAUGACAUAGAUGUUGAUAAAGAAUAUCUUUUCAUACAAAUUGUCCGCGUCAAAAUUCUUGAACAGAGAUAAAUUUGGGAAAACAAUGAAAAAAGGUCAAUAAGACAAUAACCGGAUAACAUGAAUUUUGGAGUAUAAUUUUUGAAUUUGGAACGUAUAGUUUUUGAAUUUCUAUUCAUUGUUAUUUUAGAUUCUUUCGCCCAGGUUAAUUACUUAUUAAUUUUUUUUUUAAAUUAAGUAUGAGACUUGAAUUCGAAAUNNNNNNNNNNNNNNNNNNNNNNNNNNNAAUGCAUGCAGAUGGAUUGAAUGGUCUUAAAUUGUAAAUAUUACAGUAUCACAAACGCAUAUCACUCAUACUAUAUAUUUAUUAGUUUUUGUCAAAUUUCAAACUUAAAUGUAACAUAUUAAAAGGCACUAAUUUUUCAGUUCAACUAAAAUUUCUACUGACAUUUAUCUUCAAAUUAAAAAGAUAAUCUAACAUCUAACUUUUAGUAUGUCAUGAUCGUACAAAAAAUACGGAGUUACUAAUCUGUUUUCCUUAUUUACUAUUUAAUAUUGAGCCUUUAGUUCAAUAUCGUGUUUCAGUUUUAUAGAAAAUCUCAGAAAAUUUUUGUUUUUGUUUUAAAAAAAAUCAUAAAUAAAAAAUCAUCAAGUAAUAAUAAUCACAUAAUUAUUGAUAAUAAUAUAUGUGAUACAAAAGAAUUCAAAUGAAACACAGAUACAAUUCUUAUCUCUCUGUAUAAAAUAAAAUCUUAAAUAACAAAGACGAGGGAAUUCUAUGAAAACAACUCAAUACAUAAACUUAACUUAAAUAAAAUUCAUAAUCGCUUGCAGCUUCAAACUGGGUCUCCGAACCUGUGUCACUGAAAGGGUGGAAGAUUUUGGGGUGAAAACAAACCACUAGUUCUCAGUAGGGAAUAGAAAUGCCGUAAAAGUAAUGAAAUAAAAUGCAAAUAACUAACUUUACUCAUUAAAACUAUUUUGGUAAACUUUUGAAGAUACUUUUUAUUUUUACUUUAUUAACUUAUUACCUUCUUUAAAUUUCCGAACUUAAACUAAUCUCAAUCACAAUCUCAAUUCCCAAUCACAGAGAAACAAUAGCAUAAGAAACAGAUCAACACACAAACAAAUUGCAAUAAGAUAAACAAGUCAAGCAGUACAAUCACAGAGAAAAUAUAACAAGCAAAACAAGACCAAAUACAAAUGUGCAAUCAAUAUGAUGCAUGUCUGUCCUAAGCAGGCCAUAAGCUCAUACGUCGGUUGUCUACCCGCAACCUGACAUUAUUCGGAGUGACCCCGAAUAUGGUCCCUUUACUGUGUCAAUUAGACACCUUGGCAUCACGGUUAUCCGUGUCAAUUAGGCCUCAUUAUAAUAACGUUUUAAUGUGUAUCACAGUAAGGAAUAGUGCUAUCAAUUAGGCGAACAUUCCCGCAUUAGCAACCCCAGGCUAUCCGUUAGGCGGGCCCUUUCGCAUUAGUAAUUUGGCACAAGACUCAUUCACAUUUCAUUUUCAUGAAUCAUAAUCUACUUCAGUUUUUUCAUUCAUGACUUUACAUUAUUCCUCCACAUCACCAAUUACAUACUCAUACUUCCGCAUCAUCACCACUUAACUAUACAGACCUCCGCAUCACCUUAUUAUUAUUCACACCUCCGCAUCACCACAUAUUCCUUCGCUUAUCAUACCUCAAAAUAUUAGUUUCUAGACAGCCAAACUUCUUUAAUGAUUAAUAAAAAUUUCUUUCCUUAAUAAAUCGGACUCAAGUUAUUAUUUAAACAAAAAACUUUUCUCAGUAGAAUAAGCUUAAAACAUAACUCUUUUCCUAAUAAAUUGAAAGCCAAAUAGAAUGAGUUUUAAAUCAAAUUCUCUUUUCAUUAACGCUUUAAGCAAAGCCUCGAAUUUUUAUAAAAAUUUUUGCAGCAUUUCCUCUAAAAUUUGGGUUUUGCCACCCUUCAAAGGUCCCAACAAAUCAUUUUCGAUUCUCAAAUAUCAUUCCUAAUAAACCAGACAAUCCAAAUCCAAUGCCAAAUCAUUUUAUAAAUCUUAAGGCUAAUCAGGUACAAUUUCAAAAUCUUUUCUCAAAAUAAGCUUGUAAAUCAGAUUUUUUAUACAAAGUUUGUUUCUUAAUGUAAAUACAUAUUUAAAUCGGGUUUUCAAAACAAAACCACUCUUUCGUAUGCUUUUUACAAAAAAUUCGAACCAAACAUCCUCUUGAAAGUUAGACUUCACCACCCCCUUGGACUCCCUCAUUUCCUCAACAAUUCUCAAUACAGCAUAAUUUUCAAUAAUCAAUUUACUUUAUUUCAGUUUAGUAACUAACAUUUCACUUUAACAUUCAAUACAAUAAUAUCCAAUCAAACUAGCAUCUCAGUUAACAAUAAUUCCCAAAUCAGCUUGCAACAAAGCCCAUUAUUAUCAAAUAAAUCUCAAAUCAACAACCAAAUUGAGAAAUUGACAUGACUAGAAAUUCCAGUAACAAUCACUACGUCAAUCUAAACUCAAUUCAUAAAACUUAAUUCAUAUUUUAGUUUAACAAAUAACACCAAAUUAAGCACCAUCCACAACCAGAAUUCAACCAAUCCUCAUCAACUAGUCAUACUAAAUACUUAUAAAUUAUUUGCAAUUAUUCAAUCAGUCUUUUGGGCAUUCUUAAAUUGAAAACUGUUAACUUUAAAAUAAAACCCCCUACCUCAAUUAGUCGAAACCGCAGAAUUUAAAUGCGACAAACCCUCUUAUUCUAAAUUCACACCAGCAGUGGCUUAAAACCAGCAGUAGCAACAGCAGUAACAUUAUCAAUAAUCAUAGCUAUAGGGGAUGAAAUGAAAUAAAACGAGAAUAGGGUAACAAAUGAAAUAGCAGCAGAGAAAGAAUAAAAACAGAGCAAAUUAGAGGAAGGGAUCUAGACCAUAUCAGAGGUACUUGGACGGCAUCCCAUUUUUUUUAAACGACAACGGUGAUCAUGGCAGCAGCGGUGGCGGCUGAACAGCCCUCUGUCUCUCGGCACAAGCCUCACACAACUCCUUUCCUUGUUCUCAAGGCCCCUCUCUCCUUUCGCACAUGCAACAGAUGAUGGCGGCUAUAGAAACAGCGGCAGCGCUAGAGCAUUCGGUGGUGACGACGGGGUCAUGGCGUGGCGGCAGUGACAGAACACAACAGCAGUGACGGUUCUAACGGCGACUGGUCCCUCAGCGGUGGCAGAACGCGACGGCUCUUCUCCUCCGAUGCGGGCUCUCUCCUUCUUGUGACAACGCCGGCAACGACUUCCCACGGACAGCGACUGGCCGGCGCGAUUCCUUCCUCCAUCGUGGUCCUCUCUCUUGCCUCAGUUCUGAUCCGUGAUGAAGAUGACUUCGCGGACAGCAGCGGCAGUAAGGCGCGGCUUCCCCUCCUCUCCUCUUCUCCCUUCAGUUCUCACUCACAACACACACAACAAAUAAACAAACAAGCACACAGACACAUAAACAUACAUAGAGGGAGAGAAAGAGAUUGUAAGGUCCCAAGGUCUCACAUCGGUUGGGGAGGAGAACGAAGCAUACCUUAUAAGGGUGUGGAUACAUCUCCCUAGCAUGACGCGUUUUGACGAGUGAGUGUGGGGGGUUUCGGCUAUCAUUCCUAUCGUCAAAGGCAAAAUCGUGAGGCCUUGUGUGCCAAAGCGGACAAUAUCGUGCUAGCGGGUGGUCUAGGCUGUUACAGAUGGUAUCAGAACCGAACCCGGAUUGAUGUGCCAGCGAGGGCGCUAGGCUCCCUUGGGGAGGUGGAUUGUAAGGUCCCAAUAAGGUCCCACAUCAAAGGCAAAACCAUGAGGCUUUGUGUGCCAAAGCGGACAAUAUCGUGCUAGUGGGUGGUUUAGGCUGUUACAGAUGGUAUCAUAGCCAGAGCCCGAAUCGAUGUGCCAGCGAGGGCGCUGGGCUCCUUUAGGGAGGUGGAUUGUAAGGUCCCAAUAAGGUCCCACAUCGGUUGGGGAGGAGAACGAAGCAUGCAUGCCUUAUAAAGGUGUGGAUACCUCUCCCUAGCAUGACGCGUUUUGAUGAGUGAGUGUGGGGGCUUCGACUAUCAUUCCUAUCGUCAAAGACAAAAUCGUGAGGCCUUGUGUGCCAAAAUGGACAAUGUCAUACUAGCGAAUGGUCUAGACUGUUACAGAUAACAUAUCACUUUUCCAAAUUUUUUGAAGUGGUGGACCAAGGCAAAUGAAGUUUUUGAGAUACUUUUACACUUCUAUGGUAAACAAAAUUGUCAUAUGAGUCACGCAUUCAAAAAUUUUAAACAGUAAAGACAAAUAUAUAAUAUAUAAAAAUAAUAAAAGUAAAACACAUUUUUUAUUAAUUACGUAAUAUAUAUAGUAUUUUAAAAAAAAUUAUAUAUCANNNNNNNNNNNNNNNNNNNNNNNNNNNNNNNNNNNNNNNNNNNNNNGUAAAUAAUAUAAAAAUAUAGUAUAUUUUUAUUUUAUUAAUGAUUAUUCAUGUUGUUCAAAAAAAUUAUUAAUUACCUAACAUAACCCUAUCCAAUAUUAAUGCAUUAGGCAUGAAAACACGUCCAUGUUCAAUCCCCUCGUUAUGCUAAAAAGCUAUCUUAAAAGGAAGAAUUUUAGAUUAAUUUGAAAUACUAAUGUAAAACACGUUUUUAUAUCUGUAGAUUAAAAAAAGCCUCACGUUUCAAUAAUUUGCAGAUUGUAUAUAUAUAAAUUCGUCGUACACGUGUCUUCAAUUAUUGUACCAUUGCAUAUUUAAUUUGAAUAUUAUAAUGCAAAGGGAGAAAAUAUCUAUAUGACGAGUUGACGACAGAAGUUGAUGUAAUAAUAAACUAUAGUCGUCAAUUAUUGAAAUUAAUAAUCAAAUAUAAUAUUCUGGUGAUGUAGUAUAUAUAAACUUUAAGGAUUUGCAUCUUUUAAAGUUUAAAUUUUACUUUAGAGAGUAAAGUAUGAUCUUCUAUUUUUGAAUAAAUUUUUUUUAUAUAUUUAUUAUUGAUCUCACCUAUAAAAUCAAUAAUGAGAGAUCACACUUUAUUCUCUAAAGUAAAAUUCAAACUUUAGAGAAUCCAAAUCCAAACUUCAAUUAUUGAAGUCCAAUCCUUUCAAUAGAUUUUAAAUUCAAGGAUCACUUUACUUGAAAUGAAAAUAAAUAUCAAUUUGCGACCAAACUCGACUUAUCUCUUCAAAAAUGUAGAUAUAUAUAAUUUUGACAUGUUAGAUAUAAAAUAAAGUUUAAAAUUGAUAUUUAAUUUAAUAUAAUUCUAAUCUAAUUUAAUUUUUUCGUAUUUAUCUUAUUUUAUUUGAAUAAUGUAAUACUACUCAAUUUUCUAUUUAUUCUAUUAAAAAUAUAAGCUCUAAGUAUUUUCCUUAAUUUAAUCCACUCUAAUAUUCAUGAAAAUGAGGAUUUCCUGGAUUGGUGUGACGGUGAUGACACUGGGGUGGCUUAGUAUCAUUUUAUUUUUGGCCGAUUGCAUAGGUUCGUUCUCCCUUGCUUUCUUUGAUGCUUUGAUGAUGUGAAAUAAGAAUAUUCUGUAUAAAAUAAGAUGAUUAGAUAAUAAUAAGAAUGUAACACAUGAAGUGUUUUUGUCAUUUUGUCAAAGUUUUAUUUGUUAAGAUUUCAAGCUAUUCAUGGAAGAUGGUCUAAUAAUUUGGGAUUUUAUUGAUUAAGAUUUUUUUUUUCAAAACUAGUAUUUUUAUUUGUAAUAAAAUUACGAAAAUAUAAAUCUUUUAAAAUUAUGUUGAUUUUGUCUUGACAUUAUAGAUUAUAGAACAAAAAAUUUAUAGAAUUAAAUUACUUUUACAAAAAGGUUACAGGAGACAAAAAUUUCUGUCGACUAAAAAGAUCAUGAUCUCUGUAGAUUAUAAAAAAUCAAAUAAUAUGAUUUUUAGUUAUUAUUUUCAUGUGAAGAGUUUUAUUUUUACUAAUAAUUAAUUUUAACAUUCGUUUCUAAAAUUUAAAAGAAUUUAACGUGUAUACUUUUAUAUUUGAUUACAUAUUUUGGUUAUUAAAUUAAUUAGUAAUAUAUAAUAUAUAAUAUAGUUAUAUUUUAAUUUUAAUAUUUUAAUUUAAUUUGAAUACAAUUAGAGAAUGACAUGUUACAUAUUUUAAUUGUCAAAUUUGUAAUUAGUCAUUAAUAAUGAUAUAUAAGAGAGAUAGAAUUGGUGAAGAAAUGAGAGAAAUAGAAAAAAAGGAGUGGAAAGAAGGGAGAAUUCUUUAAUGUUUCGAAUGAAAGAUUCGAUUUCAACUGGAAUGAGCGAGGGAGUGACAUGUGGUACAUUUUGGUUGUAAAAUUAGUAACAUAUAAUAGAUAGGUAUAAAAUUAACUCAAAAUUAUUUUUUUUAAACAAUUGAAUUUUGAUUCUAACUUUUAAACACAACAUUAGUAUUCUUUUCAAAUUAUAUAUAAUAAAUAUUUGAAGGAAGAGAAGUAAAAAUAUAGAGUAGAAAUAUAAGCAAUAAAAAUUUUAAAAUUAAAUAAAAAAAUAUGCAUAUAAUAAUAAUAACAUUAUUAUUAUUUUUUAUUUGAAUUAUAUUAUGUUGUUAAUUUUUUUUAGAACAUAAAAGUAGAGAAAAGUAGAGAAUGAAAGAAAAGAGAGAGAAAGAUAAAGAAGAAGAAUAAGAGAGGAAAUUUGUUAAUUUUGAAAAGAAAAAUUUUAUUUUACUUGUAAUAAAAAAUAUCUAGUGACACAUUUUAUUUGUCAAAUUACUAAUAUAAAAUAUAAAUUAUAAAUGAUAUAUAGUGUGAAAAAGAUAGAGAUAAAUAAAAAAAAGAGAGGGGUAGAUAAGAAAAUGUAGAAAAGAAGAUUAUUAACUUUGGAGAAAAAUAUUUUCUCUCAAUUUUAAUAAGAGAGUGUCAUGUGACAUAUUUUGAUUGUUAAAUUUGUUAGUAAUAUAUAAUAUAUAAUAUAGUUAUAUUUCAAUUUAAAUUUUAAUAUUUUAAUUUAAUUUAAAUGCAAUUAGAGAAUAUCAGGUUACACAUUUUAAUUGUCAAAUUUAUAAUUAGUCAUUGAUAAUGAUAGACAAAAAGGAUAGAUUGGGUAAAGGAAUGAGAAAAAUAAAAAAAGAGAAUAGGAGGAGGGGAGAAUAUUUUAAUUUUAGAAGAAAAUAUUUGAUUUAAAUUGAAAUGAGAGAAUAAUAUGUAACACAUUUUAGUUAUAAAAUUAGUUCAGUAAAUAACAGUUUAAUUUCAAUUUAAAUUUAUAUAUUGAUUAUUUACGCAUUUAUAUAUUUUUCAUCAAAUAAAACUAUAUUUUACCAAGUAAUAAAACUCAUCCACUUGUCACACAUUUUUAUUGCUUAAUUAUAUUACUUAAAGAAUAUGUAGAAAUAUUGAAAUUGAUGUGGUAAAAUGAAAUUAAAGUUCAGAUGAACAAAGAAAGAAAAGUGUGAUUGUUUAUUCAAUUCACAGAGAAAAGAGUUCAUGUCAAUACAAUACAAUGCAACUCCUUUAUAGUAAGCUAGCAUAACCGAUUCUAGCUCAAGAAAGUUAACUACCUUUCUUUAACUCACUCUUCCUAACAGAAACAGAAUCUGUUUAAUAAUCAAUUCUGUGUCAUUGCUAAUUUGCUAUCCCUUUCAGUCCCCCUCAAAUUCAAGAGUACUUUUAAAGUGACUUUGAGUUUGGAUUUAAAAUUAGAGAAUAUUAAUAGAGAGAAUAGUUUAGUGUAUAUGUUUGCAACUUGGUCUACUCCAAAAAUAUGAACAAUAUUAAAUUUAUGUUGAAUGACUAAGUUUCGAACAAAGCGAAUAUUGAUCUCAAAAUAUUUGUUCGUGGAUAAAGAAUUGGGUUUGCUGAGAGUUGAACCGCACCGGAAUUAUCACAAUAGAUUGUUGGAAUUUCAGAGAGCUUAAAAUGCAAUUCGACUAGAAGAUUUUUGAGCCAUCUGAUCUUAGUAGUUAAUCAGCCAGGGCACGAAAUUCUGCCUCUGCACUAGAGUGGCCGACACAAUGCUGUUUUCUACUUGUCCAAGACACAAUUUUCGAUCCUAAAUAUACGUACGGAAAUAUUUAGUAACCAAAGAAAAUUAGUAAAAAAUAGUCAUAAUUUAUCUUAUUUAGUAUUUAUUAAUUGUUGUAAUAAUUAAUGAAUGUUAAAUAAAGCAAGUUCUGAUUGUGUUAUUUGUCUCCCUAGCAUUAUUGGCACACAUAAUAUCUAGAAGUUAAGCUAUGAUGAUCAAUCAGCAUCUGCAAAGGAGAAAAUUCUUAAGUCCGUGCAUGGAUGAAAGAUAAUUCUUUGAUCCAAUGUCCCAGUUAGAUAUCGAAAAACACGCUUCAUUGAUUUUCAAUGAGCUAGCAGAUGUGUUUGCAUGAAUUAGCUCAGUUUGUUAACUGAGAAAGCGAUUUCAGGUCUUGUUAGAAUGCAAUAUUACAAUGCAACCAUUAUGGAACGGUAAUGAGUUGGAUUUUCAUAUGCUUCAGAUCCAUGAUUAGAAAGCUUCUUUGAUGUGAUCAUUGAUGCUGGAGCAGGUUUGGCUUUACUCAUUUCUGCUCGUACUGAGAGAUCUUUGAUGUAUUCGCUUUGGGAUAGAUGGUAAAUUCCUGAGAAAAACUUUACUGCUUCAAUAUCCAAGUAGUUGAAUAUUCCUAGAAGAAGACAAUGAAUGAUGAACAAAAAGAUAGGAGUAAGAUCGAGUACUCUUAAAACCAAAUUGUGCAAGGAUUGAUGAUAAAGUAAUGUACCAAGCUUGAAGUGCUUGGCAAAGACUGUAUAUAGCUUUAUUUAAUUUGCAUACUUGAUAGUGGUUGUUUAAGAUAAAUAGUUUUGUUUACUUUUUUAUUCAAAAAUGCAUUGUUGAAAUCAUACUAUAUAAAAGUCAAAUACACAAUAGCUAAAGUUAGAAUUAGGUUUGGUUUGGUAAAGUUUUUUGAAACAGACUAUAUACUUGUACUUGCAGUUUUUAAAAGAUUAGAUUAAAAUACUUUUAAAAGCACAUAAGAUAAAAUUUUUUAAAAUUGACUUAUACUUUUCAAAAUUUAAAAGUAUAAUAUAAUCUCAUAUAUCAACUAAUUUUUAAAUUUUAAAACUAUUUUACUAAACGAAAUUGUUAUUACUUAUAUUAUUAAAAAUUAUUUUUAAUUUAAUUUACCAAACAUAAAUACUACAAUUUUUAAAAAAUCAUCAUUUAAAAUUUAACUUUUAUAAAUUACUUUUAAAAAAUAAAAACUUUAUCAAACUAAACUUUACUCUAAUAGAAACUGGUUUAAUCAGUGGACGGAAGACCUCAUAAAAAUCCACUCCUUCAAUUUGAUAAUUAUGUCUAUGGCACCAAUUUUGCUAUAUAUCUAAGAACAAUGUCAUUAGGAUGCCUUUUGACGAAAACAUCCAUUUAGAUCUAAUACUAUUUUAUUGUUAUCCCUUUUUAAAUAUAAUUUUUUUCUAUUAUUUUUCUUUUUUUUAAGAAAAACUAUUAAAAAAGAGUGAUUUUUUCUGCAUUAAUUUAUGAUCGCAAAAUAGUUAANNNNNNNNNNNNNNNNNNNNNNNNNNNNNNNNNNNNNNNNNNNNNNNNNNNNNNNNNNNNUAUAUUAUGUAUUUAUUAAAAUAAAUUAUUUAAUUUUAAAAAUAUUAUGUACACACUAAAAAUUAUGAUGGUUUUCAGUGACUAAGAGAAUGGGUUGAAUCUUAGCCCCUUUUUUCUUGACAAUACUUGCUGGUCUUUGAAACAGCUUCUGGAGACUUUUUGCCUUUUUUGUCUCGUCCCUAGCCACGAGACUUUUUCUUUUGUCUCGUAUCCAGCCAUAAGACUUUUCUUUUUGUCUCGUCGAUCAGCACGAGAUAUUUUCAGUUUUAUCUCCUGAGCAGCAGAAACAGAAAUGGAGUAGAAGAAGGAGAGAAUUACACCAAGAUAUAUCCUGGUUCAGCUGCUAAGUGCAAGGCAACCUACAUCCAGUCUCCAUCACAACAAUGAUGAAAUUUCACUAUAAUCAUUCUUGAUUACAAACACCAAUUUUUCCUACGAACUACCCUUCCUAUUUGGGACAAGUCCAGAAUCUAAUCCCAAACUGAACUUGACUUGGUCACUGCCAAGCUUUCAACUGUAAAGUGCUAACCCAUCUUACAAGGGGAUUCCCACAGAAUCAUGAAACACAACACAUAUGUACAAAGGACCUCUAAGGACAUCUAUGGCUUUUCUUUUAAUUUUGCACUCUUUGCCUUUUUUCGCUCUAUGACUUUUUCUUACAAACCUCACUGUUUGCCUUUUUCCAUGAGACUCAAGACAUGACAAAAUUAAACAGAAAAAUACAAAAUAUAAAACAUUGAAGGAGAAGAACUUCUGUAAGCUUGGGGAGCUAUAGGAACUCUGUGCUCACUCUUUUCCUUAAAUCAAACCUUGACUGUUCACCCUUACUUAUAGGGAGAAGCCUCCAAGGUUGAAACCAAACAAACCAAGCCAAUCUUCUUCUUCUUCAACCAGAACCGGUUCGGCCAGAGAGAGAGAAGAGAUAACCCAUGCAAAACCCAACAUCCAAUUACCUCUAGUCCUUCCUUGGUCACCACUCUUCAUCAAUCCGAGCCCUUCAUCCUUGCCUUGCUCUCCAAGAUGAACUUCUGGCCCUUGAUGCUUCAUGAUGAUGAUAGCUUCAUCUGCUCAAAUCUCUGCCUCUUCUAUCACGUAGCCACUCUAGCUAUCUCCUGUGGUGGCUGAGCAGAAUCAGAGACAAGCCAUCCCUCCAAGGAUCUUCUUCUCUGACCGAGAUCUUCUUCAACCAUUUUUGGUAUGGAGAAGCCAAGAUGUCAUCACAAAAUCUUACCACAAGUGAAUGAGAAUCUUAACCACAGUAUACUUUUAGUUUUCUUUUUCUUGCCAUCAUUGUGAUGGUCUUGUUACUUGCAUCUUCAUCUCUUCGGUGUCUAGCCAUAGCUUCCAUGCUUUCUCUGUAAUGAUAUGACCGAAGGUAGAAGAGAGAGUAGAGAGAGAAAGGAGAAAAAGUAAAGCUAUGAGUAAUGAGUGUUAUUCAUAAAUAAAUUAAUUAAGAUCAACUUCCCAUACUUUUGUGUAGUAGCGUGUAAGCCACAUUAAAACCAUCUGAUCACUUUUCUCUUUCUUUUUCAUAUUUCCAAUGCAAGUCAUUCAAGUUUUAAUUGAAUUUGAAAUCCACCAAAACUUGAGGUGGGAUCCGUUGGAAACUUAGAACUUUACUUUUCUUUCAUUGUAGAUUUCGGACCAAGUCUUGGUUUAGAUAGUAAAGAUUUAAUUGGGCUUGUAGUAACAAUAUUUCAAACUGGCCCAUUUAUAAAAACUCUUUAGCCAACAAUCAUAUAACAAAUUUGCAUAAGGCUGAAUUUUGAUUUUGUUGGGCCUAGGAUCUUUUCUUUUCUUUUCGGCCCAAUUAACCACAAAUUGCUUCAUCCACUCAAUUUAUCAUUUUUUAUACCCAAGGCUAAAUAUAUGAAUUCAUGUUAGGCUGAUCAAUUUAUUUGGCCCAGCAGAAACCUGUAUCAACAAAAUUAUUAAUUAAACAAGUAUGAAUUAAUAUCAAGUUAAUAAUUUUAUAAAUAAUUAUUUUAAUAAUGUUUAGUCAUCACAAAAAUUAAUUUAGAGUUUUCCAAACUCAUCAAUCUCUCCCUUGAUGACAAACAUUAUUAAAAUUGAAAUGGAAAGAAAUCACUCUUCCCGGGUGUGGCUUUCUUCGGUGGAGAUGGUGGUGGUGACGGAAUGGGUGAGGUGUGAGAUUCUUCCUCUUCCUCCACAGGAACUUUCUCUUUCUUCUUCCUUGAAGAGGUUUUCGUGGCUAUGACCUUCCUUCUCAUAGUGUCGGUUUGUUUUGAGGGAGGUGAGGGAGAAGAUGAUGAUGUAGAAUGAAUAUGGAUGUGGGUGUGUGAUUGUGGUGUGGAUGAUUUUUGAGAGAAGAGAAUUCGUUCGCUUUUUCUAGGUGCAGUUUUCUUUUUCAUGAUGAUAAUGGUGAAGUGGAAUAGGAAGGGUUGAUGAAGGCCGAAUUGAGUGUGGGAGUGGGGAGGUUAGAGAUGUAAUAAAUGAGGAGUGGAGAGGAAAUUGGAGGGAAUUUAAUGACCAUUAAGGAGUGGUUAUUACCCAAGGGAGUUUCUCUUUUAUUUGAAAUAAAUUGAAAAGUAGUUUCCUAGAAUCAAGGGAUUAGUUGAGGAAAAGGAUUUGAUUUGACAAUCACCACUUCCAACUAGAUUUUAUGAGAUAACAAAAAGAGAUUGUGAUUUACAUAGAGGAAAACUAACAAAACGGUCAGUGUGGGGUCAAAGAAAUUUGGUGGGCCCAUGAGAAUUGAUUUCGGCGCAGUCUCCCCCUUGAUCACAGCCCUUCCAACACACUCUGAUUUUUAUCUCGUCGUUUCCUACGAGACAAAACUGAGCAGAAUCAAAAUUUCACAAGUUAUCAACGGAAAUUAAAUCAAUCAUUCCCAAAAUUUUUCUCAAAGUGCAGAAUCUGUCUUCACAGAGGGGUUUUGUAAAAAUGUCAGUAAGUUGGCCUUCAGAUUUUACAAAUUGAAUAUCAAUAGUACCCUUUUGCACAUGUUCCCUAAUGAAAUGAUAUUUUAUCUCAAUGUGCUUGGUUCUUAAGUGCAGAACAGGAUUUUUUAAAAUGUUUAUAGCACUCGUAUUAUCACAAAAUAAGGGUAUACUAUUGAUCUUUAAUUUGUAAUCUUUCAACUGCGUUUUUAACCAAAUUAAUUGUGAACAACAUGCAGAUGCAGAAAUAUAUUCAGUUUCAGCUGUGGAUAGAGCCACUGUGGUUUGCUUUUUGCUUGACCACAUGUUGAGUGAGCUUCCAAGGAAGCAACACAUGCCGGAUGUACUCCGUCUAUCCACCCUAUCUCCCACAUAAUAUGCAUCACAAAACCCUACUGCACAAAAGUCAUCAGAUUUAGGAUACCACAAGCCAUAGUCACUAGUUCCCUUAAUGUAUCUAAUGAUGCGCUUAACGGCUGAAAGAUGGGAUUCUUUUGGGUGAGAUUGAAACCUUGAACAUACACCCACACUUUGAACAAUGUCCGGUCUAGAAGAAGUAAGGUACAUGAGUGAACCUAUCAUUUUUCUAUACCUUGUUUCAUCCACAUCUUUGCCAUCAUCAUCAUUUUCAAGUUUUGUGUUAGGAUGCAUUGGUGUUCCCAUUGGUUUGGAACUUUCUAGGCCAAAUUUUUUUAUAAGUUCUUUUGCAUACUUUCCUUGGUGAAUAAAGGUACCACUAGGAGUUUGUUUAAUUUGGAGGCCAAGAAAGAAAGUAAGCUCUCCCAUUAAACUCAUCUCAAACUCACUAGUCAUGAGUUUUCCAAACUCUUCACACAAGGACUCAUUGGCCGAACCAAACACAAUGUCAUCCACAUAAACUUGUACUAGGAGAAUAUCAUCAUUAGAUGCUUUAAUGAAUAAAGUUGUAUCGGUGAUUCCCCUUUGAAAGUGAUUUUCCAAUAGGAGGGCAUUAAGCCUUUCAUACCAAGCUCUUGGAGCUUGCCUAAGGCCAUAAAGGGCCUUUGAUAGUUUGAAAAUAUGAUUUGGAAAAUCUUUAUGUUCAAAAUCGGGGGGUUGUGUCAUAUACACUUCUCUAUCAAUAAAGCCAUUAAGGAAAGCACAUUUAACAUCCAUUUGAAACAUUUUGAAACCCUUAUGGGCAGCAUAGGCAAGAAGCAACCUAAUUGCUUGCAUUCUAGCUACCGGCGCAAAAGACUCAUCAAAAUCUAUACCCUCUUCUUGAUCGUAACCUUGGGCCACUAAUCUAGCCUUGUUACGAACAACUUGUCCAUCCUCACCAAGUUUAUUUUUAAACACCCACUUAGUACCCGUAACUUUCUUACCAUCCGGAUGUGGUACUAGUGUCCAAACCUCAUUCUUGUCAAAUUGAGCAAGCGCUUCUUGCAUGGCUUUGACCCAUGAUGGAUCUUCAAGAGCUUGUCUUACAUUGUUGGGUUCCAUUUGUGACAAGAGAGCAAAGUUGCUUGGUUCGGAUUGUCUUUUGGUUGAGGAUCUUGUUGUAACACCUUGAGAGGGGUCACCAAUGAUAAAGUCAUGAGGAUAGCCUCUCAUAGACUUCCAUUCCCUGGGCUUCUGUAGUGGUGUUGUGCUUUGAUGAGCUUCUGGGGGUCUCACUGUUUCAAAUUCUCGUGCUGGCUCAAGAGACAAAAUGGAAAUGUCUCCUCCAAUCUGACGAGACAAAACUGAACUGGCAGAUUCUUCAUUUUGAGCAGAUUUGGAAUUUUCUUUACUUGUUCUAGCUUCUUCACAAUCUGAAUCAUUAUCUAUCACAGAACUGGGAAUUAAAUUAGAAUCACAAAAAGUAACAUGUAUGGAUUCCUCUAUGGUCCUAUGUUCUUUGAGAUAAAUCCUAUAGGCCUUGCUAGUGGUGGAGUAUCCAACAAAAUUCCUUCAUAUGAUUUUGGAUCAAAUUUGCCAAGGUUUUCUUUAUUGUUAAGUAAAAAGCAUUUGCAUCCAAAAAUAUGAAAAUACUUAAGAUUUGGGGGGGUUCCUUUCCAUAGCUCAUAGGGAGUUUUCUUUAACCCUUUUCUAAUAAUUGUCCUAUUCAAAAUAUAACAAGCUGUAUUUACAGCUUCUGUCCAUAAAAAUUUUGGAAUCUCAUUCUCACAAAGCAUGGCCCUAGUCAUUUCUUGAAAGCUUCUAUUCCUUCUCUUAACCACCCCAUUUUGUUGAGGGGUUCUAGGGCAUGAAAAGUUAUGAGCAAUUCCAAAGUUAUCACAGAAUUUUUCAAAGUCUUGGUUUUCAAAUUCUCUUCUGUGAUCACUUCUUAAAUGAGCAAUUUUUAAAUCCUUUUCAUUUUGAAUUUUCUUGCAAAGGAUUGAGAAAGCAUGAAAAGCAUCAUUUUUAUGAGCAAGAAAAAGUACCCAACCAAAUCUAGAGUAAUCAUCUACCACCACAAGACCAUAGUAUUUACCUCCUAAACUUUGAGUUCAUGUUGGACCAAAAAGAUCAAUGUGUAACAUCUCUAAUGGCCUUUUGGUUGAGAUUCCAUCUUUUGGUUUAAAAGAGGAUUUUACUUGUUUGCCCAAUUGGCAAGCAUUGCAAGUAAAAUCCUUAUCAAAUUUGAUAUUAGGAAUUCCUCUAACCAAAUUUUUCUUGACUAGCUUAGAAAUUUGGUACAUGCUAGCAUGACCCAACUUUCUAUGCCAUAGCCAUUUUUCAGAUUCAAGAAAGGUAAAACAUGUUAUAUUUUGUUCUUUCAAGUUCUCAAGAGUCAAUCCAUACACAUUAUUGCACCUUUUAGCUUCAAAUAAAAUAUCCCUAGAUUUUUCACACACAACCAAACACAUAAAUUUUCUAAAAGUAACUUCAAAACCUAGAUCACACAAUUGGCUAACACUAAGUAAAUUAUGUUUCAAACCAUUUACAAGAAGAAUAUCAUUUAUACAAGAUGAAAAGCUUUUACCAACUUUUCCAACAGCCACUAUCUUUCCUUUAGCAUCAUCACCAAAAGUGACAAAUCCUCCAUCAUAUUCAUCAAGCUUUAUGAAGAAGUUUGUCUUUCCGGUCAUAUGCCUAGAGCAUCCGCUGUCCAUAUACCACAUAUUUUCCUUCCGUUUGGAUGCUAGACAUACCUGUUCAACAUGGUCAGCCAUAAGACAUGGUUGAGGCAUAGUUUCGGUUUCUUCAUCAUCUUCUGCAUCAUUUUUCAGAUCUUCCCAUGAUGCCAUCAGUCCCUUUUUCUUUCCUUUCUUCGGCUUUUCUUCCUUCUUCAACUCAGGGCAGUCAGACUUGAAAUGGCUUAUUUCCUUACAGUUGUAGCAUGUCACCUUGCUGAGAUCUUUCUUCUAUUUUCUUGAGCUGCCUCAUUUGCCUCUCUCCUUGAGCUUUACCAUUUUCCUGAAUUUUUUGGUAAACAACACAAAUUCAUUUUCAGAAUCACUGGAUUCAUCAUCCAGGGGGUUAGUCACAGAUGUAAAAGCAAUCCCUUUCUUUUUUGAAUCCUUUUUUAAAUAAGUGUUUUCAAAAGCAAGAAGAUUUCCUCUCAAGUCAUCAUAUGUCAUGGAAUCAAGACCACUACUCUCAGAAAUUAUUAAUGCUUUUGUUUCCCACUCUUUUGUGAGACAUCUUAACACUCUUCUCACUAGCACAGAUUCAGGAUACUUGAUUCCCAUAGCAUCCAAGCCGACAAUGAUGAUGUUGAAGCGCUCAAACAGUUCAUCAAUAGAUUUUCCUUCCUUCAUUGCAAACUUUCAUACUCUCUGUUCAACAUGUCUAUCCUGGUCUUCUUUACAAUGGUGGUACCUUCAUGAGUCACUAGAAGUUUGUCCCAGAUUUCCUUUGCUGUUGUGCAUCGUGAUACCCGUCGAUACUCCUCGAAGCUGAUAGCACAGUUGAGCAAGUUGAUAGCCUUGGCAUUGAGCUCCACCUUCUUUCUAUCUUCUUCGGUCCAGCUUGCUUCUGGUUUAGGAGUGACAACUCCUUCAGCACUUGUGAUGGUUCGAUAUUGAGGACUUUCCAGGAUAAUCUUCCAAAGUCUGUAAUCCACUGCUUGCACAAAGAUCUUCAUUCUCUCCUUCCAAUAGGUUUAGUUUUUCCCAUUGAAAAGAGGAGGUCUAUUGCUUGAUUGUCCUUCGGUCAGGUUGUAGGACACCAUAUUUGAGCCAUUAUUUUCUGCCAUCUGGAUCUUUUCUCCAAGCUGCAAAGCUUGAUCUCUUUGAGAUCAAGCUCUGAUACCAAUUGAUGGUUUUUAGUGGCUAAGAGAAGGGGGUUGAAUCUUAGCCCCUUUUUUUCUUGACAAUACUUGCUGGUCUUUGAAACAGCUUCUGGAGACUUUUUGCCUUUUUUGUCUCAUCCUUAGCCACGAGACUUUUUCUUUUGUCUCGUACCCAGCUACGAGACUUUUCUUUUUGUCUCGUCGAUCAGCACAAGAUAUUUUCAGUUUUAUCUCCUAGGCAGCAGAAACAGAAAUGGAGUAGAAGAAGGAGAGAAUUACACCAAGAUAUAUCCUGGUUCAGCUGCUAAGUGCAAGGCAGCCUAUAUCCAGUCUCCAUCACAACAAUGAUGGAAUUUCACUAUAAUCAUUCUUGAUUACAAACACCAAUUUUCCCUAGGAACUACCCUUCUUAUCUGGGACAAGUCCAGAAUCUAAUCCCAAACUAAACUUGACUUGGUCACUGCCAAGCUUUCAACUGUAAAGUGCUAACCCAACUUACAAGGAGAUUUCCACAGAAUCAUGAAACACAACACAGAUCUACAAAGGACCUCUAAGGACAUCUAUGACUUUUCUUUUAAUUUUGUACUCUCUGCCUUUUUCUGCUCUAUGGCUUUUUCUUACAAACCUCACUGUUUGCCUUUUUUCAUGAGACUCAAGACAUGACAAAAUUAAACAGAAAAAUAUAAAACAUAAAAUAUUGAAGGAGAAGAACUUCUGUAAGCUUGGGGAGCUAUAGGAACUCUGUGCUCACUCUUUUUCUUAAAUCAAACCCUGACUGUUCACCCUUACUUAUAGGGAGAAGCCUCCAAGGUUGAAACCAAACAAACCAAGCCAAUCUUCUUCUUCUUCAACCAGAAUCGGUUCGGCCAGAGAGAGAGAAGAGAUAACCCAUACAAAACCCAACAUGCAAUUACCUCUAGUCCUUCUUUGGUCACCACUCUUCAUCAAUCCGAGCCCUUCAUCCUUACCUUGCUCUCCAAGAUGAACUUCUGGCCCUUGAUGCUUCAUGAUGAUGAUAGCUUCAUCUGCUCUAAUCUCUGCCUCUUCCAUCAUGUAGCCACUCUAGCUACCUCCUGUGGUGGCUGAGCAGAAUCAGAGACAAGCCAUCCCUCCAAGGAUCUUCUUCUCUGACCGAGAUCUUCUUCAACCAUUUUUAGUAUGGAGAAGUCAAGAUCUCAUCACAAAAUCUUACCACAAGUGAAUGAGAAUCUUAGCCACAGCAUACUUUUAGUUUUCUUUUUCUUGCCAUCAUUGUGAUGGUCUUGUUACUUGCAUCUUCAUCUCUUCGGUGUCUAGCCAUAGCCUCCAUGCUUUCUCUGUAAUGAUAUGACCGAAGGUAGAGGAGAGAGUAGAGAGAGAAAGGAGAAAAAGCAAAGCUAUGAGUAAUGAGUGUUAUUCAUAAAUAAAUUAAUUAAGAUCAACUCCCCAUGCUUUUGUGUAGUAGCGUGUAAGCCACAUUAAAACUAUCAGAUCACUUUUCUCUUUCUCUUUCAUAUUUCCAAUGCAAGUCAUUUCAAGUUUUAAUUGAAUUUGAAAUCCACCAAAACUUGAGGUGGGAUCCGUUGGAAACUUAGAACUUUGCUUUUCUUUCAUUGUAGAUUUCGGACCAAGUUUUGGUUUAGGUAGCAAAGAUUUAAUUGGGCUUGUAGCAACAAUAUUUCAAAUUGGCCCAUUUAUAAAAACUCUUCAGCCAACAAUCAUAUAACAAAUUUGCAUAAGGCUGAAUUUUGAUUUUGUUGGGCCUAGGAUCUUUUCUUUUCUUUUCGGCCCAAUUAACUACAAAUUGCUUCAGCCCCUCAAUUUAUCAUUUUUUUAUACCCAAGGCUGAAUAUAUGAAUUCAUGUUGGGCUGAUCAAUUUAUUUGGCCCAGCAGAAACCUGUAUCAACAAAAUUAUUAAUUAAACAAGUAUGAAUUAAUAUCAAGUUAAUAAUUUUGUAAAUAAUUAUGUUAAUAAUGUUUAGUCAUCACAAAAAUUAAUUUAGAGUUUUCCAAACUCAUCAAAUUAACUUAAUUUAAUAUAUAUAAAAAUAUUUUUAUAUAUUAUUAACUAAAUUAUUANNNNNNNNNNNNNNNNNNNNNNNNNAAACAAAAAAAAUUUAUUAAUCACAAUUUAUUUUUUCUUUUUAUAAUUAUAUGAUAUCUAUUAAUAUUAUUUUUAAAAUAAAUACUUAUAGUAUAUAAUAAUAGGUAAAGACUCAUAUAACUAUCUUUAUAUGAAGUUAAUAGUUGAAAAAUUUUAGAUGAUAUUUAGUCAAACUUGUUAAAUCAUCUAACGGUUCUUAAAUAUUAACUUCACAUGAAAAUAACUGUAUGUGAGUUUUCACCUAUAAUAAUAUAAUAAUACAAUAAAUAUAAACUAAUUAAUAAAGUAUUAAAAUUUAAAAAUGAUAAUUAUUUUUAGAAAACGUUUAGGGGCCAGCAACUUUUUCAAAUUCUGGCCAGCAUAUAACCAGCAAAGAAAAGUGAGCCAUUGGAUAAAAUCUCACACAAUUAAAAUCAUCAUUAAUAGCUAUUUGAUGAUUAUAAAUCAUAAAAAUUAAUGGCUUCUAACACUCUUAUUUUUAUAAAAACAAAAUAAAAAUACUUAUAAUAAAAAAAAUUAAAUUUUAUAUAAUUAUUUUAAUUUUAGCAACCACUCCCCUGUGCCAACAUAGAACUUCCCCUAAAAUAAUUGUUAAUUUUAUCGUAUACCUCUCAUAUGAAAAGGAUAUAAUCUUUUUUAUAUAUAUAAUAUUUAGAUUAAGAUCAGUUUGAUUUUGAUGCCAUUUUCUCCCUCUGGUGGGUGUAUAAAUACAUGAACUUCCCCCACUGGCAAUCAUCAAAACCAUUCGAAGCCACUAGUACUUAAUAUUGAAAAUCCUCACUCAAAUAACUCUCCCUCCCACCAUGAAACCAUUUUAUGCUCUUCUUACUUUCUUCCUCUUGCUUGUAGUAGCAAGUAAGAAGGUGAACUCAGCAUCCGAAACUGAAACAGUUUCCUUCAACUUCAACUCUUUCGCCCAAGGUAACCCCGCAAUAAAUCUCCAAGGCGACGCCACCGUUCUUUCCGACGGCAAUGUACAACUCACCAACGUCAAAAGUUCCUAUAGCGCCGGGCGUGUCCUGUAUGGCACGCCCGUGCGCCUUUGGGACAAAGCCACCGGCAAUGUUGCCAGCUUCGUCACCUCGUUCUCUUUCCAGCUGACGGAUCUGCAAGGUUAUAAUGCGGCCGACGGUAUUAUUUUCUUCGUUGCACCGGAAGAUACGCAGAUUCCGUCCGGCGGAGUUGGCGGCACCUUAGGGGUUGCAAGCUCUAACGGCGUCGGUCAAUUUGUUGGUGUAGAAUUUGAUUCCUACUCCAACUCUGAGUUCAAGGAUCCACCCUAUCAACACGUUGGAAUCGAUGUAAACACUCUGGUUUCGUCCAAGACUGUGGAAUGGAAAAGAGUGAGUGGGUCGGUGGUGAAAGUGACUGUGAUCUAUGACUCUCCAUCAAAGACAUUGAGUGUUGCUGUGAUCAAUGAGAGUGGCGAUAUUAAUACCAUCGCUGAUGUUGUUGAUUUGAAGGCGAAGCUUCCGGAAAAGGUCAAGUUCGGGUUUUCAUCUGCUUCGUCGGUUGGCGGUCGUCAGAUUCAUCUCAUCCGUUCAUGGUCUUUCAUUUCAACCUUGAAGACAACAACAAGCAUCAGCAGCAAUGGAACAAUAAUGGAUAUUGCAACCGCAUGAUUUGGUCUACGCUAACUAGUACUACUUUAAAAUAAAGAAACAGACCAUAUGUGUGUAUCAGUAUCGACUGUGUCUGUGCGUGUACGGUUCCAUAUAUAUUUUCACUAAUCAACUUGUGGUUGGACCGUUGAUUAUUUAAAUAACAACUUUGUGAGAGAACUUGGUGCAUUUAAUUGUAGCUAAUUAGUAAUUUUUUUUAUUUUUUUAAAAGAACAUGAAUUUAAACUAUUAUAAAAAAUACUUAAAAUUAAAUAAAAAUCUAAAAUUUAAAAAAUAUUUGCUCGGUUAACUUACAUUUUAACUUAUCAAGAAACCAACCCAGGUCAACUUGCUUGGUUAAGUAAGUGUUGUAGAUUUCAAUUUUGCUUUGUGCAUGCAGCAAACUUUAAAUAGAGUUUCGAGCCACGAAUUAAUUUUUGACCUAUUGAACUGUGGGAUACCAUGGACAACAAAAAAAACUUAUCAAGCGAAGCGACACUUUUCUAAUUUACCAUAUGUACAUAUCAGUCACAUUUUGGACACGUACAAAUUUGAAUAAAAUUGAUUUUUUUAUUAUAAUAACAAUAAAUUCAAUUUUUUUUUUAGAAAUUUAAUUAUAUUUUUAAAUUUUUAGGAAUUUAAAUAUCCACAAAACAAAAAGUUAGGGAUAUAUUUAUCUUUUUAUCAAAAAAUUUAAAAAUAUUCUAUUUAGAUUGUAUAAUUCGAUCCGAUCAAAUUGGUUCUAAUAAUUAUAAUGCAAACCAUUGAAUUUAUUAUUGUUACUAUAAUAAAUCGAUUUUGUUCUAAUUUAUUAAAAAAUAAAUUAUUAACCAAUUUAAUAAAGAUAUCUAAUAAUAAAAUAACACAUAUAAAUGUCUUUAAAAAAAAUAUUUUAAAUGUGUUUAUUAAAGUGGUCUCCAUCUAUUAAUGCUUGUGCAUCAUAAAUUCUAACUAAUUUUUUAUUUGUAUAGUUCUUAAUUUUUUAUUAGUCAUGACUCAUGAGGACUAAUCUUUUAAAUAGGACCCAGCCAUAUGCCGAAGUUUUGAAUGUUAAGACCUAGUUACUAUAAAUAAAUGUUAAAAACUUAAAAUACAUAUUCUAAGCGACUACCUCUGAUAAGUAGGAUAAAAUCUAAAAAAAUAUGCAUACAUAAUUAUUGAAGAAUAUUAGAUCAUAAAAUUUAUUAAUUUUUGGUUAUUAGUUAAUCGUUAAUAUUUAAAAGUAUGGGAUAAAAUAUAUUUUUUUGUUGUUUACGAUAUUUUUCAAUCUGAACUGAUCAUUCGACCAGUCCAAGUUAGUUAUGGGAUAAAGUAUUUUUUUAUCAAAGAUAGGAGACUCGAACCCGCAACCUCUUAAUUGAGUAUAGAAAGACUAUGUCAUUUGAGCUAUGAUGAUUUCAGUGGCUAAGAGAAUGGGGAGUUGAAUCUUAGCCCCCUUUUUUUUGGUUGCUAAUACUUGCUGAACUCAGAGGAGACUUUUCUGUUUUAGCUCGUCUCUGGACACGAGACUUUUUCUUUUGUCUCGUCCCUAGCCACGAGACUUUUCGUUUUGUCUCGUCACUUAGCACGAGACAUUUUUAGUUUUUGCUCCUGUGCAGUAGAAAACAGAAAUGGAGUAGGAGAGAAGAAAGAUUACACCCAGAUAUAUCCUGGUUCAGCUGCUAAGUGCAGUGCAGCCUACAUCCAGUCUCCAUCACAACAAUGAUGGAAUUUCACUAUAAUCAACUUGAUUACAAACUGUAAAGUGCUAACCCAACUUACAAGGGGAUUCCCACAGAAUCAUGAAACACAACAUAGAUGAACAAAGGAACUCUAAAACAUCUAAGGCUUUUUCUUUUAAUUUUGCACUCUCUGCCUUUUUUCGCUCUAUGGCUUUUUCAUACAAACCUCACUGUUUGCCUUUUUCCAUGAGACUCAAGACAUGACAAAAUUAAACAGAAAAAUACUAAACAGAAUACAUUGAAGGAGAAGAAAAUCUGUAAGCUUAGGUAGCUCUGAGAAUCCUGUGCCUUGCACUCUCACUGCUUACUUCUAACUCCUUGCUCCAAACAGUGGCUGUUCUCUCUUUUUAAAGAAGAGGGAAGCCUCCACACUUGAAGCCAACACCCAAACCAACUUCUUUCUCCUUCAACAAACAGAACCGGUUCGGCCACAUAGAGAGAGAAGAGAUAAUCAUGCAAAACCCAACAUACAAUUACCUCUAGUCCUUUCUUGAUCAUCACCCUUCAUCAAUCCGAACUCUCCAUCCUUGACUUGCUCUCCAAGAUGAAUUUCUGGCCCUUGAUGCUUCAUGAUGAUAAUGACUUCAUCUGCUUCAAUCUCUGCCUCAACCAUCACUUCGCCACUCUAGCUACUUCCUGUGGUGGUUGAGCAGAAUCAAAGACAAGCCAUGCUUCAAGAAUCUCCCUUGCUGGCCGAAUCUUCAUCGUCCAUUUUUGAGCAUGAAGAGCUCAAGAUUACUUCACCAAAUCUAACCAUAUUUGGUGAAAAUCUUAGCUACAGCUCAUUUUUAUUUUAGUAUGUUUUCUUGCCAUCAUUAGCUUGAUGGUCUUGAUGCAUGCAGCUUCAUUUCGGUAGCUCCAUAUAGCUUCCAUGGCUUCCUUUAUUUUCUAGAUAUUGACCGAAAAGAAGAAAGAGAUGAGAGAGAAUAAACAACUUAAAAUAAAAGCAAUUCAAAUGUAAUAAACCAAUUAGUUGGUGAAAGUUGCUUUUACUUCCCUAGCUUAGAGUGGCGUGCAGCACUAUGGCCAUCAAUCAAUUCAGCUGCAACUUUCUCUCUCAUAGUUCCCAUGCAUUAAAUGACAAUGUAAUGAAUUUUGGAAUCCAUCACAUGGUGAAGUGCUUGGAUCCGUUGAAAGCAAUUUUUGCUUUCUUUAUCAUGGAUUUCGGAUCAUGCAUGAGGAACUUCUCAUUAAAUGUGAAAUUGGGCUUAGUUGCAACAACAUUUAAUUUCUGGCCCAAUAAUAACAUUUGCUUUCCUGAUGAAAUUUGGAUCAAGCAUUGAACAUAUAGGAAAGCUUUGCUUAUAGUAACAAAAUUUAUUCUGGCCCAACUGAUAAAACCUUUUCAGCCAACAAUCACAAAACAAGAAUUACAUAGGGCUGAAUUUUAAUUUAUUGGGCUUGGGAUCUUUCUUUUUAUUUCGGCCCAAUUAUAAAACCUGCAACACAAAAUUAUUAAUUAAUAUAUGUUAGAUGAGAAAUCAAAAUUAAUAAUUUUGUUUAAUAAUGUUUAGUCAUCACAAAUAUUAAUUUGGAGUUUUCCAAACUCAUCAAUCUCCCCCUUGAUGACAAACAUUUAAAAUUGAAAUGGGAAUUUUUUUUUUUUUUAAAAAUUGAGUAAAGAAUACUCCCUUUGAAGAUUGAAUUUCUCCCCCUUUCUAAAUGUCACAUGGCUCCCCCUUGAUGUAUGCUUAUUUUACUAAGGGAAGCACUAACCUGUAACAUUUUAAUCAAGCUUCAAGAACAAUGUUAUUUAGCAUAUUAUAUGAUGCUAAAUGCUUGAUUUAUGAGCAAUUUUAAAUUGAUAAUCAAAACUCAUUUGAUAUCAUAAACUGAUUUACUGCUCAAACUUUUUACACACACCAAUCAACAAGAAAGUUUAUUCAAAUAUUUUUCUAAACAAGAUAUCAGAGCAUUAUUAUGGUAAGAAAAAUAUUUGAAGCACAUAUGGUCAAAAACAUGGCAGUUUUUUUAUGCUUUCCAUGGUUUAAAGGAACUGUCAAAAAAAUUAAGCAUAUUAACCAAGAUGAAAACAGAGUUUUAAUCAUGCGUAUACAUUCAUCACGGUUAAUUAUCAACCAUUCUUCAUAAAACAAAUGCAUUGUCAACUCAUUAUUAAACAAUAUCAGCAAACACAAUGCAGUUUCAAUAUUAUCAUCAAGCAAAUCAGCAAACACAAUGCAGUUUCAAUAUUAUCAUCAAGCACCAAAUAUAACAAGGGUGAUCAUAAAUUUUCAACAAAAAAUUUCAUCCCCUGUUUUCUAUUUUCUCCUCCCCUGUUUUUCAUAUUUCAAUUUUCAGCUUUUCUCCCCUGUUUUCUAUUUUCUCCUCCCCUAUUUUUCAUAUUUCAAUUUUCAGCUUUUCUCCCCCUUUUGUCAUCAAAGGGGCAUUAUGUACUCGGUUGUGUGAGCCGCUUUGGGGAGUUAAAAUAUGGGUGAUGAUUCGGUGAAGCAGAGAAUUGACUGGUCCUAGAGCUUUGUGGGUUGGAAUCGUUCCAUGCAAGCCAGAAAGAUUCUCGCAGAUGUGCUGAAGAACUGCUUUGUAUGAAACACCGACUUGUAUAUCCCAUUUGUCUACCAUAUACGCUCGCGGUCCUUCAUCCUUGAAGCCCAGGGUCGCUCCAAUGGUCUCAGAAUCAAGGGCUAUUUGAACCCUUUUGACAUAGGAAUGAAGAGUGCUGUCAAUGAGCCGCAUAUUGGCGUAGAACUCUCGGACUAGGCCAGGAUAGACUGGUUUCUGAAUGAGAAGAAGGGGCUUCCAGUUUAGGAGUUCAAACAGAGAGGAGAUGUUGAUGCCCUUGUUAGUGAGAGUGUCGAGAUUCACAAGGUAGGUUGUACAUAGAUGACGUUUUUCCAUAACCUCAUUGUGAAACUCAAAGGAAGUACAAGAGUUGAAUCUGCUAGGAUCAAAGUGGGAGUGAGUCUUGCCAUACUUGUUUCUGAAUUCCAGGGAUUCCAAAUUUGGAGGUUCGGUUGUGUCGUGAAGAGCAAAACCCUUAGUCUUUUGAGUACUCUUUCCGGAUGCAUGAGGAGUUGAUCUCUUUGGUGGUGAUUGUGGAGGGGAAGGGAUAGGAGAAGUAUGAGACUCUUCUUCUUCUGCCACGGGAACACUUUUCUUCUUCCUUGAGAAAGUUUUUGUGGCAAUGACCUUUCUUCUCAUUGCGUCUGUGCGUUUUGAAGGAGGUGAGGGUGAUGAAGAUGAUGUAGAAUGGAUGUGAAUGUGUGUGUGAGAUUGUGGAGUAGACUGUUUUUCAGAGAAUAGGAGCCUUUCACUUUUUCUUGGCGCGGUUUUCUUUUUCAUGGUGAUGGGAGAAAACCGAAUAUGAAAGGUUGGUGAGGUAACUGAAUGAGUGGGGAAGAAGGAAGGUGAGAGACACAUUAAAUGAGGAUUGGAGAGAGAAUUUGGUGGAAGUAAUGACCAUUAGUGAGCGGUUAAUGACCAUUAUGGAGAGGUUAUUACUCAAAAAUGAUUUUUCUUUUAAUUUUUGAAAUCUAAAACUGAAAAGUUGUUGCCUUAAAUCAAGGGAUUAGAUGGAGAGAGGGAUUUGAUUUGACAAUAACCACUUCCAAUAGGAUAUGAUGACAUAAGGAAGAAGAUUCUUAUUUGCAUAGAGAGAUAACUAACAAAAUUGUUAAGGUGGGGUCAAGAAAUUUUGGUGGGGCCCAUAAAAUUUUGAACUCUGCGUUGCCUCCCCCUUGACCACAGCUCCUUUAUGUAUUUUAUCUCGUCCAAACCUACGAGACAAAACUGGACAGUGUUAAAAAAUUCAAGAAUUUUCAAUGAAACUUAAAUCAAACAUUCCCAAACUUUUUUCUUAAGCUACAGAAUCUGUCUUCAUAGAGGAGUUUUGUAAAAAUAUCAGCAAUUUGGUCUUCAGAUUUUACAAAUUGAAUAUCAAUAGUUCCCUUUUGUACAUGUUCCCUAAUAAAGUGAUAUUUUAUCUCAAUGUGCUUUGUUCUUGAGUGCAAAACAGGAUUUUUUGAAAUGUUUAUAGCACUCAUAUUAUCACAAAAUAAGGAUAUACUAUUGAUUUUUAAUUUGUAAUCUUCUAAUUGUGUUUUUAACCAAAUUAAUUGAGUGCAACAUGCAGAUGCGAAAAUGUAUUCUACUUUAGCAGUGGAUAAAGCCACUGUGGCUUGUUUCUUGCUUGACCACAUGUUGAGUGAGCUUCCAAGGAAGCAACACAUGCCGGACGUGCUUCUUCUAUCCACUCUAUCUCCCGCAUAAUCUGCAUCACAAAAUCCUACUGCACAAAAGUCAUCAGAUUUAGGAUACCAUAAUCCAUAAUCACAAGUUCCCUUAAUAUAUCUAAUGAUGCGCUUAACAGCCGUGAGAUGGGAUUCUUUUGGGUGAGAUUGGAACCUUGAACAUACACCCACACUUUGGACAAUGUCCGGUCUAGAGGAGGUAAGGUACAUGAGUGAACCUAUCAUUCCCCUAUACCUUGUUUCAUCCACAUUUUGACCAUCAUCAUCCUUUUCAAGUUUUGUGUUGGGAUGCAUUGGUGUACCCAUUGCUUUGGAAUUUUCUAGGCCAAACUUUUUAGUAAGUUCUUUUGCAUAUUUUCCUUAGUAAAUAAAAGUAUCACUAGGAGUUUGUUUAAUUUGGAGGCCAAGAAAGAAAGUAAGCUCUCCCAUUAAACUCAUUUCAAACUCACUAGUCAUGAGUUUUCUAAACUCUUCACACAAGGAAAUGUUGGCCGAUCCAUAUACAAUAUCAUCAACAUAAACUUGAACAAGGAGUAUGUCAUCAUUAGAUGCUUUAAUAAAUAAAGUAGUGUCGGUGGUACCCCUUUGAAAUUGAUUUUCCAACAAGAAGGCACUAAGCCUUUCAUACCAAGCUCUUGGAGCCUGUCUAAGACCAUAAAGAGCUUUAGUUAAUUUGAAAACAUGAUUUGGAAACUCUUUUUGUUCGAAACCGGGGGGUUGUGUCACAUACACUUCUCUAUCAAUAAAGCCAUUAAGGAAAGCACACUUAACAUCCAUUUGAAACAUUUUGAAACCUUUAUGGGCGGCAUAGGCAAGAAGCAAUCUAAUUGCUUCCAUUCUAGCUACCGGAGCAAAAGACUCAUCAAAAUCUAUACCUUCUUCUUGAUCAUAACCUUGGGCCACUAAUCUAGCCUUGUUACGAACAACUUGUCCAUCCUCACUAAGUUUAUUUUUAAAUACCCACUUAGUACCCGUUACCUUCUUACCAUCCGGAUGAGGUACUAAUGUCCAAACCUCAUUCUUGUCAAAUUGAGCAAGUUCCUCUUGCAUGGCCUUGACCCAUGAUGGAUCUUCAAGAGCUUGUUUAACAUUGUUGGGCUCCAUUUGUGAUAAGAGAGCGAAGUUGCUAGGUUCAGUUUGCCUUUUGGUGGAGGAUCUUGUUGUUACACCAUGAGAGGGAUCACCAAUGAUGAAGUCAUGAGGAUAUCCCCUCAUAGACUUCCAUUCUCUAGGCUUUCGGACAGGUGUAGAGCUUUGAUGAGCUUCUGGUGGUUUCACUGUUUCAGUUGCUCGUGUCUGCUCAGGAGACAAAAUGGAAAUUUCUCCUCUAAUCUGACGAGACAAAACUGGACUGACAGAUUCUUCAUUUUGAACAGAUUUGGAAUUUUCUUUGCUUGUUCCAGCUUCUUCACAAUCUGAAUCAUUAUCUAUCACAGUACUGAGAAUUAAGUUAGAAUCACAAAAAGUAACAUGUAUGGAUUCCUCUAUUGUCCUAUGCUCCUUGAGAUAAACUCUAUAGGCCUUGCUUGUGGUGGAAUAUCCAACAAACAUUCCUUCAUAGGAUUUUGGAUCAACCUUUCCAAGGUUUUCUUUAUUAUUAAGCACAAAACAUUUGCAUCCAAAAACAUGAAAAUACUUAAGAUUUGGAGGGGUUCCUUUCCAUAGCUCAUAAGGGGUUUUCUUUAAUCCUUUUCUAAUGAUUGUUCUAUUCAAAAUAUAACAUGCUGUGUUCACAGCUUCAGCCCACAAAAAUUUAGGAAUUUCAUUCUCACAUAGCAUAGCCCUAGUUAUCUCUUGAAGGCUUCUAUUCCUUCUUUCAACCACCCCAUUUUGUUGGGGGUUCUAGGGCAUGAAAAGUUAUGAANNNNNNNNNNNNNNNNNNNNNNNNNNNNNNNNNNNNNNNNNNNNNNNNNNNNNNNNNNNNNNNNNNNNNNNNACAAGUAAGAUCCUUAUCAAACUUGAUGUUUGGAAUUCCUCUAACCAAAUUUCUUUUGACUAGCUUAGAAAUUUGAUACAUACUAGCAUGUCCCAACUUUCUAUGCCAAAGCCAUUUUUCAGAUUCAAAAGAUGUAAAGCAUGUUACAUUUUGUUCCUUUAAAUCCUCAAGAGUUAAUCCAUACACAUUGUUGCAUCUUUUAGCUUCAAGAAGAACAUUCCCAGUUUUCUUACAAACAACUAAACAAACAAACUUCUUAAAAAUAACUUCAAAACCUAAAUCACAUAGUUGACUAACACUAAGUAAAUUAUGUUUCAAGCCAUGUACAAGGAGAACAUCAUUUAUACAAGUUGAGAAAUUUUUACCCACUUUCCCAACAGUCACAAUUUUUUCUUUUGCAUCAUCACCGAAAGUGACAAGCCCUCCAUCAUAUUCAUCAAGCUUUAUGAAGAAGGUUGUCUUUCCGGUCAUAUGCCUAGAGCAUCCGCUGUCCAUAUACCACAUAUUUUCUUUUCUUUUGGAUGCUAGGCAUACCUACAAAAACAAGCUUAAGUAACCUUAGGUAUCCAAAUCCUUUUGGAUCCUUUUACGUUAAACUAUCUUCUAUGUCAUAAGCCAUUGUAAUAAAAAACAAUUUUAUAAACCUUAUCACCGACCAUUCUUUCACCAAAAAAGCAUUGAAUGGGAAAGUGUCCAUUCCUAUUGCAUAGUCUACAAAAUCUUGGAGUUGCUGUUUUGUUAAAGUAGGUGGGAUCUUGAAAUCUUGUAUUAUUAGAAGAUGAAGUAAUAUUUUCGAAAUGUGAUUUUUCAGAUUUAUAGAACCCCAACCCAGCCUUAUCAUAAAGAGAUUUUUGACUAGCCAAGAUGUGAUUCAGAUUUUCGGAACUUUGGGUGAACUUGGCUAAGUCUUCCUUAAGUCUUUUAACCUCUUUAAGCAACUCUUUAUUUUGCUUAAAACAAUCUACAUAUGCAAGAACAUAAUGGUUAUUUUCACAGCUUCUAACUUGGGCUCUUAACUGCUUAUUUUCUUCAACAAGAUCACAAGCAGUUUCGGCCUCUCUUACUUUUUCUUUUAGAAAACUGUUUUCAGCCUUAAGAAUGGUAAUUUGUUGUUCAAGUUCUUGAUUUUCCAGCAGAAAACAUCUUAUUUUUUCAGAAAGGUGGUCUAUCAUAAGAUGAAGAUCUUCAGUAUUAGGGUUAUGAAAGACUACCUGAUCUAUGUGGUCUGCCGUGAGACAUGUUUGUGACUUGGUCUCAGUUUCUUCAUCAUCAUCAUCAUCGGAGUCAUUCUCCAAGUCUUCCCAUGAGGCCAUUAGUCCUUUCUUCUUUCCUUUUUUUGGUUUUUCUUCCUUCUUUAACUUGGGACAAUCAGAUUUGAAAUGCCCCAUUUCCUUGCAGUUGUAGCAAGUCACUUUGCUAAGGUCUUUCUUCACUCUCCUUGAGCUGCUGCCUUUGCUUUUGAGCUUAGCCAUUUUUCUGAAUUUUUUUGCAAACAACACAAACUCAUUUUCAGAAGAGUUAUCAAUGGAUUCUUCAUCCAGAGGGUUAGUCAUAGAAGAAAAAACAAUUCCUUUCUUUUUUGAAUCUUUUUUCAAAUAGGUGUUUUCAAAAGCAAGAAGAUCUCCUCUCAAAUCAUCAACUGUCAUGGAAUCUAAGCUACUGCUCUCAGAAAUAAUUAAAGCUUUAGUUUCUCACUCUUUUGUGAGACAUCUCAACACUCUUCUCACUAGCACAGAUUCAGAGUGUGUAAUUCUCAGAGCAUCUAAGCCAACGAUGAUGGCAUUGAACUGUUCGAACAGUUCAUCAAUGGACUCUCCUUCUUUCAUUGCAAACAUUUCAUACUCUCUAUUCAACAUGUCUGUUCGAGUCUUCUUUACAAUGGUGGUUCCUUCAUGGGUGAUUUGCAAUUUGUCCCAGAUUUCCUUUGCCGUUGUGCAUCUUGAUACCCGUCGGUAUUCCUCGAAACUGAUAGCACAAUUGAGUAAGUUUACUGCCUUGGCAUUUAACUCCACCUUCUUCCUAUCUUCCUCUGUCCAGCUUGCUUCUGGUUUGAGAGAAACAACUCCUUCGGCACUUGUAACAGUUGGAUAUUGAGGUCCUUCCAAGAUUAUUUUUCACAGUCUGUAAUCCACUGCUUGUACAAAUAUCUUCAUCCUCUCCUUCCAAUAGGUAUAAUUUUUCCCAUUGAAAAGAGGGGGUCUAUUGCUUGAUUGACCUUCAGUAAGAUUAUAGGACACCACAUUUGCACCACUGUUUUCCGCCAUAAGGAUCUUUACUCCAAGCUGCAAAGUUUGAUCUCUUUGAGACCAAGCUCUGAUACCAAUUGAUAGUUUCAGUGGCUAAGAGAAGGGGGGGGAUUGAAUCUUAGCCCCCUUUUUUUUGGUUGCUAAUACUUGCUGAACUCAGAGGAGACUUUUCUGUUUUAGCUCGUCUCUGGACACGAGACUUUUUCUUUUGUCUCGUCCCUAGCCACGAGACUUUUCGUUUUGUCUCGUCACUUAGCACGAGAUAUUUUUAGUUUUUGCUCCUUUGCAGUAGAAAAUAGAAAUGGAGUAGGAGAGAAGAAAGAUUACACCCAGAUAUAUCCUGGUUCAGCUGCUAAGUGCAGUGCAGCCUACAUCCAGUCUCCAUCACAACAAUGAUGGAAUUUCACUAUAAUCAACUUGAUUACAAAUUGUAAAGUGCUAACCCAACUUACAAGGGGAUUCCCACAGAAUCAUGAAACACAACAUAGAUAAACAAAGGAACUCUAAGACAUCUAUGGUUUUUUCUUUUAAUUUUGCACUCUCUGCCUUUUUCCGCUCUAUGGCUUUUUCAUACAAACCUCACUGUUUUUCUUUUUCCAUGAGACUCAAGACAUGACAAAAUUAAACAGAAAAAUACUAAACAAAAUACAUUGAAGGAGAAGAAAAUCUGUAAGCUUAGGUAGCUCUGAGAAUCCUGUGCCUUGCACUCUCACUGCUUACUUCUAACUCCUUGCUCCAAACAGUGGCUGUUCUCUCUUUUUAAGGAAGUGGGAAGCCUCCACACUUGAAGCCAACACCCAAACCAACUUCUUUCUCCUUCAACAAACAGAACCGGUUCGGCCACGUAGAGAGAGAAGAGAUAAUCAUGCAAAACCCAACAUGCAAUUACCUCUAGUCCUUUCUUGAUCAUCACCCUUCAUCUAUCCGAACUCUCCAUCCUUGGCUUGCUCUCCAAGAUGGAUUUCUGGCCCUUGAUGCUUCAUGAUGAUAAUGACUCCAUCUGCUUCAAUCUCUGCCUCAACCAUCACUUCGCCACUCUAGCUACUUCCUGUGGUGGUUGAGCAGAAUCAAAGACAAGCCAUGCUUCAAGAAUCUCCCUUGCUGGCCGAAUCUUCAUCGUCCAUUUUUGAGCAUGAAGAGCUCAAGAUUACUUCACCAAAUCUAACCAUAUUUGGUGAAAAUCUUAGCUACAACUCAUUUUUAUUUUAGUAUGUUUUCUUGCCAUCAUUAGCUUGAUGGUCUUGAUGCAUGCAGCUUCAUUUCGGUAGCUCCAUGUAGCUUCCAUGGCUUCCUUUAUUUUCUGGAUAUUGACCGAAAAGAAGAAAGAGAUGAGAGAGAAUAAACAACUUGAAACAAAAGCAAUUCAAAUGUAAUAAACCAAUUAGUUGGUGAAAGUUGCUUUUACUUCCCUAGCUUAGAGUGGCGUGCAGCACUAUGGCCAUCAAUCAAUUCAGCUGCAACUUUCUCUCUCAUAGUUCCCAUGCAUUAAAUGACAAUGUAAUGAAUUUUGGAAUCCAUCACAUGGUGAAGUGCUUGGAUCCGUUGAAAGCAAUUUUUGCUUUCUUUAUCAUGGGUUUCAGAUCAUGCAUGAGGAACUUCUCAUCAAAUGUGAAAUUGGGCUUAGUUGCAACAUUUAAUUUUUGGCCCAAUAAUAACAUUUACUUUCCUGAUGAAAUUUGGAUCAAGCAUUGAACAUAUAGGAAAGCUUUGCUUAUAGUAACAAAAUUUAUUCUGCUCCAACUAAUAAAACCUUUUCAGCCAACAAUCACAAAACAAAAAUUAUAUAGGGCUGAAUUUUAAUUUAUUGGGUUUGGGAUCUUUCUUUUUAAUUCGGCCCAAUUAUAAAACCUGCAACACAAAAUUAUUAAUUAACAUAUGUUAGAUGAGAAAUUAAAAUUAAUAAUUUUGUUUAAUAAUGUUUAGUCAUCACAAAUAUUAAUUUGGAGUUUUCCAAAUUCAUCAAACUAUAAAAUAAUUAAAUUAAAAACUAAGUAAUGAUAAAAAUAAUAGAUUCUGAUGAUCCUAACAUUUUUAUAAUUGCUUUUUAGUGUGAAUAAUAAAAAAAGAAAUUGAGAUGGAAAAAAAGGGAUUUAUAUAUUAAAAAAAAUGUGAAACUAAACCUUUAUUGUUCACAUCCAAAAUUAAUAGAGAGGAAGAGUACACUCAAAUGGGUAUACAUCUGUGUGUGUGUGGCAUAGCAAUAGUAUUGAGCAAUUAAUUUCAUGUCCAAUAAUAACUACUAGUAUGAAUAUGAUACACCAUCCAAUAUGCAUAUUUAUACUUGGGUAGUGUGAGACUGUGAGGUGGCAUUGUUAAGCCCUGAGGUGUUGCCUUCCCAUGCUGCAUGAUAUACUCAGUUCUGGUAUACUUUUGAUGGCCUGAUGCAUGCAAAUUCAACUUUUUCCUCUAUAAAUACACGAACGAAAUCCCAGUUGUAAUCAUCAAAACCAUUCCAAACCAAUCCUUAUCAACCUCCCACUGCACCAUGAAACCAUUUUGUGUUUUUCUUACUUUCUUUCUCUUGCUAGCAGCAAGUAGUAAGAAGGUGAACUCAGCGGAAACAGUUUCCUUCAACUUCAACUCUUUCAGCGAAGGAAACCCCGCAAUAAAUUUCCAAGGUGACGUCACUGUUCUUUCAAAUGGCAAUAUACAACUCACGAACCUCAACAAGGUAAAUAGCGUCGGCCGUGUUCUUUAUGCCAUGCCGGUGCGCAUUUGGAGCAGUGCCACCGGCAAUGUCGCCAGCUUCCUCACCUCCUUCUCUUUCGAGAUGAAGGAUAUCAAAGAUUAUGAUCCUGCCGACGGUAUCAUCUUUUUCAUUGCACCGGAAGAUACGCAGAUUCCUGCCGGCAGUAUUGGUGGUGGAACCUUAGGCGUCUCUGACACUAAAGGGGCGGGUUACUUUGUUGGAGUGGAGUUUGAUACCUAUUCCAACAGUGAGUACAACGAUCCACCCACUGAUCACGUUGGAAUUGAUGUAAACAGUGUGGAUUCGGUGAAGACCGUGCCAUGGAAUAGUGUGAGUGGAGCAGUGGUUAAAGUGACUGUGAUAUAUGACUCUUCAACAAAGACAUUGAGUGUUGCUGUGACCAACGACAACGGCGAUAUUACCACCAUUGCUCAAGUUGUUGAUUUGAAGGCGAAGCUUCCGGAGAGGGUCAAGUUUGGUUUUUCUGCCUCCGGCUCCCGUGCCGGUCGUCAGAUACAUCUCAUCCGUUCAUGGUCUUUCACUUCAACCUUGAUAACAACAACCAGAAGAAGCAUCGACAAUAACGAAAAGAAAAUAAUGAAUAUGGCAAGUGCAUGAUUUGGUUUCUACGUACGCUACCUAGUACUUUUAAAGAAAGACCAGACCUUUGUGUGUUAUCAACUUUGUUUGUUUGUGUUUAAUAAUUAGGUUGUAUGGUUCAAUAUUUCCACUAAUCAUGGUCUGACGGUUGACCGUUUAAAUAAAAUAACAGGUCCAGUUUGGUAUAGUUUUUGUGCAUGGAUUGUGGGUGUGAGAUUUUCGGUUGACUCUCAUUCAUCCUUUCACCAGGCCAAUUAUAUUAUGCCCAGAUUCAAUAAUAAAGUCUGAAAUAUUAAUUUAAUAAUUAUCAUGAGUAAAAAUUUUUAAUUUUAAUAAUGACAUAAUAAAUAUAUUAAAAAUUUAAAGUUUGCAUGUUUUCCAUAAAAAAUCAAUAAUAUUAAUAUGCUUGUUUUAAAGAAUCAAGCUACAUGUUUACUAAAUUUUUGAAAGAAAAAAAUUUAGAGAGCGAAUUAAAACAUAAGCCAAUUCAAAUCAAUUUUUUAUAUUUUUAGUGUUAANNNNNNNNNNNNNNNNNNNNNNNNNNNNNNNNNNNNNNNNNNNNNNNNNNNNNNNNNNNNNNNNNNNNNNNNNNNNNNNNNNNNNNNNNNNNNNNNNNNNNNNNNNNNNNNNNNNNNNNNNNNNNNNNNNNNNNNNNNNNNNNNNNNNNNNNNNNNNNNNNNNNNNNNNNNNNNNNNNNNNNNNNNNNNNNNNNNNNNNNNNNNNNNNNNNNNNNNNNNNNNNNNNNNNNNNNNNNNNNNNNNNNNNNNNNNNNNNNNNNNNNNNNNNNNNNNNNNNNNNNNNNNNNNNNNNNNNNNNNNNNNNNNNNNNNNNNNNNNNNNNNNNNNNNNNNNNNNNNNNNNNNNNNNNNNNNNNNNNNNNNNNNNNNNNNNNNNNNNNNNNNNNNNNNNNNNNNNNNNNNNNNNNNNNNNNNNNNNNNNNNNNNNNNNNNNNNNNNNNNNNNNNNNNNNNNNNNNNNNNNNNNNNNNNNNNNNNNNNNNNNNNNNNNNNNNNNNNNNNNNNNNNNNNNNNNNNNNNNNNNNNNNNNNNNNNNNNNNNNNNNNNNNNNNNNNNNNNNNNNNNNNNNNNNNNNNNNNNNNNNNNNNNNNNNNNNNNNNNNNNNNNNNNNNNNNNNNNNNNNNNNNNNNNNNNNNNNNNNNNNNNNNNNNNNNNNNNNNNNNNNNNNNNNNNNNNNNNNNNNNNNNNNNNNNNNNNNNNNNNNNNNNNNNNNNNNNNNNNNNNNNNNNNNNNNNNNNNNNNNNNNNNNNNNNNNNNNNNNNNNNNNNNNNNNNNNNNNNNNNNNNNNNNNNNNNNNNNNNNNNNNNNNNNNNNNNNNNNNNNNNNNNNNNNNNNNNNNNNNNNNNNNNNNNNNNNNNNNNNNNNNNNNNNNNNNNNNNNNNNNNNNNNNNNNNNNNNNNNNNNNNNNNNNNNNNNNNNNNNNNNNNNNNNNNNNNNNNNNNNNNNNNNNNNNNNNNNNNNNNNNNNNNNNNNNNNNNNNNNNNNNNNNNNNNNNNNNNNNNNNNNNNNNNNNNNNNNNNNNNNNNNNNNNNNNNNNNNNNNNNNNNNNNNNNNNNNNNNNNNNNNNNNNNNNNNNNNNNNNNNNNNNNNNNNNNNNNNNNNNNNNNNNNNNNNNNNNNNNNNNNNNNNNNNNNNNNNNCUUUUUUAGUUGAUUUUCUAAUGAAACUGUUUUUUAAAAAAAUAAAUAAAAUAUAUUGACAAAUAGUUAAAAGAAGAGAAUAAGUAUAAAAAUUAAUUAGGUAUAAUCUUACAAAAUAGUUUGUAACUUUUGUAAUUAACAUUUUUUCAAAGUAAAUAACUAUAUAAAGAUGAAAGAGCAUAUUUUUGCAAUUAGAUUAAGGAUUGAUGUGGUAAAUUGUUUACUUUUUAAAAAUACUGAAUUUAUCAAAAUUAUCACUUAAUUUUUUUAAAGUUGUAGUAUUUAUGUUAAUAUCAAACCAAAAAUAUUUUUAAUAAGUAUAAGUAAUAAAUUAGCGACCAAUUUAGUGACUAUCCACUCUUGGUCGCUAAAAUCGGUCGCUAUUUUUUAAUUUAGUGACUGAAUUAGUAAUCAAAACAAAAAAGGCUUUUUGGAUCCGUUGGUGACUAAAUCGGUCACUAUAUUUAAUUUAGCGACUGAUUUUAUAACCAAUAUAAAAACAGUCUUAAUAAUUGUUGGUCGCUAAAUCGGUCGCUAAGAAGUUGGUCACUAAAUCAGUUGCUAAGUGUUAAAAUAGCAACUAAUUUAGCGACUAAUUUUAAAAUGCUACUUUUAAAGUAGUUAAUCGCUAAAUCGGUUGCUAUUUUAUAAUUUAGCUACCGAAUUAGCAACCGAUAUAAAAAUAGGCUGAGAAAAUAGUUGGUCGUUAAUUCGGUCGCUAAGGUAGCGGUCGCUAAAUUGGUUGCUAAGGGAUAAUAUAGCAACCGAUUUUAGCGACCAACUAUAAAAUAUGGGAUUAGAGCAAUCGGUCACUAAAUCGGUCGCUAUUGUAAUUCUUAGUGACCGAAUUUGUAACCACUAAAAAAUAAGUUAUAAAUUAAUUGGUUGCUAAAUCGGUUAUUAUUUUUUUUUUGUUGACAAAUCGGUUUAUUAAACAAAUUAAAUUUUAAAAUAAAUUAAAAGAAAACAUCAUUUUUGAACCUUAAUUUACACUGAGCUCUCUCAUCACAGUGUCUCUCUCGCCGCCUCCCUUACUCUCCGGCGAGUCCUGGUCGGCGCCGUUCUUGUCAACGCCAUUCUCGUCGACGCCAUCUCGCCUCCUCGAUUCUUCGUCAGCGUCUGCCCCCUCGCUGCGUUCUUCCUCUGCUCGUUCAACCAUUGUCGCAGAUCGUCACAUCCGCGUCCAGAUCUGCGGUUGCUCGCAUCACGUCGUUCUUUUCUCAGCGCCCUCUCCUAAGGUAAAUUCUUCUCCGGUAACAAUAGCGUCGAUUUGGUUAUAUCUAUUAGGAUGUUAACUAAGCCUCUCUAAUCUAAUGUUGCUUAUCUAUUUCUCUGACUUUUUGUCUAUUAUGUGCUUUAAUUUCAAAUUAUUAGUUUUUUCGCAGAUCAUUGCAUUGCCGUCUAGAUCCGCUGUUGCUCAUAGUCCGAAUCCUCCGGUGAUUAUGUUUUUGAGUUUUUGUGUUUUUUGGUUGGAUUGAACUAACCUAUGAUGCACAGACACUGACACUGACACGGGACAUGCUGACACGCAAUUUUAAAAUCUUAUAAAACUUGGGACACGCAUACAUAUAAAAUAUAAAGUAUUUUUUAGAUAAAUCAUAAUAGUAUUUUGAUAUUUUAUUGAAUACUAAAAUAUAAAUUAAUUUUUUAAUUAUUUUAAUAUCUUAUUUUAAUUAUAUCAAGUAUUUAAAAUAUUUUUUGUUUUAAUAAAUAAUAAAUAUAUACUAUAUCUAAAUUUAUUUUAAAAAUAUAUGUUAAGAAUAAGAUUGAACACGCUAACACGUGAUGGUAUUUAGGUGUGUCCAAGCGUGUCGGUGAAGAAUUUUUUAUUUUUUAUUAAGACACGAUUUAGACACAGCAAUCAGCAAACACGCGUGUCGGGCGAGUGUCGUGUCCAAAAUGUGUCCGACACGCGGACACGACAACUCAGCGAAGUGUCCGUGCUUCAUAGGAACUAACAGGUUCACCGUCUUCAUCCAAGCGAAGCCAUGGCGUUGGUGAGUUGUUCAUUUCUUCUUAUAAUGUUCAUCACUUGCUGAUUAAUUUGGUUUUAGUUUCGGUCUUUUUUUUAUUAGGCUUUAAGGUCAGGGUGUGUUUCCUUGGGGUUAAAAUAUGAAAAUUUACAUACGAAUUUCAUUUAUGUUUUGUGCACAAUUAUUCAACUUAUAGCAUUCCUAGUUAAUUAAUAAUUAAUUGAUGUAAUAAAGAACAAAAAGUAAGGCGAAAGGUUGCUAUUUUUAUAAUUAUUAUAGAGUUAGUGCUUUAGUUUUCAAUAAAUUUAGGCUUUACUAAUAACAUAGAAAUUUGAAAUCAGGGUGCGCAGGUUUGGAACCCUAUACAAAGGGCCUUUCCUUGUGAGAUGCUAGAUGGUGUCAACAAUAGUUUAUAAAGUUAAAACUAGUUUCUCGGAGGGGAACUCUUGAAAACAUAUAGAACUCUUCUUAAUGAGAAACAGGUAUGAGUUGUGUUAUUUGUAAUGUCUCAUUAGCUUUAUAUACGAGACAAAAUAAGUAUAUAAAAUAUUUCACAAUUGUUAGUUAAAUGUUCAAUUGAAGUUUGUAGUCUUAAGUUUAUAUAUAUGAUUUUCAUUUGCCAGGUUUUUUAUUUGGGGGAAAAUGCUCCUGAUAAGGUGCUGCAUUCAAUCUAUGCUAAGUUGGAAAAUUUCAAAGUCCAGGGUGAUCAAUUUGCCAUGAAGAUUAUGGAGAGGCUGAAGUUAAUUGUAAGUUUGUGAUUAAUAAUGUUUUAUGGGCUAUUUUUAUGUUUUUUGAGUAAUAAUAUAUGUAUUCACUCUUUUUCGUAUAAAGGGAACUGACUCACCCUUCUUUUCUAUUGGAUGAGGUUUAGGGUCUACACUAAAUAAUACAUAUAAUAUUUUUCUAAAAACAGAUUUUGCACAUUUUAACCACUUGUUCUGUAUUGUCUUUUUUUGCUGAUGCAGUGAUAUUUGACUCCUGCACGGAGAAAAAAGAGAUGGUAAAUAAUAUGAUUAACAUAACUCUACAAGCACUAUUUACUACUAAAGGCACUUUGUUGAAAUGUAUUAUAGAUUAUAUCAAAUGGCAUAUAUACAGCAAAGUUGGUCGCCUUUGACCAAUUCAGCAAGCAAAAAAUCUAGAUUAUCAAAACUGAUAUCUCCAAGGCAUUUAGGUAUUGGACCAGAAAGACUAUUAUGAGAGAAAUCUAUAAUUGAUAACACACUAGCUAGUAAUAUUGCACAAUUCAUUGGGUAUGUUUCCUAUAAGUUUGUUCCCUUUCAAGAUAAGAAUAUUUAGAACACCAAUGAUGCUUAUGAUGUCUGCAAUGGUGCUAGAUAUUUCAUUAUUGUUAAGAUCCAAUAUUUGUUUGUGACCAUCUCUAACAAGAGGCUAGGUCUUGAAUUUGGGGGGUUGCUGCAGUUCAAUUUUAGCCCAAACUUAUUUUUAUCAUACAUUUUCAGUGAUUCUACUUGUCAUAAGUGGGAAGAGACACAGAGGCUUCAAUCAACAAGAAAAUUAACAUCUGCUCUAUUUUUUAGGACAUUAUGUAAAUGAAACAAGAUAUUGUACUACUAAAAUGUUAACUCUACGUUUUUAUAGUUGAAACUUUAAAUUGGACAUGCCAAACGAUUUAUUAUUGGUUUUUAAUGGUUAAAGCAUAGCUUGGUUGAUUAGUUCCUAGAUAAACACAGUAGCUUACAUAUAUAAUACGGUAAGCGUUUCUGUUACUUUUAAUACGUGCUACCUGUUGACAUUAGGGCAUAUGUAUGUUGAAUUUUACCCAACACUAGUUCAUGUGAUGCAAGGAAGAUUUCCAUGGUUAUCCAUUUGGAGUGAGAUAAGUGCAUAAUUCAGUAAUGUUGUUGAAACUUACUACUUUCACUUUUUAUACAUGCAUGUUAACACGGAUUCUUUUAUUAUAUAUUUAGCAUUUAGGCUUUAUAUAUAUACAUUCUUUAUUCUUACAUAUCAUAUUGUAAUCAUGUGAACUUGUUCUUAUGUUAAUGAUAUAUGGGAUAUGGUUUGCAUUUUGUUACUUAAAUGUAUAGUUCUGCUCUGACACUUGUAUAUAUUUUGAAUAUUAUCUAACAUGUAACGUUGUCAUAUCUUUCAGGCAAAAGAGUAUACAGUAUCUUGUGUUGAAAAGAGCUUUGCUUGUGAUAGCCAGAAUCUUCAUGCAUGUGUAUCCAUUUGGAAGGAGACCAAUAACAUUUAGAAGUGCAAUUACUAUAAUAAAUUAGUAAGUGUUAUGUUUCCAUAUUUUAGUCCUGUUUAAGUUUUCUGCUGUAGAUGCAGGGUGGGUCGUGAAAGAGGAUGCUUUUGGGGGGUUGCUGCAGUUCAAUUUUUGCCCAAACUUAUUUUUAUCAUACAUUUCCAGUGAUUCUACUUGUCAUUAGUGGGAAGAGAAACAGAGGCUUCAAUCAUCAAGAUCACCACUUUAACCUUCUUGGUCAUGUAAGCAUGGACUUGAAUUAUAAUUAAUCAAGCUUGAUAUACUUCUAAGUUUUAUUAUCAACCAAAUGUAUAAAAAAUGUGCAGGCAUGGAGAUUGUUUACAGAAGGCAAAGGCUAUGAAAAUUGUUUGUAAUGCAACAAGAGACACAUCGAAUUUAUUACAGGCAGGUGCAUAUAGUAGGAUAUGAUUAUGCAUAAAUAAAAUAUUAACAUUUAAUAUUAUAUUAUUCAUUAAAUCCCAUAGUGGUCCUGAGAUUGACGCCAUACACCAAAAUCGUUCCUGAGAUUUCAAUUGCACCAAUUACGUCCCUAAGAUUGGAAAAAUUGCACUAUAGUAAUUCCUGACCCGUUUUUCGUUAACGAUGCACUGGCGUGGCUUGAUGACGUGGACCUUUGGUGACACGUGUCAUCUCAUGGUUUGGCCACGUGUAACGGUAUGAUGACGUGUCGAUCAACGACACGUGGCAUGCUGACGUGGAUGGGUAUGCCACAUGUCACAAUGCUAUUUUGUCACGUGUCAGAUUAUGCCACAUGUCGCAAUGCUAUUUGUCCACGUGUCAUCCACUAUGUCAUCGUUACAUGUGCACCAAAUUGGUCGCUUACUUUGCAUCAAAUGACUCAUUUUAGUCCCUGAAAUUGAAUGUCGUGCACCAAAUUAGUCCCUUCAUCAGUUUUUUUUCAUCUUUUUAUAAAUUUAAAAUUCUCAAUAUUUUUUUAUACACUAAUUUUAAUUAUAUUUUUUAUUAUACAUAUUUUAUAAUAAAUUUUUUAAUUAAUAAUGUUAACUUGUAUUAUUAGAGUACAUGUUAACUAAAGCCAAAAAUUUAUUAUUGUCUCUUGUGUUUAUUUGUAUCUGUUUUAAUACUGUUCAAGUCAUGGUUACAAUAAGUACUUAUAUUGAUUAAUAGUGUAAUAUAUGAAAAAGCCGCCUAACUAAGUUAUAAAUAAAAUGAAUUAUUAUAAUCGACAGUAUAAAUCUAUCUUAUUAAUUUAGUGAGAAGUUAAUUAUAUAGGAAAGCGGACAUUCUUAAAAUGGAUGGGAAUAAUGAAUUUAUAUUAGUUAAUAAAUGCCUUAUCAAGUAUUCCUAAAAUAUUUAUUAAAGUGUUAAAUAUUAAAAAAAUUGUAAUAAGGAAUAUUAUUAUACUCUUAGCUUACACUCUUUAUUAAAUCAAUAUCAAUAUGUCACAUAAUUCUUUUAAUAAAAUAUUUUAGAAAAAAAUUGUAUAAUUAAAACUAAUAUUUUAAAAAUAUUUUAUAAAAACACUUAUAUUUAAAUAACUUGUGAAAAGAUAAAAUUAAAAUUAGUGUAUUCAAAUAUAUAAUGAGAAUUUUAAAUUUAUAAAAAAAUGAGAAAAAACUAAUGAAAGGACUAAUUUGGUGCAUGACAUUCAAUUUCAGGGACUAAAAUGAGUCAUUUGAUGCAAAGUAAGGGACCAAUUUGGUGCACAUGUAAUGAUGACAUAGUGGAUGAUACGUGGACAAAUAGCAUUGCGACACGUGGCAUAAUCUGACACGUGGCAUAAUAACAUUGUGAUACGUGGCAUACCCAUCCACGUCAGCAUGCCACGUGUCGUUGACUGACACGUCAUCAUACCGUUACACGUGGGCAAACCAUGAGGUGACACGUGUCACCAAAUGUCCACAUCAUCAAGCCACGUCAGCGCGUCCUUAACGAAAAAUGGGUCAGGGACUACUAUAGUGCAAUUUUUUCACUAUCAGAAACGUAAUUGGUGCAAUUGAAAUCCCAAAGACGAUUUUGGUAUACGACGUCAAUUUCGGGGAGCACUCCGAAAAUUUACUCUAGAAAUAUUAAACUAAUUUGGUUUAUGAGAUACGUUCGGCACUUCCAUUUUAUUUUUUUGCAUUAGUCUGAACUUUGAAAACUGAUACUGGUUUACGUGCAAAAACUAAUUUAUUCUAUUCUACAUCCAGAUGCUAUUGUGGACUGGUUGUUGUGUUGGGAAUAAGGAGUAUGAUCACAAUCCAAUCAAUUAUGUGUCAAAUAAUUUAUUAUUGUUAUUAUAUUAAAAUGUUAAUAUAAUAAAGUCCUUGAUUAAAUUUAGAAAUUUAUCAUUGUGAUAGUGAUCAUAAUAUUGAGAAAUAAAUCUUUUGUAAUUUAAUCUAAAUUGUUCUUGGUCAUAUGAUUAUUAGAAAAUGACAUAAAUAAUCCAGAAAGAUCAAUAUAUAUAUAAUGGUCUUCAUUAGUUGAAGAUUAAUAGAUCUCAUUUAUUAAAUUAUAUAUAUAGAUGGUGUAUAUAGAGAUAUGACCAUUGAACUGACUCAUUUUGAGAAUUCCUAAUGGUUAUAAUUACCGUAUAUUUGUCAAUAGGAUAUUCUCAAGAUGAACAUAGUAAUAGAGUUUCCUUUGACCUGCGACUAGGGGUGGAAAUAGGCCAAGCGGCCUGCCAGGGGCCUGCAGCCUGGCCUGUGUUCGGCCUGACCUGGCCUGGCCUGAUAGGAAAUAGGCCCAGGCUCAGGCUACUAAAAAAGCCUAUAUUCUUUAAAAGGCCAGGGCUAGGCUUUUGAAAUAGCCUGUUGGGCCUGUCAGGCCGGCCUGAGCCUGCAAAUAUAUAUAAAGAGUUUUAUUAUACUAGUAAAAAUGCUAUUAGAAGGAUUUGAACUUAGGUCUUCUAUCUUAUGAAAAUACCUUUAUCCAGUCAGCCAUUUGUCUCUUUAGUUAUAUAUUUGUAUUUUGUAUCAAUAUUAUUCAUAAAUUUAAUUAUUAUUAAAAAAAAAACAGGCCUAGUGACAGGCUUCAGGCCAGGCCAAAUUUAACAACAGGCCAGGCUCAGUACUCAUUAAAAAGCCUAUAUCAGGCUACAGGCCAGGCUAAAGCCAAUAUACUCUAUUACAGGCCUGGCCUGUUAAGAGUAAAGCCUGGCCUGGCCUGGCCUGUUUCCACCUCUACCUGCGACUAUCAUAGUAAUUAACAAUGUAUUUAUUAUACUUUGAUUCCGGACACCUAAUACCCUAGGGUGCUAGUUGAAUGGAUAUUGGGUAUGAUUUAAAUACUUGUAGAAUUAAUGAUUAGUUAAUAAGGAAUCCGUCAACUCUCGGUAAAGAGUUUGAGCUCUAUGAUUAUAAUGACUGAGAUGAAUAAAACCUUGGCCAAGGAGAUUGAAUGAAUGAAGAAAUGAGUUUCUUAGGUCAUUCACAGUUUAUUAUAAUAAUGGUAAUAAGUUAGAGUUUGACAAUUAAACCAUACUCUAAGGGUUAACCAAGAGCUGGAAAGAUGGAAGGAAUUAUACUUUGUUCUUCUGAGGUUCUUAGUAAAAAUAUAUUACUUCAUAUUAUCGGGUCGUUGAGGAGUGUUGCUAGACACCAACCUUGAUUAGUAAAUUUAGUAUGACUAAUUUACUACCCGCUUAGUAUUGAACCUAUGGGGUCACACACUAACGAGUGUUCUAAUCUUUGCUAUAGAAUUAUUUAAUUAUUAUUUUGAUUUGAUCAAAUAAAUAAUUAUAUUAAUUCAGAUAAAAUAUUAUUAUAUUUUUUUGCUAGCACCAAGAAUAUAAUAAUAGUAUGAUAAUUGAGAAUAUUAAAUAAGAUUUGAGAAUAAUUAGUUAUUCUAUUUCUAAAUUUGAAUUCUAAAUUUGGAUGAGAUCCUAACUGAUUCUGUUUCAAAUUGAGUUAUGAUAUGAUUCAUAAAUUUGAAAGAUUUAGAUUUAGAAUUUUAAGAUAUGAUUUAAAUUUGAAUUGAGAUUCAAAUUUAAAAUCAGUAACAAAUCUCAUUGAUGAAUUUGGAAAACUCUAAAUUAACAUAUGUGAUGACUAAACAUUAUUAAUUUAAUUAAUUGCAAAGAUAUUAAUUCAUAUAUAGUGAUUAAAUUAAUCUUUGCUAUGCAGAUUUAACAUUUGGCCAAAAAUAAAAAAAAUGUUGCAAGCCCAAGUGUUUUAUAAAUACAUUUAGCAUUGAUGCAAAAAUACUUUGAUUAUUGCGGCUGAAUUAUUAUUCUUGUUAUUGGGCCAGAAUUGAUCCUAAUUAGCCCAAAUUAACUUUGAUGGAAAAAGAUCCAAUGCUUGGUCCGAAACCUAUUAAAAGAAAGUAAUUUGGCUUCAUGCUUUCAACGGAUUCCAUUUCUUAUUGUGGGAUGGAUUUCAAAAUUUAAUUUGUUAGCAUUGGAAAUAUAAAUGAGAGAGAAAGUAUGAUUGACAUGAUUGAUUGGUUUAAUGCAACACGCUACUCAGCAAGGGAAGUAAAAGCAAUCCCAUUUCAAUUAAUUUGUUCUAUUUCAAUUAAUUAUUUUUCUUCUAACUCUAUCUUCUCUCUCAUCUUUCCUUCUUCUCUUUCGGUCAUUACCCAGCAACCAUGGAAGCUACACCUAGCCACCGAAAAGAAGUUGGUGCAAGCAACAAGACCAUCACAAUGAUGACAAGAAAAAGAAAACAUAAAGUAUGCUGUGGCUAAGAUUCUCAUUCACUUGUGGUUAGAUUUUGUGAAGAGAUCUUGGCUCCUCCAUACCAAAAAUGGAAGUGAAGAUUUCGGUCAGAGAAGAAGAUCCUUGGAGAGGAUGGCUUGUCUCUGAUUCUGCUUAGCCACCACAGGAGGUAGCUAGAGUGGCUAUGUGAUGGAGGAGGCAGAGAUUGGAGCAGAUGAAGCUACCAUCAUCAUGAAGCAUCAAGGGCCAGAAGUUCAUCUUGGAGAGCAAGGCAAGGAUGAAGGGCUCGGAUUGAUGAAGAAUGGUGACCAAGGAAGGACUAGAGAUAAUUGCAUGUUAGGUUUUGCAUGAGUUAUCUCUUCUCUCUCUCUGGCCGAACCGGUUCAAGUUGAAGAAGAAGAAGAUUGGCUUGGUUUGUUUGGUUUCAACCUUGAAGGCUUCUCCCUAUAAGUAAGGGUGAACAGUCAGGGUUUGAUUCAAGGAAAAGAAAAGAGUGAGCACAGAGUUCUCAUAACUCUCUAAGCUGACAGAAUUUCUUCUCCUUCAAUGUUCUUCAUUUUGUAAUUUUCUGUUUAAUUUUGUCAUGUCUUGAGUCUCAUGGAAAAGGCAAACAGUGAGGUUUGUAUGAAAAAGCCAUAGAGCGAAAAAAGACAGAGAGUGCAAAAUUAAAAGAAAAAGCCAUAGAUGUCCUUAGAUGUCCUUUGUACAUCUGUGUUGUGUUUCAUGAUUCUGUGGGAAUCCUCUUGUAAGUUGGGUUAGCACUUUACAGUUGAAAGCUUGGCAGUGACCAAGUCAAGUUCAGUUUGGGUUUAGAUUCUGGACUUGUCCCGGAUAGGAAGGAGGGUAGUUCCUAGGGAGAAUUGGUGUUUGUAAUCAAGGAUGAUUAUAGUGAAAUUCCAUCAUUAUUGUGAUGGAGUCUGGAUGUAGGCUGCCUUGCACUUAGCAGCUGAACCAGGAUAUAUCUUGGUGUAAUUCUCUCUUUCUUCUACUCUAUUUCUGUUUCUGCUGCCCAGGAGAUAAAACUGAAAAUAUCUUGUGCUGACUGACGAGACAAAAAGAAAAGUCUCGUGGCUGGGAACGAGACAAAAGAAAAAAUCUCGUGGCUAGUUACGAGAUAAAAAGACAAAAAGUUUCCAGAAGUGAUUUCAAAGGCCAGCAAGUAUUAUCAAGCAAAAAGGGGGCGAAGAUUCAACCCCCUUCUCUUAGCCACUGAUAACCAUCACUCAUACUAUAUAUAUGUAUGCCAAGAGUGAAGGAAUAGACAGAUGAGAAUAACAAGAGUUUUAUUCCGUUACCUUUACACACAUAAAUAUAUGUGAGCCUGAUUCUUGGAGAAGAAUUUUAUUGCGUGCAAAGAGUUGCAAGAGGUUUCUCAAUUUAGAUCAGAUGUCCAUUGGUCAAGGAGUUGACAGCAAAGGUUGGUCUCGGUGUGGAUACGCAUAGCGCCUUCGUACCAUCGAAGGAGAAAGUGAUUUUUACUAAAGCGUCUAAAGGUAUUUAGAUCUGAUCUAUAUAUUACAUUUAUAUUAUUGGAAUAAAGUUUAAGCAUAAAAUAGAUCUUUAAGGAUUACUUUCUUUUUCUUCUGCUGCAUGUUAUGAACACAUGGUAAUUCUUCAGUGGUAUCAGAGCUUUGGUUUUUUUGUGUUUAAAUUUUUAUUCCUAUUUUUUUAAAGUUUGUGAAUUAAUAGGAUUAAUUCAAAUUAUUUUUAAGCAUGUGAUGUAUUUAUUUCCGUUGAGAUGGUUUUCUAAUAAAUUAAUAGUUAAUUUAUUUUAAUUAUUUAAUUGUGAUUAAAUUAUCAUUCUUUUAAUAUAAAAGUUAUAUUUAUAAUCAAAUAUUUUGUUUGAUUUUAUUUAUAUAUUAAAUUUUAUUGUGAUUUUGAUCACAAUAAAAGGAAUAAGAUGUAAAAUAUCUUUUAUUUGUUUCUUAUAUAUAUAAGUGUAUAUAUAAAACUCAAAUUUGAUUUGAUAAUUUUUUAAGGCUAAACGUUAGUACAUAAAAAAUCAAAUUUUGAUUUGAUUGAUGUGUUUUGAACACUAUAAUUUUAGAAAUUAAUUUUUCUAAUGUUCUUGAUUAUAAAGAGCGAUCUGACAACCAGGAAUUUUAUUUUUAAGAUAAUAAUCAGUGUAUACAUUUGAUGUAUUAAGGAUUUAAUUUUAUAUUUUUACCUAGACAACCUGGGAGUAUAAAAUUUAAUCCAUGAAUAUUGGUACAAAUUCUCUAACAAUUGAGAUAAAUCCUAAAAGUUAGGAGUUUGCCAAAAAUAAAUUUAUCUCUUGUUUACAAGGAGCAACCUGACAACCAGGAGACUUGUACUCAAAGAUAGAAUUUAUUUAUACAUGUGAUGAUAUACAAGGAGAAUUAAUUUUAUACUUAAACCUAGACAACCUAGCGGUAUAAAAUAUAAUUCAGUUAAAUAAUUGUCUGACAACCAGAUAAUUAUUUGGGAUUAUAAUUGUAUGUGAUACAAUUUAAUCAUAUUUAUUUGGAAUAGGUAUGAGUAACAACUUGACAACCAAGAUACUCAUUUAUGAUUCUAAAUAAUUUUAACAGAAAUAUAGAUUUUUUAAUUUACUUUCGUAUUUUAAUUUUUUAAAUAUGUCCAUUUUUUUGUAUGGCAUACUUGAAACUUGAAAGUAAUAUAUUGGCUAACAUUUGAAAAUUGUUCUCAUGUAUGAAAGGGUUAUCAUGGAGAUGAUAAUUCUAUUAAAAUAAUAUCCUCCAAUAAAAUUAUUUUUGAAAUGGUCAGAACUUUUGAAAUAUUUGUAAUAUUAUUUUACAUGGGUUGUUUGGACAGUCAUAAAUUCUAAUUUCAAAGGCAUCUCUCCACUAUUUAUUGCUGAACAUCUUGAGAAGAUGUGGUGCCUAAAGUAAGAUAGUAUGACUAUCAAAAAUUUUAUUUAAACUAGUGGGAGUAUUGGGUAAUAUAUUUUGAAUUAAACAACUUUAGAAGUUAGAAUGCCAUUAGGCAAAUGGCUUUAGUGAGAAUUGUUCUUGCAAGCAUUUUUGGAGAUUCAUUUUGUUACAAACAAUUUAUAAUUAGCCUUAAUAUUUGUGAUAUUUUUAGAAAAACCCAAUAUGAGUAUUGAGGAUGCCAAUCAAAAUUGCUCUUAAGGGUUGGUUUGACCAAUAAUAAAGAUAUUGAGUAUUUUUAUUAUAAGAGCUUAAAGUAAAAUCUCUAAUUAUCUAAUUGAUAUUCUAUUGAAUAGAGAAUGAGAUUCUCUCAAUGCACAAAUAUUAGUACUCUAUGUACUAAGAAACAAAGAAUUUAGCUGAGGAUCACUAUUUGUUAAAUAUUUAGACUACAUUUUAGAAAUGUUGCUAAAUUAACAAAUUUCUUACUAAAUCAAUUUUUUACCCAUAUGAGAUAUAGAAAAUGGCAUAAGUCAAAACUCAAGAACAUUAGAGUUCGAUAAAUGAGAUUUAUUGGUUGCCCUAAAAGAAAUAAUAAGUAUUAUUUCUAUCAUCCUUCUUACGACAAAGUGUUUGUGAUAAGAGGUUGAACUCUUUUUUAGAAAAAAGAGACUCCUUCCUAAAGAAAGAUAAGGUGAACAAAUAGAACUUGAUAAAGUCAAGACAAUCAAAAAGUUUGAUUUAUACAAUGUCAAGAGAAACUUUGUAUUUAUAAAGAAAGAGUGAGAGUACAAUUACUUUUAUUAGAAUUGUAUACCACUCAAUAGAGGAUAUACUUUCUCCUGAAAGUAUAAAAAGUUUGAUCGUCAAGCUAACUUUUUGAAAAAGUAGCCUAUUUGUAUAAUGAUACAAUUCUAUAAAGAUAGAUCUAAUGGUUACUUAGAUUUUUUUAUAAUCAUGUUCAAUAAGGAUUGUCCUUAAAAUAAAAUUAUGCACUAUUGUAGUGGGAGAUUUCAUGUUUUGAGAAAACGUGAUAUUAUUAUUCACUAGGUAUUUUGCAAAAGGUCAAGCACAUAUGCUCAAAAAUUAAGGUGUUUAAGGUCAAAAGAGUUUUGAUAAACACAAAUGUGCAUUGAAAAAUUAUACACAUGAUUGAUUGACUCUAGUGCAAGUGGGAGACUAUUGUGAUAAUAGUAUUCCCAAGAUCCAAUCUAUCAUGAUUGGCUCUCGUGCAAGUGGGAGAUUGUUGGGAAUAAGGAGUAUGACCACAAUUCAAUCAAUCAUGUGUCAAAUAAUUUGUUAUUGUUAUUAUAUUAAAAUGUUAAUAUAAUAAGGUCCUUUAUUAAAUUUAGAAAUUUAUCAUUGUGAUAGUGAUCAUAAUAUUGAGAGAUAAAUCUUUUGUAAUUUAAUCUAAAUUGUUCUUGGUCAUAGGAUUAUUAGAAAAGGACAUUAAUAAUCCGGAAAGAUCAAUAUAUAUAUAUAUAAUGGUCUUCAUUGGUUGAAGAUUAAUAGAUCUCAUUUAUUAAAUUAUAUAUAUAGAUGGUGCAUAUAGAGAUAUGACCAUUGAACUAACUCAUUUUGAGAAUUCCUAAUGGUUAUAAUUACCGUAUAUUUGUCAAUAGGAUAUUCUCAAGAUGAACAUAGUAAUAGAGUUUCCUUUGACCUGCGACUAUCAUAGUAAUUAACAAUGUAUUUAUUAUACUUUGAUUCCGGACACCUAAUACCCUAGGGUGCUAGUUGAAUAGAUAUUGGGUAUGAUUUAAAUACUUGUAGAAUUAAUGAUUAGUCAAUAAGGAAUCCGUCAACUCCCGGUAAAGAGUUUGAGCUCUAUGAUUAUAAUGACUGAGAUGAAUAAAACCUUGGCCAAGGGGAUUGAAUGAAUGAAGAAAUGAGUUUCUUAGGUCAUUCACAGUUCAUUAUAAUAAUGGUAAUAAGUUAGAGUUUGACAAUUAAACCAUACUCUAAGGGUUAACCAAGAGCUGGAAAGAUGGAAGGAAUUAUACUUUGUUAUUCUGAGGUUCUUAGUAAAAAUAUAUUACUUCAUACUAUCGGGUCGUUGAGGAGUGUUGCUAGACGCCAACCUUGAUUAGUAAAUUUAGUAUGACUAAUUUACUACCCACUUAGUAUUGAACCUAUGGGGUCACACACUAACGAGUGUUCUAAUCUUUGCUAUAGAAUUAUUUAAUUAUUAUUUUGAUUUGAUCAAAUAAAUAAUUAUAUUAAUUCACAUGGAAUAUUAUUAUAUUUUUUUGCUAGCACCAAGAAUAUAAUAAUAGUAUAAUAAUUGAGAAUAUUAAAUGAGAUUUGAGAAUAAUUAGUUAUUCUAUUUCUAAAUUUGAAUUCUAAAUUUGGAUGAGAUCCUAACUGAUUCUGUUUCAAAUUGAGUUAUGAUAUGAUUCAUAAAUUUAAAAGAUUUAGAUUUAGAAUUUUAAGAUAUUAUUUAAAUUUGAAUUGAGAUUCAAAUUUAAAAUUAGUAACAAAUCUCAUACUAUAUAUAUGUAUGCCAAGAGUGAAGGAAUAGACAAAUGAGAAUAACAAGAGUUUUAUUCCGUUACCUCUACACACAUAAACGUAUGUGAGCCUGAUUCUUGGAGAAGAAUUUUAUGGCGUGCAAAGAGUUGCAAGAGAUUUCUUAAUUUAGAUCAGAUAUCCAUUGGUCAAGGAGUUGACAGCAAAGGUUGGUCUCAGUGUGGAUACGCAUAGCGCCUUCGUACCAUCGAAGGAGAAAGUGAUUUUUACUAAAGCGUCUAAAGGUAUUUAGAUCUGAUCUAUAUAUUAUAUUUAUAUUAUUGAAAUAAAAUUUAAGCAUAAAAUAGAUCUUUAAAGAUUACUUUCUUUUUCUUUCGCUCCGUGUUAUGAACACAUGAUAAUCUUUCAUCUUAGAUUUGGAAAUAUGGAAAACGCCAAGCAAGAAGCAAUUAAGGCUAAUUCAGGUGGAGAACGUAAGUUUCAAUAAUCUUAUACAUUUUUAAUAAUUGUUUUAUCUUUGUAAAGUAAUGAAUAGUAAACGGUGCAAUAUAAUUUGGGUUUAACAUGAUAACAUGAAGUCAUGAACAGUUUCUAGUAUAGAGCAUCAACUUAUAUUAUAUUCAUAUGCUAAUACACUAUAGUGGUAAUUUGUUUAUUUAUAAAUUGUGUUUUGAGUUCUAAUUAUGUUAAUAACUUUUGCAGUUUUAAUUGAUACAAAAUAUGAGCCAUUGAUCCCUAAGAAAGAGAAGUCAACUCAAUCAAAGAAGUUUUAGUUUUUUUAAGGGUUUUUUGUUUUUUCUACUUUAUGUAAUGAAAAAUUUUUUUCGCUUGAUUUUUGCAUACAUUUAGCAUCAUUGGCUAUAAAAUCAUCGAUGUACAUUUGGAUUGUAAAUCAUAAAUUUAAUAUAUUUAUAAAUUUUGUCUCUUUUAAUUUUUAUAUUUUGAUAUAGAUAUUGUGAAUAUUUUCGGUAUUUAUUUAAAAAAUUGAUCUAUAUUUGAUUCUUUUAUAUUUUGUUGAAAUAUAAUUAUUUAUAAAAAUUAAGUUUUAAUAGUGGUAUAUGUGAAAUUAGUAAAAUUCAAUAAUUAGAAAAUCAGAAACAGUGACCGAUUUAGCUACCAAAUUUUAGAUUUUUAAAUCAGAUAUCAGCAACCGAUUUAGCGACCAAAAAGUUGGUCACUAUUUAGUGACCGAUUCUCUCAGCGGCCAAUUUAGCGACAAAAAAAGUGGUCGCUAUUUAGUGACCGAUUUUAUUAGCGACCAAUAUUGUUUGGUAUUAGUUUGGUGGCCUUGUUCAAAAAUUGGUCGCUAAAAUCGACCGCUAAGAAUUUAGAGACUGAUUUAAAAAAAAAAUUGGUCGUUAAAUCGGUCGCUAUUCCGGUAAUUUCUUGUAAAUAUAAACUAGCAUUCUUAAUUGCUAUAGUCAUGUCCUUUGUUCUCCUAAGCUUUUUAGAGAGGGUUUGAGGAAUUAUAUUCAUAUAUACAACUUUUUUUUUAAAUGAGAAGGAUAGCUUUUAUAAAUUUAUAUAUAUUAUAUGGGAUCUAAGUCCAACAAAAAGUCUACAUAAAGUUAAAUGAGGUAAAGUAGACCCAUUAUAUCAUUAUUCAUGAGUAUACUAACAAACUCAUGAGGAGGUGAAUCCCAAAAAACAAGUUCCAAUAUAAAGUUAAAAUUAAAUAAAUCUCAUUUUAAUUUGUCUACAUCCACUACAAGAAAUAUAUUGAAUAUUAUCGAAUUUAGUGUCACACAUUAGCAUCGAUUUUAUCAUUGGAUUUAAUGACAAAUUUGAUGUGAAAUUCGUUAUGCCAAAUAACUACCGACAAAUAGCCACUUUCGACGGUAAAGUCGUCGAUAAUUUUUGGUAGAAACCACAACAAAUAGGCGCCAAAUUUAACAUUGAAAUUACUGGAAGACGAAUUCGACAAUAAACACGUUUAAUAUAUAGAACGUUGCAUUUUAGUGAUUCGCACCGCGUUACCGUCGAAAAUAUUUGCCGAUAAAUUUGACGGUAACCGUGUCCUAAAUUGGAACCGAGAACCCUCUCCCCUUCAUUUCAAUUUCACUCUCUCUCUCUCUCUCUCUCUCUAAUCUCUCACCUUCCUCUCUCCCUCUCUCUUUCUCUAACCUUCUCAUUUCUCAUCUCUCAUCUCCGUCAAUCUCCUCCGCUGCUAUUGUGAAAGCUGCAGCCGCUAUAGCGAAAGUUGCUACCGCUACCACAAACGUCACCGCUGCAGUCGCGAACACAGCCGCCGCUGCUGCAAGCCCCUGCCGCCACUGCUGCAACGCCCCUGCCACUUUUGCCUCUGUCGCCGCUGCACCUCCACCCCUCUUCUUCGUUCUCUCUUGUUCUGCAUUCAAAAUUUUUUGUUUGAACAUUAUUUAUUUCAAAUUUUGUUAUUUCAAGUUAAUUAAUUAGUUAGUAGAGUUUAGUUAGUUUAAUUUUCUGUUUUAGUAUAUUUAGGUGGUUAGGAUAUGUUAGAUUAGGUUCUGAGAUUGUUGGAAAAUAUUGAAUUAUUGAGCUAUUCUCUGAUUUUUCUUGCUGAAAUUAUUUGAAAAAUGCUUGACUAUUUAAUAAUAAUUUAGUUGUUUGUAUAUUACUUUAAUAAUGAUUGAAAAAAUUAAUAAGUUGAGAAGGCUUGAUGAAUAUUUGGUUUAGAUGGAAUCUUUGAAGGGUGAAAAAAUUCAAAUUUUAGGAGAGACUCUUUCAAAACUUUUAUAAGAUUUUCACUGAAAUUAAAAAAAAUUAAAAUUAUGUUUAAGGUUGAUAGAUAUUUGUGUUAAUUGAUGGAAAAUGNNNNNNNNNNNNNNNNNNNNNNNNNNNNNNNNNNNNNNNNNNNNNNNNNNNNNNNNNNNNNNNNNNNNNNNNCCUGCUGCUGAAAUGGUUUGGAAAAUGUUUGACUGUAUUAAUAAUGAUUAAGCUGUUUGUAUGUUACCUUAAUAAUGAUUGAAAAAAUUAAUAAGUUGAGAAAGUUUGAUGGAUAUUUGGUUUGGAUAGAAUCCUUGAAGGGGGGAGAAAUCCAAAUUUUAGGAAUUAUUUCGAAACUAAAACACUAUGUAAUUUCUUUUUUUUUUUUUGUUAAUUUACUAAACUAAAAUACUUUUAGAAUUAUUUAUUAUUUCUUGAGUUUCUUCUUAUGUUAUUAUUAUUUAUUGGUAUCUGUUAUGUUAUUAAUAUAUUUGUUGUAAAGAUAUGACGAAAGGUAGCAGAGGUAGGUCGAGUGGGUCACGUGGUCAUGGUAGAGAGCAGACUUCCACCGAAUUUCCGAGGACUGCUAGUCAUCGCCCUCUAUCCCGGAUACCCCGUCGCCCCCUGUUACGUCAACGUCAUAGGCAGGUCCAGCAGACCAGCAAUUCAGCAUGGUCCCAAACUGGAAUUGGGUGCCUCCUUCUGCUAUGCCCCUGCAGAUGCAGCGACGACAUCGAUAGAGCCCGCGGUGGGUGAUUUCUCCAGUGCCCCCCAACAUGAUGCCCCUCUACUACCUCCUGUCAUCUGGCUGAAGAUUUGGCUCGAUCACAUGCAGUCACGAGUUCAACUUUUUAAUCUUAAGUUUGUUUAUCUUAAGUUUGUUUAUCUUAAGUUUAUGUGUUUCUAUUUGUUUAAUAAUGUGAGGUUUUUUCUUUGACAGGUUUGCACCAAACCCCAAGCUUGCACACAGGAGACCACCGAGGUCAUUAAGUCUAUGUACGACCACACGUGGCUGACCUACUCGCAGAUCUUGGCUAAGACCAGAGAGCGAUGGUUUCAGAAGUGAGCAGUAAUAAUCCAAUUUAGUUUGAACUAAUUAACUGUAUUUAAACUGUAUUUUAUUUUGACUAACUAAUUUUGGUGAAUCACUUUGUGCACUUGAAAUUUAUAUGGGAUGCAGAACACAAUCUCAUGAUCAGGAAGAUCUAUGACCACCGGGCAACCAAAUGACUUCAGCAGAUGAUGAGCGACAUUCGUCAGGGAAAAGACCACCGAACAUCGUGGAUCUGUCCAAACAUCAAGAAGGAACUUGAGGCCUAUUUUUGAGAUAACGAGGGUCUCAAGCAUUGCCGUCUGACAAACAUCGCUAACAGGGCUUCGCCUAGGUCGUCGAGGUAUACGAGUGGAUCGGCGACCUUCAGGAAGACGAAGAGUAGACUGCUAAGAAUUUUGACAUUGUUUAAUGUUUUAGUAGUCACUUGAAUUAGUUAUUUAAUUUGUUCAUUUAUUUUAUAAGCAUGUAAUUGAUUUACAAGCAUUCUUAUUUUGAAUAUGAUCUUUAGUGUUAUCCUUACUCUGUUGAUAUAUACUUAUAUAGUUCUGUAAGAAUUGAAUUGAGUUGAGCUGAUAUAAAACUGCUUUGUUGGUUUGAUUGGUUGAUUUGUGUGGUUAAUGAUGAGAGAAUGUUUGAAUCAUAUAUAAAAUGGGUUCAUAGUUGAACUGGUUCUGAUACGGAUUGACUGCUUUAUAACGUGUAAAAAUAUUGGUUUAUUUUAAUUUAGAAUGAUUAAACAAGGUUGUGAUACUUAUUAUAACUAUAUAUAGCCAGUAGCUUGGGAAUUUUGUGAUGAUGAUCUUAGUUGUUGAAUUUUGGAUUAUCAUAAUAAUAAACAAGGAUGAUGAUUUAAUAUACAUUUUGAUUUCCUGUAUUUUGAUUCAUAUAUAUUUGUCUGUCAUUAUUUAAUUUAUUUAUUUAUUUUAUUAGUUGAUAUAUUAAUUUGUAGUCUAAGUCGUUGGAUCAUGAGGUAACACUGGCAGAGACCUUUAAGUAUACUCAUACUUUGAAGGCAAACAAGGAGAGAUUUGUUGAUGAGUGGUCUGUGGCCUAUUAUAUGAGUUUAAAUUAAUCCUAAUUUUUAACUUUAUUUGGUUUAAUGUCAAUUAUUUAACUAUUAUCCUAAUUAUAACUAACGUGUGUGACGCAGGAGGAGUACACGUAGAGGUUGGAGGCCGCGACCUAGCAAUAUCAGUCGCUUAGUAGGGACGAAAAAGCCAGAUCCGAGACCUCAUCAGUGGUAGAUCCUGAUAGGAUUUGGCGCGAGACCGCCUCUGAACCUCACAGGAAUCGUCGCUUCAGGUUGGGGUCAUUCUUUGCUAGUGGCCUCUGCUCCUAUGUGUUGGCAGCUUCCUCUGCCUCUGUCUCUGCCACCAGCCCAGCUGAUCCCCAGAAAGUUAUCGACUUAAGGAAGGAGGUGCAGAAGCUAACACAGGAGUUUCACCAGCAAGGGAGCAGUUUGGGCAGAGGUAUCGAGACCUUCUUGAAUGCGUUGCGUCAGCUUGGACCUGAUAGAGAAGCUGGAGCAGCUCGAUCGGUUAUGACAACAGAUGGAGGAGUACAACCAGAAGAUGUGUGCUGGAUUCAGCGGAACUGCUGGUUCCAGCGGCAAUGCUGCUGGUGGGGCACCGAUGGCAGCACCUACUCUGCCUCCUCAGCAGCAGGACCACGACGCCGCCGACGAUGACAAUGACGAAGAUUACCGGGACUUGUAGGAGUUAGAAUUUUAUGCAUUUUGUUUGCCUACUUCAUUGUAUUCUAUAUCUGUGACAUUUUAUUGUAUUCAGACCAUUUAUUUUUUAAUGAAAUAAAAUUUUUAUGCUAACUUUAAAUUUUUUUCAACAGUUUUGUUAACAAGAGUCUACUAAUUGUGGCUUAACUGUGCCAAAAAAAUUACCGUCGGAUUUACUGUCAGUUAAAUCUGACGGUAACUUGGCGUCUUAACACGUGAAAUGGCGCAAAAGUUAUCGUCGGAUAUAUCCGACAGUAACUAUCAACACAAUCUCGCCAAAUCUAUUGAAAAAGUUGAUGAAAAAUCUGCUGGUAAUUAGCUUCGGACAAAAAAAAUCCAGCAGUAAGCAGUUUCCAGCGACGUUUAUACCGUCAACUCAAGAACAACGGUAAAUCCGGCGGUAAUUUUUUUACUGGCGGAUUUAUUUAAUGAAUCCGACGGUACUCAGUGCAUUUCUUGUAGUGAUCUUUUAUAAUAAAGAGUAAAGUACUGUUUUGGUCUCUAACAUUUGGGAUGAAUCCUAUUUUGGUCUUUAACAUUUAAUCGUCCUAUUUUUAUUCUAAAACGUUUAAAAUGGCAUCAGUGUUAUCCCACCAUCAAUUUUCUCACUAACAAUUAAUGGAAUUGAUGUACUAUUAAUAAUAUUUUUUUAAAGUUAUAUUUGCUCAACUCUAUUCUCCUACCUUCACCCUCUCAACAAGUCCAAAUUUUGUUGUCUUACUCCCUUCUUUCUCUCUCUUUUACACUAUUAAAUCUCCAAGAGGGGUUUGAGAAAUAAGAAGAAAGGAGUAGGAAAAUGGGAUUUAGGCUUGUGAGAGAGUGAAGGUGGGAGAGGGAUUGAGCAAACGUACCUUUAGCAAAAGCAUUAUUAAGAGUAUAUCAAUUUUGUUAAUAAUACUUAUAAGUAUUAGAGAGGAAUUUAACAGUGGGAUUAUAUUGAUGUCAUUUUAAACGUUUUAGGAUAAAAAUAGGACGAUUAAAACGUUAGGGACCAAAAUAGGAUUCACCCCAAACCAAACGUUAGAAACCAAAAUAGUACUUUAUCCUAUAAUAAAUGUUAGGUUUAAUUAUUCUGUUGAUAUUUAUAGUUUAACAAAAUUUAUAAAGAGGUUCUUAUACUUUUUUUUUCUUUCAAUUGAGUCUCUACUAUUUUUAAUUUUGUAAUUAAAUCUUUGUUAGUGUAAAACAUGUUAGAAUUAACGUAAUAUUUUUUGUGAGAAAUAAUAUUUUUAUAUUGUAUGUUUGUAUGAAUUUAUAAAAAAAAUGACAUUAUUAAAAUAGGAAUGUCAAAAUAUAUAUUUUCUUUUUGAGAAAAUAUAGAGAACCAACUUUAGGACGUUUGGAAGGAAGAUGAAGAUAGAGAGACAGACACUGAGAGACAUACAGAGACUGAAAUUAAAUUAAGUUUUUAUAUUGUGUUUGGUGUAAAAUGUAUUGGAUUGAAUUAUUCUAAGUAUCAUGUUUGGUUUAAGAUAAAUAUGAAGAUUGAGAAGUAAAUUUAGAAUUUGAAGAGUUAAAUAAGAGUAUUUUUAGAAAAAAUAUUAUUAAAGUUUCGGUUUUUAGUCUCAAAAUUUGUAGUCUUAUCUAUCCCUACUUUUUGGAGAUAUUUGUAUUUCGGAACUGAAAUUUUAGUUUCAGUCUUUGACUACCAAACACAAUAUUGAGUUUUAGUCUCUCAAUUUCAAUUCCAAUAUCUGAAAACAAACACUAUCUUAAUUAGCUAAUUUUAAUAUUUGGGUGUAUAAUGUAGAAUUUAAUAUUAAAAGUUUAUGAUUUAGUGUUUAGAAUUUAAGAUAAACAAAAUAAUUUUUAAAAAAUUGGAUAAAAAAAUUGUUACUUAACAUAACUCUUUUUUUUUUUUUUAUUUUUACACUUUUUUGUCCUUUUAUUUUUGUGUUAAGUAAUUGAUAAGAAAGGAAAACAAAUUGUCUUUUGUUGUAAUAUGGAUAUCUAUGACUUCUUUCAUAAUAUGGGCGAUUCAAUUUUUUUAAUGUUGGGAGACUCAGGUUAUCAAGACAGAUUGAAUUUAAUGAGGUUUGAAAAUAAUGAGCCUUGUAAGUGUAUAAAUAGAAUAAUGUAGCUUAAGAUAAGUGACACACACUAUCAACAUAAUAAGCACCUCUCUCUCCCUAUAUAAAUUGACGCGGUAACAUAUUAGUGAAUAUAUAUGAAUCUCUCAGUUAUAUUAAGAUAAUAAUAUUAGUGAAUAUUAAUACUAGAGUUCUCUAUUUACACUUUUUUAUUUUAUAUUUAUUUUUCUUAUUUAUUUAUUUAUUUUACAACACAUUAUUAGCACGAGACUCUGAUCAAAAUUUAGGAAGACACAGGUAAUAAAUUUUUAUUAUGUCAAAACUCUCUUAUCUUGAAUUUAAUACUCUUGAUAUAUUUGAAAAUAACUACUUAUCAUAGAUACUAGAUGCUGAAAUUUAUCUUGAUUCAAUGGAUCUUGAAGAUACCAUUAAAGCUGUAAAUAAAGUAUCCCAGAAGGAUAAAGCCAAAGCGAUGAUCUUCCUUCGUUAUCAUCUUGACGAAGGAUUGAAAAAUGAAUAUCUCACACUAAAAAAUUCUACAAAUUUGUGAAAGAAUCUUGAAGAAUGAUAUAAUCAUCAAAAGACAGUGAUAACUUCCUCAAACCUAAUAUGAGUGGACACACUUGUAUCUACAGGAUUUUAAAUCCAUAAAUGAAUACAAUUCAGCAAUAUUUUGAAUCACCUCAUGAAUAAAAUUAUGUGGAAAAAAGAUAACUGAUAAUGAUAUGUUAGAGAAAAAUUUCUCGACAUUCCAUGCCUUGAAUGUGCUCCUACAGCAGCAGUAUCGAGAAAAUGAUUUAAAAAAUAUUCUGAGCUAAUUUCUUACCUUCUUGUUGCUGAACGCAACAAUGAGUUACUUUUAAAAAAUCAUGAAACGCGCCCAGCUGUCGGCGUCCUAUUUCCUGAAGCAAAUGCGGAAAAUCAUAACCCCAAAGAGAUAAAUGACAAGGUUUUAGCAACAAGAAAAAUUAUGAAAGGAAGAAAAAUUAUGUUCACAAGAAAGGAUCUCACCAGAAGUGGGAUAAAGAAAGAAAUAAUGGGUAAAAUAAUUCAACAGAGGAGAAAUAUUUCCGUUGUGGUGGAAAGGGUCAUUGGUCGCGUACCUGUCGUACCCCAAGGCACCUAGUCGAUCUUUAUCAAGUAUCUUUGAAAAAGGACGACAAAGGAAAGGAGACGAAUUUUGUUUCAAAUGAUGCUGCUGAAAAUUACACCACUCAUUAUGAAGUAUCUGAUUUCUUUGAGGAUCCUGAAAGAAAUAUUGGUCAUUUGAUCAAUGAUGGAAAAGUUUGAUAUUUGGGUUUAGUACUUAUGUAAAUAAAUAAUGUAAAAAACUUUUAAGUUUUAUUCCCUAUGUAUUUGAAUUUCAAGUGUGAUGUAUAUAAAUAAUAUUUAAUAAAAUAUUUAUAUUUAUAAAUUUGAAAAUUACUAAAUGUCCUAAGUACUAAAAUAGUAAUAAUAAUAAAAUUUUUUGUAUAUGAUACUAUGUACAAUACUCAGAAAAACGAUUUCAAUCAAGAAAAUAAUUUUACUGCAGAUAUAUUUUUACUCAUUUUAUUAUUAUUAUUAUUAUUUGUCUUUGAAAAAAAUGACAAAAACAUAUAGUGAAGAUGUUUGCUUUACGGAUAGUGCAAGUUCCCAUACCAUUUUCAAAAGUAAUUGUUGGGAAUAAAUAGUAUGACCACAAUCCAAUCAAUCAUGUGUCAAAUAAUUUGUUAUUGUUAUUAUAUUAAAAUGUUAAUACAAUAAAGUCAUUGGUUAAAAGUAUAACCAUCAAAAGACAGUGAUACUUCCUCAAGCCUGAUAUGAGUGGACGCACUUACGUCUACAGGAUUUUAAAUCCAUAAAUGAAUACAAUUCAACAACGUUCCGAAUUACCUCACGAAUGAAAUUAUAUGGAGAAAAGAUAACUGAUAAUGACAUGUUAGAGAAAAUUUUCUCGACCUUCCAUGUCUCGAAUGUGCUCCUACAGCAGCAAUAUCGAAAAAAAGAACUUAAAAAAUAUUCUGAGCUAAUUUCUUGCUUUCUUGUUACUGAAUAUAACAAUGAAUUACUUUUAAAAAACCAUGAAGCGCACUCUGCUGGUGUCGCCCCAUUUUCUGAAGCAAAUGCGACAAAUUAUAACCCCAGAAGAGGUAAAUGGCAAAGUUUUGGUAACAAAAAAAUUAUAAAAAAAAAAGAAAAAUUAUCUUCACAAGAAAGGAUCUCACCAGAAGUGGGAUAAAGAAAGAAAUAAUGGACAAAAUAAAUCAACAGAAGAUAAAUGUUUCCGUUGUGGUGGAAAGGGCCAUUGGUCACGUACCUGUUGUACCACAAGGCACUUAGUUAAUCUUUAUCAAGCAUCUUUGAAAAAAAUGACAAAGAAAAGGAGAAAAAUUUUGUUUCAAAUAAUGUUGCUAAAUAUUACACCACUCAUAAUGAAAUAUCUUAUUUAUUUGAAUAAAAUAUUAAUGUUUAAGCUUAAGAAUUUUAAAAUUACUAAAUGUGUCAAGUUCUAAAAUAAUAAAAAAAAAUUAGUAUAUAUAAUAUUAUGUACAGUGUUUUUNNNNNNNNNNNNNNNNNNNNNNNNNNNNNNNNNNNNNNNNNNNNNNNNACUAUUCCUUUGUACAAUGCUACUUAGACAAACAAUUCCAAUCAUGAAUGCAAUUUUACUACGCAUGUACCUUUACUUAUUUUAUGAUAUGAUCUUAUUAUUAUUAUUUGUCUUUGAAGAAAAUGACAAUGACAUAUAAUGAAGAUAUUUGCCAUGCAGAUAGUGCAAGUUCGCAUACCAUUCUCAAAAGUAAUAUAUAUUUUACUUAUCUUGUACCAAAAGAAGAAUGUGUUAAUACAAUUAUUGGCUCAUGCAAUGUGAUAGAAGGUUUCGAAAGAGCUAUAAUUUUAUUUCUUGGAGAAACAAAAUUCAUAAUAAAUAAUGCACUAUUAUCUACUAAGUCUCUAAGGAACUUGUUGAGUUUUAAAGAUAUUCGCCGAAAUGGAUAUCAUAUUAAAACCAUGAAUGAGAAAAAUCAUGAGUACUUAUAUAUCACAACUCAUGAUUCAAAUAAAAAGGUUAUAUUAGAAAAGUUACCCUCACUUUCUUCUGGGUUAUAUUAUACUAAAAUCAGUGUAAUUGAAUCACAUGCCAUUGUAAACCAGAAGUUUACUAGCCCAAAUAAAUUCAUAAUUUGCUAUUAUCGAUUGGGGUAUCGUGGAACAACCAUGAUGCAGAGAAUUAUUAGAAACUCCCAUGGAUAUUCACUAAAGAGUCAGAGAGUUCUUCAAUCUAGUGAAUUCUAUUGUGCCGCAUGUUCUGAGGAAAAGUUAAUUGUAAGGCCAUCACCAGUAAAAGUUAGAUUUGAGCCCCUGAAUUUCUAAAAAGAAUUCAAGGAGAUAUAUGUGGACCAAUUCAUCCACCAUGUGAAUUCUUUAGAUACUUUAUGGUCCUAAUAGACUCAUCCUCAAGAUGAUCACAUGUGUGCUUAUUGUAUGGCUAACUGAAUAAGUGUUGAACAUCUAGUAGCUCAUGUUCACACACAAAAUGGAUUAGCAGAAUCACUUAUUAAACGCCUAUAAUUAAUUGCUAUACCUUUACUUAUGAGAACAAAUCUCUCUAUUUCUGUUUGGGGGUAUGCGAUUUUAUAUGCCACAACACUUAUUCAUUUGAAGCCAACAAGUUACCAUCAGUUCUCUCCCCUGCAAUUAGCUGGCCAGCAUCCAAAUAUUUUCUAUUUGAAAAUAUUUGGGUGUGCAAUAUAUGUUCCUAUUGUCCCACCUUCUCGCACCAAAAUAGGACUUCCAAAAAAAUUGGAGAUUUAUGUGGGAUAUGAUUCUCCCUCUAUAGUGAGGUAUCUUGAGAUACAAAUAGGAGACUUGUUUAAAGUCCGAUUUGCAGAUUGUCAUUUUGAUGAAUCAAUGUUUCCAACAUUGGGGGAAACGAAUAAGCCACUUGAGAAAAAAAUUAAUUGAAAUGCAUCAUCGUUAAUGCAUCUAGACCCACAAUCAGGCAAUGUGAACUAGAAGUUUAAAAGAUUAUACAUUUGCAAAGAAUAGCAAAUGAAUUACCUAAUGCAUUUUCUAAUACAAAGAGGAUAACCAAAUCCUACAUACCAGCUAAAAAUGCUCCAAUUUGAAUUGAUGUUCCAGUUAGACAAAUGGCUACUGAAACAAGUAUAGACCAGAAGCGUGGUAGACCAACUGGAUCCAAAAAUAAAAAUCUUCGGAAAAGAAGAGAGGAAUUUGAUAUUACCAAGACAAAUGAUAUUUCUGUUGAAAAAGAUAAAGACAUAGAAGGGACACCAGUAAGUGUCCAAAAUUCUGAUAUUGUUUUGAUGCCAGAAGACGUUCAGAUACCUGAAAAUUGUAAAAAUGAUAAAAUCUCGAUAAAUUAUGUCUUUACAGGAACAAAAAUAUAACCGAAAUAAAACAAUUGUCAAUAAAAUAUUUACAUAUAAUGUGAUAUUACACAUCAUGCAUGAAAGUAAGGAUCUUGAGCCAAGAACAGUCGAAGAAUAUCGACAAAGGAAUGAUUGGCCAAAAUGGGAAGAAGUUAUGAAGGUUAAGUUAGACUCACUUGCAAAACAUGAAGUCUUUGGACCUGUAGUCUGUAUACCAGAAGAUGUAAAAUCUGUUGGAUAUACAUGGGUAUUUGUGAAAAACAAAAUAAGAAAAAUGAAGUUGUACGCUACAAAGCUCGAUUUAUGGCACAAGGUUUUUUACAAAGGUCCAGUAUAGAUUAUGAAGAAACAUAUUCCCCUGUAGUAGAUGCAAUAAUAUUGCAUUAUUUGAUCAGUUUAUCCGCAUACUAUAAACUACAUGUGCAUCUAAUAGAUAUGGUGACAGCUUAUUUAUAUAGAUCAUUAGAUCGUAAUAUCUAUAUGAAAAUCCCUGAAGAACUAAAGAUAUCUAAACCAUCCAAUGAAUAUUCUCAGGAAUUAUACUCAGUCAAAUUGAAAAUAUCUUUAUAUGGUCUAAAGUAAUAUAGACAAAUGUGGUAUAAUUGUCUUACUGAGUAUCUGGCAAAAAAUGGAUUCAAGAAUGAUGAUAUCUGCCCAUGUGUUUUCAUAAAGAAAUCUGCAUCUAGAUUUAUUAUAAUUGCUGUGUACGUUGAUGAUUUAAAUAUUAUUGGAACCCUUAAAGAGAUUCCAACAAUUAUAAAAUCUCUAAAAGAAGAGUUUGAGAUGAAAGAUCUUGGAAAGACUAAAUUUUGCCUCGGCCUAUAGAUCGGGCAUAUAAAAAAUGGGAUCUUUAUUCAUCAAACAACAUACACAGAAAAGAUCUUGAAGAGAUUUUAUAUAGAUAAGUCACAUCCAUUAAGUACCCCAAUAAUCAUAAGGUCUUUGGAUGUGGAAAAGGAUCAAUUCCGUCCUAAAGAAGAAAAUGAAGAUAUCCUUAGUCCUGAAGUAUCAUAUCUUAGUGCCAUUAAAGCACUAAUGUAUCUUGCUAAUAAUAUACAAUUUGAUAUAUCAUUUGCUAUGAAUUUACUAGCAAUGUAUAGUUUCUCUCCAACCAGAAGACAUUGGAAUGGAAUCAAACAAAUCUUUUGAAAUCGUCAUAGAACUGUUGAUAUGGGCUUGUUUUAUCCAUAUGAAUCCAAGUCACAAUUAGUUGGCUAUGCAUAUGCAGGAUACUUGUCUGAUCCACACAAAGGAAGAUUUCAAAUAGGAUACCUAUUCACAUAUGGUGAUGUAGCUAUAUCGUGGAGGUUCACAAAACAGAUGAUAGCAACAUCAUCCUCUAAUAAUGCUGAAAUACUAGCGAUACAUGAAGUAAGUCACGAGUAUUUUUGGCUCAGGAGUUUAAUCCAAUAUAUUCUAUCAUCAUGUAGACUGACUAAUCAUAAAAUAGCUCUAACUAUUUGUUUGAAGAUAAUACAACAUGCAUUACUCAACUUAAGGGUGUAUACAUCAAAGGUGAUAGAACAAAGCAUAUUUCUCCUAAAUUCUUCUUCACUCAUGAUCUUCAAAAUCAAAGAACAAUUGAUGUCUAACAAAUCCACUCAAGUGAUAAUCUGGCAAAUUUAUUUACAAAGUUACUUCCAAAAUCUUCCUUUAAAAGAAUGGUACGUCAGAUUAGAAUGCGCUGAUUUCGAGAUAUUAAAUAAUAUUCAAUAAGAGGGGGAGGAUGUACUCUAAUAGAAGGAAAUCGUCGGUAUAGAAUUUUCACAAAAUAAUUCCGUUGAAGUAUAGAUCCAAACUGAUGAACAACCCUCAAUCAAAGUUUAAUUUGUUUGUCACAAGUACAAACCCAAUAAAAACUGAAAGUAUUUAAACCUUGGGUCGUCUCUAAAGGAAUUGCAGGGAAGUGUGCAUAUUAUUGGUUACAGGUGUAUAUUUUUAGGGUUUUGGGUUUGAUAGACAAGAAAAUAAAACUAACAAUUAAGGAAUUAUAAAUGCUAAAAGCUACUCAAGGCAAGGAUUAAGAAUCAAGGUAUCCUAUCCUGGAUCUUUGACCACAACAUGGUGAUUACAAAGGAUUAAUUCCACUUAGUUUUCCUCUAACAUCGAAGGGUUAAGUCAAGUGGACAUAAUUGGUCCUAGAACCAAUUAACAACCCUAAAUUACCAAUAGAACUGGACAUCAAUAAUCUCAAGGGACCUAAAUCCUCAAUCACAAGCCAAGAGUACCAAAAUCUACUCUAAAAUCCAACCAAGCAUCAAACACUUGGAAGGUAUACAAGGAAAGCAUGGUAAAAUAGCAAGAAAUAUAAAAUCUAAAACUACCAAAUACAAGAAAACAAUAAUAACAACUCAAUUAGACAAUAAGAAAUAUAAAACAUAAAAAAUUGUAUUAAAGAGAAUCCAAAUCCAACAAUAGUGCAUGAACAUAAAAGUGACAAAAUAAAGGAAAGAACGAGUAAAACUAAGAAAGCAAAGAUGCAAGAACAAUAAAUUGCAAGAAAACUAAAUUAAAGCAAGAAAUAAAUUCUAAACCUAAGAGAAAUCUAACUUAAAUCUAUCCUAAUUCUAGAGAGAAGAGAGAGCUUCUCUCUCUAGAAUGAGUGACAAAAUAAAGGAAAGAACGAGUAAAACUAAGAAAGCAAAGAUGCAAGAACAAUAAAUUGCAAGAAAACUAAAUUAAAGCAAGAAAUAAAUUCUAAACCUAAGAGAAAUCUAACUUAAAUCUAUCCUAAUUCUAGAGAGAAGAGAGAGCUUCUCUCUCUAGAAUGACUUAAAGCAUGUUUCUAUUCUAUUCUUAAUUGCUCUCCCCUCCUUCCUUCUUGAUUUUGGCCUCAAAUAGAUUCAGAAAUGAGUUAGAUUGGGCUUUGGCAGAUGCAAAAUUCGCCCCUAGCGUGCUUCAUUAAGUUGGUCACGUGCUGCUUGUCACGCGUACGCAACGUCACUUGGCGAAGUUUCUUGGUCACGCGUGCGUGUCGCUAUGAUUUUCCUAAAACUUUAUUUCUUCAUGAAUUCUCCACUUUACAUGCUUUUUCUUCACUUCUUCAAUCCAAUUCUUGCCUUCUAAGCCUGAAUUCAAUCAACAAACAUAUCAAGGCAUCGAAUGGGAUUAAAGUGAAUUAAAAUUAGCAAUUUUAAGGCCUAAAAAGCAUGUUUUUACUCUUAAACACAAUUUAGGAGAAAUUCACAAAACCAUGCUAUUUCUUUGAAUAAUGUGAGAAAAGUUGAUAAAAUCCACCAAAUUCAAUACAAGAUAAACCAUAAAAUUGUGGUUUAUCAUACUCCUUUUUUCUUGGUCAGGUUUUUUAUCCUUAUAUUAGGUUUUUUUUGACAAGGUUUUCAACAAGGUAGUCCUCGUCACAAAGGAUAUUGUACACUUUUUUCUUCACUAGAGCUUUUUUCCAUUAGGUUUUUCUUUAGUAAGGUUUUAAUAAGGCAUAAUCUUAAAUGGACAUCCAAGGAGAAUGUUGUGAUAUGGAUGUCCAUGACUUUUUUUCACAAUAUGGGCAGCUCAAUUUUUCAAUGUUGGGAGGCUCAGGUUAUCAAGACAGAUUGAAAUUAAUGAGGUUUGAAAAUAAUGACCCUCGUUAGUGUAUAAAUAGAAUAGCGUAGUUUGAGACAAAUGACACACAAUAUCAAUAUAAAACACCUCUGUCUCCUUGUAUAAAUGUACGCUAUAACAUAUUAGUGAAUAUAUAUGAAUCAUCUCAGUUAUAUUGAGAUAAUAAUAUUAGUGAAUAUUAAUACUAGAAUUCUCUAUGUAACUACAAAAUUUUUGCUGUUUUAUGGCGGUUUUUUUCUUAUUUUAUGGCAGUUAAAAACCCUACAGAUAGGUUUGUGAGAGUUUCUCAAACCUCUAAAUUGGAGGUGCCACGAGCUUAUUUGUGGCGGUUUUACAAAAUCGCUAGGACUUCAUUCAGUGGCAGUUUAAAACCCCCACAAACAUAAUAUUCAAUUUAAAAAAUGCCACAAACUGAACAACAGUAAUCGUUUACAGAAUUAGAAAAACCAUGCCACACAAUAUUAGCAUCAUUUAAAUUCAAAAUGACACUAAUUAAAGCACUAAAAUACAUAAUAAGAUGAGAAAUAAUAAAUAAUAAAAUUAGAAUUAUGUCAAAAAAUAUCUAUUCCAAAUCGUAAUACAUAUGCAAAUCAAGGAUUCUCCCAUCAAUUCAUUCUUUCUUUCACCUCCUUUAAUACAAGGAGCAACCUCUUAUUAGUGGCAUAACCAAGCUAAAUAGAAUAUUCACAGUAUGGAAGAAAGAAACCAUACCAUUUUUGGUUGUGAAUGUCCUCCUGUAUGUGUUGACAUACUUCUUCACAUCAUCUUCCUUGAAAAGGUUGAACAGCUUAUGGAUUUUGGAGGCUCUCUUUGGACCCUCAUCCUUGGCUUUUCAAUGUUUGUCAGGCCUGGUAAAUCAUUGUCACCCUUCUUCACAAUUACCAAGUUCAGAACUGAGAGGUCUUGAAUACGAAAAAAUUAAAACGCAAAACACAUGACUUGAAUGAAUGCUCUAUACAUUAUGCAGGCUAUACUAAAUGUCAUUAUAAUCUUAAACUCAAAGCAAAUUAAAAGAGACAUAUAAUAGUGUAGUGUAUUAUCUCUAUGGAGUAAGAGGCGAAUGCGAUAAUGGGGUCAAUACUCCUUGCUUCAUUGGAAUUCCUUGUUUGUCACAACCUCUAGUGAUCUUGUAGAUGUGGCCUUUGAAUUCUUGUUGGUAGAACAACAACGAAGAUGAUUAUGACAAUCUCAAAAUUGCUUAACAAAAAUUUCAGCACACCUCACCCAAAGCAUCACCAAGAACCUCUUGUGAGAUUCUCUUGUCCCAAAAUGCUCACCUAUAAUACAAAGUAGAGAUUACAACUUCUGGUCAUCAUCAAUAUCGAGCUUCUUUUGGCAUCCAGUGGUGGGAUUUGCAAUGUUGAACAGAAAAAGCAAAAUGUAUACAACAGCAAGUUUGAUUCAAUCAUGUCACCUAUGGUUUUAAAAAUUUCAAAGGAUAUGAUAAGAAUCUGGUGUACUUAAAGAUGAGGUUCAUAUUGAAUCAUUAUUAUAUGUCCAAUUUUGGUUCUCUUUUGGCCUUAGAACACUUUGUUGAGGAAAUAUAAAUCAGGUUGGGGAAAAGGUUUACUGAUUUUAUUUUCAAUAGCAAUCCUCAAUCUGAAUAAUCAUGUGAGAUGUCCAAAGUAUGUUUAGUUCAGUAUCUUUAGUACAACUACAUUGCUUCAAUCAACCUCCUUUGUGGUCCAUGACAAUGCUGCUUACAGUAAAAUUUGUGUCACUUCUUGGAAUCAAAUUUCAUCUACAAUCAUUUAAACCAAGAUACAAUAAGAUACAUAAUUAAAUAAUUUAUCAAAAGCCUAAAAUCCAACGAAGAGAUCAGACUAUAAUUUUGAGCUACUUGAAUGUUUAGAAAAUUAGAUUCUAAACUUUAUAGUAAGCACAAAAAAAUAAAGAAACAUGAGUUAUAGAAAAUUAGGAAUUUAAAAAUCCUAAAUUGAGGAGAAAUAUGAAAAGAUGUAAAAAGACCUAAUGUAGCACUGGUGGAUGGACUUGGCCAUGUCGGACUUGAAGAAAAGAAUAUGGAGGCGGCACUCGAGGAAGUUCUCGAGGGUGAGAGAAAGGAUGUAAUUGAGUUUGUUUUGUGUCUCAUUGAGGAUGUUGUAACGGAACAUCCUCAGAGGCUUAGGCGUUGCGACCAAAUCUAGAGAGGCGAUAAACCGCGACAAAAAUGGUAGCAACGACGGCGAGGCGAGCUCUCUCUCUGAAUCUCUCUGUUUCGCUCUUCUCUCAGAUAUCCUUAGUUAGUGGCACUGAGUCCACACACAAAUUGUGCUCCGAAUGCUUCACAUCCACCAAAGCAAAAGCAAAACAAGCAGAAGAACUUGCCGGGGAAGACGAUGCAACAUCGAUUGAUGUUGGCUCCGGCACGAUGGCGCAUUGAUGUAGGCUCAAAUGCGAGUGAGUCAGCGGUGGUGGAAGGAGUUGGAGAUGAGGCAUCACUAUGUUUCUCCUCCAUUAAAAUAAAAAAAAUUAUGAUUAGGGUUUUGGAGUUUCACUAUUCUUAUUAUUUCGGUGUGUUCAUUUUAUCUGGGUGGGUGUUUUAAUCAUGCAUAAAUAGCAGAAGUUUGUUGAUAAUUAUGGAGGGAGGUUUGAUAAAUUUCCAUAAAUAAAUUAUUUUAUAGAGAUUUUUAAAAACUUCCAUUAAAAAAAUUCCACAAAUAAGUAAAUAUACUGUAAUGGUAUAUAUUUCUUAAUUUUUUAAAUAUUUGUUUGAUUGUAAUUUGUUUAGGAUAUAUUAUUGUGAAAACUCAGCUCAUCCAAGCUUGUGUCGAUGAGAAUGUGCGAAGGAAAAGAAAUAAGAAAUGCAGAUCAAAAGAGAAGAGACGAGAAUUUAGGAAAGAACAAAAAUAGAAUUCCAGAACUUGGUUAAAAGUGAUUGAUCUCAAAAUAUUAUGCAAUAAAAUUGAUUUAUAUACAAUUCAUCUAAUUAUGGUUAAGCUAUACUAGAGUUAAUCCAGCUGACUAAUAAUGGUUAAAAUGUAACAAACUACAUUACAAACUCUAGCUAUGAUAUGUAAGACCCAAAAAAAAAUAAAUAAUUAAAUAAUUAAUAAAGGUAAGAAAGAAAAGUUAAAAGAUUUAAAAUUUAUAAUUGAAAAAAAAUAAAAAUAUUUAAGAUACGAAUUAAAACACUUAUCUUAAAGAUUUUGGCCUUAGAUUGGGCCAAAUAGGGAGAAAUUGAAUUGGGCGUCACUUGGACCCAAGGCCCAUGACUUAUAAACCCCUACUCACUCAAAACACACUCAUUUUACACCAAAGAGAGAGGGAUCCAUGGAUAGAAGAGGAGGAAAAGAGAGGAUGCCCUAGCCACUAUUCACUUAACACAUUCAAAUCCACAUAACUUCCGAUCCGAAGCUCCGAUCGAUGACCCGUUUGCGGCUACGCGUUACUCUCGACUUUCUCUUUGAUUCUAUACUACUUUUAAGGUGAGUACUCCCAAGAACCUUGAGCCAUUCUUUAUUCUCCCAUUCAAUUCGCAUUUUAGUUGAGUGUGUGUUGAAAGAUUGUGAUUUUGAUGCUUUAGGGAAAGCUCAAGCACAAUUUCUAGUGGGGUUUUAACCCAUGAACACGUGGCUUAAGGUAAGAGAACUUUUUUCCCUUUGAUUUCCCUUUUAUGAGCAAACCCUAGUUUGAAAUGUUAAAAUAAUUGAUGUAAUUAGAUAAUAUGGAAUAACUUGGGUACUUGGUUGAUCUUGGUGUGAAUUUGGCGCUUGAAUUUAUUGCGGAGCACUUGGUGGAAGCUUGGUGCCAUUGAUUGAGACUUGGGUGUGAUAGAGAAGAGAAUCAAAGUUGUGUGAAACCGCCGUCAAUAAGGUACGGGUUUUAAUUUUGGGUAGACAUUAUGUAAAGUUAUGUGAAAACCUAGGUUAAUUGCCUUAAGAUAGGAUAGAAUGGAGAUGGUUGGUUUAUGAUUGACUAAUUGUUGUGAUAUAGUGUGAAUUUGAGAAAUGAGUAUGUUUGAGUUGAAUAUGUAUUGUGCUUGGAUAAAUGUUGUGGUUGAUUGCCUUUGAAAUACUUUGAUACAAAAAUUGGGGCAGAGGCCGUGAUAAGGUGAGGUAUCCCCUAUUUGGUAAGUUAUGGUAAGUUGAUAAGCACCAUAUUGUGAAUUAUUGUGAAAUUGAUAAGAAUUGGUUGAACAAUUGAUUGUUUGAUUUUGAUUAUUGGUGGAAUAAAUGUUGGAAUGGAUUGAUGGUAUUGAAUUGGGUUGAUUAGGUUUGGAAUGAUUUGAAUUGAUAAUUGUAUAAAAAAAAUGGUGCCUAGAAUUAGGUUAGGUUGUUUUGAAAGUAGCAAAUUUGAGAAUUUGUGAAAUUGACAAUUAUGCAAAAAUUGGUAAAAAUAGAUUUUUGACCAACUUUGAUAGGCAAUAACUUGUCGCUCGAAGCUUGAAAUUUAAUGAACUUUACCUUAAAUUAAAGAUGAUGAUGAGAGCUUUAAAAGAAUGGAGAAAAACAGAGUUUUGUAGCAAACGUUCUUCACAUUUGAAAAUUGGUGUAAAAAACUGAAAUUGCAGAGUUUGCAGAAAACCAGCAAAACUGGCUAGUGUGCGCGCGCACAGAAGCGUGCGUGCGCACCACUCAAAGUGAGUGAUGCAGCUUGUGUGUACGCACGAGGGAUGCAUACGCAUGAGUCAGGAAAAGUUACAACUUGCACACACCUGUUUUUUCAAAAUCCUAUUUUUGACUGUUCCACCUUUCUGGCGAGGUUGUAACCCCCUCUAACCUCUGUAUGGAGUUGAAUAACUGAUAAUUAAGUCUUGAAUACACUGGGGAGUGAUACAAAAAAUUAGAUUGAACUAUUACAUAUUUUCGGAUAAACACUUAGUUAACCGGAUAAAAUGUUGUGUGGAUGAUGGUUUUGUCCUGCCCGCGGUAAGGACAGUGGUUUCAUCCUGCUCACAGAAUAAUGAGGUCGAUUGUUAAUGAAUGAAUGGGGUUAAUAAAUCUAAUAACUUGUGAAAUUGAUUAAAUUAAUAAUUAUUGAUUAAUUACCUAGGUAAGAUGCAAGUAUUGAGGUUUGUCCCACUUGCUUUGGGUUAGGAUUUAAGGCACCUGGAUAAGAUGCAUGGAUCAUGGCUCUGUCCCAUUUGCUCUAGGUUAAGUGGGAAUGGUGGCCUUGUCCCACCCACAGGGAGGACGGUGGUAUUAUCCUACUCAUAAGAAAAUAGAAUUGAUUACUUGAUAAAGAAUUGAGGAUAACGAAUCUAAGUUUGAUAAAUUGAUAAAAAGAUGAGGGUUAAUGAGUUUAAUAACUUACGAAAUUGCUAAAAGACCUUGAUAUUGAUUGAUUAUGGCCUAAAUGGCUGGAUUGACAAGGACGGAGGUUUGUAAUGCUUGCAAGGCAAGGUCGUGGGUUUUGUCCUGCUUACGUUAUUAGUGUUGUGAGGACAGUGGUUGCAUCCCGCUCACGAAUAGGCAAGUUGAGGUUGAGGAUUCCCUCCCUUGCUGUGAUAAACAAGUUGAGGAUGAAGGAUUCCUUCUCUUGUUGUGAUGUGGAAUUGGGGAAGGUGGUAGGACACUCUUCCUCGUUUUAUUCCCUCGCUUCUCUUUAAUUAUGAUUUGUUGGAUGUGGAAAAGGUGGUAGGGCACUCUCUCUUGAUGUAUUCCCCCACAUUCGCUCUGUCUGCAGGGUUGUAGGGCACUAAUCCCUCGAUCUGUAUGGCACGACUUCACAGGGAAAGGUGGUAGGGCACACUCCCUCGAUUUAUUUCCCCUGAUGACUGCCUCCAAGAGAAGGUGGUAGGGCAUACUCCCUCGAUUAUAUGCCUCCUGAAGAUGCGCAACAGAAAAACGAUAUCUAGGAUAGUGAUGAAUCCAUAUUUGAUGAUAAUUUUGGUUGAAAUUGAGUGGAUUUCAUCAUAUAAACCUGCACUUAUUCCCUUAAAUAGCAUGCUUUUGAGCUUUCCUCCUAAAUUGUGCUUGAUUAUGAAAACAUGCUCUUUUGUGUCUAAUUUAGCCUAUUUUAUUCUGUUUACCUUUCAUUCGAUACCUUGAUGUUGUUUAUGAGUAAUUUCAGAUGUAUAAGGUAGGAAUGGCUUGGUGAGAAUGGAAGAGAAGCAUGCAAGGAGGAGGAAGCAUGAAGAAUUAAAGGAGAAGAGCAAAGCGACGUGUGUGUAUGCACAGACCUGCGUCCGUAUGCAUAGGUACCAAAGCAGAGCAAAGCGUGCGCGCACGCAGCAUCUUGCGCGUCGCACGAUCAUCCAAAGCAUCGCAAAGUGUGCGUGCGCACAACCAGAGAUUUUGGCCGAGUGUGCGUGUGCACACGUCUGUGCGUACGCACAAGUACCUGCACAUGCCUUCAUUAAAAAUGCACAUGACUCACAUUUUUGAUGGAUUGGAGGCCCAAUUCUGAAGCCAAUAGCUCAUAAUAGAGGGGGAAAACAUGGGAAAACCAUACCAUACCAUAGGAUAUCAUUAGAAUAGUUUUAGGAGUAGUAUUAGGAGACUUUAGUGUAGUUUUUCUCUAAGUUUUCUCUCAACUCCAUUAGGGUUUUUAUUAGGGUUUUACAUUUCAAGUGCCAUUUCUAUUUUUGAUCUGGAAUUUUGUUAGCCUCCAUUGUAAGUAUUUCUUAAUUACUACUCUUUAUAGUUACAAUUUUUAUACUCUUUCUUGUAAUUAAAGUCUUAGUGUUAAUAUAUAUUUUUUGCAAUUUUGAUUUCUUGUUGAUGCUUUUGAUGAUUGAUGAUUAUUACAUGCUUGGUUGAGUUGUUAUUGUUGCUUUUGAUCAUUUGUUACUCAUAGUUUCAAGCAUUUUCUUAAUUUUACCUUGAUUUGCAUUUGUGCUCACCAAGUGUUUGUAGAAAUGUCAAUUUUGAUUAUAGGCUAAAUUUCCACCUCUUGACUUGGGAAAAAUGAGCCAUUGGGUUCCUAGAGUUGGAAUGUCCAACAUUUAGUUAUAAUUCUUGGAUUGUUAAUUGUUCUUGUUUCCACUAAUGCUAACUUGUUGCUAAGGUAAUUAGCAAGUGAGUUAGGAUUUGGGGAUUGGGAACAAUUAUGCUUACUUGACUUAUUCUCCGAUGUGAGGGUUAAAUAAGUGAGAUUAAUUCAUUAUAAUUGUCAUAAUUGUGGUUCCAACAAGGAAAGGAGCCCUAGCUCAUCCUAAGCCAAGAUUUCAUUUAUGUUUUAAAUCACACACACAUACAUACAUCAAUCACUUUCGUUGCGUACUUGUUUAUAUUACAUAGUUAGUUCUUUAAUUCCUUUAUUAGUUCAUUACUUGCAAUUUUGAAUGUUCUUUUAUUUCUUUAAUUGUUUAUAUCUUCAUGAAAAAUCUUUUUGCCUUCACAACCGAAAUUGUGCACUCAUUGGUCACUAGGUCCUUGGGAGACGACCCGAAAAUUAAAACUCCCGGUUUAUAUUUAUUUUGAAUUGUGACAUCUUUUGUCCUUCCAAACUUUGAUGGGGAGUUGAUUGUCGGUUGGGACUAUGCUACCAACGAAAUGAUCCCUAUUUUGAGGAAAAAUUCCUAACCGGCGAUAACGGCCCCACCAAGUUUUUGGCGCCGUUGCCGGGGAUUACUAAGUGCAAUGUAUGCUAUAGUUUUGGUUGUCGUGAAUAUGUGAAUAGUUUGAAUGCUUGAAUUUUGCUUAUUACUUGACACUAAUUGGUAGAUGGUACCUCUAUCUAAUUAGUAGUAGUAGUUAUUGACUUUUAGGUUAUUUUUGUUUAUUUCCUUAUUCUAGUUUUGCUUUUGGUAAUUGCAUGUUUUCAUUGAUUCCUCAGUUGAAUGACACGGCCCGAGCUUGGCCCCUUUUGACCCUGAAAUAGAAAGGACUUUAACACAUCUUAGGCAAGCUCGGCGCCAGUUAGCAUUCGUGCAUAGUGAAUCGAACUCUCUUGAAGAGCAAACCGGUUCACCAUCACCUUCUAACCUUGAUCCUCAUUCUUCACUUAACGAGGGAACCUUGUAUUCUUCUGUUGGAAGUGCUGAAAUUUUUUUGAGUGAAUUAGGUGACAACACUAUGGUGGAUCCACCUCGGAGAAUUACUUUGAAGGAGGCUGGAGUGCCGGACAUUACUUUGCAACCAGUGCAAGUUUGGUACCCAGAUCUAGAUGCCAAUUUUGAGCUCAAGACGGGUAUGAUCAACCUGCUACCAAAAUAUAAUGGGCUACCGGGAGAAGACCCUCUCAAGCACUUGAAGGAUUUUCAAGUUGUGUGCUCUUCUGCAAGAAGACAUGGGUCAGAUGAGAUAGUGGUUAUAGUUUUCGCUUUCCCUUUUUCACUAGAGGAAAAAGCGAAAGAAUGGUUUUACACUCAACCGGAGGAGGUGAUUUCUAAUUAGAAUUUGUUGCGCAAGGAGUUCCUUGAGAAGUUUUACCCACCUCAAAAGACGGAUCGUCUAAGGAAGGAAAUCUCUUGCAUCAUGCAAAGAGAUGGAAAGACCCUUUAUGAAUAUUGGGAAAGGUUCAAAAAGUUGUUGGAAGCUUGUCCUUACCACUGCAUUGAUGAAUUAGUGUUCAUAAGUUACUUUUUCCAAGGGAUGAUUCCCCAAGACAAGCUUAUUCUUGAUGCCUCAAGUAGAGGAUCUCUCACUAAGAACAAAACCGCAUCGGAAGCUUAAAAAGUCAUUGCGGAUUUGGCGGAUUCGACUCAACAUUUAAGGUCAAGAAAUAACCAAAGGCUAUAGGUGAAGUCUCACCUUCUGGUGAUGCUAUCUUGACUAAGACGCUCGGUGAGAUGACAAUCAUGUUAAGGCAGCUCACUCAAGGCCAACAAAUUCUACAAGUGUUGUUAUCCCCUCUGCCCCAACCUCCUAGAAUUAAAGGACCUCCUAGAUCUUGUGGUAUUUGUGCUUGUAACAGUCACUACACCGAUGAGUGCCCUCAAAUCCAAGAGGACAACACAUUGGCAGUGGCAAAUUCUUACCCACAAAGAUUAAGGCAAUCAAGGAUCUCAUCAUUAUGGAGGGAACCAAAGUCAAGGAUAGAGAGAUAACUCCCAUCAAAUAUGGAAUCAACCAUCUCAAGCUCAACCUUAUUCCAACCAACAAGUCUAUUAUCACCAACCUUCACAAGGCCAACAACCUUACCCUCAACCACCAUAACCUAUCUACCCACCAUACCAACCACAAAGCCCACCUCAUACCCAACCCAAUCAACAACCACAUUCCCAACAUCAAUCAAGGUAUAUACCACCACACACUAGGCCUAACCUCACCCAAAAUAAUCAAAUCCCCUCUCCAAGUCAACCUCACAUGAACGAUUCACUUCAAAGUUUCAUGCAAGAGCAAAGGGAGUUUCAUAAGAAGCAAGAAACGUACAUGGCAACCAUUGCCGAAACUUUAUCCGUUUGACUCUUUCUCCUUCAGCCACUCAAAAUGCCCAUCAAGCUUCCACCUCUAGUGGUCUACCUUCUCAACCCCAACCAAACUCAAAGGGAAGCAUUAAUGCUAUCACCCUUAGGAGUGGUAUCAAGUUAGAUGAAGUUGGUCUUGAGCCUACAAGUUUGAGCAAGGAACCCCACGAUGAGGAAAUAGAAGAAGAAGUGGAAGUGAUGAGAGAUGAGGAAGAAAAUAUUGCAAGAGGUGAGGAAGAACCAUCAAAGGUCAAAGAGCCUAAAAGGAAGAACCCUCUUGAAGAGCCUACACCAAUUCCUUUUCCAACAUUGGCUAAAAAAGCAAAGAAGCAUGAAGGCCUUGACCCCAAUGUAGUGGAGAUUUUCAAGAAUGUGAAAGUUACCGUUCUUCUUUUUCAAGCCAUUCAACAAGUGCCAAAGUAUGCAAAAUUCCUCAAGGAUGUGUGCACCCAUAAGGACAAGAUUGGUGAGCUAAACAAGAGUCCGGUAAAUGACUUUAUCUCUUAUCUCAUUCCGGAAAAGUGUAAUGAUCCCGGUCCAUGUUUGGUAACUUGUGUGAUUGGUGGGAUGGAGUUCAUGGAUUGCAUGUGUGAUUUGGGAGCGUGUGUAAGCAUUAUGCCCCCUCCCUAUCUAUGAGAAGUUGAACUUGUCACCAUUGAAGAGGUCCGGAGCAAGAUUUGUGUUGACGGAUAAAAGCAUUGUGUCAGUUGUCAGAAUUGCUGAGAAUGUGUUGGUCAAUAUCCAAGGGUUGCUCUUUCCGAUAGACUUUCAUAUCUUGGAAACCCCUCCAAUUGAUUCAGACAAGCCAUCCUCUAUUCUCCUUGGGAGACCAUUUUUGAAGAUGUCCCGAUUCAAGUUGGAUGCAUAUUCGGGAGCUUACUCAUUUGAGGCCGAUGGAAAAAUAGUGAAGUUUACUUUGGAUGGAUCCAAGAAGCCUACUCUUGAAGGCUACUCUAUCUUUGGUUGUGACUUAAUUGAAGAUCAAGUGAUUGAACCUAGUAAGGAGCAGGAAGAAGAAAAGCAUGCCAAGGAGUUGGAGAUUUUCCUCUUUGGAGAGGUUCCAAAUGCUCAAUAAACUCAUGCAAGUCCAACUUAGGACUCUAAACCAAAGCGCUAGGUGGGAGACACGCCACCAUGGUAACAUUAUUCUAACCCUUCUUCUUUUGCUUAUAGUUCUUAGAUUUAAUUUCUUUCUUGUGCUAUGUUGAUUAGUAUAGGAUUGGUUUAGUUUUUUAGUUAGAUAGGUUAAAUUGCUUGUGGAUCAUGAAUAUUUGAAUGCUUGUAUGAUUGGGGUUGAAAUGUUGAUUUCACUAAGGCUUAGUACCUUAGUUUUAGAGAGAAAAAUUUUUGGAACAGGGCAUCUGUGCGUAUGCACACUCUUGUGUGUGCGCACAUAACUUCAAUUUUCAGCGUCCUGUGCGUGUGCACCAGCCUGUACGUGCGCACACUCUUGUGCCCUCUGUUCGUAGCGCCAGCACAGCCUGUGCGUGGGCGCUCUCCUGUUUCCUUUGAUCUGUGCGUGCGCAUCUUCUUGUGAGUACGCACACAUGCCUCCUUUCGCACACUUUGUGCGAGCGCACAGGCGUGUGCGCCCGCACGCCAACUUGCACCCUCUCUGCUGGGAGCGUUGGCACAGCCUGUGCGCGUGAACCCCUUUUGUUUUCACCCCUAUGCGUGCGCAUAGACCUGUGUGCGCACGCGCACAUAUCCCUUGCCCAAGAAAUUGCAAAGUAUUUAAGAAAAAAAAUUCUGUACAUAGUAGCAUAUGAAAUGAAAAGUUAAAUAAAGGAUGUAUAUGUUUGUGUUGAGGAAAAUAAAAUGAAUGAGUAGAUGUGAGAUAGGAGAUAAAUGGGUAGUUAGGUAGUUUUGUUAUGUGUAUAUAGGAUGGUAUAAGAUUAGGUGGUCACUUGAGCUAAUCAAAGAUAUAAUUCACUAAGUCCACUUAACCAUAUUAAUCCCACUUUAAUCCUAGCCCCAUUACAACCCUCCAAAGACCUCAUGAUAUUUGUUUUUCAUGCAUCAAAUAUUAGUUGAUUGUUAGAUGACUUGCAAAUCUUUGAAAGACACGAUUAAAGGAGAAUUGAGUGAUUAAGCCCUAAACACUGAGCGAAUAGAGUGAAUACACACCCAGUGAGGGGUUCGAUCGCUCAGUUCUAUGUUCUUAUUCCUUAUAUUGUAUCUUCUUGCAAGUUGUUUGUUGUUACUUUUGAAAAUCUCAACUCAAUUCUUUGGACAUUGAUCAUAAUGCAUUUACUCUUUGCCUUGGCCUUAAGGCUUUCUUAGAAUUGAUUGAAAUUUCAUGGUUUGUUCCUACCAAAUUUUAGUAGAGUAGAUAUUAGUAAGUAAUAUCUAGGAUAGUUGCAUGCAUUUAGGUAGUACAUAGAAUAAAUUGUUUUCCCCUUCAUUCAUCUCCUUUUAAUGUAAUUAGCAUGAGGACAUGCUAGUGUUUAAGUGUGGGAGAAUUUAUGAAUCCAUAUUUGAUGAUGAUUUUUAGUUAAAAUUGAGUGGAUUUCAUCAUAUAAACCUGCACUUAUUCCCUUAAAUAGCAUGCUUUUGAGCUUUCCUCCUAAAUUGUGCUUGAUUAUGAAAACAUGCUUUUUUGUGCCUAAUUUAGCCUAUUUUAUUCCAUUUACCUUCCAUUCGAUACCUUGAUGUUGUUUGUGAGUGAUUUCAGAUGUAUAAGGUAGGAAUGGGUUGGUGAGAAUGGAAGAGGAGCAUGCAAAGAGGAGGAAGCACGAAGAAUCAAAGGAGAAGAGCAAAGCGAUGUGUGCGUACGCACAAACCUGCGUGCGUACGCACAGGUACCAAAGCAGAGCGAAGUGUGCGCGCGUGCAGCAUCUUGCGCGUCGCACGAUCAUCCAAAGCAUCGCAAAGUGUGCGUGUGCACAACCUCUUGUGCAUGCGCACAACCAGAGAUUUUGGCCGAGUGUGCGUGCACACACGUCUGUACGUACGCACAAGUACCCGAACAUGCCUUCAUUAAAAAUGCACGUGACUCGCAUUUUUGAUGGAUUGGAGGCCCAAUUCUAAAGCCAGUAGCUCAUAAUGGAGGGGGAAAACAUGGGGAAACCAUACCAUACUGAUGAGCGGAUAUUUUAUACGCUUUUUGGGGUUAAUUUCAUAUAGUUUUUAGUAUAUUCUAGUUAGUUUUUAGUUUAUCAUGAGUCUCUAAACUCCAUUGUUGGGGGUGAGGAGCUCUGCUGUGUCUCGAUGAAUUAAUGCAAGUAUUUCUGUUUUCCAUUCAAACAUGCGUGUUCCUAUCUAAGAUAUCCAUUUGCGCCUAACUAUGGAGAAGGUGAUGAUCAGUGACACUCAUCACCUUCCUCAAUCCAUGAAUGUGUGUCUUACAAUCACCUCCGUUCUACAUCAGAUUGAAUGAAUAUCUCUUAGAUUCCUUAAUCAGAAUCUCCGUGGUAUAAGCUAGAUUGAUGGCGGCAUUCAUGAGAAUCCGGAAAGUCUAAACCUUGUAUGUGGUAUUCCGAGUAGGAUUCUGGGAUUGGAUGGCUGUGACGAACUUCAAACUCACGAGUGCUGGGCGUAGUGACAGACGCAAAAGGAUAGUAAAUCCUAUUCCGGUACAACUGAGAACCUGCAGAUGAUUAGCCGUGUGGUGACAGCGCACCUGGACCCUUUUCACUGGAAGGAUGGAUGGUAGCCUUUGACAACGGUGAUCCACCAACACGCAGCUUGCCAUAGGAGGACGUGCGUGCGUGAAUCAGAAGACAGAGGAAAGCAGAGAUUCAGAAGACAAAGCAUCUCCAAAACUCCAACAUAUUCUCCAUUACUGCAUAACAAGUAACCUUUAACCCAUGCUCUCUUGUUUAUUCGCAAUUCAACUGAUAAAUAUAAUUAACUUCCUGACUAAGAAUUGCAAGAUAACCAUAGAUUGCUUCAAACCAACAAUCUCCGUGGGAUUCGACCCUUACUCACGUAAGGUAUUACUUGGAUGACCUAGUGCACUUGCUGGUUAGUGGUACGAGUUGUGAAAAGUGUGAUUCACAAUUCGUGCACCAAGUUUUUGGCGCCGUUGUCGGGGAUUGUUCGUGUUUGGAUAACUAACGGUUUAUUUUGUUGCUUAGAUUAGGAAAAAUUUCUCUUUUUUUGUUUAGAGUCUCUUAUUAUUGUCGUGUUAAAAUUUUAGAAUCCUUAUUUUCUUUUUAAAAUCUUUUUCAAAAAUCUUUUUUUUCUUUUAAAUCUUGUGCCGAACUUUAAGUUUGGUGUUUUCUUGUUGAUUUUUCUUAAAAUUUUCGAAAAUUUAUUUUGAUUUUCUAAAAAUUUUAAGUUUGGUAUUCUUCCUUCAUGUUCUUGUGUUCUUGUGAGUCUUCAAAGUGUUCUUGAGUUUUCCUUGUGUCUUAAUCUUAAAAUUUUUAAGUUUGGUGUUCCUUGGUGUUUUUUUUAUUCAGAUGCUGAAAAAGGACUGCAGAUGCUGUUGGAUUAUGACCUCCCUGCACUUAAAAUGGAUUUUUUAGAGCUAUAGAAACCCAAUUGGUGCGCUCUUAAUUGCGUUGGAAAGUAGACCAGGAGGACUCUGGGGUCAUAUUCUAACCCCUCUACUGCAUCAUAUGGGAGUAGCAUCUGCAUACCCUCCAUUGGAGUCAGUAGCUUUGAGUUGAAUCCUCAGCUCAUUAUCAUGGUGCAGCAAAGUUGCCAGUAUUCCGGUCUUCCACAAGAAGAACCUACAGAGUUUCUGGCACAAUUUCUACAGAUUGCUGACACAGUACAUGAUAAAGAAAUAGAUCAGGAUGUCUACAGACUAUUACUGUUUUUAUUUGCUAUAAAAGAUGAAGUUAAGAGGUGGUUGAAUAACCAACCUAAGGCCAGCAUAAGGACAUGGAAACAGCUGACAGAAAAAUUCCUGAAUCAAUACUUUCUCCCAAAAUGGAUGACACAGCUAAGGUUGGACAUCCAAGGCUUUAAACAAGGAGAUAGUGAAUCUCUUUAUGAUGCCUGGGAGAGAUACAGAGAGAUGCUACGAAAAUUCCCCUCUGAAAUGUUUUCAGAGUGGGUUCAGUUAGACAUCUUCUACUAUGGGCUUGCAGAAGGAGCUCAGAUGUCUCUAGAUUACUCAGCUGGUGGAUCUAUCCACAUGAGAAAGACAAUUGAAGAGGCUCAAGAGCUCAUUGAUACAGUUGCCAAGAAUCAGCAUCUGUACCUAAGUAGUGACCCUUCCAUGAAAGAAGAGGUUAAAACAGCAACUGCUGAACUCAGUCCUGUGAAACAAGCUGCUGAAUUCAAUCAGCAAUUGGACUUUCUAACAAAGCAGUUAGCCGAAUUCAAAGAUAGACUACAAGAGACAAGGAUGGCUAAUAUACAUAUGGAAGAACAGUUUAAGCAAACAAAGCAGCAGCUAUCAAAGCAAAUAGCAGAAGAAUGCCAAGCAGUUCAACUAAGAAGUGGGAAAACAUUAAAUACCCCACCUCAAGGAAGAAAACAGCCAAGGAAUGAGCAAACCACCCAAAAUUCACCUGAGGACAGUAAGAGCCCAGGNNNNNNNNNNNNNNNNNNNNNNNNNNNNNNNNNNNNNNNNNNNNNNNNNNNNNNNNNNNNNNNNNNNNNNNNNNNNNNNNNNNNNNNNNNNNNAACGCCCAGACCAUGCUCAGGACUGGCGUUCAACGCCAGAAACAAGGCAGGACUGGCGUUCAAUGCCAGAAAUAGGCAAGAGUCUGACGUUGAAUAUGAAAAGAAUAAACUGGUUUCUACAAGAACAGUUACAGGGUGGCGCAUGUGUAUUGACUACAGAAGGCUCAAUACAGCCACCAGAAAGGAUCAUUUUCCUUUACCAUUCAUAGACCAGAUGCUAGAAAGACUGGCAGGUCAUGAUUAUUACUGCUUUUUGGAUGGCUACUCAGGCUAUAACCAGAUUGCAGUAGAUCCUCAGGAUCAAGAGAAAAUAGCAUUCACAUGUCCAUCUGGAGUGUUUGCUUAUAGAAGGAUGCCAUUUGGGCUGUGUAAUGCGCCUGCAACCUUCCAGAGAUGCAUGCUCUCCAUUUUCUCUGAUAUGGUGGAAAAAUUUCUGGAAGUCUUCAUGGAUGACUUCUCAGUAUAUGGAGACUCAUUCAGCUCCUGUCUUGAUCACCUGAAACUUGUUCUGAAAAGAUGCCAAGAGACCAACCUAGUUUUAAACCGGGAAAAAUGUCACUUCAUGGUGACUGAAGGGAUUGUUCUUGGGCAUAAAAUCUCAAACAAGGAAAUAGAGGUGGAUCAAGCAAAAAUAGAGGUAAUUGAAAAAUUACCACCACUUGCCAAUGUUAAGGCAAUCAGAAGCUUUCUGGGAUAUGCAGGAUUCUAUAGGAGGUUUAUAAAGGAUUUUUCAAAAAUCUCAAAACCUCUAAGCAAUCUGCUAGCUGCUGACACACCAUUUGUGUUUGACACAGAGUGCCUGCAGGUGUUUGAAAUGCUGAAAGCUAAGCUGGUCACAGCACUGACCAUGCCGUUCUUAAAUAUCUACUCACAAAGCAGGAUUCAAAACCCAGGCUCAUCAGAUGGGUGUUGCUUCUGCAAGAGUUUGAUAUAGAAAUAAGAGACAGAAAAGGGAUAGAAAACCAAGUGGCUGAUCACCUGUCCCGGAUAGAGCCAGUAAAAGGGACGCCCCUCCCCUCUCUUGAGAUCUCUGAGACUUUUCCUGAUGAGCAUUUAUUUGCCAUUCAGGAGACACCAUGGUUUGCCGAUAUUGCAAACUAUAAAGCUGCAAGGUUCAUACCCAAAGAGUACAACAGGCAACAAAAGAAAAAAUUAAUCACUGAUGCAAAGUACUACUUGUGGGAUGAACCCUAUCUCUUUAAGAGAUGUGCAGACGGAAUAAUCCGUAGGUGUGUGCCUAGAGAAGAAGCACAGAGAAUCCUAUGGCAUUGCCAUGGAUCAUAAUAUGGAGGCCAUUUCGGAGGUGAGCGAACAGCCACCAAGGUCCUCCAAUGUGGCUUCUAUUGGCCCACACUCUAUAGAGAUUCCCGAGAGUUUGUACGUAACUGUGACAGUUGCCAAAGAGCUGGUAAUCUGCCUCAUGGUUACGCCAUGCCUCAACAAGGAAUAUUGGAGAUUGAGUUGUUCGAUGUAUGGGGAAUUGACUUCAUGGGACCUUUCCCACGAUCAUACUCAAACACUUAUAUUCUGGUGGCAGUUGACUAUGUAUCAAAAUGGGUUGAGGCCAUUGCCACACCCACCAAUGAUACUAAAACAGUGCUGAAGUUCCUCCAGAAACAUAUCUUUAGCAGGUUUGGUGUCCCUAGAGUACUAAUCAGUGAUGGGGGCACUCACUUCUGCAACAAACAGCUUUAUUCUGCCAUGGUUCAGUAUGGGAUUCGCCACAAGGUGGCUACUCCAUAUCAUCCACAAACUAAUGGGCAAGCUGAAGUCUCUAACAGAGAAUUAAAGAGAAAUAAAAAAAGUGGCAUGACAGAAAGCUGUCAUCUAGAAUCUUUGAACCAGGACAGAAGGUUCUGCUGUUUAACUCUAGACUCAAGCUAUUCCCCAGGAAACUGAAAUCCCGGUGGAGGGGACCAUAUGUGAUUACAAGUGUAUCACCAUACGGUUAUGUGGAGCUUCAAGAUAUUGAUUCUGAUAAGAAGUUCAUUGUCAAUAGACAGAGAAUCAAGCAAUAUCUUGAAGGCAACAUUGAGCAAGAGUGCUCAAGGCUGAAGCUAGAUUAAAAGCUCAGCAAAGUCCAGCUAAAGACAAUAAAGAAGCGCUUGCUGGGAGGCAACCCAGCCAUGGGGCAUCAAUCCUCUGAACAUUUUGCCCUAUUUUUAUUUUUAUUUGUUUAUAUAAAGUUCAUUGAUACUAAGGUAAAGAAUCAACUUUAUAAAUUCACAGGGUCACAGAAGGAAUCUGCACUCAAAACAGAGAAAAAGAGCUCACUGGCAAGAAAACGCCAGUAAGAAGCCAUUUUGGGCGUUCAGCGCCCAAAAGGGGCAUCCAGUGGGCGCUGAACGCCAGUAAAGAUAGCUAUCUGGCGUUCAACGCCAGAAAAGAGCAACAACUGGGCGUUGAACGCCCAGGAGAGCAGCAUUUGGGCGUUGAACGCCCAAAACAGGCAGUGUUUGGGCGUUCAAAUGCCAGGAUGAUGGGGAGGAGGUAAAUUCGUUUUUCUUCAUAUUUUUCACUCUAAUUUUAACUUUCAUGUUUCAAUUCAUGAUUUCUUACAUAAACAUGUCAAGAACCCUGGUUUCUAAAAUCCCUAAUUUCUAAAAAUCCUACUUUAAAAAUAUCAAAUGUAUCUUAAUCCAUAAGCACAAACCCUCUUUUUCAAUCCAAUUCAACUCUUUUCCAAAAACCUUUUCAACUCAUCAAUAUCUUUUUCAAAUCACCACAGUAUCUUUUUCAAAAUCUAGAUUUAUCUUUUUUAAAAAAAAAUUUUUCAUAUCUUUUCAACUAUAUCCUCUCUUAUUAUAUCUUCUAUCUUAUCUUUUCCAAAUCAAUCUUUUUUAUCAUAUCUUUUCUAAAUUUUCGAACCCACCCCCCUUCCCUUUAAAUAUGGGUUCGGCCUCACUCCCCUUCCAUCAACAAUUGCACCUAGCUCUCCUUCUAUCCCUCUCCUUUCUUUUCUUUUGCUUGAGGACAAGCAAACCUCUAAGUUUGGUGUGUUUAUCCGAGAUCACUAAGAUCAUGGCUCCUAAAGAAAAACAACCCACUCCAAGAGGCAAGAAAGAGAGCACUCCAAAACCACUUUGGAAUCAAGGGAAGUUCUUAUCUAAAGAACAUUCAGACCAUUAUUACAAAAUAAUGGGUCUGAGAUCAGUGAUCCCGGAAGUUAGAUUCGAUCUGAAAGAAGAUGAAUAUCCGGAGAUCCAGGAGCAAAUUCGAAUCAGGAACUGGGAAGUCCUAGCUAAUCCUGAAACGAAAGUGGGGAGGAACAUGGUCCAGGAGUUCUAUGCUAAUAUGUGGCAAACAGACAAGCAGAAACUAUCUGGGACUGCUUUCUAUGACUAUCGGACCGCGGUCAGAGGAAAGAUUGUUCAUACCCACCCUGACAGGAUCAGGGAGAUCUUAAAGCUACCUCAGCUGAAUUUACUGUUUAAUGCUUUUGAACUCUCAAACAUUAUUUUCUGCUUGCCUAACUAAGUAAAUUAAUCAACCAUCGUUGCUUAGUUCAUCAAUCCUCGUGGGAUCGACCCUCACUCACCUGAGGUAUUACUUGGUACGACCCGGUGCACUUGCCGGUUAGUUUGUGGACUUUAAAUUUUGCACCAAGUUUUUGGCGCCGUUGCCGGGGAUUGAUAGUGAUUAACAACUAUUAGUUGUUUGAUUGCUUAGAUUAGGCGUUUUAGUUUUAAUUUUAUUUAAAUUUUACUUUAGUAUUUUCGAAAAAAAAAUAAAUAGCACUAAUAUUUUUCUUAAUUUUCGAAAUUAAGUUUGGUGUUUCCUAGUUAGUCUUAUUUUAAUUUUUCUUAUUUAAUAUUUGCUUUAGUAUUUUCAAAAAAAAAGAAUUCUGUUCUUUCUUCUUUGCUUUCCUGUUUACCACAUGGUGCGUUUAAUUCUUUUUGGUGUUUUGUGCUAAGAAAAAUAAUGGAGAGAUCACAUGGUUUACUACUCACACCCAAGGAGUGAUUCAUAUUAUUAUGAAUGGGGGAACUACCCAAAUUUUGGUUGGCAAAGUCAAAACCAAAGAAACUUCAGUGCUCCAUGUUCCAACUAUCAAGAACCACCAUCUCCAUAUUCAUACCAAGAACCACCACCUCUCUAUCCAUAUCAAUAACCAUCAUCUUUCUACCCAUAUCAAGAGCCACUAUCUCCCUAUUUAUACCAAGAACCAUCAUCUUUUUACUCUUAUCAAGAAUCAUCAUCUCCUUCUUAUUCAUAUCUAGAGCCACCAUCUCCUUAUUCAUAUCAAGUACCAUCAGAUCUUGAGCUUCUCAUGAAAGAAUUCAGACAUGAUAUAAAGACGAGUGUCAAAAAUGUAGAGAAACAUGUGCAGUCGAUUAUCAAGUCCCAGGAAGAGGAACAAGCAAAUUCCUUCCCAAGAGAUAUAAUGCAAGAUCCUAUAGAAGAAAGUGAGGAAAUUAAUCAAAAGAGUUUAUACUCCAAUGAAUUAGAGAACUUCCCACCCUCACACAUGAAAGAAGAGGAAGAUACAAAAACAAAGGAGGAAGAUGCAUAAACAAAAAAGAUUGUAAGGGAUGAAAAUAAUUAUGGGAAUUUACACUCCAAUGAAGUAGAUAUUGGCAUAGAUAAUGAGUUUAUUGAACCACCAAUUCAAGAAGUUCUUGAUGAAGGGUACACUUUAACCAUCACACAACACCCAAAUUUUGAAAUCAAAGAAGUGAAGGAAACCAAGGAAAGCACUGAAAAGGGGAUUGUGACCAAGAAACCGAAGAAAAUAUCCAUGAAAAAGAGAAGGUCAGAAAAAAACAAUCCAACCUCUACACCAACAAGCAAGGUGAAUCAAGUUAAUCACAAUAAAAGAAAGCUUGUUAGGAGGAAUUUAUAUCAGGGGGCACUAAUUUUCACCUCUCCCCCCUUGGAGACAUUUCAUUUAACCAACUGGAAAAAGAGGAAGAAAAUUCAACAAUCAAGUGUCAAGCUAGUGACAUUAAAGAAGCGCAUGUUGGGAGGCAACCCGAUAAUUUCGUAUCCUUAGUUAUUUUUUGUAGUAGUGAUUUUCUUAUUUAUUUGAUUUUUAUUGAGUUUUUACUGUUUUUCUGAUCAUGCAGCUAUUUUAGAACAGGAACCGAACACUUAAAAAAAGCACACGACGCGUACGCGUCAUAUGUGUGUACGUGAAAAAUAAAAUUUAACAGAGAGUUGGGCAGGAGUAGCGCUGGUAGUGUGCCUGGCGCACAAGCAAGUCCACGCGUACGUGUCGCUUGCGUCUUCACCAGUCCACACUUAUGCGUCCCCCACGCGUACGUGUGACCCUGCAAAUCGGCGUAAAUGGGUGUAAGGCCAGAGAGUUAUGAUGGUGUGGGGCUGGAAUUGCGCUGGGAGCACAAGACCCACCACGCAUACGCGUCCCUGAUGCGUGCGCGUCAUUUUCCCACAAUGGCCAUCCACGCGUACGCGUCCCAGAUGCGUACGCGUCCCAGACGCGUACGCGUCGCUUAAAAUUCGCGCGAUCCACCGGUAUGCGUGCCUUACGCGUACGCGUCGCAUGCGACGCCCAAUUAAACCACCUCAGCGCCUGAUUUCAAAUCAUCCACCCCCCAAUCCAAAUUCUCUCUUAUUCUUUUAUCUUUUUAUUCUUCUUUCCUCAUACUAUUUGUUUUUGUUUUCAGUUCUUCUUUGCUUGAGGACAAGUAAACUUUUAAGUUUGGUGUUUUCGCUUCGCUUAUGGCUUUUCUGUUUAAUUUUAUGGUACCAAAGGGAGGCGAAUCAUCUUCACGGAGGAGCACGGCCACUAGGAUAACUGAGGUGGUUGAAUUCCUUUCGUUCUAUAUUCCUUCCCACUCUUACUAUGUUAUGUUCCGGUUUUCUGCUAUUUUGCCUCGUUUAUUGCAUGAUCCUUUAUUAGAUAAAUUCCUAGGUUUUAGUUUAGUUCUGUUAUUUUCAAAAUUUCUGUUAGUUGCUUUAAUUCUGAAAGGUGUCCCAUGUAUUGCCCACUGAGCUUGAAAUAAAAAAAAGGAAGAAAAAAGGGAUGUAAUACAUGAGAAAUUGAGUUUUUUUUAGAGUAGUCUCAUUUAAUCAAAUGCGGUGGUGUUCUCUGUGAUUCUUAAUGCAUGACAUAAACAGUGCAUAUUUAAAUUUGAAUCAAAGAAUAUUGAUGUAUAAGGAAAAGAAAUUUAGAGAACUAUUAUGAAUUUUCUGAAAUUUGUAAAAGUUUAUCCUUGAAGCAAAAGAAACAGCAAAGAAAAAGAAAAAAAAAGGAUAUAAAAGCAAGGUCCAAAGCUCUGAGCAUCAAUGACUAGGGAGGUCAGACAUGAUUAAAAGCUCAAAGAGUUAUUUCCCUAGUCAUAUGCUUGUGGUGUUCUUGUGUCAAGUAAUCCUUGAGACAAAACAUUUAGAGUCGAGAUCAAUUGCAAUUAGCAGAGUAUGCCAAAGGCUUUGAGCACCAUUGUCUGGGAGUAACUGAAAGGAAAAUCAGAACUUCAAAAGAGUUCCCCAGUUAAGUGCUUGUGGUGUUUCUGUAUCAAGUAAAGCUUGAGACAAAACAUUUAAAGUCACGGCUAGGCUCAAGGUGCAAAGAACCAAAGAAAAGAGAAUUAAAGUAAAUUUUGCUGUGUUCAAGGAUUAAACUGAAGUACAAAAAUUGGAGAAUUCAUAAUAUGAUCCGGAUUCUAAUUCCGAAUGACACUGACAUCCCUCUGAUUCAAAGGAGAGUGAGAUGCCAAAACUGUUUAGAGUUACAAUGAAUAAACCCCAUUUUUUAGAAGAGACAUGAGCAUAACUGAACUCUCAUCUCUCAUGCAAAUUCACAUCUUAAUCAUGUACUAAUUUUGGUUGCUUGAGGACAAGCAACAAUUCAAGUUUGGUGCUGUGAUGCGUGAGCAUCUUUCCUAUCUUUUCCUAGUGAAUUUUCAUUUAAAUUGUUGAGUUUAAUUAAGAAUUAAUUAUCUUUUAGCCACUAUGGAUGCUACUUUGAGUCUUGUGCAAUUCUGUUUAUUUUAGGUAGCAUUUGGUUGGAUUUGAUGGAGCUUCCGCAGAAAAAGAGAAGAAGUCUAUAUAGAGUAGGAAUGACUUAGAGGAUGGAGAGGAAGCUUGCACAAAUGGAAUCAGCACAAGAAUUAUAGGAGUUGAUAGCGAGGAGCGAAGCGUGCGCGUGCCUAACGCGUGCGCGUGAUUUGGAAAUUUGCUCAGCGACACGUGCGCGUACCUGACGACCUGAUGCGUACGCGUGACACGGGAAGAAGACCAUCGACGCAUACGCGUGACUACGCGUACGCGUGACAUGCGCCACGUGCAGAAAACGCAGAAAACGCUGAUUUUAAUUCUGAUUUAAAAUUUAUUAGUUAGGAGCUCUGUCUAUUAUAUGGAUUGAUACUAUUAUUUUUCUAUUUUAAUUCAUGUACUGAUUUAUAUUUCAAGAAUUUUUUUCGUUCUUUAUCUUAUGAAUUUGGGUGGAACGAAAGUAUGACCCUCUUUCUAAUUGAGUUCUUGUAUAACUUGGAAAAGCUCUUUACUUGAACAACAGCUUGAAAACAAUUUCUCCUAAAUUCUAAUUAUCUGGAUUUAACAGGAUACGUGACAUAUAAUCCUCUUAUAUUUGGGUAAUUAGGAUUUCUGUGUCAUAUAAACUAGAAUUGAACUUCACCCUCUAAUUGGAAUUAAGUGACCAAGGAAUUGGCGGUUGAUGAAUUUUAGAGGAGACUAGAAAGGUCUAAGGAAUUAGGGUCUAGUCACAUAUAGUUUGCCAUAAAUUAAAUCUUGCAUGAUUAAAAUAGUUAGUAAGAAAAGUCAAUCCGGAAAAUAGAUAACUCUAAAGCCAUAACUGUUUCUCCAUACAUAUUUCACAACCUAUUUACUGCCUGCCUUCUGAUAUUUUGAAUUUACUGUUUAAUGCUUUUGAACUCUCAAACACUAUUUUCUGCUUGCCUAACUAAGUAAAUUAAUCAAUCAUCGUUGCUUAGUUCAUCAAUCCUCGUGGGAUCGACCUUCACUCACCUGAGGUAUUACUUGGUACGACCCGAUGUACUUGCCGGUUAGUUUGUGGACUUUAAAUUCCGCACCAGCUACCAACGAAAUGAUCCCUAUUUUAAGGAAAAAUUCCUAACCGACGAUAAUGCCCCCACCAAGUAUUUUGUAUACUCCGGUGUUGUAAUAUUGUCUAGCCCGUCUUGUCUUCGCAAGUCGAGACUAGUACUACUUAUGUAUCUAUUAUGAAUCAUAUGUAUUUAUUUCUGCAUCCUACGAUGUUCAUCUGUAAUGUUUCAGGUGUAAACGAUUAUUGUUUUGUUACUGUAACACCCUACCAUACAGAGUCUUAUGCUUAAGUCAUAAUUCCAAGAUGGCAAGGUAUUACGACCUCUAGAAUAAAAAUUUAGUACAUAUAGUAGUAUGAAUGAUUGAUUAUAACUAGGAGCCUUGUAGAAAAAGGGGUAAACAAAAACCGUAACUCGAAAGUGCAACACUCCGAUCGAUAACGUAACGAGCAAAGGAUAAGCUAACGUGAGAUUAUAUAUAUACAAAGGAGUGUCAAAAACAGGAAUAUCAAGACUCAAAAUCCGGUUGCGAAGAUAACCGGUCCGAGCAUAGCAAUAUAUACAUAUAAUAAAAUAAAGAAAACCCCAAAGGAAACCCAAAGGGACACAAAUACAGAAACCUAUUCUCCAAAAUCUCCUAUAAGAGGAGUCAUCACAGUUUGUAUUAUGUAAUGGAGAUAAAAGUAUCUAAGCAAAAUAUAUAAACCAAAACAGAGUCCCGAGAAGAAAAGAUCUUCGCUAAUCCAGAAGUCUCCAGCAUGCUUCAGCGAGAAACCUCACGCCCUGCAUUUGAAAACCACAAAAUCCGCAUGGGUGAGAACCAGAGGUCCCCAGCAUGGUAACAGCUUCCACAUAUAUAAUACAUAAUAAUAGAGGAAAGCCGAAGGCAAUCCUAGAACUUCCUCCAGAUAAUAUCAGAGCUUAUAAAUAAACUAAACCGUAAGUGGCAACUGACUAAAGAUCCUUUAGUCUAACUAAUACUUCCCUUUCCAAUUCCUUCAGACCUCCCAACCACCAGCAGGAGUAUAAUAUAGCAAACACAGUUAUAUCAAACAUUCACAAUUCAUUCAACAGCAUAUAUGCAUUUAUACUUAGCCAUAAUCAUGGCUCCGUCGUAACACGGCAAUAAUCUAGCCAUCCGGCUCACGGUUAAAUCCAUAACCAGCCAAUUCAUUAACAAUUUCGGUCCUUCGGCCCAUGGCACAACAAGCACUUCCACCGCCAUCCUCCGCAUCUCACAUAAUCAUCUUUGAUCCUCAUUGAUCAUUCAUUUUUCCCUUGCUUCACUCACAAGUUACCACAUUUACUAGCCCCUUGCCUCAUUGCUAGGCAUAUUAUAAUGAUUUAAGAUAUAAGUGGUGAGAUCGGAGGCUUAGAAGUAUGAAAUUUGGCUUUUAAAACUCAAAAAUCAACUUUGGGAUGAAAACAGGGCCACGCGUACGUGCACUCCACGCGCACGCGUGGAUGGCCACAAAAUCUCAUCGACGCGCAAGCGUCAUACGCGCGGACGCGCGGGUUGAAAAAUAGCCAAACGACGCGCGAGCGUCAACCACGCGUACGUGUGGGUGCUCUUGCGCCCCAGGCACAAAACUGGCAUAACUCUAGCACAAAUCUCGGGAAAAUGGCUGGGCAUUUGGUGCAGCGCAUCGACGCGCCCGCGCACACCACGCGCACGCGUGGAUGGUGCUUUCUUGAAGAAUGACAUGCACGCGCCAAGUGCGCCUACGCGCGGAGGGUCAUUCUGCUAAAAAAUUUUCUAAGUUAAAAGCUGCAGAAUUUACAGAUUCAACCCCCAAUCUUCCGACGGACAUAACUUUCUCAUUUUAAAUCGUUUUUCACCCGUUCUUCGAACGGCAUGGACAUCCCGGGUCCAAUUUCAUUUCUAAAUAGAUUUGGCACAAAUCAGAGAUCCGUAGUCCAAGUUAUAUCCCGUCAAAGUAUGCCCAAAAACUAUGUUUUCAUACAAAACCAUAAAGUGCCAUUUUCAAAACAAGCCACUUUCAACUCUUUUCAAAAUCAAUCAAAACAUGCCAAUUUCAUCCCUUUUCUUUGAAAUCAAUCAAAAUAUACCAAAAUCAACAUCAAGCCAUCCUCAACUCACACAUUGACAUUUUACUAAAUUUCCCAAAAUCACCAUCUAACCCUUUUAACACAUCUCAAUCAAAUGGCUAAAGGACAAACACAAUAUCAUGUCAUACAUCCUCCCUCAUCCCAAUUUCCAAUAAUACCAUUUCUAAUCAACCAUCAUUAUACAUAAUCAACAUCAUACUCACCAUCAACAUGGUACCACCCAUCAAUUCAACCUUAAUCAUUCAUCAAGCAUAUAUCACAACAUGCAUUUUCUCAUAUAUCACACAAUCAAGGCAUCAAUAUUCAUAAUCACAUAUAUGAUCACAUCAUAUAUCUCAACCAUUCAACAACAUCAACAAUUCAAUGCCUAUCUUAGGGCCUCUAGCCUAAGUAUUUCCUACCACAUUACAUAUUAGAUAUGGGAAACCGAGACCAUACCUUAGCCGAUUUCUCAAGCUCAACCGGAGCACUUCCAAACCACUUGUCCACAAGCUCUCAAGGUCUCAACACCUCCAAGAAUAGAUUUUAUCACACAAAACCCUCUCCCAAGCUUUCCAAAAUCACCAAUCGAGCUCCAAUAUUCACAUAUACACAACCUAAGCCACAAUCAUCAUACCCAUACACAACAUCUCAAUACCCAAUAUCAUAGAACAACAAAUUAUACUAGGGUUGAGAAUCUUACCAUACUCAAGGUCCAAGGAGACAAGAUUAACCUUCUCAUUCAAGAGAGUUGGGUCCUAUAACAUCAAAGAGCCCAAAAUCUGAAUAUUUUACCCAUGAAACUCAAAAACAAGGGCUGGAAUUUCGAAGAGCAAAACGUGGCUUACCUCAAGAUUAAUUGUAUGGGUUUUGUAGAGCUCUCCGCGGUGAACGCGUGGCCGCAAACGGUGUGGCAAUCGAAGCUCUAGAUCAAAAGUUAUGGUGGUUUGAAGAUCAACCAAGGGAGAGAACUUGAGAGAGUGUUCUUCCCUCCAUGGCCUCCAUUUUCAGCGUGUGUUUGUGUGUUGUGAGGAGAGAGAGUGCUGAAAACUUUGGGUCCGGUUGGCCCGGUUUAGUCCGUUCGGUCCAAUCUUGGUCCGAUUUCUAUAAAAUUGGUACCGAAAUUCUCGUCUCACUCUCCUCUAUCAUAUUUAGCCAUAAAAAUAACAUUUUUGGCUUUCUAGAAUAAAUUCUCAUUUAUGGGUUAAUUAGCCGUUAAUUAACCGGGUCUUACAGUUACCUUUUCCUUCAUAGGCUCCUAGUUAAACUAUAUUCCUUCAAAUAUUAUGUAUGUAUCUUUGUUUUUAGGCGUCAUAAUGCCUCGCCACCUUUGAGUUAUGAUUGCAGCGUAAGGGCUUGUGUGGUUGGGUGUUACAGGAUAAAAUAACUAACUAGUAGUGAGCUAACAAAUUAUCAAAUUUGAAAUGAAAUGUAGCAAAUGAAGCAAGAGUUAAAGCUUUGGUGAACACAUCAGCCACUUGGUGUGAGGAUGAAACAGGAAGUAGCUUUAAAGUCCCAUAUUGAGUUUGAUCCCGAACUGUAUGACAGACAAUUUCAAUGUCUUUUGUCCGUUCAUGGAACAUUGGAUUUGCCGCAAUAUGAAGGGCAGAUUGAUUGUCACAGAAGAGAGUAAAAGGGAGCUGAGAUUUAAAACCAAAAUUGCCAAGAAUAUAUCAAAGCCAGACACGCUAAAGCUCGACAUUCAGUAUCGAUUGAGAGCGAGGAACCACCGUUUGCUUCUUGCUUUUCCAAAUGAUAAGAGAAGAGCCAAGAAAAAAACAAUAUCGAAAUUGAUCGAUGGGAAUCGUUACAUGGUCCCCAGUCAGAAUAACAAUGGAAUUUCAAAUCACUCAUGCAAUUAAAUAAAAGACUAGUGGCCGGAGUCUGGAGACCCCUUCAAGUAGUGAAGCACCUGUAGUUAGGGCUGCACUCCAAAAGGACCUGAUAUGGCUAAAAUCUCGAGCCGAUCCACACUAAUCACAUCAGAUCAAAUCCAAUAUCCACACUUUUUGUGCUCUGAUCUGAUCCAUACAUUUGCAUAUAUGAUCGGAUUUCAGAUAUAUUCGCAAAAGUAAAAAAAUAUUAAUUUUGAAAGAAUCAACAAAAUAAAAAAAAAUAGAAAUUGGAACCUAAAUCUCUAAUUUGGCAUCAAUAUUUACACUAAAAUAUAUCAAUUACAGCCAUAACAACAAUAACAAAGAUAUACAUUUUAAAAAUUAUACACAUUUUUUUAACAGUAGAAAGAGAAACAAUUUUUCAGAAGUGAAAUUAGCAAAAUCAUAUCAAGAAACAACAAGCAAAAUAGAUAUGCAUUUCAAAAAUUAAAGAUCAAUAAAAUAAAAUAAAAACAUAUUUGGAACCCUAAUUGAGCAGAAGCAGAUCUGCAUUGGAGAAGUAAUAUGUUUUCCCUUUCACGACACACCUCUCGAGGUACUCCGUAUUCCCUCACCCGAUCGCUCUAUAGGUAGUGUUCAGCUAUGAGUGUCAACCAGUCUUUCCAUCAAGGCAGCUUAAGGUGAUCGAGAAGACGGAUCUCACAGUGAAGUUCCGGACUACACUACCAUUAGAAAACUCUUUCCGCUAGUGGUCUCUCUCGGUUGUUCGCCGAUUCAAGUGGUACGUGAGUUGAUGCGCUACAGCAACUUACUACCUAUUAAGAGAGCCUAAAUUCACAAGCAGAAGGAAGAAACUGCAAAACAAUGAGGAUGCGAGCGACGAAGAGCAGCGACAAAUGGUAAGCAUACGAGCGAGGAGCAGCGGCGAGCGUGCGAGAGAGGAGCAGCGACAAGCAGAGACGAUGAACAAAGAUGACAACCACGUCGAUGGAGAAGACGACGACGCGACGAUGGAGACAGAGAGGUAGACGUGGUCUUAGUGGUCUAAGAUGACGAUGGAGGAGAUGCGAAGAUGAACGACACAUUGGUAAUGGAGGUGAACGACAGUGAAUGGGACUGGGUCUGGGUGAGAGAGGAAAGAAAAAGUAGCGUCGUUACUGAGUGUCAGUGUUAGGGAAUUAGGGACUUAGGAUUUUCUUAACUAUAAUAUUUGUAUUAUGGGUGCAGAUUCGCAAAUCUAUGGAUCAAAUUCGCAGAUAUCAUGGUAAUAUCUGCUAUCUGAUCCUAUCAGAGUGCGGAUCGGAUAAUAUCCACAAAAAUGCGGAUUGAAUGCGGAUAAAUUCCACGGACAUGAGGGUAUUAUCCAAUCCAUGUGUAUCCCUACGUGCAGUCCUGCCGUGAAAUGUGCAUCUAUGGCACAAUCAUGGGCACAAUCAUGGUAUUGACUUAAUUUGCUAACAGCGAAGAAAAUAUCAGGCCUUGUGUUGGUCAAAUAGAUCAAGCAACCAAUCAGCCUUCAAUUGGGAGUAAGAUCGGAUAUUGCAGUACCUGAGGUUUUUGAGAGUAAUUUCGAAUAAUCAAUAGGAGUAUAGGUCAGUUUGGCAUCCAAGAGAUUGAACUCCUCAAGUAAAUUGAGCGUAUACUUAUGCUGAUACAAAGAAAUACCAAUGGCGCUUUUGGUCACUUCAUCCCAAGGAGGAAAUUCAAAUUUCCAAGAUCUUUGAUGCUAAAAUGACCAUCAAGUAGCUGCUUCACUCGCUCAAUCUUAAUAAAAUCAUUGCCGAAAAGAACUAAGUCAUCCAUGUAGAUGAGAAUGGCUGUAAAACAGCCAUUAGAAGACUUGGUGAAUAGAGAAUAAUCAUAUGGUGACUGGUGAUAACCAGAUUGAGUGAGUGUGGAGCAGAGCUUGCUAUUCCACUGUCUACUGGCCUAUUUCAGUCCAUGGAGACUCUUUUGAAGCUUGCAUACUAUAUUAGGAGUUAUCUUCAACCCGGGGGGAACCUUCAUAUAAACGUCUUCAGCAUGAUCACCAUGUAGGAAAACUGUAUUAAUGUCUAAUUGAUGAAGGAACCAAUUUUGUUUUGCAGCAAUGGCUAAGAGAAUGGUAGAGUAGUCAUUUUGAUGACAGGGUUGAAUGUAUCAAAAUAAUCCAAGCCAACAGUUUGAUUGAAACCCUUCGCCACCAAACGAGCUUUAUGUCUCUCAAUGGAUCCAUCCAGGUUAUACUUGAUUUUGAAAACCUACUUGCACCCAAUUGCUUUCUUUCCACGAGGGAGAGAAGUAAGAGUCCAUGCCUUAUUCUUCUCAAGAGCCUUCAACUCAGCAGUAAUGGCUUGUUUCCAAUAAUCUUGAAGAAUAGCCUGUUCAUAUGUCCUUAGUUCUAUGUGUGUAGAGAUGGCUAGAGAGAGUGCCUUGUGAGAAUCAGAUAUACUGUCAUAGCACACAAAAUUGGAGAUAGGAUUAGUUUUCUUGGAGGAAUAUGAUGAAGCUACAAUUGUGGAGAGUUGUAAACAAUGAAAGUCCUUGAGAUAGGCAGGUUGGCGUCUCUUUUGAUGGGAUCUUCUAAGGUUUGGGGCAAUAUUUUGCGUAGGAGCACUGUUGGGCUAUAUAGGUACUUAAGAAUCUACUAUUGAAUGCAAUUCAUAAUCAAGAAUAGAUUUAGUGCCUAAUGGUAUGGAUGCAUGUUUUGUAUUAGAGGCAGGUGUUAAUACAGAAUUAGAUGCACUGGAAUUGGGAGGAUUAGAGGCAAUAGGAGGUUGAAUGAUGCAUAUGUCAUCAAAAUUAUUAAACCUUUGAAAUGGCAUGGAUGCUUGUUGUUUUUCAAUAUAAAAAUCUGAUUUAUGAAACAGGAAAUGAGAUUCAUAAAAUUCCACAUUUCUUGAAAUAAAUGUUUCCUUUGUGUUUAAAUCAAAUAAAAUAUAACCUUUUGUGCCCGAUUUUAUACCUAAGAAAACACAUUUCCUAACCCUUAUAUCUAAUUUCUUCCCUGAGAUAAAAGAGUAGAUGCAAACGCUACACAUCCAAAAACUUUAAAGCAUUGAAUGUUUGAAAGUUUGUGAAAUAAAAUCUAAUAUGACAUCUGAUUUUUUAUAGUUGAACUUAGAACUCUAUUCAUUAUGUGGAUAACAUUGGCUACUGCAAAAUUCCAAAGACAUUUAGGAAGAUUGCUUUUAAAAAUCAAAGCUCUUGUGAUGCUCAAAAUAUCAUAGUGUUUUUUUUAUACCACACCAUUCUAUUGAGGAGUCUCAACACUAUGGGUAUAAUAAAUUAUCCCUUUGGAUUUAAAAUAAUCUUAAAUAGCAAACUCUCUGCCAUUAUCAGAUCUUAUACAUUUCACUGUCUUUUGGAAUUGAGUUUCAACUAACUGUACAAAGUGUUUAAUAAAUUCAGAAGUUUGGGAUUUAUUUUUCAUAAAAUAGAGCCAAGUAAAUCUACUAAAAUCUUCCACAAUUGUUAAGAAAUACUUGUGUCCAUGUAUAAAGGGGUAGCAAUAGGGCCCUAAAUGCCAACAUGUAUAAGACCAAAUGCACUUGCUGAUUUCAUAAGAUUAUAAGUAUAAGAAAACUUUUAUAGUUUUGCAAAGGGACACGAGUCACAAACCAAGUUAUUCUUUGGACAAACUAGAAAAGGGAAUUUGUUUUUCAUACUAAGUAACCUAUCUGAUGAUAUAUGAGCUAAUUUAAAAUGCCAAAUGUUAGGAUCCUUUGUGUGAAUAAUAGUUUGUAUGAGUGACGUUUGUUGUGGUAUUUCUGCACCUAAUUGUCCUACAGGACAAGCUUUGUCUUUCAAUGUAUAUAACACCAUGUUGUUCAGCAACUCCAAUCAUAUUCAAGGAAAGGAGAUCCUGCACCUCACAACCAGUGGCAUGAAACAAAAAAUGACAACACAAGGCGUGAGCUGUUUUUUAAACAGAGAUAAUAUUGAAAGAAAAAGUUGGUGCAAAUAAAACAUCAGUGAUAUAUAGGCCUUGAUUAAAGAUGAUAGUCCCACAUAUGGUUGAAACUGUCUCUGAACCAUCUGAUAACUUGACCAAAAUAGGAGCAAUCUAUUUAUAAGAUUGAAAAAAAUUGUGAGAAAAUGAUACAUAUGCAGUAGUGAUUUGCAAAAGCAAUGAAAAAAUUGUGCUCACGUCCAAAAAUAUUUUCAUCAACAUGAUUUGGGAUCACACUCCAGAAUACAUAUCAUUAAGACUUCUUAGGAACCAAAUUGCAAGUGGUUCUUUCUUAUACUGUCUUAUCAUUGUCAAAUCACACCUGCACUAUUAUCCAUAUUCAUAGAUUGGGAUAGGUCUAAUCUCAUUGAGUUAUUCCCAAAUCCCUUUCUGUUUAGUAUAAUAUGCAGUAAUUCUCAAAUCUUCUUGUUUAUUACAGAACAAUUCCUCUUCCAGCUCUACAAUUCUGAACAAGUCUCCUUGGUAAAAUUUGUGUUUUAAAUCUUCCCAGAGUUCAUAAGCAUUGUUACACCACAUUAGGAUCGGUUGAGUCAAAAACUCAUCCGAUCUGAACACUAUGUUUACUUGCGGUGCGGUUUGGAUUGGAUUGGAUUUACAGUUUUGUAAAUUAAAAAAAUUAAAUAUAUAUAACAAGUCUCAACAUUAAAUUUUAAAUAACCAAUGAUGACAUAGCAAGUCUUAACAAUAUCUUAAAAAACCAACGAUAACAUAACAAUAGAAAUAAAAUUAUAGGUUAGUUAAAAUAAAUAAAUAAAUCACAUUUUGAACAUAAAACAUCUAUUAAAUAAUAAUAAUACAUGAAAAAUAUAAAAAUGUAUAACAAAUUGAAUAUGUUAUAAGUAUAAUUGUAAACAUAAUAAUAAAAUAAUAAUAUUAUAACACAUUGUGCGAUUUGGAUUGGAUUUGAUCUGUUGUGAAAAGUAGAUCCGAAAUCUGAUCCGAUCUAGCGGUUUACAAAAAAUAAAAUCCAAUCAAAUCCGAAUUAGUGUGGUUUUAAUCGGUUUUUAGUUUGGAUUGGAUUAGAUGAACGGUUUAAUUUGGAUCGGUUUGGAUUUGAACACCCUACACCACAUUACACUGGGCUUAGUGAUGCGUGUAACCAAGAUAACACAAAAUUAUUGCAUCUAUUCCGUGCCUCAAAGGUAAAAUUGGUCUUAUCAGGUUUGGGUAGUGUACCAUCUAUGCAUCUGACUUUAAUUUUUUUCUUAGAGAAAUCAGCAUAGACCUAGCUCAAGUGUGAUAGUUCUGAGUGGUUAAAGGUGUAGAAGCCAGUGAUAUACUUGGAAUCUUAGCAUGAUGCAGGAAGAAAUGGCUUGAUAGGUCCUAACCAGGAUUUACUGCUGCGCGUGUCAAUUGUGCCUGAUAUGCUAAGAAUUGUGCCAUCAUUUGCACAAAAUUCUCCAUGUCGGUCAGUGAGAAGCCUCGAUUUGCUUAUUUCUCACAAAACAUUGGAUCAAUCAAUUCGCCCCAUGGAUUAUCCAUGAUGUAUGCUUGCUUAAACACAAAAACUAGAGCUGGAACUCGAAUCUCUUUGCACCUUAGGGAGCACGCGAAUUUCACCACCUCCAUGCUCACUGCACCAUGUGAAAACUCAAUUCAUCCAAGCUUGAGUCAGUGAGAGUAUGCGAAGGAAGAGAAAUAAGAAAUGGAGAUAAGAGAAAAGACGAGAAUUUAGGGAAGAACAAAAAUGGGAUUCUAGAAUUUGGUUAAAAGUAAUUGAUCUCAAAAUAUUCAAUGCAGCAAAAUCGGUUUAUAUACAAUUCAUCUAAUUAUAGUUAAGUUAUACUAUAGUUAAUCUAGCUAACUAAUUAUGGUUAAAAUGUAACAAAAUCUAGCUACCAUAUAUAGAGGGUAAAAUAACUAACUUGCAGUGAGCUAACAAAUGAUCAAAUUUGAACAAUAUACAAUUAAUGAAAUUCAAGUAACUGUGACAAUUAUAUGUUACUGUGUUUAAUAGGACCCGUAUGACCUAGUUUUUAAUGUUAGACCAAUCGUUGUUAUCUUUGUUGUUGAAAACGUAACUUCUUGAUUCAGUGAUGGUGACUUCAGAGGAGGAUGAAGGGUAGUUGGUGUUUAGGGUUGGUGGUGCUGAUGAAGAAGAAGUAGAGGUUGAUCGGCGAGGUUGGGUUCUGCUUUUAUUUUUGAAUUUUUGCAUUGGUUGUACGAUGUUGGUGUUCUUUUUGGACUUGCACAUCGAAACCUAAUUCAAAUAUCAAAAGAUCACAAGUGCACGUUCUUUAUAAAAGGAAAUUCAGCAAGCCAAGUUCGUGUUCUGUUUUGCUUUAUUUUUCGUUUCUUCAUUGCCCGAUUAUCGUUACUAUUUUUUCUUCUGUGUUGUUCUCUAUGUUUGGUGUGGUGCAACUUGGAAUAGGGACUCGUGAUUGUAGAGGAACUAUUUGUACAUUUUCUUUAAGAGUAGCCAAUUUCAAUCAAUAUUAUAACAUUCUUGAUAUCCUUAAUAGCUAUAUGUCCUGUUCUUUGUUCUUCUAAGCAUUUUAGAGAGAGUUUGAAGUAUGACAUUCAUAUACAUUUUCUCCUCUAGACGAGGAGAAAAAAAUGAUCAAACAACGACAAAAGAGAAUUGCAUAAUAGGUAGAGAAAAGGGUUACUUCAGCUAUAACUUUCAUGAGUUAGAGAUUAAAAUGUCUCAUUCAAUCCGAAUGCACGAGCAAAUUCAACUUUUCUUUUUUGGUCAUCAAGCACAUUCAACUUUAUUUUGACAUACAUCUCCACUCACACACACUAAACCUAACUAUGCUGAAAUUCAAUUUUGGGUGUGGCUUGUUAUGAGGCAAACAGGUUUGCCACUCACACAUUGCCUUAGCCAUGAGAAAGUUCAACUUUUUUUAGACGUAGGUAGGGCUGGACAGACCUGACCCGACCCAGAGAGAUCCAAGAUUCAAACACUUCCCCCUUUCUCUACUCCCUCCCUAAUCUAGCUAAUCCUUGUUUCUUCAAAAUCCUCGGUUACUCAUGAAACUUGAAGUUCACUACUUUGAAUGGAUCUUCCAUUAUUGAAGGAGGUUGCAUGCACUCAGAACGUCACUUUAAAACGGUUGGGAGUUGUCGCUGAACGCUACCACUUAUUUCGACUCUAUCUGCGCAGUGCGUCGGUCAGGCCUCGCCUCGAGGAAGACGGGGUAGCACUGGGGCAUGAGGAUCGACAAAUAGAGAAGUUGCGACUUGAGGGUAGGGUGAGAUGGACACGGCCACUGCUGUUAAUCGGUGGCUUGAGGGAGAUGGUUAGAAGCAACGUCUCUGGGACUGCCUCUCAUUGGUUUUGCUCACUGGCGACGGACGGGACAGCGGAGCUCUCUUACUCCAAUUGUAGGGGAGCAGAUGCUGGGUUAGGCUCUAAAAGGGAGGUGACCUAGGCUUUUCCUUGGUUCCGAAGGUGAUAUGAUCCCAAUUUGUCAAUCCUUACAAUGUUUGCUAUUUGAUUUGAUGGCAAAGUUGCCCAAUUGUUGUUGAGUUGUUCCUGCAAUUUUAGGUAUGCUAGAAGGUGAGCCGGUUGAUUUCCUUCUCGGGGGGUCCAAGUUGCACAACCUUAAUGUCUUGGAAUAUAGGAUCUAUAUCGCACAAAGUUUUGUUUGAUUUGAGAGCUUCCACCAUUUGUAAGCAAUCUGACUUUAUAGUUACCUUUUCCAUGUUUAGAUUGGCUGCCAAAAUAAUUACUUCUCUAAUUGCCCAUGCUUCUGCUGCUAGGCUAGAGAUUGCUUGAAAGGUUAAAGCUUUUCCACCUCUAACUAUCUCAUUACUGUCUCUGAUGACCGUUGCUGUAGCCCCUUUUUUUGUAACGGUGGAAAAUGCUGCACCAACAUUGAUUUUGAGCCAGCCUUGAAGAGGUGGUCUCCAUCUCACUAGUAAAAUUCUUUUGCCUUUUUACCUUGCUUCCUUACUGUUUUGAGGGUUUAAGGACUUAUGGAUAUCUUGUUCUAGGAUCUUGGCUUGUGUAAGAACAACUAUUGGAUUAGGAUUUAUUUUUUGGAAUAUUUUGUUAUUUCUCAGUUUCCAAAUUGUCUAAGUCGUGAUGCCAAUCCUGGUCAAGUUCUCUCUUCCAUGUCUGUUGUGCCUCCUGCUUUUAGUUUAUUGAAUUCUUCUAGACGACAUAGCCAGGGAAAGAAUGUUUUUCUUAAUAGGUGUGCAUUGGGUUUGUGUGCCAAACCAUACUGCUCUAGCCCAGUCACAAAGCAAGAGUGCAUGUUUCUCAGUUUCUUCUUCCUGCAUACAAAUAGGAUAAAUAUUGCAAUAUUGCAAUUAGUUAAUUUUUUUCAUUAAAUUUAUUUUUACCAGAAGAAUAUUGUGUGCUGCUCUCCAGAGGAAUACCUUCAUUUUUUGCGGGACUCUCCCUUUCCAAAGGUCUUCUAAUCUAGUGCUUUCUGAUGGCCUGCUGCUUGAUGCCAUAUCCACUUCUUUCUUUGCUAUAUGAUAACCAGUCUUCACUGUGUAUUCCACAUCUUGUUUGAACUGCCAUACCAACUUGUCUUGGCUAGCAAUCCUGCUAACUGAAAUUUGCAAUAUUUUCUCCGCUAUGUAGGUCAAAAACAAGCUUUGGAUCUUGGUUAUGUGCCAAUCUCUUGAAGCAGUCAGGAGCUUUCUUACUCUUAGAUCUUGGUAAUUCUCCCUAUUCAGGGCAUAAGUUAAACCAUGAAUCCAAUUGUCUCCCCAAACUUUUAUUUUAUCACCUUGUCCUAUGUUCCAUUUCGCAUACUUUUUGAGAAUCUCCCUCUCCUGUAGGAUGCUGUUCCAAAUCCAGAAUCCUUUCCUUUAUUUUUUAGCCUUAAAAAAUCACAAUUGGGAAAGUAGAUGGCCUUGGGUGUUUGGGCCCAUAUAGCUUCUGGAUUUUUAAUGAUUCUCCAUGAUUGUUUUGCCAGCUGAGUCGUGUUCUGGUGUUGAAAUUUCUUGAAUCCCAAGCAUCCAUCCUUCUUGCUUGUGCAUAAUUUAUUCCAAGAUUUCCAAUGUAUUCCCCUUUCUUUCCCUUGACUUUUUCAUCAGAAUUUAGCCACUUUUGCACAAGGUUUGUUGCAAAUUUUUUUUUGAAAAUUUUAGAAUACUCAUGAUAUAAGCAGGGAUGGCUUGGAUGAUUGCUUUGAUGAGAAUCUCUUUCCCCGUUUAAGUUAGUUAGCUUUCCUUCCAUCCUUCUAUCCUUUCCAUAAUCCAUUCUCGAGAUUUCUGCUUUAUUCUUUUCCAUUGUGCUUGUAAGCCCAAAUACUUUCUCGGGUUGUCCCAUGCUGGGAUAUUCAGGAUUUGCUCUAUUUUGACUCUAGUCUGUAUGGUGACUUGGCUACCGAAAGUGAUCCUGGAUUUCUCUAGAUUGAUCUCUUGUCCUGAGGCUGAAGUGUAUCUAUUCAGAAUUUGGAUGAUUUGGUAGAUCUCAUCUUUUGCACCUGAAAAGAUAAUACCAAGGUUGCGAAAAUUGAACCGAUAAAAUGAUCGGUUCAACAGUUUAAUGAUCUAACCGUGGUCUAACUGGGAUUCAACCGAUUUUGUUAAAUAUAAAAUAAAAUUAUAAAAAAUUAAUAUAUAAUUUUCAAUAUUAAAAUUUAAUAAAUUUUCAACUAGAUAAACACAGGAAUCACUUACAAUAUAAAUUGCAUAUAACAAAUUAAAACUUUAGCCAUAAAAAAUAUACCUUCAAAUUCUUUAGAAAUUCUUAUGAAGUACAUUAUCUCAAAAAAAAGUUUGCUGUAGUUAUUGGCAUCAAUGUAUAAUUUAAUUUUUUAAAAUCAACAAAAUUAUUCUAAAAAAUUUAACAAAAGUACCAGCAACCAUUAACAAAAAUACUCCGGAAGUAAUAAAACAAAAGAAUAACAAAAGCAGCAGCAACCAUAUUUUCUUCAGUUAAUCAACAGAGUUAAAUAGUUAAUCCAAUUGAAUGUUUUUUUUUACAAUUACAAUAAUCAGAAUUUAAUCUAUCCAACCAUCAAAAUCCAAAAGAUAAAAAAUAGAAAAUCAUAAUCAUGAUAAUUAACAAAAUAAAAAAAUAAAUUGAACUACCGAAGAACUCAAGAAAGAGGGAGAGCAACAUAAUCAAUCUCUGUAAUUUUUUACGGCGGCAGAGUGAGACGGCGAAGAGUCCACGGCGGCAGAAAGUAACGUUUGAACUUCGCUGUGAGCUCGACAAAGAAAGUGAUCGAAGACAAAGACGGGCAAAGACGACGAGGACAAAGACGAGUUCAUGGAGGCCGACGACGACAAGGGUUGAAGUGGCUUGACGACAUGACGAGGACAGAGACAGCGACGCCAACAACAGCUCCGAGCAGACCUGGCGAUGCGAGGAGAAGGGAUCCAGGAGGAGAAGAGGGGCGGCCAACGACGACGAGGACAGAGACGGGCUUGACGACACGACGAGGACAGAGAAGUUGAGAAGGUGACGCUACUGUUGGUGGUGGCGGUGCUGGAACUCAGAGGGGGAGAGAGGGGUAUUAGGUUGUGUUUAUUUACAGAGACAGGACACUGAGACAGGGACACGUAGACACAAAAUUGUGUUUGACAGAAGAGACAUGGACAGAGACAAUGUGUCCAGAGACACUGAAUUAGUGUAUUUUGUGUCCAUCUUGACAGGAAGGACACGGAGACACUAACAAGGGACACAACUUAUUUUUUAUUUUUUCUUUCAUUAUUCUUGUUAAUUUUUCAUAAUUAUAUUUUUUAUUAUUAUAUUUUUCAUCUCAAAUUUUUUGAAUGAAAAAAAAGAGAAUAAAUUGAAUUUUCAUAAUUUGUUCUAGUUUAUCACCAAACAGAAUACAAGAACACAAAAUUUUGUGUCUCUGUCCAUCAGUGUCUUGUCCUGCCUGUUCUUAGUGUCUUGUCUUGUCCUGUUCUCAGAAACAAACGCAGCCUUAGGGAUUUCUUCUGAGAGAGAGGGGGUAGCUGGGUAGAUUUUAUACUGGUUUUUUUUAUUUAACCUUUGGAAACCGUCAAAAAACUGACAGAUUCUAUCGAUUCAUCAGUUAACCGCCGGUUUGACCGAUUUUUUUACUGUUUUUUUGUCAAACGAUUUUACAUCAAUCGAACCGGUUAAAUGACCGGUUUUCAGUUAAUCUGGUUGAACCAGCCGACUGAUUCGAUUUUCAGAACAUUGGAUAAUACAAUCAUCAGCAAAUAGUAAAUAUGUCAGGGUUGGGGCUGAGGGGGCAAAUUUGAUUCCAGUUAUUACUUUUUCCUUAAGAGCUUUUUUCCAUUAAAACAGUUAGGACUUCAGAACCUAUAAUGAAUAGAAAAGGGGAUAGAGGUUUUUCCUGUUUAGUCCUCUUUAAGGGAUGACUUCAUUAGUGAGGAAACUAUUAAUUUUAAAUUUGUAUCUUACGCCUCUUAUGCAUUCCAUGGUCAUGUUGAUCCAUUUCUGGUGGAAGCUAAAAGCCUUGAGAACUUCUUCUUUAUAUUCUCAUUCCAUCCUGUCAUAUGCCUUAUUCAUGUCGAAUUUGAUUGCUAGAUCUUGAGAACUUUCUUUUCCUUUGCUUGUUAUUUUGUGGAAGGCCUCUUGGACAAUGAUGAUGUUGUCUUAUAUUAGUCUUCCACUAUCAAAAGCACUCUGAGUUAGGAAAACAAUUUUGUCCAUGAUUCCUUAGCUUAGCUACCAUAACUUUAGAAAUGAUUUUAUAUAUAAAGUUAUAGCAGCUUAUAGGUCUCAAUUAAUUCAAUGAUUCUGCUUGUUUGAUUUUUGGCAGGAGCACCACCUGUGUUUCAUUGAUCACCUUGGGGAUAGUUCCUUCCUGGAAGAAAAGUUUAACCACUGAACAAAUGUCCUCUUGAAUAGUGUCCCAGUGUUUUUGGUAAAAUUGUACUCCUAAUCCAUCUAGUCCUGGAGCCCGACUUCCUUCCAUGCUGAAAGCCGCAUUUUUAUUUUCCUCCAAUGUGAAUUCUUGGAGAAGGCCUUUGUUCAUAUCUUUCAGUUACUCUUUUGGGCACCACUUUCAUGCAUUCUACUAUGUUGACCGUACUUCUUGAUUUGAAAAAAUCUUUAUAGUAUUCUUCUAUCAUUUUCAUGAUAUCAUCUUGAUUUUGAAUCCAGUUGCCCUUAGAAUCCUUCAAUCUUUUAAUGCGAUUUCUAUCCUUCCUUUGAAUGGUUGAUGCAUGAAAGAAAGAUGUGUUCCGAUUUUCCCACUUGAGCCAUUUGAUUCUUGCCCUUUGCCCCCAAUACUUUUCUUCUUGACUCAAGAGCUCUUUGAUCUUUUGUUUGGCAUCCUUGAUCUCAGCUUGUUGGCUAGUGGAAAUAAGAGAAUUUUGUAAAUGCUGAAUUUUGAGAAGACAUCUUGAUAUCUCCUUGUCUGCUCUUCUGAAACUCUUUUUGUUCCAUUCCGUGAGGUCAGCUAUGCACUUCCUUGUUUUAUUGAUUAAUUUCUCCCAUUCCCCACUUAUUCUUCCCUCAUUAUGCCACCCUUUCUUUACAACAUCUUUACAUUCUUCCUUAUCAUCCUAAUAAGCUUCAUAUCUGAAUAUUUUUUGUCUUUUUUCCUCUGGUAUUAAAUUGAGAAGGAGUGGGCAGUGAUUUGAGGAAACUGGCGGCUUAGCUGGGAGAGUGGCGUGCUCAAACAAUUGUCUCCAUUUAUAGUUAACUAGAGCUCUAUCAAUUCUUUCCUGGGUGACAACACCACCUUUAGGGUUGCUGAACCAUGUGAACUUACUCCCUUUGAGGUCCAUGUCCAUGAGUUGUUUCCUGUUUACUAGCUCUCUAAAGCCUUCAAUCUGAUUAUUGGGAUUCGGGUGUUUACCGAUUUUCUCCUCUUGGCUAAGAAUGUCAUUGAAAUCACCAAUGUAGCAGCAUGGUUCAUCCGCCAAGUCUUUUGUUUUAGCCAGUAUUUUCCAAGUUUUCCUUCUUUGUUGAAAGGUUGGAUUGCCAUAAGUGAAACAAUACUUCCAUGGUUGCUUAUUGUUUUCUUUUAUAUCAGUUAUAACAAAGUUUUGACACCAAAAGUGAACUGAAACAUCCACUUUUCCAUUCCACAACACACAUAUCCCUCUGGACAAGCCCCGGGGUUCUACAUAGAAUACAUUACUGAACUUUAAACUUCUACCUUGCUUCCUAAUCUUGUAUUCCUUAGCUCUCGUCUCCAUAAGAUAAGAUAAUGCUCGGCUUGUGCUGUGCAGAUUUUUUUAAUUUGAACACUAUGGUGGCCGCCGCCACCCUUUGACAGUUCCAGCUGAAGACAAUCAUGGCUGAGUUGGGGGCUUGAUAAGGCCCACCUCCUCGGCCAUAGUUGGUGCUUCUUGAUCUUCGCUGAACCUGUUGCUUCUCUCUGACUCAUUCCCUGUCUUGCUUUUUUUGCUAACUCUGGAUUCUUGGUCAUCUUCCUAGUUGUAUUUUGUUUGCAUAAGAGGGCAGAAGCAAUCUCUCUUCCUUUUGAUAAUAAGAUUUUCUUCGAUUUUCUUGCUUAGAACCUCCUCCUACUUUUCCAUGUCUUGGUCCUUCUGCUUGCUAGUCUCUGAUUCUCUUUUUCAGCAUCCGAGGCUAGCUCUCCAAAGUAAGUCUCACCCUUUUCUGUUCAGAGAAUAUGCUUUUCCUUGUUGUUUUUGACUUUGUUCUUCAUAGCAUUUACCUACCUCAUUUCCCAUUUCGAGCGAAAGAUUUGUAUUGCCUCCUUCAUUGUGAUGUUUUCACAAUCUCUUUUUUCACCUUUAGUGAUUCUCACAUAUCACAUAUGACCCACUGGUAAGGUUAUGAGCUCCUUUACAUUCAGUGCUCUUCUUUCUUCUUUGGGUUAGGGAUAGUAUCUUCGUUGAAAGUCCCUUUCAUUGUUGGGUUCCCCUGGAGUAGAGGAGGGGUGUUUUCGGCUUCUAUGGUAAUGGUUUGUAUCCUCUUUAGGCCCUGCACAACAUUCACAUCAUUCUCUCCUUGGUGUUCUCUGACUUUUUGGCCUUGGCACUUAACCUCGCUUUCUUGGGCCUGGCCUUUUGAUUUAUUAUUUCCUUUGUGUGUUGGGUUGGGACUUAGCUAUUUUGAUAGUCCAGCUGGGCUUCCUAUAUAUUUUUCUACUUGUAGCGUUACUUCUUUUACCUCCAUUAGGUUUAGGGUGGUGAAGCUUCUGUGAUUAAUGUGGCUUGAGUUGCGGUUUUUGGGAUAUAUUUCUUGUGAGUGUGGAUUUGUAUCCUCUUCUUCUUUCUUAUCACCGCCUAAAUCCCCUUUUUCAUGUAAUUUCUAAUUCUUUGAUGUCACUUUCACUUCUGAGAUUCCUUGUAUCCAUUGUAUUUUGCUAUUGUCCUCUGAGCUGCGGUUAAUCUUCCGCUUGUUCCCCACGCGCUUCUCCUUGUUCCUCAGGUCCAUGCUUCCAGGUCGCUUCCUACUUUUCCCCUUCUUCCUCCAUGGCUAGUGGCCUCAAGCUAGCUGUCCCCAAACCUGCGUGAUACUUUGGUUUAGUGGAGUCCCAACAUGCCAUGGCUUUUGGGUUGGAGCAAUUCUUCUCUCAUGUUUGAUUAUACCGCAAUUAAAGCAAUAACAGUCCGGAGUCUUUCAUAUUUGAGGCUUAUCCAGAUUUUGGGUUUGUUGUCUCUGUUCCAGUAAAAACCCGUUAGGAGUGGCCUGGUAACUAGGGUUGGCAAUGGGUAGAGUAGGGUAGGGUUUAGAUUCUAUUCUAAUCUUACCCGUGGGUGAAAUUUUUCUUACAACUCUACCAUAUCUUGUUCAUAGGUUGAGAAUCUCUCAACUCUAAUCUUACUCGCAUCCUAAAAUUUUAAAUCCUAUUCUAUCCGACUCUAUACGCAGAAACAAAAAAAAUUUUAAACAAAUAUAAAAUUCAACCAUUUCAAAUUUCAUAUAUCUUAAUAAAAUUGAAUGAAAAAUUAAAAUAGAAUAAAAAAUUGAGUUCAAAUUAAAAUUAAAAAUAAUAAAAUUUUAAAGAAAUCCAACAUAAAAUUACAAAUAAUAUAAUCAUCAAUUAGCUUAGUAAUUUUUUUUUAAAUUUUUAUAAGAAGAAGAUUGUGAGUACAAAAUUCACUUUUUUCACUAUAUAUAUAUAUGCGGGUAGGGUUGAAUAGGAUAUACUUUAAACCUGUACUUUAUCCUAUCCGCAGACAAAUUUGAUCCUACCCUAUUCUACCCGCAGCGGGUAGGAUAGACAACCCUACCCGAACGAAUUGGUCUAUAUUGAGUACCCGUGGAUAAAGUAUAUAUUGCCAUUGCCAAUCCUACUGAUAAGAAAGUUCCUUUUAAGAAUUCCAUUCUUCAUAGGGUUUUCCACUUCCACCACUAUUCCAACCAUAUCACCGAUAAUUUUGGCUAUAUCUAUAUUCAUGUGUUCAAUUGAAAUUUCGUGGAGCUGAAUCCAAAAUUCCAUGAAAUCAUGGCAGACAUCAGACAUCUAGGAUGAAUUGAUCAUACACCCACUGCAAAAGGUUCAAGAGAUUACCUCUGACAUUCCACGAGCUAUUUUUCAAGAUUUUCUUCCUUUUUUGGUUAUCUUUGAAGCUGAUCAGGACGGUAUUUCUGUCCACCUCCGAUAUGGAUACAUCUUUUGGGUUUUUCCACAUUCCCAAAAUGGAGUUUUUGAUGACUUUGAAUUUGAUUUUCUUGUCAAACAUGAUUUUCCCUACUAUGUUAUAACACUCUGGUUUGAAGCCUGGGCUUGGGUUGGAGUUGAGACUUAUUGUCAUACCUUUGAUUGUGUCAAGACCUAAAUUAGCCAUGCUUGGGGACUAGUUCAAAAUAGGAUAGUAAAGGCAACCAAGAUGAGAAGGAGGGUGGGGGACAGAGGGGUGGGAAGUUUAUGGGAUUGGGCUUCAUUUUGGGUUAGGUAAUGUUAUAACUUAUAAGUCAUAUGGAGUAUGUACACUUCUGUUGUGAUAGACAGAUUGAGUUGACUCUUAAGAUGAAGUUGUGCUUGUGUUGCAAGAUGGAACUUUGGCUUAGUGGCUGGAACUUGACUUUAAGGCAUUGGUGUGUGAUGUUUGCAUUAUGAAUGAUGGCUACAGGGACAUUAUAUGGAACGUGAGUGGUAUGAUGGUUGAGAAGAAUGGCUUGUUGGUUCUGCGUUAGAUUUUAGUGUUGGUUUAUGUGUUUGAGGAGUUGAAGGAGGGGUGCCCCCAUGAUGAAGAACCCAGGUUCUUAGCUACUCUCCAGGCGAGAGAGAAUGUCCCUCCAUAAAGGAAAAAUUUUGAAAGUCGCUUUUCUUUUUUUUUUUGUUUACAAGGGGGCUUAGAGCCCAAGAAAACAAGAAACUAAAAAAGUACAACUUAGUAACAACAACCUUUUCCACAAUCUUUUUGGGGAUAGGCCUGCGCCAAAAGAAGUAAAACAACAAGAAAGAAAUUCCGAGAACAUGUAUAGGAAAGAAACUGCACUUAAGGUUCUGGGCCUAUGGGCUUUGGCUGGGAGGUUGUCAUUAAACAGCUUGGGCAUAUAAGGCAUAGAAGUAGAAGUUGGACAACUUGGUAACCCCAAUAAAGAAAAAGCACCAACUCUGCUUGAGCCACUGACAAGAUAGAGAACCAAGUCUGGAUAUGAACCCUUUUUUUAGUGUUGUGUAUAGAGUGGAUGAGUUGUUAUAUGACCAUAAAAAAACUAAAUAACUUCUUGUUGGUACAUAAUGUUUGGAUUAACUUUAAUAAAUUAAAGCCUCUAAUAACUUGAUAUAUACUAGCUAUUUGUGCUUCUUAUUUUACGGGAUUAACAUAUUAAAUAGAGACUAUUUUAUGUGCUUCUUCUUAAUAUCAGCUACUUGUCUUGUGUGUCUAUCUAUAUAUAUAUAAACUAUUUUUUGACUUGUUAAAAUUUACAAAGAUCAAAAUAUCUCACAACAUAUACUUAUGAGUUUUAACCAAAUUGUGUCUAUUUCGAAAUAUCACUUUAUAUGAUGAAAAAGAAUAGGGAAUCAAUGCUUUUUGUGAACAAAUUGAGAAAUCAACUAAUGUUGGUAAAAAUACAAGACAAAUAUAAAAAAAAAAAAAAUUAAUCACCCACUUUUUUUUUCCUGUUAAAAAUAGAUAGCAUAACAACAGAAUGAAUUUUAUACGACAAAUUCUAUAAUUAUUAUUGAAACCUCUUUAGACCAAAAAAAAAAAUCAAGUGAAUUGAAUUCUAAACCGGGCCACAUGGUAGUGUACCUGAUGUGUCGUAGAUAAGAUAAGAAAUUUAUUCCAUUUGGCAUUUAUGUUCUUGUGGCCUAUCACUGACUCAACCACCAUUUUGUACCUCCUCUUAGUUUUUAUUUUGGGUUUUGUCUUUUGUCUAUUAAUUUCAAAAGUACGGCAGAAGCUCACAAAUCAAAAAGAUAAGAGACAACCCACGGCUCUGUAUUUUUCAUAUGGGGGUGAUAGUAGUAGUAUUUUUUAGCUAUUACUAAUAAUUAAUGAUAGUAUAAUAGUAUAUAAGAAAAAUAGAGUAGCUAAAUUUUUUUUAUAUAGAAUAAAUUGGUGUGGAAUGGACAAUUAUUAAAAAAAUUGGUAUUUCUUUUAAUAUGGAGUUAAUUUUUUUUAAAUUGUUAUUAAACAAAUUGGAGGGUCAAAUUUGUUAAGGAGAGAAAAAAAAUCUAAAAAAUUGAUUUAGAUGAGAUACACAAAUUUAAUAGUCGGAUUUAUGCAUUGCAAAUUUUUAAAAAUUCAGAUACAUAAAUCUAAAUGUCAAAUUUGUGUAUUAUAAAAAUUUAAAAAAUUCAAGUACACAAAUAUAUGUGCAUUUUAAAUAAUAAAUCUAUUAGUUAAAUUUAUAUCCUUUAUAUUCUAGUUAUACAUAUAGGGCUGGCAAUUCAUAUUCUAUCUGCGGGUAUUCAAUUUGGUUCAACCCGUUCUGGUAAGGUAGGCUACUCGACCCGCUGCGGGUAGGAUAGGGUACGGUCCGGGUAUUCUUGCAGAUAGGAUAGAAUAGCCGUACCCUACCCUACUCUACCUGCACAUCAUAUAUGUAAGAUCCAAAACCUUUGAAAAAGGGUUAUCAUUAGCUAAUUUUAAAUUCAGUGUUUCUGUAGCUUUAAUUUCAGAAAUUUCUUUAUUAAAGAAAAUUAAAGCAAAUUUUGAUUUAUUGAAUUUGAGAUAAGUUAUGAUUAUUAUCCAAUUUGAUAAUUAUUGGAUUAUUUUCUAUAAUUAUAUUAUAAAGUUGGUAGUUGUGAAAUAAUAAGGAUUUUUAUCUUUAGACCCCAAAAAAAAAAAAAAAGUAAUAAUAAGAAAUUUAAUCCAUUUGGCAUUUAUAUUCUUUCGGCCUAUCACUGACUCAACCACUAUUUUGUACCUCCUAUUAGUUUUUAUUUUGGGUUUUGUCUUUUGGAGCUAUCUUCAGUGGAGAAAGUAUAAUUUGGACUUUAAAGAAUCAAACAAUAAAUGAAAAUAUCUAGAAAUAUAGAGAGCGGCCUACAAAUAAUAGAUUGUAUUAUUAUAACAAUUGGAGUAAAUAUAUAUAUAGGCUAAUCUUAUAGUCAUACUAAUAUUAUCCUUCUUGCAACCUUUCGCUUUUAUACUUUUUUUUUCUUUUUUAUUAUUAUUAUUAUUAUUAUUAUUAUUAUUAUUAUUGUNNNNNNNNNNNNNNNNNNNNNNNNNNNNNNNNNNNNNNNNNNNNNNNNNNNNNNNNNNNNNNNNNNNNNNNNNNNNNNNNNNNNNNNNNNNNNNCUAGUAUUAAAAUAAUUAGCUCAAUAAUAAUUUAUAUAUAUAUAAUAAAAUUAUAUGUUGUAAUGUAUAUAUAUAUACAAAGAUAGAAAGGAAUAUAAAAAGUAAAGAUAGAGAGAAUUGCAUAAAUAUAUAUAUAAAGAUAGAAAGGAGUAUAAAAAGUAGAGAGAGAUAAUAGCAUUUGUUUAUAGUAAGAGAAAGAAAGAGAAUAUUAUUAUAUUGUUGUUGUUUUUUGUAUGUCCGAAUGUAAAACAACAUUCUGCUAUUUAUAAUGGUAGCAUACUUUACUUUUUCAACAUUUCUUUAAUGCCAUUUACCAUUGAGAAGCUGAGCCGCCCAGACAUUAAUGGGCAUCCAACUCAGCUUUUAUACUUAUCACAACACUCCCCCUUUGGAUGCCCAUUUAGGAUUAUGCCUCAUUAAAACCUUACUAAAGAAAACCCAGUGGAAAAAACCUUAGUGAAGGAAAAAGAAUACAAUAUCCUUUAUGAUGGAAACUGCCUCAUUAAAAACCUUAUCAAGAAAAACCCAACGGGAAAAAAACUUGACCAAGGAAAAAAGAGUACAGUCUCCUCCUCUUAUCGACAUCAUUUAAUAUUUCGAAAUCGGCGCAUCCCAAUCUCAUGUACCAAUCUUUCAAAGGACGAUUUUGGAAGUGACUUUGUAAAUAAAUCUGCCAGAUUGUCACUUGAACGGAUCUGUUGGACAUCAAUUGUCCCUUGAUUUUGAAGGUCAUGAGUGAAGAAUAAUUUGGGAGAAAUAUGCUUUGUUCUAUCACCUUUAAUGUAUCCACCCUUAAGUUGAGCAAUGCAUGCUGUAUUAUCUUCAAACAGGACAGUUGAAGCUAUCUUAUGAUCAAUCAGUCCACAUGAUGACAGAAUAUAUUGAAUCAGCCUCCUCAGCCAAAAACACUCACGACUAGCUUCAUGAAUCGCCAGUAUUUCAGCAUGAUUAGAGGAGGUUGCUGCUAUCGUCUGUUUUGUGGACCUCCAUGAUAUAGCUGUACCACCAUAUGUGAACAGGUAUCCUGUUUGAGAUCUCCCUUUAUGUGGAUCAGACAAGUAUCCAGCAUCUGCAUAGCCAACUAAUUGUGACUUGGAUCCAUAGGGAUAAAACAAACCCAUAUCAACCGUCCCCUGAAGAUAUCGAAAGAUUUGUUUGAUUCCACUCCAAUGUCUUCUGGUUGGAGAGGAACUAUAUCUUGCUAGUAAAUUCACAGCAAAUGAUAUGUCAGGUCGCGUAUUAUUAGCAAGAUACAUUAGCGCUCCAAUGGCACUAAGAUAUGGUACUUCAGGACCAAGGAUAUCUUCAUUUUCUUCUUUAGGAUCUGUAAAUACAUAAUUUAUCGAGAUCUCGUCAUUUUCACAAUUUUUAGGUACCUGAACGUCUUCUGGCGUUAUAUCAGAAUUUUGGACAACUGCAGGUGUCUCUACUAUGUCUUUUUCAACAGGAAUAUUAUUUAUCUCUUUUCUCUUUCGAGGAUUUUUGUCUUUGGAACCGACAGGCCUGCCACGCUUCUGGCGUGAAUUUGCUUUAGUGGCUACUUGUCCUACUGGGACAUCAAUUUGAAUUGGGGCAUUUUCUACUGGUAUAUAAGAUUUAGUUAUCCUCUUUGUAUCGGAAAAUGCAUCAGGCAAAUCAUUUGCUAUUCUUUGCAAAUGUAUAAUCUUUUGAACUUCUAGUUCACAUUGCCCUGAUCGAGGAUCUAAAUGCAUCAAUGAUGAUGCAUUCCAGUUAAGCUCCUUUUCAGGAAGCUUAUUCUCUCCCCCUAAUGUUGGAAAUUUUGAUUCAUCAAAAUGACAAUCCGCAAACCGGGCUUUAAAUACAUCUCCAGUUUGUAUCUCAAGAUACCUCACUAUAGAGGGAGAAUCAUAUCCAACAUAUAUUUCCAAUUUUCUUUGGGGUCCCAUUUUGGUGCGAUUAGGUGGUGCAAUGGGAACAUAUAUCGCACACCCAAAUAUUCUUAAAUGGGAAACAUUUGGCUACUGGCCAAAAGCUAAUUGCAUAGGAGAGAAUUGAUGAUAACUCGUUGGCCUCAAACGAAUAAGUGCUGCGGCAUGUAAAAUAGCAUGCCCCCAAACCGAGGUAGGGAGAUUUGUUCUCAUAAGUAAGGGUCUAGCAAUUAAUUGGAGGCGCUUAAUAAGUGAUUCUGCUAACCCAUUUUGUGUGUGAACAUAAGCUACUGGAUGUUCAACACUUAUUCCAUUAGCCAUACAAUAAGCAUCAAAAGCUUGGGAAGUAAAUUCACCAGCAUUAUCAAGACGAAUUGCUUUGAUUGGAUUUUCUGGAAAUUGUGCUUUUAAUCGAAUAAUUUGAGCUAGUAAUCUCGCAAACGCCAGGUUGCGAGAAGAUAAUAAGCACACAUGUGACCAUCUCGAAGAUGCGUCUAUUAGGACCAUAAAAUAUCUAAAAGAUCCACAUGGUGGAUAAAUAGGUCCACAUAUAUCACCUUGAAUCCUUUCUAGGAAUUCAGGGGACUCAAAUCCAAUUUUUACUGAUGAUAGCCUUAAAAUUAACUUCCCUUGAGAACAUGCAGCACAACAAAAUUCACUAGUUUUAAGAAUCUUCUGGUUCUUUAGUGAAUGUCCAUGAGAGUUUUCAAUAAUUCUCCUCAUCAUGGUUGUUCCCGGAUGGCCCAAACGGUCGUGCCAAGUUAUGAAUUCAUUUGGUCUAGUAAACUUCUGGUUUACAGUGGCAUGUGAUUCAAUUGCACUAAUAUUGGUAUAAUACAACCCAGAUGAAAGUGAGGGUAAUUUUUCUAAUAUAACUUUCUUAUUUGAAUCAUGAGUUGUGAUAUAUAAAUACUCAUGAUUUCUCUCAUUCAUCGUCUCAACAUGAUAUCCAUUUCGGCGAAUAUCUUUGAAACUCAACAAGUUCCUCAGAGACUUGGUAGAUAAUAGUGCAUUAUUUAUUAUAAAUUUUGUUCCUCCAGGAAACAAAAUUAUAGCUCUUCCGGAGUCUUCUAUCACAUUGCCUGAGCCAAUAAUAGUAUUAACAUAUUCCUCUUUUGGCACAAGAUGGGUAAAAUAUAUAUCACUUUUGAGAAUAGUGUGUGAACUUGCACUAUCCGCAAGGCAUACAUCUUCAUUACAUAUCCUUGUCAAUCUCUUCAAAAACAAAUAAUAAUAAAAUGAGUAGUAUGCACAGUUAAAUUGAAUACUUGAUCAGAAUUAUUUUUCUAAGAAACACUGUACAUAAAAUAAUGUCAUAUACUGAAAUUUUAUUUUAAAAUUUGACACAUUUAAUAAUUUCAAAAUUCCUAAACAUUAAUAUUUCAUUAUUUAUGUACAUCAUAUUUGAAACUUAAAUGCAUAGAAAAUAAAACUUAACAAUAAGUUCUUUACAUUAUUUAUUUACAUAUAUACUUCACAAUCCCACAUAUUAAACUAUUCCAUCAUUGAUUAAAUGACCAAUAUUUCCUUCAGGAUCCUCAAAGAAAUCAGAUACAUCAUAAUGAGUGGUGGAGUUCUCAGCAUCAUUUGAAACAAAAUUUGUUUCCUUUCCUUUGUCGUUCUUUUUCAAAGAUGCCUGGUAAAGAUCGACUAGGUGCCUUGGGGUACGACAGGUACGUGACCAAUAGCCCUUUCCACCACAGCGGAAACACUUCUCCUCGGUUGAUUUAUUCUGCCCGAUAUUCCUUUCUUUAUCCCACUUCUGGUGAGAUUAUCUCUUUUGAACAUAAUUCUUUUUCCUUCCAUAAUUUUUCUUAUUAUUAAAACAUUGCCAUUUACCUCUUCUGGGGUAAUUUGCCACAUUUACUUCAGGAAAUGGGGUAGCGCCGGCUGGGCGCGCUUCAUGAUUUUUUAAUAACAACUCAUUGUUGCGUUCAGCAACAAGAAGGCAAGAAAUUAACUCAGAAUAUUUUUUAAACCCUUUCUCUCGAUACUGCUGCUGCAGGAGCACAUUCGAGGCAUGGAAGGUUGAGAAAGUUUUCUCCAACAUAUCAUGAUCAGUUAUUUUUUCCCCACACAAUUUCAUUCGUGAGGUGAUUCGAAACAUUGCAGAAUUAUAUUCAUUUAUAGAUUUAAAAUCUUGUAAACGCAAAUGCGUCCAUUCAUAUCUGGCUUGAGGAAGUAUUACCAUUUUCUGAUGAUUAUACAUUUCUUCAAGGUCUUUCCAAAGAUCUGCAGGAUCUUUUAAUGUAAGAUAUUCAUUUUUCACUCCUUCGUCAAGAUGACGACAAAGAAAAAUCAUGGCUUUGACUUUAUCCUUCUGGGAUAUAUUAUUUUUAGCCUUAACGGUAUCUAAUUUUUGUAAAAUAAAAGAUAUAUAUAAAAUAAAGAUGUAUAAAUAGAAGACUCUAAAAUUAAAAUAAUUAGCUCAAUAAUAAUUUAUAUAUAUAUAUAAUAAAAUUAUAUGUUGUAAUGUAUAUAUAUAUAUACAAAGAUAGAAAGGAGUAUAAAAAGUAAAGAUAGAGAGAAUUGCAUAAAUAUAUAUAUAAAGAUGGAAAGGAGUAUAAAAAGUAGAGAGAGAUAAUAGCAUUUGUUUAUAGUAAGAGAAAAAAAGAGAAUAUUAUUAUAUUGCUGUUGUUUUUUGUAUGUCCGAAUGUAAAACAACAUUCUACUAUUUAUAAUAGUAACAUACUUUACUUUUUCAACAUUUCUUUAAUGCCAUUUAUCAUUGAGAAGCUGAGCCGCCCAGACAUUAAUGAGCAUCCAACUCAGCUUUUAUACUUAUCACAACACAUAGACCUUUAAAUAGACAAUUCCUUGUCUUUUGUGAGUUUGUGUAUUAAUUUCAAAAGUACGACAGAAGCUCACAAAUCAAAAAGAUAAGAGAGAACCCGNNNNNNNNNNNNNNNNNNNNNNNNNNNNNNNNNNNNNNNNNNNNNNNNNNNNNNNNNNNNNNNNNNNNNNNNNNNNNNNNNNNNNNNNNNNNNNNNNNNNNNNNNNNNNNNNNNNNNNNNNNNNNNNNNNNNNNNNNNNNNNNNNNNNNNNNNNNNNNNNNNNNNNNNNNNNNNNNNNNNNNNNNNNNNNNNUAUAUCAUAAAUUAGUUAAAUCAUCAUCAUCGUCAUCUUUAUUAUUAUUAUUAUUAUUAUUACAACAGUCUAACUACACAUUCAAGUAUUUUUGGCAAUUAAAUCUAAUUAAGUUUGUCCAAACUUACCAAAAACUACUCUCAUCACACCAGCGUAUAUAUACGCACAUUUCAAUAACACAACAUAUCCGUUUCCUCCUCCUCCUUCUUCUUCUUCGUUAUCGUCAUUAUCAACAUUUUGCUAACAUCUUUAUUAGUUUUGAUUUUUUCUGUUGCCAUCAUUAAAUAAUUUUGGUUCAUUUUUUAGUUUAUUUCGAUUCAUUUGUGAAUUAAUUUUAGUUCAUUUGUGUGUUAAUUGAGAUUCACCUGAUACUGCUGAUAAGUAUUGACCAAAUUUUUAUUCUUUAAAUAAUUUCGGUUCAUUUCUUAGUUUAUUUGAGGUUCAUUUGGAUUCAGAAAUAAAUUCGAUGUGUUUGUGUUAAUUGAGGUUCACUUUAUGUUACUAAUAAGUAUUAACCAAAUUUUUUAGCAAACAAGAAUCAAAUUAUUCAUGAUCACUUUAUUCAAUUGCAUCAUAUUCUACUCUAUUCUAUUCAAUUAGUUCAGAUUUGAACUAGUAAUAAAAAAAAUUCAAUUAUCAACAAAAACACAUCAAAUUUAUUUCUGGAUCCAAAUGAACCUCAAUUAAACUAAGAAAUGAACCGAAAUUAGUUAAAGAAUAAAAAAAUUGGUUAAUAUUUAUCAGCAGUAUCAAGUGAAUCUCAAUUAGCAUACAAAUGAAUUGAAAUAGUUAAAAAGACUCAAUCAUUAACAAAAACAUAUCGAAUUUAUUUCUGGAUCCAAAUGAAUCUCAGUUAAACUAAGAAAUAAACCGAAAUUACUUAAGGAAUAAAAAUUUGAUCAAUACUUAUUAGCAGCAUCAAGUAAACCUCAAUUAACAUACAAAUGAAUCGAAAUAAAUUAAGAAAUGAACCAAAAUUAUUUAAUGAUGGCAGCAAAAAAAAUUAGAACUAAUAAAGACGUUUACAAAAUAUAUUGGUAUUAUUGGUGAUGACGAUAGCAAGAAGCAAAGAAGAACCCGCGUGCAUGAAUUUGGAAGAAGAAGAAGGAGGAGGAGGAAAAGAAGAAGGGAAGAAGAAGAAGAACCAUCUGUGUGUGCGAAUUUGGAAGAAUAAGAAGAAGGAGGAGGAGGAGGAGGAGGAAAUGGAGAAAAAAGAGAAAGAGAAGAAGGCGCAUGAUUUAAAAAGUUGUUAUAACAAUUUGGUUAAAUAUUUUGUUUGGACGUAGAAUUUUAUUAUUAUUAUUAUUAUUAUUAUUAUUAUUAUUAUUAUUAUUAUUAUGACUAAAUGUCUUUAUAUCGAAAUUUUUUUUAAGACAUAGAUGUUGAUCAAGAAUAUCUUUUCAUACAAAUUGUCCGCGUCAAAAUUCUUGAACAGAGAUAAAUUUGGGAAAACAAUGAAAAAAAAAAGUCAAUAAGACAAUCACCGGAUAACAUGAAUUUUGGAGUAUAAUUUUUGAAUUUUGAACGUAUAGUUUUUGAAUUUCUAUUAAUUUUUAUUUUCUGGUUGUUCGAUAUUUUUUACUAUCUCUCUAGCAAAAUCAUGUGUAGUUAAAUAUUUAGAUUGUAUUUAAAAGAGAGAUAGAGAUUAAAAAAAUAGAAAUUAAGAGAUUAAAAUUAAAUUAAGUUUUUAUAUUAUAUUUAGUAUAAAAUAUAUUAAAUUAAAUUAUGGUUAAAUAUUCUAUUUGAUUUAAGAUAAAUAUAAAAAUAAAAAAUAUAAAUUUAAAAUUUAAAAAAUUAAAUAAAAAUAUUUCUUUUAAAAANNNNNNNNNNNNNNNNNNNNNNNNNNNNNNNNNNNAUCAUAAUUCAAUAAUAAUAACAAAGUCUUAUAUAUUUUAUUAUGAACCGAACGACGUUGUUGAAAUAUUAAUUUAAAAUAUUAAUAAAAAGUGUUAACUUCCUUAUAUUUUUCUUAAUUAAAAAUGAGUGAGUUCCUAUGGUUAUUGCAUUGUAAGAUUUUAGGUGGAAAUUAACCCACUUCCGCCAUGUACCAUGUAAAUCAUGCUAGGUGCGUUAUUUAGGGUCAUAUGUAAUGAAUUCCAAAUCCAAGUUCCAUGUAAAUUAUGACAGGUACGGUGUUGUUAUUUUAGAUCUUUCACCCUGGUUAAUUACUUAUUAAUUCUUAAUCAAGCUUUUAACUACAAAAUGUAUAUGUAAAAAGUCUGAAUGUGUAGUUGAGCGAAUGGUUAAUCUUCUUUUAAUUAAGAUUUAGGGCUUGUUUAGGUGAAUUUUUAAUAAAAUAUUUUUUCGAAUUGAAGAUAUAUUAGAUUUUUUAAUUUUAAUAAAUAUAAGCCAACUUUAAAAAUUUUUUACUUAGAUGCUUUUAAAAAUACUCCUAACAUUUAAAAAUGACAAAUACAAACACAUUACCCUUUUGAUUUACUGAAGCAAAUAAAGUGUUUGUCAUUUUAAAAAGUACGACAAAGUACUUUUUCAAAAAACUUUACUAAAUUAAACGUAAGUGUUAAUAUAGUUAGCUUAAAAAAUUUUAAUCCAACCACCCCCUAUUAAAAUGUGCUUAAUUAUAAACCAAUAAAAAUUAGUACGAAGAUUUUUUUUUCUUAUUUUAUGCAUGCAGAUGGAUUGAAUGGUCUUUAAUUGUAAAUAUUACAGUAUCAUAAACGCAUCACUCAUACUAUAUAUUUAUUCGGAAAUGUAACAUAUUAAAAGACCCUAAUUUUUCACUUCAACUAAAAUUUCUACAGACAUUUAUCUUCAAAUUAAAAAGAUAACAUAUCACUUCUGCAAAUUUUCUGAAGUGGUGGACCAGGGCAAAUGAAAUUUCUCAGAUACUUUUACACUUCUAGGGUAAAAAAAAUUGCUGUAUGCAAUAUUAAUGCAUUAGGCAUGAAAAGACGUCCAUGUUCAAUCCACUCGUUAUGCUAAAAAGUAAUCUUAAAAGGAAGAAUUUUAUAUUAAUUUGAAAUACUAAUGUAAAACACGUUUUUAUAUCUGUAGAUGAAAAAUACCCUCACUUCAAUAAUUUGCAGAUUGUAUAUAUUCGUCGUACACGUGUCUUCAAUUAUUGUACCAUUGCAUAUUUAAUUUGAAUAUUAUAAUGCAAAGGGAGAAAAUAUCUAUAUGACGACAGAAGUUGAUGUAAUAAUAAACUAUAGUCGUCAAUUAUUGAAAUUAAUAAUCAAAUAUAAGGACAAUUUACACGAAUAAAAUGAUUGAAAAAUUUUUUUACGUAAAUAUAACAUUGACAAUUUCCAGACGUAAAUGCACAAACAUAACUGUAUAUAAUCUGUUACACUCUGUAGCGAAACUCAAUUGCACGUAAUUCGCUACAGGGUAUCGCAGAUUACGUUGAGGGCUGCAUUACUCAUAAACUGCUAUACCCUGUAGCGGUUUAUGACCAAAUGGCGUUUGUGCAUAAUCUGCUACACCCUGUAGCGGAUUAUGAGUAUAGUGGUGAUUAUAUGUUAAUAGUAACAACCCAUGAUGCAAAAUGCACGAAUUGAUACAAAAUGUAAUCGUCAUUCGCAAUAAGUCGUACAAAAAUAAUAGCCACCAAACAUUAACAAUAACACAGAAUAAGUUAACUACAUAACUCAUACAGAUAUAACUGUCACAAGUCGUUAACCCUAACAGAAAAUAAAUAAGUCAUAAUUCAUACAAGGAUAACGGUCGGAAAUAAGACAAUCGGCGUUGCUGUUGGUCACCAUCAACAUCAUGGUCGCCCCUGAAUUGACUAAGUAGGUGCGAGCCUGUGCCACAUCGAGUCGGACGCCUAACCCUAGCCGCUCGCCGAUCUCCCGGUGGAGCCUCCUGUGGCCCAACUCCAAAUGCAGAUGGUGGCGUCCCCCCAUGCCGAACCAAGUGUUGUACGGGCUACCUGCGGGCUCAUUCAGGUCUACCGGGAGCUGGGUCUCAAGAAUCUGGGACGGCACAUCCGCUGGCUGUGGCCUAUACUUCGGAGGGUCGGAAGGGCCGCCUGGAAUCGGGCUCUGGUACUGAUGAACGUCGUCACCCUGUAUCAUCUCAGCAAAAUUCGCAUAGAACUGGGGUCCACCCAACUGAUCGUCCAAAUUCAUGGUGAAAGAAGUGGUAGCAAGAUCGGCUAACAGCUGUGUGCUAUACUCAUAUAGUACCUGAGAGCUAGAUACGUGAGUAAAAGGUGUACCACCCAUACUAGCCUCUGCGGUGCCACCAACAUGAGUGUCUGUAGGGUGCCGACGGGACGAUCCAACCUCGUCAUCAUGGUGGACGGGAAGUGCUCGUCCACCACGAGCAGUCCAUCGUCUAGCAGUAGAUCGACGAAGGCGAUGAUCUGCCUGGCCUCCGUCAUCACCACCAACCUGCUCCUUCUGCAUCAUGUCGUUGAGCCAGCGCCACUCGCGAUUAGUGGCACGUGUACCGAUGCGUCGUCUCCGCUCCACACGUCUGUUAUCCGGCAUAUCGGACGCUGGAACUCUAGUCGGCGCCUGCGACGACCCUCUGAGUAUGGCAUCGUCCGGAACCUGGGUCAGCCUGGGGUCGGCGAAAGCAAUCCCUGGUGAUAGAAUCCUAUGUGCAACAUGGUGCCACCAGUCCAGGUACUCAGCGGAUGGACCAGGAUCAGGAACUCUCUAGACACUCAACACAAAGCAAACUCGCUCGUCCCAAUGCUGAUGCCAUGUCCUAUAGUAAGUGGGGAACCAUCUAUCUCCACCCGUGCCGUCCUUACUAUGAAGAUACUCUAUGUUGAGCGCUGGCUCAGGAAGAUGCUGUAUGCCCCCUAGCUGUGGGAAGACCUUGUCUACCUGAUGGCACUCAAUCACUACAAAGUAUAUCAGGCUGGUGAUAGCCCGCUAUAACCGGCUGUGCUCCUCAGUCAGUAUCUCUGGAUGGAUGACUGCCAGUACGUCCAGAGAACUAUAAGGCUCCUACACAAUCUGAUAGACAUGAGGCAAGUCAGCAUUGUACCAAUGUAUACAUAUAAGUGUGGGAAAAACAAUUAAAACAAUGACGAACAAAAACAAAAUACUUACAUCUCGAUGAGUCAGUCGAUCCAAUGCCAGACGAUACUGAAUAAUCCGUUGUUCCUUCCCAUCAGAAGUGGGCAAAUAUGUGGCCCAUCUGAGUUGCAGAAAUAGCACGUAAGUAUGUAUUUUAUAUAUAGAACGUAAUGAACUUGAAAGAAUACGUGAAUUAAAUUAUACCUGGAUGCCAAUGGAAAAGAGAAAGCAUUAAAACCCUGCGGCCUCAGCAUGGGGAACCGCCAAAAGAUCCAUGACUGUAGCAACUGUAGGGGUCCAGCCAAGCUAAUGGCAUAUUUUGUUGCCUACGGACGCUAUACACACAUCGGGUUGGCUGCAUUUUCAGAAAUAAAGAAUACCAGCUUAAUUUCUAACAACGACAUCACCAAACUAUAGCUUAUGUUUAUAUUCUUAAGCUAUUUGGGUUUUGAAAUUACUAAUUUACCUCUCUACCUUGACUAUUAAAUGUUAAAUGUCAAAGUUUAAAUUUCAAAUUUUCAUUUUCAAACCAAAAGCUAAACUAAGUCUCUAUCUAUCUAAUUAAUGAAUUACUUCCUUAAUAUUGAAUAAAAUAUACAUUUAUUAAAAUAUUGAAGGGAAAUAGAGACACUUACCUCUUCAUCGAUGGUCUCGGCUAUGUGAGUAACGCCGUCGAGUCGGUACAACCACCGUUCAUUGUCCAUUCUUCCAAACUACUCAAGAAUUUGAAUUUUCUCUCCCUUCUCUCUACUUUCUCUCUCUAACUUUCUUUCCAAAAUACUUCAAAUGAUUUCCGCUACAGCCUCACGCGGUAUAUAUAAUCACCACUAUACUCAUAAUCCGCUACAUAUGCACAAACGCCAUUUGGUCAUAAACUGCUACACCCUGUAGCGGUUUAUGAGUAAUGCAGCCCUCAACGUAAUCCGCGAUACCCUGUAGCGAAUUACGUGCAAUUGAGUUCCGUUACAAAGUGUAGCGAAUUAUAUACAGUUGCGUUUGUUACAUUUGUGUCUAGAAAUUGCCAAUGUUGUAUUUGCGUAAAGAUUUUCUCCAAUCAUUUUAUAUGUGUAAAUUGCCUCAAAUAUAAUAUUUUGGUGAUGUAGUAUAUAUAAACUUCAAUUAUUGAAGUCCAAUCCUUUCAAUAGAUUUUAAAUUUAAGGAUCACUUUACUUGAAAUGAAAAUAAAUAAGUAUCAGUUUGCGAUCAAACUCGACUUAUCUCUUCAAAAAUAUAGAUAUAAUAUUGACAUGUUAGAUAUAAAAUUAAAGUUUAAAAUUGAUAUUUAAUUUAAUAUAAUUCUAAUCUAAUUUAAUUUUUUCGUAUUUAUCUUAUAUUAUUUGAAUAAUGUAAUACUAGUCAAUUUUCUAGUUGUUCUAUUAAAAAUAUAAGCUCUAAGUAGUUUCCUUAAUUUAAUCCAGUCUAAUAUUCAUGAAAAUGAGGAUUGCCUGGAUUGGUGUGACGGUGAUGACACUGGUGUGGCUUAGUAUCAUUUUAUUUGUUAGAAUAUAAUUAGGAUUAAUUAGGAUCAAUUAGUAUUAUUUAGUAUAUUUGAAUAUUUAUUAUAGGAGAUUACGUCUUUAUUAUUACGAUUCUAUUAGUCCCUAUAAAUAUCCUUCUAUAUUAUAUCAUUCUAGACAACUUGAAUAAACAACUUGAAUACACUCAAUAAUACACAAAUUCCUUCCUCCAGUUUAGUCUCUUAUUUCUAACAUGGUAUUAGAGCCAUGGUAGGAUAGGUAGUUUUUCUUCUAGUGAAAUCACCAUAUUUUCCUUCUGUACCAUUUUUUUCCUUCUCUUAUAGUUUUCGCUCUCUUUCGGCAGUUCCGUCUGCGUUCUCUUGUGGCAGUUCCAUCUGCGUUCUCUCGUGACAGUUCCGUCUGUGUUCUCUCGUGAUAGUUCCGUCUGUGUUCUCUCGUGACAGUUUCGCCUGCGUUCUCCCGUGGCAGUUCCGUCUGCAUUUUCCCGUGGCAGUUCCGUCUGCGUUUUCCCGUGGCAGUUCCGUCUGCGUGUUUCCUUGUGGCAGUUCCGUCUGCACCCGCGAGAAUUUCAUCUGCGCUUUCUUCCGACAAGCAGCAGUCCCGUCUGCGCUUUCUUCCGACAAGCGGCAGUUCCGUCUGCGCUUCCUUCAGACAAGCGGCAGUUCCGUCUGUGCUUCCUUCAGACAAGCGGCAGUUCCAUCUGCGCUUCCUUCUGGCAGUUCCAUCUACACCCGUUCUAUUCGUUUAUGUAUUUUUUUUAUUUCGUUGUAUUAAUUUUUAAAUAAGUUUCAAACUCAAGUUGUCACUUGAGUUUGAAGGGGAUGUUAGAAUAUAAUUAGGAUCAAUUAGGAUCAAUUAGUAUUAUUUAGUAUAUCUGAAUAUUUAUUAUAGGAAUUACGUCUUUAUUAUUACGAUUCUCUUAGUCCCUAUAAAUAUCCUUCUAUAUUGUAUCAUUUUAGACAACUUGAAUAAACAACUUGAAUACACUCAAUAAUACACAAAUCAUUUUUCCAGUUUAGUCUCUUGUUUCUAACAUUAUUUUUGGCCGAUUGCACAGGUUCGUUCUCCCUUGCUUUCUUUGAUGCUUUGAUGAAGUGAAAUAAGAAUAUUCUUUAUAAAAUGAUAUGAUUAGAUAAUAAUAAGUAAUGUAACACAUGGAGUGUUUUUGUCAUUUUGUCAAAGUUUUAUUUGUUAAGAUUUCAAGCUAUUCAUGGAAGAUGGUCUAAUAAUUUGGGAUUUUAUUGAUUAAGAUUUUUUGUUAAAGUUAGUAUUUUUAUCCAUAAUAAAAUUAUGAAAAUAUAAAUCUUUUAAAAUUAUAUUGAUUUUGUCAUAUAAAUUAUGGAACAAAAGAUUUAUAGAACUAAAUUACUUUUACAAAAAGUACUACUAGAAAAUUAUUUAUUACAGAUGAAUAUUUUUGACAAAUUUUAUCCCACAAAAAUACAGACAGAUUUUGCAAAAGAAUUUUCAUCGAAAACAAAGAAAAAUGAAUUAGUAUGAAUUACAUACAGAAAAGAGAAUCUGUCGAUAACUCUGUCGAAAAAAUUAGUAUUUUUUGUGGAAAAUAAUUACCAACAAAAAAUUCGUCUGCAUUUAAAUGAUCAAAAUGCUGCAUUUUAUUAAAUUAUUAUAGACAAAAAAUCUGUCUUUAAUUUAAAAUAUUCCAUCGAAAGAUAUUGACUUAAACCUAACUUAACCCCACUCUCUCGAGCCCCAUUCACAUUCCACACAAAUAAAACACGAGCUUCUUCCUCUCUUCGUCGCACAAGCUGCUUCUUCUCUCUGUCGCACGAACUUCUUCCGCCGCUGCUCGCAUCGCACAAUAUCUCUCUAUCAUCCCUUGCGUCGCACGAGCUUCCUCUGCCGCUGCUCUCAUCACGUCUGCUCCCUUCGUCGCAAUCGUCGCAGAGCUCUCUCCACCGCUCUCGUCGCGUCUGCUCCCUUCUUCGCCGUCGUUGCAGAGCUCUCUCCGCUGCCACUCUCAUUGCAUUUUCUCCCAUCAUGAAUUUCACGUAUUCUCUGAUUUUGUGAUUCUGUUGCUUAGGGAUCAAUUUUCUGUUCAAAUUUUAGGUUUAUCAAUUUUUCUUUGCAGUUUCUAUUUUCUUGUUGCUAUUGAUGCUAAUUGAGUUUGUUGUAGUUGUAGUGAUGAAAGAGAUUCAUCUUCACAUAAUGGUAUCUCGAAACAAAUGGUAAUUUUGCCCUUUCUAUUCUCUUUUUUCUGUUUAAAUGUUUUUAAUUUCCAGCUUAAGGAUUCGAUCACCUGUUCUGAGCUUGUUCCAUGAUUCUACUCUAUUUCUGAUUUUUUUGUGUGGAUAAAUGCAUUUUUUUUAGUUUGAAAUGAAAAAUAUUUUAUCUCAAUUUGAGCUUGAACUAUUUAUAUCAAACUAUUACAUGUAUAAUUCUUGCUGUAGUUCUUAGUUCUUUAGUUGCUACUUUGAAUUCUUAGCUUAGUUUACCGAUACUUAGAAUUUAUUGCAAUUUCUUAGUAUAUGAAUUUGUGAAUUUUUAGUUGUAUAUGAAUUCACUUAUAUUUAGUUAAUUUUACUUUUAAUUCAUCCCAGGCAGAGAUUUUAUUGCUUAUUGCAAAUGCUAAGGUACAUUAAAAUAUGUACAUCAAGAGUUUGUUUACUAGCGUGUGGUAAAGGUAUGGAUAUUGUUUAUAUUUUAGUUUCAACAGUUUGUAUACUAUCGCAAUAUCAAUCUAUAUAUUGUUUGUAUAGGGUAACAACUAUGUGUUUCAGAAGUGAUGAAUAUGAUUACUAGUGGUAUGUUCUCAGUGGUAUGUUCCUUCAAACAAAUUUUUUUUCCUUGUAGCGUACACUUUCUAGCAUAACUCCCAAGGGAAUUUCAUGUUUUAGAGAAAGCUAAAGUGGAUACAUAUUUUUUUCAUAGUCUAUUUAGAAUAAGAUGCUCGGGUAUUUGUUUACUAAUCUGGACUUACAGCCCCUCAAAUACUAAUUGAUAUAUGUAAGUAUUAUUUUAGAGGAAUUUUCUAUAAUGUAUUUGUGGCCUUUGUAUCUGGUUGACCCUGUUUAAUUAUUUUUCAAUCUUCAAGUAAUGCUUCGGUCUAAAAAUCUUGUACACUUUGAUUCCUUUGAUAUCCCCUAUAUUAGUAAAAACCUCUUAAAUUUCAAUUUAUGUAUUUUCAUUAUCUUUUAACAUUUGAUGUCUGUUCUAGUUUUUAAAUACAGUUGUGGAUUUGCUAACUCAUACCUUUAAAUUGAACAGAAAUUUUUUUAGCACAACUUCCUCCUAGAGAAGUUAUCUCAUAUGGCUUCAGUAUAUGUUAUCAAUGAACAGAGUGAGUCGCCGCUCUUCACUUGCUUCUUUAAAUGAGAUUCUGGAAAAUCUGUAGCAAGUUUCUCAAUGCAAUUACCUAAAAUGACUUCAAACGGUUUUUAAAUUCUAACUAUUGUCUUUUCCUUUUCUUACCUUGUAGAUGUUGAAAAAUUCAUUUCAGAAAAAGCUUAUAAUAGUAAAAAAUGGGGGUGCUCCACUUCUGGAUGUAAGUCUUGGAAGUCCAUCGGGAUGCGUUACAAGAAAGUGGCUUCCUUUGACAAUUUUAUGAGGUAUUGUGGUUUGGUUGCUAAUGAACCCAUUUCUGUUGUUGGAUUGAGUCAUUUUGAUGUGAAUAAUGAUGAUGAUGAUAGUGCAUCGUCAGAAAAUGGCAUAUUGAUCAACAAGAAGAAUUUGUAUGAUUCCGACACUCUUUUGUGAUGUAUUCUUUACUCAAAUUAGCAUACUUUGUCAAUUAAUCAUGAGUCUUUUUAUUCUUGAAUGCUAAUUAGAUAUGAUGUAAUGAAUAUUAUAUUUGUCUAUGUGAUUUUUGGCCCUUUUUUUUUUCAAUUCACAGUGUGUUUGAUGGAGUAAAUUUAGAAAACAAACUUAAAGUAUUCAUUUUGCAAUGGAAAAAUUUAAAACAAAUUAUGUUUUACCUUACUGAUAGAUUUACAGACAAAAAAUUCGUCUGUAUUAAGAUUUGUGAAUGCUUUUCUAGGCUCUAAUUACCGACAAAAAAUCUAUCGAAAAGUUUGACUCUAGUUAUCGACAGAAAAUCUGUUGAAAAAUCUGACUUUUAAGCAAAAUGGAGGUGAUGAUUACCGAGGAAAAAUUUGUCAGUAACAGAGACAAAUCUAUCGAUAAAUUAUCGACGAAAAAUCUGUCAAAAAAUCUGACUUUUUAGUGAAAUAGAGGAUGAUUACCGAGGAAAGAUUUGUCGGUAACAAAAAAAUCUGUUGGUAAAUUACUGACAAAAAAAUCUGUCGAUAAAUAAUUUCCAACGAGAUUUUUAUAAAGGGACAAAAUCCGUCGGUAAUUUCGUCAGUAACUAAAAAUUUGUCUAUAAUAAAGAUCAAAUCUGUCUGUAAUAAGCAAUUUUCUAGUUUUGAAGGUUAUAGGGGACAAAGUCCUUGUCGGCUAAGAAGAUAAGGGUCUCUGUAAAUUAACAAAAAAUAAAAUAAUAUAAUUUUUAGUUAUUAUUGUAACACCCUCACUAUCAGAACGUCACGCUUCCGGCUGCGCCACUCUGAUAGCUCAGGAAUUACGACGACUUUUACAAUAUUUAGUACUAAAAUAUGAGCCUAUUUAAAACUUAAAAACAAACAUUCAAAACAUACAUACAUACGUUACAAAACAGGUUACAAUACUUACAUAUAAUACAUAUAUGUAUAUACAUUAUACCAAAAUAUAAACUUCACAUAUCAAAACUCCUAUCCCACUUGCAAAAAUUGCUAGAAAUAAAGGCGAGGGAAAAAUAAAAACUAAGAUAAUACAAAAUAAUGUCGAAUAAAUAGAAAAUGAAUAUAACUCUUUUGAAGCUCCGUCGCCCAUAUCCUAAAAAGGGAAAAAACCUGUAAGGGAGUGAGAACAUCGUCCUCGAAAGGGUUCUCACUAUAGGUUACAGAAUUGCUAUAAUAAGAUACGAGAAUAAAACUGUUUUUAGAGUACAGUGAUUAAUAACCGCCUUAUGCUUCUUUUCAAAACCAAAGAAUUAAUAUUCCAAAUCUGAAAUCCUUUCUAAAAGGGAAAGCUGUUAAUUUCUCAGAAAUUCAAAAGCCUUUUUAAAAAUUUUUUUCUAGACAGUAUGAAUGACCAAACUGUUCAAAGUAGAGGUUCAUUAAGUCUAUGCUGAAUCAGUUUAGUUUUUCAUACUUUUUUAAACCAAAAGCACAAACCAAACACAACCUUUAGCCCAUCUCAUAAUCAACCACGGCCCUAGGCUCAAGCAACUCAAUCAACAACCAAUUCAUCACAAUCUAGCCAAUUUUCAGUCACAAACACAAGUAAGAAGGUUCAAACACAAUCAAGCAGCUAUAUCAAGUAGAGCAAUUAGCAAUUAAACAUAGAUAUUCACAUAGACAAACUAAUUACAAUAUGCACACCUGAUGCACGGAAAACUUGUCUCGCAACAAAUUUCCUUCGGCAAGUGUACCAAAUUGUCGUCAAGUAAUAACUCACAAAAGAGUGAGGUCGAAUCCCACAGAGAUUAACGGAUUAAGAAAUCAAUGGUUGAUUAAUUAUCCUAGUUAGACGAAUCAGAUUGGAGUGAUAAGCAACAAGGAAUUGUAAAUUGACAGAAAAGUAAAGAAAGCAGUAAAGUGCAGAAAAGUAAAAUGGCAAGAAAAGUAAAUGUAAGAACUAAAAAUAAAAUGAACAUUGGGAUCAAGAGAUAUUGCAAUCCUCCGAAUCAAGUUCAUUCUCAUCUCUUCCUCAAUCAAUGCAUUCAUUGAUCUCCUUGGCAAUCUUAAUUGAUCGAAUUCCAAUUUCUUAGAAUUCAAUCUCUCAAAUCUUGAUCAAUAGCCAAUUCCUUGGUCAAUUGCUCAUGAGAAGAGAUGAAGUAUGGUCACUGAUUAUACCACAUGCAUUUCCCAAAUCAAGUGUUGGAAGGAUUAUAGUCACAUAUCCAUCCACACCCAAUUUGGUCCAGCAUGAGAAAACAUUUCUAGCAUGAUCUCUUCAUUCCUCUUUCAAGGUUCAGAAGAGAUCCAAGUAUGAAUAGUUUCUUUUCCAAGAUAACUACCCAAUUGGAUGAAGAUCGAAAGCCCUCUAGUAAAAUCAAGAGGAAAGAAAGAAGAAGAAGAAUAAGAACUACACUUAAUCCAUUGAAUCACAAUAGAGCUCUCUAACCCAAUGUAAAGAGUUAGUUGAUCAUUGCUCUACAAAAAUAGAAAAGAAAGAAAGUGCAGAAAAGUAAAUAUGAAGAUUUAAACUGAAAUUGAAUAUUCAACAUUCAUAAAUGAAAAUUACAACUAAAAGAAAGAGAAGGAAAAGUGUGUGAGGGGAGGGAGUCCGAAGACCCCUCUUCAAUCCUCCAUUCCAGAAUUGUCCCAGCCUGCCUUCAAUGUAAAGACUAAGGCCUUUAUAUAGGCUCUCCUAAAUUACAAAAUGAAAUUAAAAGCAAAUUACAAUUAAAUGAAAAUUCCUAUUCUAGAUGCUUCUUGUGGUCUUGAUUGGUUGACAAUUGUGGGCUUGCUUGCUUGAGCUUUGAAGUGGACUUGAGAGAGAAGUGAGUCAAGUUGAGGUCCAGGUGCUAAAGUUAGUGCUAAAGUUAGCCACACUAAUGCUACAAGUGUGGCGUUAGUGCUAAAGUUAUUGUGGCUAACGUUGCACUUGCUGCCCAGUUGGUGUUUUUGGGGCUUAAAAGAUGCCUCUUGUUUGUGCUCCAAUUUCAUGCCCACUAUAGAGUAUUAUAUAUCGUUGGAAAGCUCUGAAUGUCAGCUUUCUAAUGCAACUGAAAUCACCUCAAUUGGACCUCUGUAGCACAAGUUAUGCUCCUUUGAAGUGGACAUGGUUGCUGGCAUAGUCGCUAGCGUUACUGGAAAACUUGAGUGCCAAUAACGCUAGCGAUCAGGGCUUCAUUAUUGCCAGUUUCUGAAGCUCAAACUUAGUGUCCACCCAAUACUAUUAUAUAUUGUUGGAAAGCCCUAGAUGUCUACUUUCCAAUGCUUUUGGAAGCGCAUCAUUUAGAGCUCUACAACUCGAGUUACACUUCUUGGAAGGUGAAGAGGUCAGCUGGCCUUACUACAGGUUGAUACCAUGUUCAUCUUUGCACUUUCGGGGCAGGUUUUCUCCCUCAAAUUUAGUGUCCACCAUGUAGUGCCAUAUAUGCUUGGAAAGCUCUGGAAUCCUACUUUCCAAUGCCACUGGAAUCACCUCAUUUGGAGUUUUGUGGCUCAUGUUAUUCUUGUUUGAAGAAGGCAUGGUCAGGCUGCCAGGUGGGACUUUUGUCCACGUUAACUACCACGUUAACUUAGUUAACAUGGAAGUUAACGUGGGUCUUUUUGCUUCGCCAACAUUAGUGGAGAUCACCUUUUUCACUAACUUUGGUAUCUCCCUUUACUUCAACGUUAGUUCCCACGUUAAUGUAGUUAACGUGGAAGCUAACGUGGGUCUUUUUGCUUCGAAAACGUUAGUGGCACUCACUUUUUCCACUAACGUUGGCAUAUACCCCUUUCGCAAGCGUUGUUGGGGCUCACCUUCCCCAUUAACGUUGCUUGGUGCCUUUUGUCCCUACGUUAGAGUUCACGUUAGUGUAGCUAACGUGACUCUUAACGUGGGUCUUCGUUCCAUGCUCUCCUUCUUCAAAGUUAAUGCCACUAACUUUUCUUACUAACGUUGUGGCUUUCCUUCCUUCCACGUUAGUGCCCAUGUUAGUGUAACUAACGUAGCUACUGAGACCUUGGUGUCCAGCACCUCUUUGGGUUACUAAAUGCUCUGUAGUGAGGGUUACUCUUGAUAGUGGACUUUCAGUUGACAAUCCCGAGUUAGUUAACUCAAGUUACCAAGUGAUAAGGCACCCCUAAGAGCUUAUUCAUCCAAGUAAAUCCCUCACACAGGAACACCACAGACACAUGCCUCGAGAUUAAAACCAUUGGUUCCUAGCCUUAUUGCUUACUCUUUUUUUUUAUUUUUCAACCUUUAUUGUUCUUUCCCUUUUUCUUAUUAGGAUCUUCUUAUUUAGCUAGUCUCAUGGGGUGUGUCUCAAGCAUAGUAUUCAUGACAGAUAGUUGUCCUCCCACCUUAUGGUUGAACCAACUUAGCUAACUUAUGACUAUACCACAAACUCAUGAACUUACUCCAUAGUAUGGACUCCUCUCUGGUCUUUUAUAAAACACUCAUUCUCUUCUCAUUUGAUUCAAAAGGGACAAGCAUACAAGUAAGCAAAGUAAGGAUGCAGUAAUGACAUUCAGACUAGAAAACACAGCCUUAAUCAAUAAAAAGUUUAAAAGACAGAUUUGACAUGCUUAUUCACAAGGCGCAAGCACACAUACAUACAAAGAAAAUAGAAGACAAUCAUGCAAAUUAAAGUGCUGAAAAUAAGUAAGAGGAGAAAGGAACUUUACCACCUUGUAUUUUAUCUUUAUUGUUGUUGCCCUUUUCCUCCUAUUCUUCCCUUUCCCACACCAGACAUAGAAUGAUUGCUUAUACUCAAGCAACAAUUAAAACAGUGGUGAUGGAGUCCAUGAUGGAUCAUGAAUGUCUUAGAAUGAAGUGUGAGUAUGCAUGUGUUUCAGCAAGCAAGGUUAAGGAUACAAUAAAGACACAAGAGAUACAAACAGAGACAUUUUGAUUGCAUUAAUAAGUGGUGUUGGCAUGGUACUUUGCAUGAAAGUUAAGUGGCAACACCAAACUUAGUGUGCCACUGUCAAUCUAGCAUGUUGCAAGUACCCAAUGAAGAUUGAAAUUCAAAUUGUUGCAUGGCAACACCAAACUUAGAGUACAAUCAUAUGCCAAAUUAUUGAAAGUAAACAAAACUGAAAUUGAAAAUUCAACAUUCAUAAAUGAAAAUUACAACUAAAAGAAAGAGAAGGAAAAGUGUGUGAGGGGAGGGAGUCUGAAGACCCCUCUUCAAUCCCCCAUUCAAGAAUUGUCCCAGCCUGCCUUCAAUGUAAAGACUAAGGCCUUUAUAUAGGCUCUCCUAAAUUACAAAAUAAAAUUAAAAGUAAAUUACAAUUAAAUGAAAAUUCCUACUCUAGAUGCUUCUUGUGGUCUUGAUUGGUUGACAAUUGUGGGCUUGCUUGCUUGAGCUUUGAAGUGGACUUGAGAGAGAAGUGAGUCAAGUUGAGGUCCAGGUACUAAAGUUAGUGCUAAAGUUAGCCAUACAAAUGCUACAAGUGUGGCGUUAGUGCUAAAGUUAUUGUGGCUAACGUUGCACUUGCUGCCCAGUUGGUGUUUUUGGGGCUUAAAAGAUGCCUCUUGUUUGUGCUCCAAUUUCAUGCCCACUAUAGAGUAUUAUAUAUCGUUGGAAAGCUCUGAAUAUCAUCUUUUUAACGCAACUGGAAUCACCUCAAUUGGACCUCUGUAGCUCAAGUUAUGCUCCUUUGAAGUGGACAUGGUCGCUGGCAUAGUCGCUAGCAUUACUGGAAAACUUGAGUGCCAAUAAUGCUAGCGAUCAAGGCUUCAUUAUUGCCAGUUUCUAAAGCUCAAACUUAGUGUCCACCCCAUACUAUUAUAUAUUGUUGGAAAGCCCUGGAUGUCUACUUUUCAGUGCUUUUGGAAGCGCAUCAUUUAGAGCUCUACAACUCGAGUUACACUUCUUGGAAGGUGAAGAGGUCAGCUGGCCUUACUACAGGUUGAUACUAUGUUCAUCUUUGCACUUUCGGGGCAGGUUUUCUCCCUCAAAUUUAGUGUCCACCAUGUAGUGCCAUAUAUGCUUGGAAAGCUCUGGAAUCCUACUUUCCAAUGCCAUUGGAAUCACCUCAUUUGGAGUUUUGUGGCUCAUGUUAUUCUUGUUUGAAGAAGGCAUAGUCAGGCUGCCAGGUGGGACUUUUGCCCACAUUAACUACCACGUUAACUUAGUUAACGUGGGUCUUUUUGCUUCGCCAACGUUAGUGGAGAUUACCUUUUUCACUAACUUUGGCAUCUCUCUUUACUUCCACGUUAGUUCCCACGUUAAUGUAGUUAACGUGGAAGCUAACGUGGGUCUUUUUGCUUCGAAAACUUUAGUGGCACUCACUUUUUCCACUAACGUUGGCAUAUACCCCUUUCGCAAGCGUUAUUGGGGCUCACCUUCCCCAUUAACGUUGCUUGGUGCCUUUUGUCCCUAUGUUAGAGUUCACGUUAGUGUAGCUAACGUGACUCUUAACGUGGGUCUUCACUUGGUGUCCAGCACCUCUUUGGGUUACUAAAUGCUCUGUAGUGAGGGUUACUCUUGAUAGUGGACUUUCAGUUGAUAAUCCCGAGUUAGUUAACUCAAGUUACCAAGUGAUAAGGCACCCCUAAGAGCUUAUUCAUCCAAGUAAAUCCCUCACACAGGAACACCACAGACACAUGCCUCGAGAUUAAAACCAUUGGUUCCUAGCCUUAUUGCUUACUCUUUUUCUUUUAUUUUUCAACCUUUAUUGUUUUUUCCCUUUUUCUUAUUAGGAUCUUCUUAUUUAGCUAGUCUCAUGGGGUGUGUCUCAAGCAUAGUAUUCAUGACAGAUAGUUGUCCUCCCACCUUAUGGUUGAACCAACUUAGCUAACUUAUGACUAUACCACAAACUCAUGAACUUACUCCAUAGUAUGGACUCCUCUCUGGUCUUUUAUAAAACACUCAUUCUCUUCUCAUUUGAUUCAAAAGGGACAAGCAUACAAGUAAGCAAAGUAAGGAUGCAGUAAUGACAUUCAGACUAGAAAACACAGCCUUAAUCAAUAAAAAAUUUAAAAGACAGAUUUGACAUGCUUAUUCACAAGGAGCAAGCACACACACAUACAAAGAAAAUAGAAGACAAUCAUGCAAAUUAAAGUGCUGAAAAUAAGUAAGAGGAGAAAGGAACUUUACCACCUUGUAUUUUAUCUUUAUUGUUGUUGCCCUUUUCCUCCUAUUCUUCCCUUUCCCACACCAGACAUAGAAUGAUUGCUUAUACUCAAGCAACAAUUAAAACAGUGGUGAUGGAGUCCAUGAUGGAUCAUGAAUGUCUUAGAAUGAAGUGUGAGUAUGCAUGUGUUUCAGCAAGCAAGGUUAAGGAUACAAUAAAGACACAAGAGAUACAAACAGAGACAUUUUGAUUGCAUUAAUAAGUGGUGUUGGCAUGGUACUUUGCAUGAAAAUUAAGUGGCAACACCAAACUUAGUGUGCCACUGUCAAUCUAGCAUGUUGCAAGUACCCAGUGAAGAUUGAAAUUCAAAUUGUUGCAUGGCAACACCAAACUUAGAGUACAAUCAUAUGCCAAAUUAUUGAAAUAAACAAAGCAAAGCAAGGAAUGUUACCUACGGUUGGGUUGCCUCCCAACAAGCGCUCUUUUAAUGUCAUUAGCUUGACAUGUUGUUCACAACUUUCUUCCUCUUCUUCCAGUUUGUUAAGAGGAAUGACCUCAAGAGGAAAGAGGAGCCAGUUAAUGCCCCUUGUUUUGAGUGCCUCUCCCCAGCAAGCCUUCUUCUGUUGUUAGCUUGAGUAAACUUGCUUGUUGGGGUAGGGGUGGGAUGGCUUUUGGUUGACCUUUUCUUCUUCAUUAAUAUUGUCCUUCUUUUCUUGGUCACCAUCCUUUUGUUAGUGUUCAUGUUGAUUGCCUUCACCACCUUGAUUUCAGGAUUUGGGUAUUGUAUGAUGGGUGGAGCAUCCUCUUCAUCAAAAAUUUCUUGAAUUGGUGGUUCAAUGAACUCACCCUCUAUGCAACUCUCUGUUUCCUUGGAGUGUGGACUCCUUUGAUUGACUUCCUCCCUUUUUCUUGACCUUUGAAUGAACUCCUCUGUUUCUAGAGAGAGUGAAGUGGUCUCUCUUUGUGAUCUCAGCUCUUCAAUGAAUUGUUCUUCAGAAUAGAGUUGUGCAUUCUCCCUCAAUUUUUCUUCAUGGUCCCUUUUUUCUAUUUUCUCCUCUUCGAUUGUUUUUAUUAUUUCUUCAAGGAGGAGUUAUAUCCUAGUGAGUCUCUCCUCUACUCUACUUUUUCUGAGUUCUUCAAUGAUGAGUUCCACCCUAGCAAGUUUAUCUAAAGGAGGUUGGGUAGGUUGUAAUGGUUGGAUAGAGAACUAGGGUUACAAGUAAAAUAAAAAUCAAGAAUGUAAAUGAAAAGAACGGUAAAAUGAAAAGACGUGAAAUGACGAAAGAAAUGAAAAGACAGUUAAAUGUUAAGGAACAACGAAUAGUGAGGUUAGACUAAGCAGAUUGAUCCUAUUAAUUAGUUGGUAUCUAACGAAUUAGGCAAUUAGAGACACCCUAAGCUGGAGUGAGAAAACACUCAAUAAUGAACUGCUAUUAAGCCAUGUGAACGGCUUCCUUUAAACAACGCUCUGUUCAAAAGGCACGUAGUUCAAAUACCGCGGCAACGGCCCCUAAUUAGCACUAAUUGUUUGAUGGCCAACUAACUAAAUGAUCUAAUCUGUGAAAAGAAAACAGAAACAAAAGAAAACAAAGAAAUAAAAGAAAACGAUUAAUUGACAAACACUAUAACGGAGUGACCUUAAAGGAGUAGACACUGUUACCUCUAAGGUUAAAGAAAACCACUAAUAACAAACUCUGUCUCGAAAGACGUCCUUUCUUUCCUCGUAGGUAGUGUAAAAUCAGUUAGUUUAAAGUACUCUUUGAGAGGUGGUGGUGUCUUACUAAGUGAAAUGAUACGAGUACCACCCACCCUUAUAGUUCUUGUACUUUACCCCAUGAAAGGUCUCGGUGUUUUACCAGGUAUAAAACCACUUUAACUAGUGAUGAGUUCAACACCGACCCUUCUAGUAUUAGUUUCUCUAAAGUGAGUAAGUAUGGGGUAAGUAGUUCUCGGUAGUUGAGAGUUAAUAUGUUGGAGUGGAGGUUCAAAAUGUACGGAUUUAAGAAAUAGUAAACUCAUACGGAGUCGUGUUUUCAGAUAGGGUUUAGGUAUGUUAAGUAAAGUGGUAGGUGUUUUGAGUUAGGUGAUGGGUGUUCUCAGUAUAGUGAAAGUCUUGUGUGUUGGUGUUUUGUUGGUUAAGGUAAGUGUUCGGUUAGGGCUNNNNNNNNNNNNNNNNNNNNNNNNNAGUAAAAUCAAGAGAAAAGAAAGAAGAAGAAGAAUAGGAACUACACUUAAUCCAUUGAAUCACAAUAGAGCUCUCUAACCCAAUGUAAAGAGUUAGUUGAUCAUUGCUCUAUAAAAAUAGAAAAGAAAGAAAGUGCAGAAAAGUAAAUAUGAAGAUUCAAACUGAAAUUGAAAAUUCAACAUUCAUAAAUGAAAAUUACAACUAAAAGAAAGAGAAGGAAAAGUGUGUGAGGGGAGGGAGUCUGAAGACCCCUCUUCAAUCCCCCAUUCCAGAAUUGUCCCGGCCUGCCUUCAAUGUAAAGACUAAGGCCUUUAUAUAGGCUCUCCUAAAUUACAAAAUGAAAUUAAAAGUAAAUUACAAUUAAAUGAAAAUUCCUACUCUAGAUGCUUCUUGUGGUCUUGAUUGGUUGACAAUUGUGGGCUUGCUUGCUUGAGCUUUGAAGUGGAAUUGAGAGAGAAGUGAGUCAAGUUGAGGUCCAGGUACUAAAGUUAGUGCUAAAGUUAGCCACACUAAUGCUACAAGUGUGGCGUUAGUGCUAAAGUUAUUGUGGCUAACGUUGCACUUGCUGCCCAGUUGGUGUUUUUGGGGCUUAAAGGAUGCCUCUUGUUUGUGCUCCAAUUUCAUGCCCACUAUAGAAUAUUAUAUAUCGUUGGAAAGCUCUGAAUAUCAUCUUUUUAACGCAACUGGAAUCACCUCAAUUGGACCUCUGUAGCUCAAGUUAUGCUCCUUUGAAGUGGACAUGGUCGCUGGCAUAGUCGCUAGCGUUACUGGAAAACUUGAGUGCCAAUAGCGCUAGCGAUCAGGGCUUCAUUAUUGCCAGUUUCUAAAGCUCAAACUUAGUGUCCACCCCAUACUAUUAUAUAUUGUUGGAAAGCCCUGGAUGUCUACUUUCCAGUGCCUUUGGAAGCGCAUCAUUUGGAGCUCUACAACUCGAGUUACACUUCUUGGAAGGUGAAGAGGUCAGCUGGCCUUACUACAGGUUGAUACCAUGUUCAUCUUUGCACUUUCGGGGCAGGUUUUCUGGCUGAAAUUGAGGGCAGGAAAGCAGAGGUUCAGAGGAACGAAAAGCAUCUCCAUUCUCUUAUCUGAAAUUCUCACCAAUGAAUUACAUAAGUAUCUCUAUCCCUAUUCUAUUAUUAAAUUUCGAAAACUCCAUUAUCACUUUAUAUCUGCCUGACUGAGAUUUACAAGGUGACCAUAGCUUGCUUCAUACCAACAAUCUCCGUGGGAUUCGACCCUUACUCACGUAAGGUAUUACUUGGACGACCCAGUGCACUUGCUGGUUAGUUGUAUCGAAGUUGUGAUAAUUAUGAAUUAAGAUCAAAGCACCAAGCUUUGGAGCCAUUACCAGGGAUUGUUCGAGCCUGGACAUCACAAUUUCGUGCACCAGUGCCAUAUAUGCUUGGAAAGCUCUGGAAUCCUACUUUCCAAUGCCACUGGAAUCAUCUCAUUUGGAGUUUUGUGGCUCAAGUUAUUCUUGUUUGAAGAAGGCAUGGUCAGGCUGCCAGGUGGGACUUUUGCCCAUGUUAACUACCACGUUAACUUAGUUAACGUGGGUCUUUUUGCUUCGCCAACAUUAGUGGAGAUCACCUUUUUCACUAACUUUGGCAUCUUCCUUUACUUCCACGUUAGUUUCCACAUUAAUGUAGUUAACGUGGAAGCUAACGUGGGUCUUUUUGCUUCGAAAACGUUAGUGGCACUCACUUUUUCUACUAACGUUGGCAUAUACCCCUUUCGCAAGCGUUAUUGGGGCUCACCUUCCCCAUUAACGUUGCUUGGUGCCUUUUGUCCCUACGUUAGAGUUCACGUUAGUGUAGCUAACGUGACUCUUAAUGUGGGUCUUCGUUCCAUGCUCUCCUUCUUCAAAGUUAAUGCCACUAACUUUUCUCACUAACGUUGUGGCUUUCGUUCCUUCCACGUUAGUACCCACGUUAGUGUAACUAACAUAGCUACUAACGUGGCUCUUCUCUUCUUCUUUUGGCCUGAAAUCAAUCAAACAAAGUGCAUCAAAGUCUUGCUCUUAAUUAUGGGAUCAUGCAUCAUCCAAUUUAUCAUAUAAUUCAUGCAAAAUCCUCAUAAAAUCAUGUAAAGUGUACAAUGUAUGCUUGAAUCAAGAUGUAAGUGAAUAUCUACCCAAAACUAGCUUAUUUCCUAAGAAAAUGCAUGAAACUACCUUAAAAACAGUAAAGAAAAGGUCAGUGAAACUGGCCAAAAUACCCUGGCAUCAACACCCAAACAAUGUCAUAUAAAUGCAUGUGAUGCAUGCCUGUCCUACUGGCCAUGAGCUCAUGCGUCAGUUAUGUUGCCAGACCCAACUCGGAUAAGUGGGAUUAAACCACCAUCCUUAUCAGUAGGUUCCACAAGCAAGCGAGACUAAACCACCAUCCUUGCAUGGAACAUGCAAGCGGGAUUAAAUCACCGUCCUUGCCAAAUAAUUUAUCAAUAUGUGAGCGGGAUAAAACUACCAUCCUCACUGCAGGUGGGACAAAACUACCAUUCCUACACAACGGUUUACGCACUGAGCAAGUGGGACUGUACCACCAUCCUUGCCAGGACAAAAAUCCUCAUCAUAUUCUCAGUAACAUUCACAGUCAAUCAGACUCAAAUUCAAAAAUCAUUCUUGGCUCACUUUCAAAUCACAAACGUAUUCAGUUCACAUCUUGCCAAGAACCACUUUUCUUAAGUAAAUUUUCUUUUCAAAACUUUCAAACAACUUCAUAACCAAGCCAACUUCAAAAUUUCUUCUUGAAAGACUCAAAAUCACUCAUUUUCAAAUCAUUUGCUCAAUUGCUUUAAAAUCAAAAGUUAUUAAUUGAAAUUUACAGCAAGGUCUCAAGACUUUAGGGAAAAACAACCGGCCUCAUUUUCUUAUAUUCUGUAAAGACUCUUAAAAAAAAUAAUUGUUUUCUUAAUUUAAUUUAUACAAAGGAAGUUUCUAAACCCAUUUAAAACCAAAUCAUAGAAAUCAGAAGUUCCGAACCAAAUUCAAAUCCAAAAUCAAUCUUAAUUUUAUUCUUGAAACUAACUCUUUCAACCUUUUCCAAAAACAUCACAAAAUGACAUCACUCAAUCAAAGUCCCUUUUAUAUAUAAAAUCUACCUUAAAAUAUAAUACUUUUCUUAAGUGCUUUAAAAUAGUAAAGUAAUUCUUUUCUGAAUAAGUCAAACUCAAGACAUGUUUUUGUCAAAUAAAUUAAAUUCAAAAACAUAACUAUUUCCUUAAUAAAUCAAGUAAUACGAUUCCUCAAAAUUAAACUUUUCUAAAUAAUGCAAGAACCACAAUUAAUCAACCGAUUAAUCAAGUAAUUAAUAUUGCCCAAAUUAGAUUCUGAAAAGUUAGAGAGAGAAUUUGGAGAUUUAAAGGUGAUUUUUGGACUCAGUAGGUUUUUCUGAGUCAGAAAAUGUGCUUUCUGCAAAAAACCGUGAAAAAUCGUGAACCGGCAGUUGAACCGAUUGAACUGGUUCAAGUCUGCCCGGUACCGCAUGAGAAAAAGUGAAAACCGGCAAAAACCUUAGAAAAACAUUAGAAAUAGAAACAGGGUGUUAAUUUUAAAGUUUUGGCCCGAAGUUAGGCCAAACGGGCUAAAAACGCUAACGGAUUGGACCGAACCCAAGUUGGGCCCAAGCCCAACAUAUAUAAGUCCUUUAAGUGAACCCUUUUCAGCCAUAAACCACUCACACAACAUAAACACUAGCUGCAUGAGAAGAGAGAAUAGAGAAGGGGGAAAACACUAUUUACUUCUCACUUCAAGUCACGAUAUCUCGAGCUACGGUGUUCCGAUUUGCGUGCCGUCAGCAGCUACGCGAAGCUCUUAUCGAGCCCAUCAUUUCUAUCUAAGUCUUGUGGUAAGUUUCUCGAGAUUCUCUGCCCAGUUUUCGUGCCCUUGUGAAAUUCAAAUUUUUGGGUUUAGUUUUGAGUGAAAUCUUUUGUUUUCGAUGUUUAGGUUUGCUCUAAUCCUUGCUUAGCCUUUGAUUUUUGCUAUUAAAUCUAUUGGAAGAGGUAAGAGCCACUAAACCCUUGUGAAUUUAUAUUUAAUUAGAACUCUAGGUUGAUUUGAGGUGAUUUAUAUGUAUAUAGUUUGAUUAUUGUGGCUUUGGGAGCUUUUGGAACUUAUUUGUGCUUAUUGGAGUGGAAGUGAAAGCUUGGAUUUUGGUUGAAAGCUCUUUGGUGUUCAAUUUUGAGUCUUGGUGCAUAUAGAAAAUUGGUCAAGGUAUAGUUUCGGUUUCCUCUAUGUAGUAUAUAAUAUUCAUGGACACUUAGGCUAGUGACCCAUAGGAUAGGACUAGAUUUGAAUGGUUGAUGAGUUGUUGGAUGCUAUUGUAUGAUGAUGUACGAUAAAAUGAUGAUUUUUGAGUUUGAUAUUGAUAAUUGAUAGUGGUAUGAUGAGGAUGAAUGAUUUGUGAAGUUGGGGAGUGAAUUAUGUUGGUAAAUGUGAUAUUGAUGUUAAUUGAUUGGGAAUAUAUUAAUGAGGUAUGAUUAUAUGUGAUAUAUUAAUGUGGAGAUUGAGGAUGAGGAAAGGUGAAGAAAUAUGUGGUAAGCUUGGUGCAAUAUGCCAUAGAGUGUUAGUUUUGAUGAGAAUUGGUGUUUGGAAUGGUUUAGUUGAUUUUGGUUGUGGUUUAUAAAGAAAUUGAUGAAAUUGUGAUUUUGUGUAAAAGUUAAAUUUUGGUAAACUUCGUAUGAUCAUAACUAUUGCCUCGGUUUUCAAAAUUGGUUGAAAUUUGUCUAGAAUUAAAGAUCUUUGAAAAUCCUUUAAAUCGAUAUAAAGUUUGUGAAAUUUAGAAUUUUGUGGAGGAAGUUAUGAUCAUUCAAAGUUGGUGUUAAAAAUCUGAAAUUCUGCAAAGUUGCGGAAUUUCAUGAUUUCUGAUAUGUGUGAGCGCACACACUGCAAAAAUUGACCUGUGCGGACGCACACACCUGUGCGCACGCACAGGCAGGGAAGUGCGUUCUGUUUGCAGCGCUAGCACAGCUUGUGCACACACAUAUCUAAGGAAAAAUUUCAACCUGUGCAGACGCACACGUCGGAAAGGCCAGUCUGUUGGGGGCGCUGGCACAGGUUGUGCGAGUGAACAGACCUUUUUAAUUUUGACACCUGUGCGUACGCACACCCCUGUGCGUACGCACACUUUUAAAAAUUUUCCUGGGCGUGCGCACGCACACCUCUGUGCGGCCGCACACGUCCUGUUUCUCAAAUUUUACUUGUUUUUCAACUAUUCUACCUUCCCAACAAGGUUGUAAGCUUCUAUAACACCAUUUAAAGACUUUUGGGCCUAGUUUUGAGUAAUAGAACAUGGGAUAUAACUUAAGGGUUCUAGUACAUGAUUUUAAGAUAAAUUAAAAAACGGAAGCCUAGGUUUCUGGCGUACUGAGAAUGGUUUGACGUUAGGCGAAGGAUGAUUGAUAUAUGAGAUGAGGAAUGAUAAAAUUUUGAUAUUUGAAAACUGAGUUAUGAAUGGACAGUGAUUGAGAUGAGUCGAGGACUCGGAUUGAGAUGAUAGAUCUCUGUAUACUGAAAAUGUUUUUUUGAAAACCACUGAAAUAAUAUUUUUACUAAGAUUAUGAGACGCUAUGCGCUCGGCAGGGACGGUGGUUAAUCCCGCCUGUCGAGGUAGCGGCGGCGGCGUAAGGACGAUGGUUAAUCCCGCUUACGUUGAGAUGUGAGGUCUGAGGCAAGAGUAUCCCGCUCGCAUCCCUUCGGAUCUAUAGAGCGUGCAGGCGCCGGUACCUGGAUAGUGAUCCGGGUACUAUAUCUCGGGGGUUCCCAUAUGAGAAAUCCGAAGAGCGACGUCUCCAUGGAGAUGUGUCAGGUUGGCAGUUGAACCGACAAUAUGAUAUCACAGCCAGUAGGGCAAGCAUUCAUCAUGUGCAUUUUCUAUCCGUUUGUAUGCUUUGAUUACUUGUAAUGGCUUGCCUAAUUGAAUAACAUUCCUAAUUGCUAUCUAAAUUAUUGGCCUUAUAUGCUUAUACUUGUAUUUUACUUGAAUUGUAUAUUAUCUAUGUUUUCUAUUGGGAUUAAGGAGGUUCAGAAGGCAGUGGUGAUGGGAUCGCAUGGAGGAUAGGUUGGUGAAGGGUGUGGGACAGCGGUGUUUGGUUAGAAUAGAAAUCCCUAAGAUAGAUUACCCGGUUUAUUUAAGUUAAUGUUGUUAUAAUUAUGCUUAUUUGUUUUAGAAUGCUUAAGUUUGAAUCUUGUGAUAGAUAUGGAGCUUAGGAUUGCCUUUGGCGUCCCGGGGUCUUAUAUCCUACAUCACUGGGCACUGUUACCAUACUGAGAACCUCCGGUUCUCAUACCAUAUCUUUGUUGUGUUUUUCAGAUGCAGGUCGCAACCCACCUCGGUGAGUUGCUUUGGAUGGUGACAGAAGCGGAGGAUCCUGGAUUCUUUUGGAGUCUUUUGGUUUAUCUUGUUUAUACAUCUCUCUUUUGUAUUUUGUCUUUGCCUAGAGGCUUGUAAUAUGAGAGAAAAACUUGUAUAAGCUGUUUUUGAACUGUCAGGUUUCUGUAUGAUUCUGUAUACUGUAUAUGGCUAGUCCGCUUAAACUCCACGAGCCGAGGCUAGUUUCCUAUGAUAUUAUAUACUUAUAUUUUGUUGUAUCUUAUUUGUUUCUUGUGCCUUAAGCUAGUAGCUUCGUUAGUACGUUUUGUGCUUUUGAAAUCCUGUUUUUGAGCUAUAUCCUUCAUCGGACUUCUAGAUUAUACUAUUCCUUAUAUAUAUAUAUAUAUAUAUAUAUAUAUAUAUAUAUAUAUUAUGUAUGAGCUUAGAACUUUUGUAAUCUCUGAUUAACCUUCGCUUUACGACGCGAGGUAAAGCUUAGGCUAAUUGAUGGUGGUUCGAUUCUAAUGGUCUGAAAGCAAAAUCUACUCCUUUUUUGCGGGUAACAGUUCUAUAAGUGUAUCAAAGGUGCUCGAAUUAGAUGAGUAUUAAAAUAAGAAAUAAGUUCGAAAAGUGCAAGAAGGAUAAAAGAAGUGCAAAAGAAAAAGGUUUGAAAAAUAAACUUGACUGAAAUCGAAAUGACUUGUGCCGAAUUACAAAUAAAGCGAUUAAAAUUCCUUCGAUUUGAUCAAAGGGCUUUUGACAGAAAACUUAAAGGUACUGAAAUAUAAAUUGGCAAAUAAGUAAAGAAAACUUUGAAUGUAAAUCUGACAAUAAAAUUAAAGAAUACUUUGAAGAUAAAUCUGACAAGAAAAAGUAAAGUUUGCAGGAAUUGUAAAUGGAAAAUUAGAGACAAUGGAAGGAACCCUACAGAAAUCAAACUCGAAUGCAGACUCAGAAAUUCUCAGGGGAUGUGAGUAUGGUUGAGUCUAUUUCUGAAGAAAAGUUCCAACCCUUAUUUCCUAAAACUUACUAAUAUUUAUAACCCAUAUCUGUAAUCGACCAUUAAUUACACGACACUGCCUUGUAUGCAAAUUCUUAGGUAACUGUUCCCGCUCUUUUGCCCAUAGACGUUACCCAUAAACUCCUCAUUUAGAGAAAGCCUUCAACUUCUCCACUUACGUAACCGCUCGAUUCUCUAAUCGAGCAACUAUUCAAUUUCUCAUUCAAAUGCUUGUUCGAUUUAACAAGGUGUCUAAGUCGAGUCCGUGUCAAGUAACUUCCACUUAAUGCCUGCACGUGCGUCCUUUUGAACUCUACUUCUUUCUUGACCCUUCACUAGCGUUUCGAAUCAACUUAGUCUUUUGAAGAUAAUUAUUUUGACUAAUAAAUUGCCCCCUAGGAUUAAUGUGUUUGCCUUCGAAGUCGUUUCUUGGAAGAUGCAACACUUAAUCCUAAUCCAAACGUCAGGCACCUUUACUGAUAAUAAUUACCAUUUACCUUCUCCAUUAAUUCUGACCCGUUUGACACGUUUCCCACGAUUCGCACUUUUUUUCUCCACCACUCCGCCUUCUUCGCAAAGUUACCUCCUUUUCCUUUGAAUUCCUUCUGCAAUAAUGGCUAAGCAAAGAUUUCCUUUAAAUUCGACACUUCCGUCUUUGCUCAACUUUCUCGAACCCUUAUUCCCUCGAUUUCUCUUGCAUUCACCUUUCUUGCACAACAUUUACUCUUCAAUAUUCAUUCCUCUUUACUCUUCAAUGGCUGCUUCUUUAUCCCACGUUGCUGCACAAGACAAAGACAAAGGUCCUAAGGUACAACCACUGGCUCCUCCAGCUCUUCAUGUGUUGAAUCAGGUCAAUGAUGAAGUCAUUGAUGACCCACAACUCCAAAUUAAUGACCCCAAAAUCCUCAUUCCGUUCACUGUGGGUGAAGAUAUUCAUUGUUUCAUUGGUCCAAUUGAGAACUUGGAAAGGGCGAACAAGAAACUUCCUUUCUUCCCAAAUGCCCAAGGAGAAGAUUUGUUGAUCAACCAAGACCUUGAUAUCUAUUUUUUCACCAAUCAAAAACCUUUUUCGUAACAACCCAAAAAUCAACCCUCAUGGAACUGACUUCACGUCCUGGUAUGAGCAUCUUGCUCCAUCGAAGAUAGCUACUUGGGGGGCUCUUGGGAUUCAAGACCUUCUAAGGUUUUCUCACUUUUCACCUUCAACGCUCCCUUGGAUGAUUGGAGCAGUAACCUUUUUCUGGAAUGAGACUACCAAUAAUUUCCACCUUCCUUGUGGGAUGAUUGGUAUGUCACUUCUAGAUGUGGCUGCUAUUACAGGACUUCCAAUUAGUCUUCCAGACUUCACCUCUGACAUGCAGCCUAAGCAACAAUACAACAUUGUCCCAACAACUUCCUACAGCGACUUUAUUACUCAUCACAUGGGUGCAGAGGGUACUGCCAUUAUAGAUGAUGAACAUGUAGCCUUUCUGUUCUAUUGGCUAAAUGCAAUUGUAUUCUGCUCUCGAAGUGCUAAAAUGCAGAAGCUUUUCCUUCCUCUUGCCACUCUACUUCAUGAAGGAAACAAUCUUAAUUUGGCCAAGCUUUUUCUAGGGCAUGUUUUCGAAGAACUUGCCAAUUUGUUAAUUGUCUUCAAAAUAACUAUUUGAUUAGUACAGGUGGCCUCUUUGGCUUCUCCAACUAUGACUUAAUGCCAUUUUUAAAAAAUACAUGGUUACACCUAGAAGUGGUGCUACAGACAAACAGCACAUUAAAGGUUUUUGAUUGGCUAACUUUAAGCCAGAUUUUCCAGAGGCUUAAUCGGAUGAAGACCGAUUCUGGGCUGUCUUUUCUCUUUUUCAUUCUUGUAAAGACUUUCACAAUGAGGACCUCAAUUUCACCCCUUUUUUGCGUCGAAAUUGUGGUCCUGCUUGGCUGGAACGCCUCCUCUUCCCCACCGACACUAAAGAAAAUGAGCUUGCUAACAGAAGUUGGGCAAAUUUACUGGCUGUACAGGUGAUUCCUACAGGGCUACCUCAACAUAAAAAAGAACGUUUCAAGGUGACUCUGUAUGCCCCUCAUUACACAGCCAGGCAGCUUGGCUUCUCACAAGUUAUCCCAACUCCACUUCUCAGAAACAACAGACCGUUUUGCCAUAUUACUUUGGCUUCAAAGAAAGAGCUUGACAUCUGCCUCUUGAAAAAUCAACAACAAAAAGAGGGCUAUAAAUACCUCAUUUAUGAUCGAAGCUCGUACAUCACCAAGUCUUGUUUCGAUUGGUGGACUGCUUACUACUCUAAGUACGUUCGUACUUUGGAGGAGAUCAAGUAUUCUAUUGUCCAGGCGGUCCCUGCUGCUGAGGGUUCUCCAAAGAAAACUCAGAAAAGAAAAGCUGAACCUACAGCUUCUUCACACCAACCACUAAAGAAAAGUCGACGGACACCUUUGAAAACUUCUAGGAAGGUAACUAUAUUCAUUUGCUCCUUCUUUAACUGAAAUUCUUCGACAAUCACAUUCACUUGCAACUCUUUUAAUUCCAAUCUUUCUUUAGUUACAGUUGCAACCGUCGAGUGAAAGUUCUGAUGAAAGUGAGCCAUCAAUUCAGAAUAUCCUUGCAGCAUCCUCACAGUCGGAGGAUGUAAUUGACUCAGAUUCGGGCUCUCUAUUAGUUCGAAGAAUAAGACCCAUUCCGGUAACAUUAUAUUAUUUUCAGAUAUAUUUCGAUUUAGUUAAAGUAAAUCUCGACUUAUUGUACCUUGCAUCUCAGCCUGUCACUGCUGUUCAAUCGAGCACUUCAUCUCUGGCACCUGACUAGCCACAUCAACAACAACAACAAGACUUAGGACAAACCACAUCUCACUCAUCAAUCCAAGCCACAGAAUUUGUUCAGCCUCUUCAAGUUGCUUUUCCAAUUCCAACUAGAACGCAGGUAGUUGACUUAAAAAAGGAGCAUACCCCUUAUUCCCCAACACAAACUUUGAUUGUUGGACAUAUUUCUCCAACAAACCAGGAUGAUACUUCUACCGAAUUUUAGGUGGCCCCUGAUUCGAUUCUCCUUCUCGAGUUGCUGAAACUGUUGUUCCCGAUUCGGAUUCUCCAUCUCGAGUUUUGGAAACUCUCCCUUCUCCACAACGAACCUCCAGUCCUUCCAAACAAGCUGAACUUCAAACUUUCCCUGGUCAGGGAUCUAGAGGUUUGGGUGUCUCUACCGAAUCUAAAAAUGCCAGCCUGGUUAACCUGGUCACUAUUCUGAACCAAGCUAUUCAGGAAGAUAAGAUGCUUCUUUCUACUCCUUUACUCAUUGGUCCUUCUACAUCUGGUCCUUCAUCCGAACUAAAUGUUAAUACUCGAGAAUAACUUCUGUCACUUCUCAAGCUCCUGGACCAUCCACCCAUUGAGUGGACCAAUGAUGCAGCACUGAACAAACUUUUGUCUGAUCUUUUAAAUUCAUCUCUUGAACUUCAUGUCUUGUCCCCAUACUCUGCCAUAGUCAAAUAAUUCAUACAAACUGCCAACAAGAGUGUAACUACCCAAGAAAAACUACAAGAGAUCAAGGGUACAAUGGCUCAAACUAAAACUGAAUCCGAAAGCUAUGCUACAGUUCUACAACUAAUCAAGACUUCCCAUGAAAAAUUCAAUUUAAGAAUCUCUCAGGCGCUCUUCAUUCAAGCUCACUAUGAUAAUGAAGAGAGAAAACUUGAAGCAAAAUUAGCUCAGAUUAAUGAAAUAUUGGCAAAAAUUCAGAAGAGGAGGGCAGAUAUAGCUACACCUCUAGCCACUGUCCAGCAUGAACAACAACAACUUGUGCAAGAAAUCGUUUCUAUUGAGACCAAACAAGAAGAAUGUGAGAAAUAACUUGACAAAGCUCAAUAUGAAGAAUUCAGGCAUGCUGAAACACUUUCAACUCUGGACAAUGAAAGGGUAAAGCUACGCUCAGACCUGGCAGACCUUAUGGCACCUUACAUUUCUUCACCUUAGACUUCAGUACUUGUAAUAGUUUUCUUUAUUUUCAAACUUAUGCAUUUUAAUCUUAAUUUAAUAAACAAUGAUAUUGCUUCAAAUACUUCCCAUUUAUCGAAUUGAUUAUAUUUCUGGAUUCGAUAUCUUUGAUUCGAUAUGCAUUUUCCGAAUACAAUCCUAUCACUUGGAAAGGGUCCUCCCAAGUAUGGGACCAUUUGCUAAGAACUCUCAAUUUCUUUUCCAUUGGCAAAAUAACUUUUAAAACCAACUCACCUAUACUGAAGCAUUUCUCCUUUAUUCGACAAUUGUAAUUUCGAACAACACUUUCUUUUUGUCGAAUUAUGUUUUCAAGUGCCAAUAUUUGCCCUGAGUCUAAUUCAUUCAACUCAUCAAAUAUUGCAUUCCAAUAAUCAUUGACUGGCAAAUCAUUCUGUCUUGACACCCUCAAAGUGUUAAGAUUGAUUUCCAAUGGUAGCACAGCAUCAUGGUCAUAUACUAAUUUAUAGGCCGACGUACCCGUCGACCCCCUGGAUGAAUUUUGAUAAGCCCAUAGUACUUGACUUAACGUUUCAUGCCAAGUUCGAGGUCUAUUCCCGAUUUAUUUUUUAAUCAAACUUAUCAGAAUUUUAUUUGCUGCCUCAACUUGCCCGUUGGCCUAUGCAUAAUAAGGGGUUGAAGUAAUCAUAUUAAUAUUCCUCGAAGCUGCAAAUUCUUGAUUCACUAACCAGUAAACAUAGUCCCUUGAUCAGUGCUCAAUGUUUGAGAAAUUCCAAAUCGAUGGAUUAUAUGUUCCUCAAUAAAAUCUAUUAUUUCAUUUUGCCCAGCUUCUAUUAAAGGAACUGCUUCAACCCACUUCGUAAAAUAAUCAAUUGCUACUAGAAUAAAUUUAUGACGUUUCGAUGAAGGAGGAUGAAUCAAUCCAAUCAAAUCCAAAGCCCAACCCCUAAAUGCCCAUGGCUUUAUAAUCGAAUGCAACUCAAACGUUGGGCUCUGUUGUAUCAAUCCAUGCUUUUGACAUUCUAGACACACCUUUGUAUAUUCAAUACAAUCUUUGAUCAUGGAUGGCCAAUAUACGUGAUUUCGAUAUAGCACCCAUUUCAUCUUCUUCCCAGCCUGAUGAGCACCACAUAUCCCUUUAUGAACUUCACCUAAAGCAAUGUUUUUAUCAUCUUGACUUAGAUAUCUCGACAGACUUCCAUCGAUUCCCUUCUUAUACAACUCAUCAGCCAUCAAGACAAAAUUCAUAGCUUGCAAUUUUACCUUUCUAUCGACUGGGAUGCUGGGAUUCUUUAGAUAUUCAGCAAUAGGCUUUUUCCAAUCAUCAUCUUCCCAUUCGCCUAUACACAAAGCUUCCCUUUUCAUCUGUAGGCACCAAAAUUUGAUGAAUACUGGCUAAUUUUCUUAAAAUUUCUGGGCCAAUUCUAUAUCUCGAAGUAAUUUGGGCUAAUUCAUUAGCGAUCUCGUUAUGAAUCCUUGGGAUAUGAACUAACGAAACUUUUCGAAAAAGCAGUUAAUAAUUCCCAAGCCAUUGCCAAAUACUUUUGCAACUUCUCAUUAUUACAUUUGAACUCUCUCGAUAACUGUUUCAAGACUAACUGGGAAUUUCCUAAGAUUUGGACUUCCAAAGUCCCUUUUCCGAUCAAUAUUUCAAGACCCAAAAUUAAUUCUUCAUACUCUGCCAUAUUAUUCGAGCAGGGAUAUUUUAACUCGAACAGGAAUUCUGAUGGAAUCCCUUCUGAAAAGAUAAUAAGAAUUCCAACCCCUGCACCAUCUUUGUGCUUUGAUCCAUUAAAAUAUAACUUCCAAUAAUUGACUUUAAUGUCGAGUAUAUUUGCCCCUGGUCAUUCAGAUUAUUCGAAUUAUCAACUAAAAAAUCUGCAAUGACCUGAACUUUCACAGCCUUGGCAGGAACAUACUGUAAAAUUCUCUCAAAGCUAACAUCCAUUUCCCUAAUCGACCUCGUAACAUUGGAAAACUCAACAUAUUUUUGAUGAGAUCAGUUUGAGCUAUAACUUUUACUGAUUUAGCCACCAUGUAGCAUUUUAAUUUCAUGCAGGCAUAGUAAAGGGAUAAACACAAUUUUUCUAUUGGGGAAUACCUUGUUUCAAUAUCGGUCAAAACUCGACUAAGGUAAUACACUGCCCGUUCAUGCCCAUUCUCGUCAUCUUGGGCUAGCAUACACUUAAUUGUGUUUGUAGAUGCUGUAAUAUACAGUUUCAAGGGCUCAUGAGGACGAACAUUCGCCAUUAUUGGAGCCUUAGAUAAAUAAGUCUUGAUUGACUCAAAUGCCUAUUGAUGCUCAUGGGUCCAUUCAAACUGUGAAUCAUUCUUUAGUUUCAGUAAAGGGGCAAACACUCUGGUUCGAUAAGAAAGAUUCAAAAUGAACCUUCAAAGAUAAUUGAAUUUCUCCAAGAAUGAUUGCACUUCUUUUUUAUAUUUUGGCAAAGACAAUGCCAAUAUUGCAUUAGCCUUGCUCUUAUCGAUAGCAAUUCCUUUCUUAUGAACAAUAAAACCUAAGAAGUUCCCAACUGAUACACCAAAAGUACAUUUCAAAGGAUUCAUUUUUAACCCCUUUUUUCUCAUUGUAACAAAUGCUUUCCUCAAGUGAUCAAUAUGUUGAUUCACUGAAAUUGAUUUGACCAUAACAUCAUUAAUAUACACCUCCAUAAAUCUCCCAAUAUACUCAUGAAAUAUGGUAUUCAUUGCUCGCUGGUAAGUUGCACCAAUAUUUUUCAAACUGAAAGGCAUAACCACCCACUCAUAAGUGCUUAAUGCCCCGGGACAACGAAAAGCAGUUUUAGACACAUCAUCUUCUGUAAUGAAGAUUUGGUUAUAUCCCGAAUAAUCGUCCAUAAAACUUAAAAUUUUAUUUCCCGCUGCAAAGUCAAUCAACAUAUCUGCAAUUGGCAUAAAAUAUUCAUCCUUUGGGGUAGCAUUAUUCAAAUCUCUGAGAUCAAUGCACACCCUUAGUUUUCCAUUUUUCUUCAUCACGGGCAUAAUAUUUGAAACCCAUUCAACAUAACGUGCGGUUCGAAUGAACUUCGCUUUAAUCAACCGUUCUAUUUCUUCCUUAACCUUUUGAUUGAUUUCUGGAGCAAAUCGACGAAGAGUUUGCUUUACAGGUCGAGCAUUUGGUUUCAAUACUAACCGAUGUUCUACAAGAGAACGAUCAAGACCAGGUAUCUGAUAAUAAUCCCAAGCAAAAUAAUCUUUGAAUUCAUGUAAAAGAUGGAAAAGUUCAGUUCGAAAAGGAUCUAUGAGAUCUUUACAAAUAUAAGUAAUUCGAAUGUCAUCAAGAGACCCUAGAUUAAUUUCUUCUAAGGGAUCUUGAGAUUCGAAUCCUUUUAAAUGAUCCUCAUCCUUUACUGAAUGUUUUUCAAAACCCAAAGGUUCUAAAUUAUAGAUGCAAUCAAAAGAGAAAUCAACAGAUUCAUUAGGAAUAAAAUAAACUUGAUCAUUCGCUGGAUUAACAUCAGCUUUAUUUUCAACACAAUAGACUUCUGCUAUUAAGUCAGUAGUUCAACUAACAACAUCAUUUGUAUUACAUAAUGAAGAACAACUUAAACCAUGACUAAACUCAAUUAAAGACAUCGAGUUGUAGCUACUAAGAAAAGAAAUUACAUUCCUAAAUGAUUCCACUUCAUCAGAAAAACCACAUUUAUUUUCUAUGGAAGGGAAAUUACUUAAAUAAUUAUUUAAAAUUAUCAAGUAAUCCAAGACAUCUUGCACCCGUUCCAUCAAAUAAUGCCUCAGAUCCCUUAAGAUGAACAAUCAAUGCCAGUUGGGGUCACAUUCAUAUGUGGAUGGCAUAAUUUCACUGUCAAUUCCUCCAAGACAAGUAGCAUCCCUCGCAGUUAUAAGAAUUCAAUGCCUUGUCAACAUUUAAAGGCUUCAGUUUUGGGCUAUACACCCUGAAAUUGACAUGCAGUUGUUUGACAUAGAGAUUCGAAUAUGCUUUAACAACUUCAGGCUUGCCAUCUGACGUGGCGGAAAUUGGCGAGUUAAGAAUUGUUAUAAGAUAUGCGUUGCAAGUAUAGUUCUUAACCAACAAGGAAUCCACUUAUCAAUUUAGAAGGGUUGUCACAAAAAUUAAAAUUAAAAUACUGGGAGUAUGAAUCCCAGGUCGUCUCCCAACGAGUUGCAGAAAGGUGUGCUAUUUUAUUAAUCAGAUGUUUUCAAAAAGAGUUUGAGUUGAAUAAGCAGGAAAUUAAAUUAGAGAAAUUAAGUAAUUUAAAUAAAAGCCUUGACUGGGAGUAGAUUAGUUGGAAGCCCUAUUCUUGUUGCAGUACUCUCAAGAUUAAUCGAUAAUUGAAGGUUGUUCUGUUUAGUUAUCCCUUACUAGGUAAGGGAAAGUCAAACAAGUUGGAAUGCUGUUUCUAUUCACAAGUCCCAAUCCGCUUACUUGGAAGGACUGGCGUUNNNNNNNNNNNNNNNNNNNNNNNNNNNNNNNNNNNNNNNNNNNNNNNNNNNNNNNNNNNNNNNNNNNNNNNNNNNNNNNNNNNNNNNNNNNNNNNNNNNNNNNNNNNNNNNNNNNNNNNNNNNNNNNNNNNNNNNNNNNNNNNNNNNNNNNNNNNNNNNNNNNNNNNNNNNNNNNNNNNNNNNNNNNNNNNNNNNNNNNNNNNNNNNNNNNNNNNNNNNNNNNNNNNNNNNNNNNNNNNNNNNNNNNNNNNNNNNAAGGUUGUUCUGUUUAGUUAUCCUUUACUAGGUAAGGGAAGGUCAAACAAGUUGGAAUGUUGUUUCUAUUCACAAGUCCCAAUCCGCUUACUUGGAAGGACUGGCGUUAGUGACUAGAGAGCAAUCCAACAAUAAACCCAAUUACAAUUUCUCUUUUGAGCAUUCCAACUCAAGGGUUCCUUUCAAUCAACACCCCAUCAAGUUAGGGAACUACUCGCUCAUUGUGAAUGUGGAAUUCAUAACAUAGAAAAGAGAAUUAAAGAAAGACAUGAUAAAUAAAACUCAAAGGAAUCAAUUAAAAAUAAAAGUAACUCUUGUAUUAAUAAAUUCUAAAAUAAUCCAGUAGUAAGAUUGAGUAAAUUAAAGGACAUGGAAGAGUAAAGCCAAGUAAAGAAAACGAACUAGAAUGACGAAGUCUUGAUGAGGUAAUAACUCUUCUCAAUAUCCCAAUGCAAAGAACAAUAGAGAUUAAAAUCCUAAGAACUAUGAAUGUGUAGAGAGAAAACCUAGAGGAGGAGUAAAACUAGAUCUAAAAACUAAAAAUUAUGUAGAGUGAAUGUUUUUUUUGUUUCUGCAUGUUCUCUAGCUCUAGUCUGCUUUUCUGGGCCAAAAACUGGGUCAAAACGGGGCCCAAAAUUGCCCCCAACGAAUUCUGCAGAUUAUGCAGAUCGCGCACGUCACGCGAUCGCGUCAUUCAUGCGGACGCGUCAUUCGGCGUUUUGCUUUGCCAUGCGGGUGCAUCGUCCAUGCCUCCGCGUCACUUGUGCUAUUCCAAUCCGCGCGGUCGCGUGAGCCAUGCGGCCGCGUCACUUCUCGCUGGUCAUCUCCUCAAUUUCUUGUGUUCCUUCCAUUUUUUGCAAGCUUCCUUUCCAAUCUCCAAUUCAUUCAUGCCCUAUAAAGCCUGAAACACUUAACACACAGAUCACGGUAUCGAAUGGAAUAAAGGAGAAUUAAAAUGCGUAAUUAAAAGUCUCUAGGAAGCAAGUUUUUAAUCAUGUAAUAAUUUUAGGAAGGAAAUAUAAAUGCAUGCUAAUCAUAUGAAUAAGUGGAUAAAAAUCAUGAUAAAACCACACAAUUAAACACAUUAUAAACCAUAAAAUAGUGGUUUAUCAACCUCCCCACACUUAAACAUUAGCAUGUCCUCAUGCUUAGUUGAAGGAGAUAAAACAAAUGAGUAGGAACAUGUAAAAACUCAUGCAAUGCAAUGCAACCUAUAUAUGUAAAUGUAACUAUAUGAUUCUUGUCCACUUGAUCAAUAGUAAAUAAGCUCUUCAAAACAACUACAAAUCAAAUUCCACUAAUUCAAUUCUCAUGCAGUAAGAACAGAUAAAAAUGCAAGAAGGUAGGUCAUGAAAGCAUGGAACAUAGAAUUUUAAGCAUUGAACCCUCACUGAUGAUGUAUGUACGCUCUAAUCUCUCUAGUGUAUAGGGCAAUCACUCUAUCCUUCUCUAAUCAUGCUCUCUAAUUUUUGUUAUUUCUUUCACAUUCCAUACUCAUGUAUCAACUUUUUAUCUUAAUUUUAUCAUACAUGCAUUGAUCUUUGAAUUCUUAACUUUACAUUGGGGUAAUUUUGUCCCCUUAUUUAUUUAUUGAAUAUUUUUUAGUUUUUUUUCAUAAGCAUAAAAAUAAACAUAGCUUAUCAAUGCACAUAGAUUUUCAAUUUUUUUUUAUAGUUUCACAUGAGUAGGUCUCCAAAUUUCCAUUAUAUUAUCAUGACACAUUCCCUUAUUAUCUUUUGUUCCCACAAUUUCCCAUACUUAAUUGACACACACAAUUCUAUCUUAAGCUAACCAAAGAUUCAGUUUGGGGUAUACAAUUAUUUUUUCGCUUAAGGCUAGUAAUGUGGUAAAAUAUAGAACAAAUGGGAUAUAAAGGCUCAAAGUGGCUAACAAAGGUAAUUGAAAGGGUAGGCUUAAUUUGGAUAAGUGAGCUAAACAAUUAAUGGCCUCAAUCAUAUACAAACAUAUAAAUAUAAUAAACUUUGGACAUAUAGGAUGGAACAAAAUAUAGAUCACAAUCAUAGAGAAGUAAACACACAAGAAUAAAAUAAUUAUGGUUAAAUAAUAUAACCAUGCAUAGAGGCUCAAAUCUCACAGGUUGUGUGUUCUUUAGCUCAAAAAUUAUGUUCCAAAUACAACUUCAAGCAAAUUUAACAUAGAAGUUUUGAUUAAAAUUAGUGAAAUUUUGUUCCAAAGAUAGGAUCUUAGAAGAAACUUAUUGUCUUUUCAAUCAAGUAGAACAUGCAUGCAACUAACCUAUUACUAUGCAAUUUAUCCUAUUCUAUAAAAGAAAAACUAACUAAAUAUCCUAAUUUAUUGGUGUUUAGGGAAGAGAAAUUACCUCCAGAAGUCAGGUACUGACCGACUUUCCCACACUUAAGGCUUUGCUCCGUCCUCGGUGCCAUCUGUCAGGAACAGGGGUGGGCUGGUAGCAGUAUCUCCACAGUCGGGACCAUCAUGGCUCCCUGUGCUGGUAAAUGAAGUGGAGUCCGGAGUGUCUGAGUCCUUGAAUUUUCCCAUGAUCAGCUCCUUGAGGUAUGUGAAUCGGCACUUGUUACGACGCUUUAUGAUCCAACCUUUCGAGUAUCUGAUGGAGCAGUUGGUCUGUUGUAGGUGCUUGUGGUAUGGAAGGAGGAAUGUCCUGAGCUGGUUCAGUGGGCUGGCUUGUAGUGGCUGCUGAGGGUCUGAUAUAUUUCCCAUUAGGGACAUAUUGAUCAUCCCGUGGAAGUAUGGCUUUGGUGUCCCCAGCUCUGAAGGAGACUCCGGCUGUUGAGACAAGAUCUGAGACCAGGGCGGGAAAAGAUAAGUUGCCCACGAUUUGUACGUGUCCCAUGGCAUUCCGGAUGUGUCUUGGUAGGUUCAGAGGUUGGUCUGUAAGGAUGCACCAUAGUAGAACGGCCAUGUUCGCAGUGAAGGAGGACUCGUGAGUGCUUGGAAAGAUGUAAUGGGACAUGAUCUGUGCCCAUACGCGAGCCUCCAAGGUAAGUGUUGAAGCCGAUAUUCCCUUAGGGCGGGUACGAUGGUAUCCGUAGAUCCAACGGCUGCCAGGUAGUGCGAUAACUCUGAGAACGGCGUCCCAGUCAAAUUGGUACAUCUGGAGCUUGAGUGCGGCUUCUUGAAAGGCGUCUAAACCUUCUGGAAUAGGGGGAAGACCUAAAGCUUUUUGAAUGGCCUCUUCUGUAAUGGGGACUUGCUUCUGACGGACAAAGACAGACUACAGGGUUGGCAGGUGAAAGUUGGAGUAGAACUUGACUACCCAAGAAAGAUUGACCUGCCUCGGCUGUCUCUGUAGGAAACCCCAUUGUCUUUGUGCAAUUUGCGGUUCAACAAAUGUGGCAAUAUGGUUUGGGAGGAGAAGAAGGUAUUCAUUGUUGUAACUCCUUUCUGCCAGGAUGGGGAACAUCUGCUCACAAUAGCGAUUGGAAAAUCGCGCAGUGUCCUUUGCUGGGAAGGCUUUUUCUUUAUCAUCAACCUUUAUAAUCCUCUUAAGUCUCUUUGUUGAGGGCUUUACCGCAGUUGAAGAGGGUUCUGCCACUAGGGCUCUCUUUGUUCCUCUCCUUGCUGUUGAUUUGGGAGUAGCUUUCUCUUUGCCCUUCUUGGUGGCCAUUCUGAAAAAGGGAAGAGAAAGUAAAUUAAAUUCAAAGAGAUAGAGUAAGGAAGAGAACGGAAAAGGGUGGUUAUGAAUGCACAGUAAAAGGUAAAUGAUGUUAACACAUGGUCAUGACUACAUGUGAAAAGUCAUCAAUGGAAAAUAGUUAGUGCAUAUGAUGACAGGUGAAUGCAAGGUGUUUUUUGGCAUGCUGGCAAUGGCAUGAGUAGCAUAGAUCAAGCAUCACUCGUAACAAACCAUCACAUUUGUAUUGACAAUUAAUUUCAAUGAAUACAAUAGUAAAGGAAAUUUGUGAAAAGCAAGCAUUGAAUAGUAGAGUAACGUAGAAAAGUGCAUAAUGCUAUAUGGACUUUUUCACAAACACAUAGCAUGCAUGAGAAUUAGGGUAUAGAAAGUAUUAAAUUGAACAUGCAAGCAACCCUUUAAAAAGUAAUAUAUAAUUUCCAAACAAAUUUAGAACAAUCCACAAGCAUAUAAUGAGAAAUAAUGAUUCAAAUUAAUUUCUAACACCAAGUAAAAAGGGAAAAGAAAGAAAAAAGAAAAUAUGGAUAAUGAAAGUAAAAAGAAAAGAAAAGAAGAUAACAUAUAAAAAUAAGAAGAAUAAUAGAAAAUUAAGGGGAGGAAAGAAGAAAAGAAAAACCUUGUUAAUGGGGGUGAGAGAGAGAGAGUGAAAGUGUAAAAAGUGAGAAAGAAGGAAGAGGGAAGAAGGAAGAAAUAAGGAAUAAGGAGGAAAAAGAGAAAAUAGGAUUUGGGGAGAAAAAGAUAAGAUAGUUGGUAAAUUAGAAAAGCUGUGUGGCGCAAGUGACGCGGUCGCGUGGGGCACGUGAUCGCGCCACUUGCGCUGAAACUGAUUGACACGGUCGCGUCGGUCACGCGGUCGCGUGACCCGUUUUAUGCUACUGGCGCGAGGGCAGCCUCGCACUCGCACAACUCUCUGUUCAAAAUCAUUAAUUGCCAAAUAUUGGGUGACGCGAUCGUGUGGGAAGGAUUGUGCGUUCAGCACCAAUCCAGCACCACUCUAGCACAACUUUCGGUCGUGCACCCUUUUCACGUCGAAUUCCGAGGCAUGCGGCCGCGUGAGUGACGCGGUCGUGUGGGAGGCCAAUGUUCCCACUCGACGCGGUCGCGUGAGAUAAUUUGUGCCAUUGGCACGUGAUGAGCGGAUAAUUUAUACGCUUUUUGGCAUUGUUUUUAGUAUGUUCUUAGUAGAAUUUUGUUACUUUUAGGGAUGUUUUCAUUAGUUUUUAUGUUAAAUUCACAUUUCUGGACUUUACUAUGAGUUUGUGUGUUUUUCUGUGAUUUCAGGUAUUUUCUGGCUGAAAUUGAGGGACUUGAGCAAAAAUCAGAUUCAGAGGAUGAAGAAGGACUGCUGAUGCUGUUGGAUUCUGACCUCCCUGCACUCAAAAUGGAUUUUCUGGAGCUACAGAACUCUUAUUUCGUUUCUAAGAUAUCCAUUCGCACUUCAACCUGAAUGUGAUGAACGUGACAAUCAUCAUCAUUCCCUAUGAACGCGUGCUUGACAACCACUUUCAUUCUACAUUAGAUUGAAUGAGUAUCUCUUAGAUCUCUUAAUCAGAAUCUUCGUGGUAUAAGCUAGAUUGAUGGCAGCAUUCAUGAGAGUCCGGAAAGUCUAAACCUUGUCCGUGGUAUUCCGAGUAGGACUCUGGGAUUGGAUGACUGUGACGAACUUCAAACUCGCAAGUACUGGGCGUAGUGACAGACGCAAAAGGAUAGUAAAUCCUAUUCCAGUAUGAUCGAGAACCUCCAAGAUGAUUAGCCAUGCAGUGACAGCGCAUCGGACCAUUUUCACAGAGAGGAAUAGGAUGCAACCAACGACAAGGGUGAUGCCUCCAGACGAUUAGCCGUGCUGUGACAGAGUAUUUGGACCAUUUUCCCGAGAGAGAUCGAAAGUAGCCAUUGGCACCGGUGACAUCCUUACAUAAAGCCAGCCAUAGAAAGGAGUGAGACUGAUUGGAUGAAGGCAGCAGAAAAGCAGAGGUUCAGAGGAACGAAAAGCAUCUUCAUACGCUUAUCUAAAAUUCUCACCAAUGAUUUACAUAAGUACCUCUAUCCCUAUUCUAUUAUUUAUUUUCGAAAACCCCAUUACUAUUUUAUAUCCGCCUGACUGAGAUUUACAAGGUGACUAUAGCUUGCUUCAUACCAACAAUCUCCGUGGGAUUCGACCUUACUCACGUAAGGUAUUACUUGGACGACCCAGUGCACUUGCUGGUUAGUUGUAUCGAAGUUGUGACAAAUCAUGAAUUAAGAUUAGAGCACCAAGUCUUUGGAGCCAUUACCAGAGAUCACAAUUUCGUGCACCAAGUUUUUGGCGCCGUUGCCGGGGAUUGUUCGAGUUUGGACAACUGACGGUUCAUCCUGUUGCUCAGAUUAGGUAAUUUUCUUCUUAUUUUAUUUUCAAAAAGUUUUCAAAAAUCUUUCAAAAACUUUUCUUUUGUUUUCGAAAAUAAAAAAUAAAUAUUUUCAAAAAUAUAUUUUUCUUCAGAAUUUUUAAGAACGAAUUCUAGUGUUUCAUGAAGCAUGUUGAAGCCUGGCUGGCUGUGAAGCCAUGUCUGUAGGGCAUGUCAGGCGUGUCAUUUUUGAGUUACAUACUAAAGCUUGGCUGGCUAUUAAGCCAUGCCUGACCCUUUGAUUGGAGCUUUAGACUAAAGAGCAUAAGAUUCCUGGAAUUCAUAUUAAAAAUUUUGGAAUCCUUAUUUUUCUUUUUACACUAAUUUUCGAAAAAUAUAAAAUAAAAAUCCAAAAAAAUUUAGAAAAUCAUAAAAAUCAAAAAUAUUUUUGUGUUUCUUGUUUGAGUCAUGUGUCAUGUUAUAAGUUUGGUGUAAAUUGCAUGUGCAUCUUGCAUUUUUCGAAAAAAAAAUCAUGCAUUCAUAGUGUUCUUCAUGAUCUUCAAAUUGUUCUUGGUAAGUCUUCUUGUUUGAUCUUUGCAUUUGCAUGUUUUGUGUCUUUUCUUGUUUUUCAUCUGCAUUCUUGAAUUCUUAGUGCCUAAGCAUCAAAGAUUUCUAAGUUUGGUGUCCCGCAUAUUUUCUUUGCAUUAAAAAUUUUUCAAAAAUAUGUUCUUGAUGUUCAUCAUGAUCUUCAUAGUGUUCUUGGUGUUCAUCUUGACAUUCAUAGCAUUCUUGCAUGCAUCACAUGUUUUGAUCUAAAAUUCUCAUGCAUUGCAUCAUUUUCAUGUUUUUCUCUCUCAUCAUAAAAAAAUUCAAAAAUCAAAAAAAUAUCUUUCCCUUUUUCUCUCUUAAAAUUUUGAAAAUUAGAUUUGACUUUUUCAAAAAAUUUUAAAAAUCUAGUUGUUUUUACGAGUCAAAUCAAAUUUUCAAUUUAAAAAUCUCAUCUUUUUCAAAAUCUUUUUCAAAAAAAAUCAAAUCUUUUUCAUUUUUCUUAGUUAUUUUCGAAAAUUUUAAAAAUAUUUUUCAAAAAUCUUUUUCUUAUCUUUAUCUCUUAAUUUUCGAAAAUAACAUCACCAAUUAAUGUUUUGAUUCAAAAAGUUUCAAGUUUGUUACUUGCUUGUUAAGAAAGAUUCAAACUUUAAGUUCUAGAAUCAUAUCUUGUGAUUUCUUGUGAAUCAAGUCAUUAAUUGUGAUUUUAAAAAUCAAAUCUUUUCCAAAAACUAAUUUCAAUCAUAUCUUUUCAAAAAUAUCUUCUUAUCUUAUCUUUUUCAAAAAUUUGAUUUCAAAAUAUCUUUUCUAACCUCCUAACUUCUUAUCUUUCCAAAAUUAAUUUUCAAAUUUGUUUCAACUAACUAACUAACUUUUUGUUUGUUUCUUAUCUUUUUCAAAACCACCUAACUAACUUUCUCUCUCUAAUUUUCGAAAAUAUCUUCCCUCUUUUUCAAAAUUUCUUUUAAUUAACUAAUUAUUUUAAUUUUUGAUUUUAAUUUUCGAAAAUUACUAACCCUUUCAAAAACUAUUUUUGAAAAUCACUAACCCUUUUUCAAAAAAAAAAAAAUUUUUUUUUCAAAAAUCCUUCUCCCUCAUCUCAUUCUAAUUAUUUAUUCAUCUACUAACACUUCUCUUCAUCUCACAUCACUGCUCCUAUCCUUACCCUUGUGUUUGGAUUCUUCAUUCUUCCUCACCCCUAUUCCUUUUCUUCUUCUACUAACAAUAAGGAACCUCUUUACUGUGACAAUAGAGGAUUCCUUUUCUUUUCUCUUUCUCUUCUCUUUCUUAUGAGUAGGGACAAAGAAAAAGGCAUUCUUGUUGAAGCUGAUCCAGAAUCUGAAAGGACUCUGAAGAGGAAACUAAGAGAAGCUAAAUUACAACAAUCCAGAGACAACCUUAUUGAAAAUUUCGAACAAGUAAAGGAGAUGGCAGCCGAACCCAACAACAAUAAUGCAAGGAGAAUGCUUGGUGACUUUACUGCACCUAAUUCCAAUUUACAUGGAAGAAGCAUCUCCAUUCCUGCCAUUGGAGCAAACAAUUUUGAGUUGAAACCUCAGCUAGUUUCUCUGAUGCAGCAGAACUGCAAGUUUCAUGGACUUCCAUCUGAAGAUCCUUUUCAGUUCUUAAAUAAAUUCUUGCAGAUAUGUGAUACUGUUAAGACUAAUGGAGUCGAUCCUGAAGUCUACAGGCUCAUGAUUUUCCCUUUUGCUGUAAGAGACAGAGCUAGAAUAUGGUUGGACUCUCAACCCAAAGACAGCCUGAACUGUUGGGAUAAGCUGGUCACGGCUUUCUUAGCCAAGUUCUUUCCUCCUCAAAAGCUGAGCAAGCUUAGAGCGGAUGUUCAAACCUUCAGACAGAAAGAAGGUGAAUCCUCUAUGAAGCUUGGGAAAGAUACAAGCAGCUGACCAAAAAGUGUCCUUCUGACAUGCUUUCAGAAUGGACUAUCCUGGAUAUAUUCUAUGAUGGUUUAUCUGAGCUAUCAAAGAUGUCAUUGGAUACUUCUGCAGGUGGAUCCAUUCACCUAAAGAAAACGCCUGCAGAAGCUCAAGAACUCAUUGACAUGGUUGCUAAUAACCAGUUCAUGUACACUUCUGAAAGGAAUCCUGUGAGUAAUGGGACGAUUAUGAAGAAGGGAGUUCUUGAAAUUGAUACUCUGAAUGCCAUAUUGGCUCAGAACAAAAUAUUGACUCAGCAAGUCAAUAUGAUUUUUCAGAGUCUGAAUGGAUUGCAAGCUGCACCCAACAGUACUCAAGAGGCAUCUUCUGAAGAAGAAGCUUAUGAUCCUGAAAACCCUACAAUAGCAGAGGUAAAUUACAUGGGUGAACCAUAUGGAAACACCUAUAAUCCAUCAUAGANNNNUAGUACACUCCCAAGCAAUACAGAAGAGAAUCCAAAAGGAGAGUGCAAGGCCAUUGACAUAACCAAAAUGGCCGAACCCAAAGAGGGAGAGGAGGACGUGAAUCCCAAGGAGGAAGACCUCCUGGGACGUCCAGUGAUCAAUAAGGAGCUUUCCUCUAAGGAACCAAAGGAAUCUGAGACUCAUCUAGAGACCACAGAGAUUCCAUUGAACCUCCUUAUGCCCUUCAUGAGCUCUGAUGAGUAUUCCUCUUCUGAAGAGAAUGAGGAUGUCACUGAAGAGCAAGUUGCCAAGUUCCUUGGUGUAAUCAUGAAGCUGAAUGCCAAAUUAUUUGGUAAUGAGACUUGGGAAGAUGAACCUCCCUUGUUCACCAAUGAACUAAGUGAUCUGGAUCAACUGACAUUGCCUCAGAAGAAACAGGAUCCUGGAAAGUUUAUAAUACCUUGUACCAUAGGCACCAUGCUCUUUGAAAAGGCUCUGUGUGACCUUGGUUCAGGGAUAAACUUCAUGCCCCUCUCUGUAAUAGAGAAACUGGGAAUCUAUGGGGUGCAAGCUGCUAAAAUCUCAUUAGAGAUGGCAGACAAUUCAAGAAAAUAGGCUUAUGGACAAGUAGAGGACGUGUUAGUAAAGGUUGAAGGCCUUUACAUGCCUGCUGAUUUCAUAGUCCUGGAUACUGGAAAGGAAGAGGAUGAAUCCAUCAUCCUAGAAGGACCUUUCCUGGCCACAGCAAGAGCUGUGAUUGAUGUGGACAGAGGAGAAUUGAUCCUUCAAUUAAAUAAGGACAACUCUGUGUUUACUACUCAAGGAUCUCUCUCUGCAUCCAUGGAGAGGAAGCAUAAAAAUCUUCUCUCAAAGCAGAGUCAAACAAAGCCCCCACAGUCAAACUCUAAGUUUGGUGUUGGGAGGCCACAACCAAACUCUAAGUUUGGUGUCAAACCCCCAUAUCCAAACUCUAAGUUUGGUGUUGGGAGGUCUCAACAAAGCUCUGCACAUUUGUGAGGCUCCAUGAGAGCCCACUGUCAAGCUAUUGACAUUAAAGAAGCGCUUGUUGGGAGGAAACCCAAUGUUUAUUUAUCUAAUUUUGUUUUUGUUUUUCAUGUUUUCUUAGGUUCAUGAUCAUGUGGAGUCACAAAAUAAACGAAAAAUUUAGAAACAGAAUCAAAAACAGCAGAAGAAAAAUCACACCCUGGAGGAAGCACCUGUCUGGCGUUCAACGCCAGAACAGAGCAUGGUUCUGGCGCUGAACGCCCAAAAUGGGUAGUGUCUGGCGCUGAACGCCCAGAAUAAGCAUGGUUCUGGUGUUCAACGCCAGAAAUGGGCAACAAAUGGGCGUUGAACGCCCAAAAUAGGCACCAACCUGGCGCUGAACGCCUAGAGUUGUGUGCAAGGGCAUUUUGCAUGCCCAAUGGGUGCAGGGAUGUAAAUCCUUGACACCUGAGGAUCUGUGAACACCACAGGAUCACCUCAAGAUCUGUGGACCUCACAGGAUCCCUACCCACCUCACCCUCUCUUUAUCCAUUCAUGAUCACCCCUUCUGUUUUCCAUUUACCACUCACAUCCAUCCACACAUCCCUCCAUCUCCUCCAUAUCUUCUUAUUCUUCUUCUUCUUCUUCUUAUUCUUCUUCUUCUUCUUCUUCUUCUUCUUCUUCUUCUUCUUCUUCUUCUUCUUCUUCUAUUCUUUCUUCUUUUGCUCGAGGGCGAGCAACCUUCUAAGUUUGGUGUGGUAAAAGCAUAGCUUUUUGUUUUUCCAUAACCAUUAAUGGCACCUAAGACCGGAGAAUCCUCUAGAAAAGAGAAAGGGAAGACAAAAGCUUCCACCUCCGAGUUAUGGGAGAUGGAAAGAUUCAUCUCACAAGCCCAUCACUAAGAAAAAGAUGGAGCAAACAAGAGAGCACAUUCAUGGAUCUCAACAGGCACAUGAAGAAGUUCAUCAGCGAGAAAUCCCUGAGAUACCUCAAGGGAUGCACUUUCCUCCACAGAAUUUUUGGGAGCAAAUCAACUACUCCCUAGGAGAAUUAAGUUCCAAUAUGGGACACUUAAGGGUGGAACAUCAAGAGCACUCCAUCAUCCUUCAUGAAAUAAGAGAAGAUCAAAAAGCAAUGAGGGAGGAGCAACAAAGACAAGGAAGAGACAUAGAAGAGCUCAAGGAUAUCAUUGGUUCCUCAAGAAGGAAAUGCCACCAUCACUAAGGUGGAUUCAUUCCUUGUUCUUAUUUCUUCUGUUUUUCAUUUUCUAUGUUAUGUGCUUAUCCAUGUUUGUGUCUUCAUUACAUGAUCAUUAGUAGUUAGUAACUUUGUCUUAAAGAUAUGAAUGUCCUAUGAAUCCAUCACCGCUCUUAAAUGAAAAAUGUUUUAAUUCAAAAGAACAAGAAGUACAUGAGUUUCGAAUUUAUCCUUGAACAUAGUUUGAUUAUAUUGAUGUGGUGACAAUGCUCAAAGCUACAAGUCCCGCUCAUCUGAUUGGAGCUAUGUUUCAUUGAUAGUUUGGAAUUUAUAGUAUAUUCUCUUCUUUUUAUCCUAUUUGAUUUUCAGUUGCUUGGGGACAAGCAACAAUUUAAGUUUGGUGUUGUGAUGAGCGGAUAAUUUAUACGCUUUUUGGCAUUGUUUUUAGUAUGUUCUUAGUAGAAUCUGGUUACUUUUAGGGAUGUUUUCAUUAUUUUUUAUGUUAAAUUCACAUUUCUGGACUUUACUAUGAGUUUGUGUGUUUUUCUGUGAUUUCAGGUAUUUUCUGGCUGAAAUUGAGGGACUUGAACAAAAAUCAUAUUCAGAGGAUGAAGAAGGACUGCUGAUGCUGUUGGAUUCUGACUUCCCUGCACUCAAAAUGGAUUUUCUGGAGCUACAGAACUCAAAAUGGCGCGCUUUCAAUUGCGUUGGAAAGUAGACAUCCAGGGCUUUCCAUCAAUAUAUAAUAGUUCAUACUUUUCCCAAGUUUAGAUGACACAAACUGGCGUUCAACGCCAGUUCUCUGCCCAAUUCUGGCGUCCAACGCCAGAAACAAGCUGCAAAGUGGAGUUCAACGCCCAAACUGACACAAAAGCUGGCGUUCAACUCCAAGAAUGAGCUCUGCACGUGUAACAUUCAAGCUCAGCCCAAGCACACACCAAGUGGGCCCCGGAAGUGGAUUUAUGCAUCAAUUACUUACUUCUGUAAACCCUAGAAGCUAGUUUAUUAUAAAUAGGACUUUUUACUAUUGUAUUAGUCAUCUUUGGACGCCUGGUUCUUAGAUCAUGGGGGAUGGCCUCUUGGCCAUGCCUGGACCUUUCACUUAUGUAUUUUCAACGGUAGAGUUUCUACACUCCAUAGAUUAAGGUGUGGAGCUCUGCUGUUCCUCAAAGAUUAAUGCAAAGUACUACUGUUUUCUAUUCAAUUCAUCUUAUUUCGCUUCUAAGAUAUCCAUUCGCACUUCAACCUGAAUGUGAUGAACGUGACAAUCAUCAUCAUUCCCUAUGAACGUGUGCUUGACAACCACUUCUGUUCUACAUUAGAUUGAAUGAGUAUCUCUUAGAUCUCUUAAUCAGAAUCUUCGUGGUAUAAGCUAGAUUGAUGACGGCAUUCAUGAGAUUCCGGAAAGUCUAAACCUUGUCCGUGGUAUUCUGAGUAGGACUCUGGGAUUGGAUGACUGUGACAAACUUCAAACUCGCGAGUACUGGGCGUAGUGACAGACGCAAAAGGAUAGUUAAUCCUAUUCCAGUAUGAUCGAGAACCUCCAAGAUGAUUAGCCAUGCAGUGACAGCGCAUCGGAGCAUUUUCACAGAGAAGAAUAGGAUGCAACCAACGACAAGGGUGAUGCCUCCAGACGAUUAGCCGUGCUGUGACAGAGCAUUUGGACCAUUUUCCCGAGAGAGAUCGAAAGUAGCCAUUGGCAUCGGUGACAUCCUUACAUAAAGCCAGCCAUAGAAAGGAGUGAGACUGAUUGGAUGAAGGCAGCAGGAAAGCAGAGGUUCAGAGGAACGAAAAGCAUCUCCAUACACUUAUCUGAAAUUCUCACCAAUGAUUUACAUAAGUACCUCUAUCCCUAUUCUAUUAUUUAUUUUCAAAAACCCCAUUACUAUUUUAUAUCCGCCUGACUGAGAUUUACAAGGUGACCAUAGCUUGCUUCAUACCAACAAUCUCCGUGGGAUUUGACCCUUACUCACGUAAGGUAUUACUUGGACGACCCAGUGCACUUGCUGGUUAGUUUUAUCGAAGUUGUGACAAAUCAUGAAUUAAGAUUAGAGCACCAAGUCUUUGGAGCCAUUACCAGAGAUCACAAUUUCGUGCACCAGCACGCCUCCAGCCACGCUCCUGCGUGACUCUCUGUUCGUUUAUUAUUUUCUCCCAUCUCCUUGCGACGCGGACGCGUCAAUGAUGUGGUCGCGUCGCGUGAAAAAUAUUUAAUUUUUUUUAUAUAAAAGUAUGUAAAUGCAGAUGCACAAAAUGUACUAAUAAAGAGAAGAGUUAUUGAAUAGGAAAAUUAAAAAUAAAGAAAAGAACGAUCAUACCAUGGUGGGUUGUCUCCCACCUAGCACUUUGCUUUAACGUCCAUAAGUUGGACGCUCCACUAGCUUAGUCUUCGGCUAUGUGGGGAUCUUCCAAGAGGAAGAUCUCGAGCUCCUUAUUUUUCUGCAUCCUCUCUCCAUGGUACAGCUUUAAACGAUGUCCAUUAACUUUGAUAAGUUCAGAGCUUGAAGGAUGGCUUAGGUGAUAAACUCCGUAUGGUUCGGCCUUCUCUACUCUGUAUGGACCUUCCCAUCUUGAUCUCAACUUGCCUGGCAUGAGCCUCAGUAGAGAUUUGUAAAGGAGGACUAAGUCCCCAGGUUGGAACUCUUUUCUCUUGAUGUGCUGAUCAUGUACAGCCUUCAUCUUCUCCUUGUAUAGUCUUGAGUUCUCAUAAGCUUCCAGGCGAAGGCUUUCCAACUCUUGCAUGUGCAAUUUCCUUUCAGCUCCGGCUUUCUCAAUUCCCAUGUUGCACUCCUUUACUGCCCAAAAGGCUUUGUGCUCUACUUCAACAGGGAGAUGACAAGCUUUUCCAUAAACUAAGCGGAAAAGACUCAUCCCAAUGGGUGUUUUGUAUGCUGUUCUGUAUACCCAGAGUGCAUCUUGUAGCCUGGUGCUCCAGUCUCUUCUAUGAGAUUUGACUAUCUUUUGCAAGAUACGCUUUAUCUCUCUGUUUGACACCUCAGCUUGCCCAUUAGUCUGAGGAUGGUAUGCUGUUGCAACCUUAUGAAUGAUCCCAUGCUUCUUCAUUAAUCCUGUUAGUCUCCUAUUACAAAAAUGGGUGCCUUGAUCGCUCACGAUUGCUCGUGGUGAUCCAAAGCGACAAAUAAUGUGGUUUCUCACAAAGGAAACAACAGUGUUAGCAUCAUCAGUGCGGGUAGGAAUUGCUUCCACCCAUUUGGAAACGUAAUCCACAGCUAACAAUAUAUAAAAAUAACCAUUAGAAUUUGGAAAUGGACCCAUGAAGUCAAUGCCCUAAACAUAAAAAAUUUCACAGAAAAGCAUAAUUUGUUGAGGCAUCUCAUCCCUCCUGGAUAUAUUACCAAAUUUUUGGCAUGGAAAACAAGAUUUACAAAACUCAGCAGCGUCUCUAAAAAGUGUAGGCCACCAGAAUCCACAGUCUAAGAUUUUUCUAGCUGUUCUUUGAGGGCCAAAAUGUCCUCCACUCUCAGAUGAGUGACAGGCCUCUAUGAUGGACUGGAAUCUGAUUGAGGCACACACCGUCUAAUUACCUGGUCAGUGCCACAUCUCCAUAAAUAUGGGUCAUCCCAUAUAUAAUAUUUAGACUCGCUUUUCAGCUUAUCCCUUUGAUGGUUAGAAAAGUUUGGAGGAAAGGUGCGGCUAACUAGAUAAUUAGCUACAGGUGCAUACCAAGGGACUACCUCAGAUACUGCUUGCAGGUUAUCAAAUGGAAAAUUAUCAGCUAUAGGAGUGGGGUCAUCUGUAAUGUGCUCAAGGCGACUCAAGUGGUCUGCCACUAAAUUCUGGUUACCACUCCUAUCCUUAAUUUCUAAAUCAAAUUCUUGUAAUAGCAGUAUCCAACGUAUAAGCCUUGGUUUGGACUCUUUUUUAGCUAAUAAAUACUUUAGAGCUGCGUGGUCUGAGUACACUACUACCUUCGUACCAAGUAAAUAGGCUCGGAAUUUAUCCAGAGCAAAAACAAUAGUAAGAAGCUCUUUCUCAGUAGUCGUGUAAUUGGACUAUGUGGCAUCUAGAGUUUUAGACGCAUAAGCAAUAACAAAAGGGUCCUUACCUUCACGCUGAGCCAAUUCUGCUCCUACUGCAUGGUUGGAAGCGUCGCACAUUAUUUUGAAUGGCUGGCUCCAGUCUGGUCAUCUCACAAUUGGAGCUUGUUUAACCAUAAAGUGACAUUUUUCAAAAUUUAAUACCAGGUUUGUACUGGCACAUCUAUCUAAUACUCUAGAUAAUCCAUCUAAGCAAAGGCUAAAGGAAUCGCCAUAUACACUAAAAUCAUCCAUAAAAACUUCCAUACAGUCCUCAAUAAGAUCAAAGAAAAGACUCAUCAUGCACCUCUGGAAAGUAGCUGGUGCAUUGCACAAGCCAAAGGGCAUUCUCUUGUAAGCAUAAGUCCCAAAAGGACAUGUAAAAGUGGUCUUUUCCUGAUCCUCAGGAGCUAUAUGAAUCUAGAAAUAACCUGUGUAACCAUCUAAAAAAUAAUAAUGUGAUUUACCUGACAAGCGAUCUAGCAUUUGAUCAAUGAAUGGAAGAGGAUAGUGAUCUUUACGAGGUUCUUGGUUGAGACGUCUGUAAUCAAUGCAGACCCUCCAAGAGUUCUGUACUCUGGUUGCUAUGAGCUCUCCAUGCUCAUUCUUCACUGUAGUGACUCCAGACUUCUUGGGCACCACUUGUACUGGGCUCACCCAUUCACUGUCUGAGAUGGGAUAGAUGAUAUCUGCCUCCAGUAGUCUGGUCACUUCCUUCUUGACAACCUCUAAGAUAGUGGGGUUCAGUCUUCUCUGGAGUUGACGGACAGGUCUUGCUCCCUCUUCUAAAAAUAUUCUAUGCUCACAUACUUGAGGGUUGAUGCCUACUAUAUAUGCCAAACCCCACCCAAUUGCCUUCUUGUGCCUCCUCAGCACACUAAGUAACUGCUCUUCUUGUUGAGAAGUGAGUUCCCUUGCAAUGAUAACUGGACACUUUUGCUUGUCCUCAAGGUAAGCAUAUUUGAGGUGUGGAGGAAGGGGUUUCAACUCUAACUUCUGCUCAUGGUCAGGCUCUGGAUUGUCUGGAGCUGGCAACAAUGGUAAAGCACUGUCAUUGUCCUCUGAGAAUGUCCCCACACUUGGACCUUGUCCUACGUACUUCUCCUCAAAUUCCUCCUGGUGAACUUCAGCCACGGUUUCAUCUAUAAUGUCACACUGGAGGAUAGAAUGAUCCUCCGGAGGAUGCUUCAUAACUCCAUUCAGAUUGAAGAUCACUACUCGGCCAUCUAUUUCAAAAGAGUAUGUACCUGAAAAAGCAUCUAAUUUAAACUUUGAGGUCUUCAGGAAUGGUCUUCCGAGUAGGAUUGAUAAUGGCUUGUGAUGAGCGGAUAAUUUAUACGCUUUUUGGCAUUGUUUUUAGUAUGUUUUUAGUAGAAUCUAGUUACUUUUAGGGAUGUUUUCAUUAGUUUCUAUGUUAAAUUCACAUUUCAGGACUUUACUAUGAUUUUGUGUUUUUUUCUGUGAUUUUAGGUAUUUUCUGGUUGAAAUUGAGGGACUUGAGCAAAAAUCAGAUUCAGAGGUUGAAGAAGGACUGCUGAUGCUGUUGGAUUCUGACCUCCCUGCACUCAAAAUGGAUUUUAGAGCUACAGAACUCAAAAUGGCGCGCUUCCAAAUGCGUUGGAAAGUAGACAUCCAGGGCUUUCCAGAAAUAUAUAAUAGUUUAUACUUUGCCCAAGUUUAGAUGACGCAAAUUGGCGUUCAACACCAGUUCUCUGCCCAAUUCUGGCGUCCAGCGCCAGAAACAAGCUGCAAAGUGGAGUUCAACGCCCAAACUGGCACAAAAGCUGGCGUUCAACUCCAAGAAUGACCUCUGCACGUGUAACAUUCAAGCUCAGCCCAAGCACACACCAAGUGGGCCCCGGAAGUGGAUUUAUACAUCAAUUCCUUACUUCUGUAAACCCUAGAAGCUAGUUUAUUAUAAAUAGGACUUUUUACUAUUAUAUUAGUCAUCUUUGGACGCCUGGUUCUUAGAUCAUGGGGGCUGGCCUCUUGGCCAUGCCUGGACCUUUCACUUAUGUAUUUUCAACGGUAGAGUUUCUACACUCCAUAGAUUAAGGUGUGGAGCUCUGCUGUUCCUCAAAGAUUAAUGUAAAGUACUACUAUUUUCUAUUCAAUUCAUCUUAUUUCGCUUCUAAAAUAUCCAUUCGCAUUUCAACCUGAAUGUGAUGAACGUGACAAUCAUCAUCAUUCCCUAUGAACGCGUGCUUGACAACCACUUCCGUUCUACAUUAGAUUGAAUGAGUAUCUCUUAGAUCUCUUAAUCAGAAUCUUCGUGGUAUAAGUUAGAUUGAUGGCGCCAUUCAUGAGAGUCCGGAAAGUCUAAACCUUGUCCGUGGUAUUCUGAGUAGGACUCUGGGAUUGGAUUACUGUGACGAACUUCAAACUCGCGAGUACUGGGCGUAGUGACAAACGCAAAAGGAUAGUAAAUCCUAUUCCAGUAUGAUCGAGAACCUCCAAGAUGAUUAGCCAUGCAGUGACAGCGCAUCAGACCAUUUUCACAGAGAGGAAUAGGAUGCAAACCAACGACAAGGGUGAUGCCUCCAGACGAUUAGCCGUGCUGUGACAGAGCAUUUGGACCAUUUUCCCGAGAGAGAUCGAAAGUAGCCAUUGGCACCGGUGACAUCCUUACAUAAAGCCAGCCAUAGAAAGGAGUGAGACUGAUUGGAUGAAGGCAGCAGGAAAGUAGAGGUUCAGAGGAACGAAAAGCAUCUCCAUACGCUUAUCUGAAAUUCUCACCAAUGAUUUACAUAAGUACCUCUAUCCCUAUUCUAUUAUUUAUUUUCGAAAACGCCAUUACUAUUUUAUAUCCGCCUGACUGAGAUUUACAAGGUGACCAUAGCUUGCUUCAUACCAACAAUCUCCGUGGGAUUCGACCCUUACUCACGUAAGGUAUUACUUGGACAACCCAGUGCACUUGCUGGUUAGUUGUAUCGAAGUUGUGACAAAUCAUGAAUUAGGAUUAGAGCACCAAGUCUUUGGAGCCAUUACCAGAGAUCACAAUUUCGUGCACCAAGUUUUUGGCGCCGUUGCCGGGGAUAGUUUGAGUUUGGACAACUGACGGUUCAUCUUGUUGCUCAGAUUAGGUAACUUUCUUUUCGUUUCCUUUUUCAAAAAUUUUUCAAAAAAAAAAGAAUUUCUUUCAAAAAUUUUUUCUCUUGUUUUCGAAAAAAAAAUAAAAAUGUUUUCAAAAAUAUAUUUUUCUUCAGAAUUUUUUAAAUAUGAAUUCUAGUGUUUCAUAAAGCAUGUUGAAGCCUGGCUGGCUGUAAAGCCCCGACUGUAGGGCAUGUUAGGCGUGUCAUGUCUGAGUUACAUACUAAAGCUCCGCUGGCUAUUAAGCCAUGCCUGACCCUUUGAUUGGAGCUUUAGUUUAAAGAGCAUAAGAUUCCUGGAAUUCAUAUUAAAAAUUUUGGAAUCCUUAUUUUUCUUUUUCAAAAUGAUUUUCGAAAAAAAAUUAAAAGAAAAUACAAAAAAAUCAUAAAAUCAUAAAAUCAAAAAUAUUUUUUGUGUUUCUUGUUUGAGUCAUGUGUCAUGUUAUAAGUUUGGUGUCAAUUGCAUGUGCAUCUUGCAUUUUUCGAAAAUUUCAUACAUUCAUAGGGUUCUUCAUGAUCUUCAAGUUGUUCUUGGUAAGUCUUCUUGUUUGAUCUUUGCAUUUGCAUGUUUUGUGUCUUUUUUUGUUUUUCAUAUGCAUUCUUGAAUUCUUAGUGUCUAAGCAUUAAAGAAUUCUAAGUUUGGUGUCUUGCAUGUUUUCCUUGCGUUAAAAAUUUUUCAAAAAUAUGUUCUUGGUGUUCAUCUUGACAUUCAAGGUGUUCUUGGUGUUCAUCUUGACAUUCAUAGCAUUCUUGCAUUCAUCACAUGUUUUGAUCUAAAAUUCUCAUGCAUUGCAUCAUUUUCAUGUUUUUCUCUCUCAUCAUAAAAAAAAUUCAAAAAUCAAAAAAAUAUCCUUCCCUUUUUCUCUCUUAAAAUUUCAAAAAUUAGAUUUGACUUUUUCAAAAAAUUUUUAAAAAUCUAGUUGUUUUUAUGAGUCAAAUCAAAUUUUCAAUUUAAAAAUCUCAUCUUUUUCAAAAAUCAAAUCUUUUUCAUUUUUCUUAGUUAUUUUCAAAAAUUUUAAAAAUAUUUUUCAAAAAUCUUUUUCUUAUCUUUAUCUCUUAAUUUUCGAAAAUAACAUCACCAAUUAAUGUUUUGAUUCAAAAAUUUCAAGUUUGUUACUUGCUUGUUAAGAAAGAUUCAAACUUUAAGUUCUAGAAUCAUAUCUUGUGAUUUCUUGUGAAUCAAGUCAUUAAUUGUGAUUUUAAAAAUCAAAUCUUUUUCAAAAACUAAUUUCAAUCAUAUCUUUUCAAAAAUAUCUUUUUCAAAAAUUUGAUUUCAAAAUAUCUUUUCUAACUUCCUAACUUCUUAUCUUUUCAAAAUUUGUUUCAACUAACUAACUAACUUUUUGUUUGUUUCCUAUCUUUUUCAAAACUACCUAACUAACUCUCUCUCUCUCUAAUUUUCGAAAAUCCCUUCCCUCUUUUUCAAAAUUUCUUUUUAAUUAACUAAUUAAUUUUUUAUUUUAAUUUUUGAAAAUCACUAACCCUUUUUCAAAAAUUAUUUUCGAAAAUCCUUCACUCUCAUCUCCUUCUAAUUAUUUAUUCAACUACUAACAUCUCCUCAUCUCAAAUCACUGCUCCUGUCCUUACCUUUGUGUUUGGAUUCUCCAUUCUUCUUCACCCCUAUUCCUUUUCUUCUUCUACUAACAACAAGGAACCUCUUUACUGUGACAUAGAGGAUUCCUCUUUCUUUCUUGUUCUCUUCUCUUUCUUAUGAGUAGGAACAAAGAAAAAGGCAUUCUUGUUGAAGCUGAUCCAGAACCUGAAAGGACUCUGAAGAGAAAAUUAAGAGAAGCUAAAUUACAACAAUCCAGAGACAACCUUAUUGAAAAUUUCGAACAAGUAAAGGAGAUGGCAGCCGAACCCAACAACAAUAAUGCAAGGAGAAUGCUUGGUGACUUUGCUGCACCUAAUUCCAAUUUACAUGGAAGAAGCAUCUCCAUUCCUACUGUGAUACUGUUAAGACUAAUAGAGUAGAUCCUGAAGUCUACAGGCUCAUGCUUUUCCCUUUUGCUGUAAGAGACAGAGCUAGAGUGUGGUUGGAUUCUCAACCCAGAGAUAGCCUGAACUCUUGGGACAAGCUGGUCACGGCUUUCUUAGCCAAGUUCUUUCCUCCUCAAAAGCUGAGCAAGCUUAGAGUGGAUGUUCAAACCUUCAGACAGAAAGAAGGUGAAUCCCUCUAUGAAGCUUGGGAAAGAUACAAGCAGCUGACCAAAAAGUGUCCUUCUGACAUGCUUUCAGAAUGGACCAUCCUGGAUUUAUUCUAUGAUGGUUUAUCUGAGCUAUCAAAGAUGUUAUUGGAUACUUCUGCAGGUGGAUCCAUUCACCUAAAGAAAACGCCUGCAGAAGCUCAAGAACUCAUUGACAUGGUUGCUAAUAACCAGUUCAUGUACACUUCUGAAAGGAAUCUUGUGAGUAAUGGGACGACUAUGAAGAAGGGAGUUCUUGAAAUUGAUACUCUAAAUGCCAUAUUGGCUCAGAACAAAAUAUUGACUCAGCAAGUCAAUAUGAUUUCUUAGAGUCUGAAUGGAUUGCAAGCUGCACCCAACAGUACUCAAGAGGCAUCUUCUGAAGAAGAAACUUAUGAUCCUAAGAACCCUGUAAUAGCAGAGGUGAAUUACUUAGGUAAACCUUAUGGAAACACCUAAAACUCAUCAUGGAGAAAUCAUCCAAAUUUCUCAUGGAAGGAUCAAAAGCCUCAACAAGGCUUUAAUAAUGGUGGAAGAAAUAGAUUUAACAAUAGUAAACCUUUUCCAUCAUCCGCUCAGCAACAGACAGAGAAUUCUGAGCAGAAUCCAUCUAGCUUAGCAAAUUUAGUCUCUGAUCUAUCUAAGGCAACUAUGAGUUUCAUAAAUGAAACAAGGUCUUCCAUUAGAAAUUUGGAAGCACAAGUGGGCCAGCUGAGUAAAAGGAUCACUGAAAUCCCUCCUAGUACUCUCCCAAGCAAUACAGAAGAGAAUCUAAAAGGAGAGUGCAAGGCCAUUGACAUAACCAAAAUGGCCAAACCCAAAGAGGGAGAGGAGGACGUGAAUCCCAAGGAGGAAGACCUCCUGGGACAUCCAGUGAUCAAUAAGGAGUUUCCCUCUGAGGAACCAAAGGAAUCUGAGACUCAUCUAGAGACCAUAGAGAUUCCAUUGAACCUCCUUACACCAUUCAUGAACUCUGAAGAAUAUUUUUCUUCUGAAGAGAAUGAGGAUGUUACUGAAGAGCAAGCUGCCAAGUUCCUUGGUGCAAUCAUGAAGCUAAAUGCCAAAUUAUUUGGUAUUGAGACUUGGGAAGAUGAACCUCCCUUGUUCACCAAUGAACUAAGUGAUCUGGAUCAACUGACAUUGCCUCAGAAAAGACAGGAUCCUGGAAAGUUCAUAAUACCUUGUACCAUAGGCACAAUGAUCUUUAAGGCUCUGUGUGACCUUGGUUCAGGGAUAAACCUCAUGCCCCUCUCUGUAAUAGAGAAACUGGGAAUCUAUGGGGUGCAAGCUGCUAAAAUCUCAUUAGAGAUGGCAGACAAUUCAAGAAAACAGGCUUAUGGACAAGUAGAGGACGUGUUAGUAAAGGUUGAAGGCCUUUACAUCCCUACUGAUUUCAUAGUCCUAGACACUGGAAAGGAAGAGGAUGAAUCCAUCAUCCUAGGAAGGCCUUUCCUAGCCACAGCAAGAGCUGUGAUUGAUGUGGACAGAAGAGAAUUGAUCCUUCAAUUAAAUAAGGACAACCUUGUGUUUACAACUCAAGGAUCUCACUCUGCAUCCAUGGAGAGGAAGCAGAAAAAGCUUCUCUCAAAACAGAGUCAACCAAAGCCCCCACAGUCAAACUCUAAGUUUGGUGUUGGGAGGCCAUAACCAAACUCUAAGUUUGGUGUUGGGAGGUCUCAACAAAGCUCUGCACAUCUGUGAGGCUCCAUGAGAGCCCACUGUCAAGCUAUUGACAUUAAAAAAGCGCUUGUUGGGAGGCAACUCAAUGUUUAUUUAUCUAAUUUUAUUUUUGUUUUUCAUGUUUUCUUAGGUUUAUGAUCAUGUGGAGUCACAAUAUAAACGAAAAAUUUAGAAACAGAAUCAAAAACAGCGGAAGAAAAAUCACACCCUGGAGGAAGCACCUGUCUGGCGUUCAACGCCAGAACAGAGCAUAGUUCUGGCGCUGAACGCCCAAAAUGGGCAGUGUCUGGGCGCUGAACGCCCAAAAUGGGCAGCAUCUGGGCGCUGAACGCCAGAAUUGUACCCUAGAGAAGAGCUGGCACUGAACGCCCAGAACAAGCAUGGUUCUGGCGUUCAACGCCAGAAAUGGGCAACAGAUGGGCAUUGAACGCCCAAAAUGGGCACCAACCUGGCGCUGAACGCCCAGAGUUGUGUGCAAGGGCAUUUUGCAUGCCCAAUGGGUGCAGGGAUGUAAAUCCUUGAUACCUCAGGAUCUGUGGACCUCACAGGAUCCCUACCCACCUCACCCUCUCUUUAUCCAUUCAUGAUCACCCCUUCUGUUUUCCAUUUACCACUCACAUCCAUCCACACAUCCCUCCAUCUCCUCCAUAUCUUCUUCUUCUUCUUCUUCUUCUUCUUCUUCUUCUUCUUCUUCUAUUCUUUCUUCUUUUGCUCGAGGGCGAGCAACCUUCUAAGUUUGGUGGGGUAAAAGCAUAGCUUUUUGUUUUUCCAUAACCAUUAAUGGCACCUAAGACCGGAGAAUCCUCUAGAAAAGAGAAAGGGAAGACAAAAGCUUCCACCUCCGAGUCAUGGGAGAUGGAAAGAUUCAUCUCACAAGCCCAUCACUAAGAAAAAGAUGGAGCAAACAAGAGAGCACAUUCAUGGAUCUCAACAGGCACAUGAAGAAGCUCAUCAGCAAGAAAUCCCUGAGAUACCUCAAGGGAUGUAAUUUCCUCCACAGAAUUUUUGGGAGCAAAUCAACAACUCCCUAGGAGAAUUAAGUUCCAAUAUGGGACACUCAAGGGUGGAAUAUCAAGAGCACUCCAUCAUCCUUCAUGAAAUUAGAGAAGAUCAAAAAGCAAUGAAGGAGGAGCAACAAAGACAAGGAAGAAACAUAGAAGAGCUCAAGGACAUCAUUGGUUCCUCAAGAAGGAAACGCCACCAUCACUAAGGUGGACUCAUUCCUUGUUCUUACUUUCUCUAUUUUCGUUUUCUAUGUUAAGUGCUUAUCUAUGUUUGUGUCUUCAUUACAUGAUCAUUUGUAGUUAGUAAUUAUGUCUUAAAGUUAUGAAUGUCCUAUGAAUCCAUCACCUCUCUUAAAUGAAAAAUGUUUUAAUUCAAAAGAACAAGAAGUACAUGAGUUUUGAAUUUAUCCUUGAACUUAGCUAAAUUAUAUUGAUGUGGUGACAAUGCUUCUUAUUUUCUGAAUGAAUGCUUGAACAGUGCAUAUGUCUUUUGAAGUUGUUGUUUAAGAAUGUUAAAUAUGUUGGCUCUUGAAAGAAUGAUGACUAGGAGACAUGUUAUUUGAUAAUCUGAAAAAUCAUAAAAAUGAUUCUUGAAGCAAGAAAAAGCAGCAAAGAACAAAGCUUGCAGAAAAAAAAAGAAAAAAAAAUAGGCGAAAAAAAAAUUAGAAAGAAAAAGAAAAAAGCAAGCAGAAAAAGCCAAAAGCUCUUAAAACCAAGAGGCAAGAGCAAAAAGCCAAUAACCCUUAAAACCAAAAGGCAAGGGUAAAUAAAAAGGAUCCCAAGGCUUUGAGCAUCAGUAGAUAGGAGGGCCUAACGGAAUAAAAUCCUUGUCUAAGCGGCUAAACCAAGCUGUCCCUAACCAUGUGCUUGUGGCGUGUAGGUGUCAAGUGAAAACUUGAGACUGAGCGGUUAAAGUCAAGGUUUAAAGCAAAAAAAAGAGUGUGCUUAAGAACCCUAGACACCUCUAAUUGGGGACUUUAGCAAUAUUUCUGGACUUUACUAUGAGUUUGUGUGUUUUUCUAUGAUUUCAGGUAUUUUCUGACUGAAAUUGAGGGAGUUGAGCAAAAAUCAGAUUCAGAGGUUGAAGAAGGACUGCUGAUGCUGUUGGAUUCUGACCUCCCUGCAUUCAAAAUGGAUUUUCGGGAGCUACAGAACUCAAAAUAGCGCGCUUCAAAUUGCGUUGGAAAGUAGACAUCUAGGGAUUUCCAGCAAUAUAUAAUAGUCUAUACUUUGCCCAAGUUUAGAUGACGCAAACUGGCAUUCAACGCCAGUUCUCUGCCCAAUUCUGGCGUCCAGCGCCAGAAACAAGCUGCAAAGUGGAGUUCAACGCCCAAACUGGCACAAAAGCUGGCGUUCAACUCCAAGAAUGACCUCUGCACGUGUAACAUUCAAGCUCAGCCCAGUUGAAUGAGUAUCUCUUAGAUCUCUUAAUUAGAAUCUUCGUGGUAUAAGCUAGAUUGAUGGCGGCAUUCAUGAGAGUCCGGAAAGUCUAAACCUUGUCCGUGGUAUUUCGAGUAGGACUCUGGGAUUGGAUGACUGUGACGAACUUCAAACUCGCGAGUACUGGGCGUAGUGAUAGACGCAAAAGGAUAGUAAAUCCUAUUCCAGUAUGAUCGAGAACCUCCAAGAUGAUUAGCCAUGCAGUGACAGCGCAUCAGACCAUUUUCACAGAGAGGAAUAGGAUGCAACCAACGACAAGGGUGAUGCCUCCAGACGAUUAGCCGUGCUGUGACAGAGCAUUUGGACCAUUUUCCCGAGAGAGAUCGAAAGUAGCCAUUGGCACCGGUGACAUCCUUACAUAAAGCCAGCCAUAGAAAGGAGUGAGACUGAUUGGAUGAAGGCAGCAGGAAAGCAGAGGUUCAGAAGAACGAAAAGCAUCUCCAUACGCUUAUCUGAAAUUCUCACCAAUGAUUUACAUAAGUACCUCUAUCCCUAUUCUAUUAUUUAUUUUCGAAAACCCCAUUACUAUUUUAUAUCCGCCUGACUGAGAUUUACAAGGUGACCAUAGCUUGCUUCAUACCAACAAUCUCCGUGGGAUUCGACCCUUACUCACGUAAGGUAUUACUUGGACGACCCAAUGCACUUGCUGGUUAGUUGUAUCGAAGUUGUGACAAAUCAUGAAUUAAGAUUAGAGCACCAAGUCUUUGGAGCCAUUACCAGAGAUCACAAUUUCGUGCACCAGCUUGUCUGAGUCAUUUUGGGGCAUCUCUAGGAUAUAAAAAUCAGUGGGGAAUGUGAGCCCCUUAAUGCCCACUAAUACAUCUUCAGCAACUCCAACCACUGUAAUAAUGCUUUUAUCUGCUAACACAAAACGAGCUUUCGACCUUUUUAAGGGAGGGAGCCUCAAAAUAUCAUAUAUAGACAAAGGCAUUAUACUCACACAUGCUCCUAAAUCACACAUGCAGUCAGAAAUUAUCACACCACCAAUAGUACAAUUAACCAUACAAGGACCUGGGUCACUACACUUUUUAGGUAAACCUCCCAUUAAAGCAGAUAUGGAACUACCUAAAGGAAUAGUUUCUAAUUCAUUAAUUUUGUCUUUAUGUAUACAUAAAUCUUUUAGAAACUUUGCAUAUUUUGGUACCUGUUGAAUAACAUCAAAUAGAGGAACAGUUACCUCAAUCUUUUUGAAUAUCUCUACCAUUUUUGGAUCAGGUUCCAGCUGCUUCCUGGGUUUCCUUGCAAGUUGUGGAAAUGGAAUAGGAGUGGUGUCUUCUGCAGUGUCUGCGCCUUUUGAUGCUUCCUCCUGUGGUUGAACUUCUUCUUUUUCAGCUAUGUCCUGUAUGUCUUCUUCCUCUUCAACAUCUUCUAUUUCCACUACCUCUUCAACUGAGGUGUGUUCUGGUGGGCUUGGCUCCUCAUAGUUCCUCUCCUGCAGUGUGGUUCCGGACCUUAGGGUGAUGGCAUUAAUGCUACCCUUGGGAUUAGGUAAUGGUUGAGAGGAAAUUUCACUGGAGCUCAAAGGCUGGUUAUUGGAGUUAUUCAUUGAUCCAAUCUGUGAGACAAGAGCUUGCAAAGUAGCGUUCAGACCAUUUAGAGUGGCAUUAAUGUUAUUUUCCAUGGUCUGUUGUCUUCGAUCAAUAGAUUGUAACAAGUCAUCAUUAGUAGAUGAAGAAGGAUAAGUAUUUUAAGAGGUCUGCUGUUGGGUAUUCUGUGGUCCUUGGGAUUGCCUCAGGUGAGGUGCUCUGUAAGGCUGGUACUUGUUCUGCUGCCUGUUGUUGUUAUUAUUCCACCUCUGAUUUUCCUGAUUGUCUCUACCUCCUCUUUUGUUGUUGUCCCUCCAAUUCUGGUUAGAAUUGUCCUACCAUCCAUGGUUGUAAUUGCCACCUUGAUUGUACCCUUGGUUGGGGCGGUGAUAAACCCAUAUUUCAUGAGUUCUUUUGUGCUUAAUUUGAGUGAUUUAUACAAUCCCUCACCUACUUAUUCACAUUAAUUGCAUGGUUUUACUUUCCCUUCCUCAUUAUGUGAUGUAAAUGAAAAACAUGUUUCCUAAGCUUUAAAAUCAAUUAAUUUAAUUGUCUUUAUUUCCAUUCGAUGCCGUGAUUAGUGUGUUGAGUAGUUUCAGAUUUCCUAAGGCAGAAUGACUUAAAGGAUGGAAAAGGAAACAUACAAAAAUGGAAGGAGAAAGCAAAACGGAGCUUUAAGGAAACUGGUAUCCACGCGAUCGCAUGGAUGACGCGAUCGCGUGCCAAGCACGAAUCAGCAGCGACGCGGCCGCAUGACUGACGCGACCGCCCGCCUUAAGUAGAACGCACAUGACGCGGUCGCAUGACUGACGCGACCGCGUUGCAAGGAAAAGCUCCAAAUGACGCGACCGCGUGACCCACGCGGACGCGUGACAGAGGCCACGCACCAGAAAUUACAGAAUACGCCCCCAACGAAUUCUGAAGCCCUUUUUGGCCCAGAUCCAAGUAUAGACAGCAUAGACCAGAGAUUAUAAAGUGUGGAAAUGCAUCCAUUCAAAGAGAGCUCGCAUAUUUUUAGUUUUCAAUGAUUUAGAUUUAGUUGAGAGGGAGAUCUUCUCUCUCUCUCUUUCUUAGGAUUUAGGAUUUCUUCUUGUUUUAAGAGUGACUCUCAAUCCAGGUUUUAUAUUUCUUUGUUUUAAACUUCCCUUUCACUUUAUUUAUUUAUUUCAGUAUCUGAGUUGGCUAUUUACCUUUAUAAUUGAAUUUAUGAAUUUCUCCCAUGUUACAAACUGUUAUUGGAAUUAAUGAUAAUUGAGGUAUUUUCAGUUUAUGAUUGUUCUCUUUGAUUUAAGUUACCAUUGCUUCCCAUCCAAGGAUAUUUUUAUUAUUCCAGCAAUUUUACUUUUUCCCCUUUUGGUCCUGGUUAAGAAUUCAGUAACUCAACAGUUAUUAAACUCAACAUAACUGAUAAUCGUUAUCUUGCUAAUUGAACUGAACUUAAGUAAUCCCAACCUUUUCUUAGGAAAUAAAUAGGAUUCAAAAGGUCAAUUUAAUUAGUCCCCUGACUUUCCUUUGCCCCAGUAAAGGUUGACCAAGUGGAUUUUAGAUUCAACUUUCAUUAUAGUUGAGAGACUUACAGUAGGAAUGUGCAUCAAGGUCAGACCAAUCAAGGAUGGAUGGAACCAAGAGGAUCUAAUCAACCCUUUUGGCAGCAACACCCUCCGAGAUAUCCUGGACAAAGACCAUUUUACAGUGCAUACCCAGCUGAAAGACAUGGUGGACAACCUUGUAACUACCAACAAGCCCCACCCUGUGCAUAUAAACCAUCCUUUCAACAUAACCUCGAACCACCACACUCACAAGCUUCUCUUCACCAUUCGCCACCAUAUGAUCCUUCCUUACCCCAAUACCAGUCCAAUCGUUCCCAAUCACCACCACUUUCCUUUGUAUCAUGUCCAAGUCCAGUAACCCGAGAAGCAGAGGAUCGCCUAAAGGAAACAGUAAGAAAAUUUCACACAACCAUUCAACAACUGGAGCAAGUGAUAAUUCAAUGGGCUUCUAGGCGCUUAAAUACACAAGGAUCAGCCACAGCUCCAUGUGGACAGCCCAAUGAAGAGCGUAGCAUGAAGGAGAUACCAGAAACUCCAGUGGACAAGACAGAGCAUGAAUUUGUACUAGAACAAUUAGAAGAAGUUGUCUUUGUUCAAGAAGAAGAGUUGGUUGAAGACCUAGGAGAUGCUGAACUUCCAUGGGAAUCCAGAAUUGAGGAAAACUCCGUCCAGGAUGCUACAAUUGAUGCUAAGGAGGAUAUUUCUCCAAGGCAAGUCAUUUAUGAAGAAUCAAACGGAAUAAUUCAAGAAGCAAAUUCCCUUAAUAAUGAUAGUCACAAGUCUAGCUCUCUUGGUGAUGAACUUGCAUCCGCAAGUGAAUUCUCUGAGAUCGAAGAAUCUUCCCCAAGUGAAUAUGAAGAUGAUGCAGAGGUAGAUUUUUCUCAACCUCCAAUCUAUGACUCAAGUGAUGAGGAAGACACAGAAGACUUUGACCAGGACACAGAUACAAUUGAAGAUCUUUGCAAAGAAGUGGAGGAAUUCACAGAAGAGCACAAGGAAACGGAACUUGCAGAACCACCAAAAACACCUAUCCCAAGGCCAUUACUAGCUAAUACAAGGUUCAAGUGGGUACAAUCCUUAACUUAUAGCGUUACUUAUUCACUUGAAUAGUGUUUGCUUGAAACAGAUGGCCAGCUUAGAGCUCUCUGCGGCUUUAAGAGUAAGAGGGAAAUGGCUCGUACUCAGAGCUGGUGCACAAGGUUCAAUAAGGUUCCACGCUUCACCUCGAAGUACACGGAUUGGUAUCAUGCUAAAUUGCAUGGAUCACGGAGAACGUUUGGUCACCACGGUGAGAUUCUACUUUUUAAACCGCCCGGAUGGAAACAUGUAGAUCAAGACGGAGGCGGAUUUAAAAGCAAGGCUUGGAAUCCUGGACUCUAUCCUGACAUUCGUAGUCCCGGGAGCCUGAAAAUCUGUUUGGAGCUGCUCAGAAGCUUUGCAUGCUUGGUUUGGGACCCCGGAGCCCAUUGGCAUUCCAAGCACUGGUGGAGAUUUUUAGACGAAUUUAAACAUAAGCCACCAUAACAGGAUACUCCUCCAAUGUUCAACUUAAGGACUUUAACUAAAAGUGCUAGGUGGGAGACAACCCACCAUGGUAUGGUCGCUUCUUUUUCAAUUUAUUUCUUGUUAAUUGCUUUCAUUUUUCCUUUUUCAUUUUAAUUUAUUAAACCUGGAAUCAUGCAUAGCAUUCAUGUUAAUCAUUGCAUUCUGCAUUUUUCAUGCAUAAAAAAAAAGGGUGCACGACGCGACCGCAUCCCCCAUGCGAUCGCGUCAUACUGUGAAAAACACCACCCGCGCGACCGCGUGACCCACGCGGUCGCGUGAUAUAUAUAUCGGCGUAAGAAUCCAACGAACAGAAAGUUAGGCUGGAAUCAUGCGGCCCUUGUGCGUUUUGCACAAAUUGGCCCACGCGGUCGUAUGCCCCAUGCGAUCGCGUCACUUACACAAUAUCAAUCCCACGCGACCGCGUGAGCGACGCGAUCGCGUCGCAUGGAUUGCACAUCACCCCAAAAAUAGACAGAGAGUUGCGCUAAAACGGCGCUGGAGUCGUGCAUUUAGCACAAAUUCCAGCGACGCGAUCGCGUCACCCCUCUUUCCCCCCUCUCAUGCGAUCACGCGCUCCACGCGAUCGCGUCACUCCCAUUUUCAUCCCAACCACGCGACCGCGUGCCCCACGCGGCCGCGUGGAUUCGAAAAUAUACUGUAAUUUUUUCCGUUUCUGCUCAUAAUUAGGAUAGAUAGAUAUGCAUGUUGUAGUGGAAUUUUUAGGUUGUUAGGUAGCUUAGGCUGUGGUUAGUGGAUCUAGGUCUGUUUACUUGCACUGUUCCUGUUUAUGUUUUAAUCAUUACUGCAAUUCUGCUGUUCCUGUGACCUCGUUCAUAUGCUGUGAUUUCUCGCAAUUGCUGCUUGUUACUCUAAAUUUUCCUGUUUCUAUUCAUUACUGGUAACUGUAGCAAGUUUUUAAUUCAUAUGAACUGCUAUGAUUGCUAUUUAUUUUUCGGGACAAUCCAAUUUUAGCCGGAAUGCUGCCCAAAUUUUUUAAAAUUGUUUUCAUUCAUGUUUUGGUUUGGCAUUUCUGAACUUUGUUUUGCUCUGCUUUACCUAAACCAUUUCAUGAAUGCUAUGGCAGACUUCCUUAUCCUCUUUGAAUUCCUGGUUCAUAAACUACAUUUGUGAUUCACUGAUUCCAAUUUUUGCUUUCUUUAUUUUUAUUCGAAUCAGCAUCACCCUGUUUUCCUUGUUCGAUUAUGAGUACUUCUAUUCUUACCUGUGAAUCCUUGUUAUAUGGAAUUUUUCUAUGCCACUUACUUUAACCCGCACUUUACUAACCCACUAAUUUUAAUUUACUAAUUUCUUUUUCAAAAUCUAACCAUACUAACCCUUUUGAUCUCUUUUCUGAUUAUUUUCACUUUCCUCUAACUUUCUAACCAUGGCAUAUUGAUUAUUUUUUCCAUUUAACAUAAAUUCAAUCACCUUUCAUUUACUCAUUUUCCUUAUUCUAUUUCACCUUUGCCGCUUUGAGUUUCCUUUGUUUAAUUGCCUAUUUGCUUUCCUAUUUUUACCAUAUCCUGGUUUUCUGUUUUUCAGGAUGUCUGCCUCACAAAGGAAAGGAAAAGGCAAGGCUACUGGCAAGGGCAAGAGAGGAGAUUCCUCCCAGUCCAUCAUUGCUCUAAUGCACGAUUCUUCAUGGCGGGAGAAGAACUUCACACAGCAGGAGAAAGCUGACCAGCUGCUCCCUGUGAAUGAUCCUAUAAAAUUUGCAAAUCGGUACUAUGAACUGAAGUACCCGGCUUUUGCAAACUCCAGAAAUUUAUACCUGGAAUGAACUCUGAAGAUUCCAGCAGCCCUCCAGUAGUACACCACUGAGCAAAUCAAGCAAAGGGGCGGGUUCUUUCUGGAGAGAACACUGACAGAGGUCAACGCAUCUUGGGUCCGGGAAUUCUACUGCAACUACUACCUCACCAUCCUAGAUGCAGUGACCCUGAGAGGAAAACAAAUUCUGGUCACCGAAGAGGCCUUAGAGGACAUUCUCCGGCCCCCAGCCAAGUCCGAUCAGCCUGAUGGUUAUUCAAAGGCUGAGGAGGACAUGCGUCAGAUGCAGUUUGAUUGGGAUGCCGUGAAGGCACGGAUAGCUCUCGACCCGACAGUUCCUUGGGAGAUGGGUCAGGCCCCCUCCUUUGGUGGGUGCUGGAGGGUAAGGACCUUUAUCUGCCACAUUUCAUUCGGCACUAUAUGGCCAGGGUCCACGUCCGAGGCACCCUCCCUUUUCCGUAUCUGGUUACACAGCUUGGCCGUCGAGCUGACGUGCCAUGGGAGGAUGCCGACGAGAGACCACCAGCGGCGGAUUACAGGAAGAUUAUUCCGCACAGCCGGAAUUUCUUAGCCCUGGGCCACAGACCACCACCAUUAACUGCUACUGAUGAGACAGCCCCACAGUCUGCUGGACCCUCUUCCUCCACUGCUGCACCACCUACCACUGCACCUCCACCUGCCACAGAGCCCAUCUAUCAUCUGGUGCACCGCUUGUUUCGACGACUUGACCAGAUGGAGCGUCGCAACAAGCGGCGCUAUGAGCACCUAAAGCUGAUGAUACAAUCCGGUGACAUCCCCUCCGAGCCUGACACACCAUCCGAGGCAUCUGAGGAGGAGGCGGAUGCGCCCGAGGCAGAGACUCAUCCCCAGGAGGCAGCACCAGCCGCACCACAGGCAGCGGUCCCACAUCAGAUUGAGGCUGCAGACCUUGAGAUCCCGAUCCAGUCAGCACCGCCUCCACAGCAGCCAGACCCUCAGCCCACCACCACUGAGACUCCAACUACCAUCCCUCCCAGUGAUGACACUCCUUCACACCCGGCUUGAUUGAGCAUUAGGGACGAUGCUUCCUUUUAAGUGUGGGGAGGUCGCCAUCUCUGGCGUUUAUUUCGGUGAACCACUACAUACUUUUUUCUUUUAUUUUGGAUAUUUUUUCUGUAUUUUUUUUACUGUUAUUUUCUGAGUACUUAUACAUUGCUUUUAUGUAUUUUUACUCUAUUUUCUGCAUUUUGCAUCUUUAGUUCAUAUUUUAGCCAUUUAGUUUAUCUUAGUUAUUAGUUUAGUUUGCAAUUCUGAUUUAUUAAUGGAUUAAUUAGUAUAGUUUACCCUUUUUAGCAUAAGAUAGUAUAGUUUAAAUUGAAAAAUCUAAAAAGGAGGUAAACUAGGAAAUUGAACAUAUCAGAUUUAAAUCCACAAACCUUAUAUAUAGCAUUACAUGAUGUAGUUAAGCUGACAACAUUUCAUCAAGGAAGAACAUUAAAACUUUAAAAGCUACCCUAAAUAAUGUUUUUAUGAGAAUAAUGGGAAUUUUUAACUAAACCUGCAUACAAAAUAUAAAUGAUAUAUGAUGCUUGAGUUAGAGAACACACAGCCUAUGAGUCUUGAGCUUAAUUGUAUGGUUGCAUUCAAACUAUAAUUUCAUUUCUGUGUGUUUCAUUUCUUUUUAUUCUGAUGUUCUUUACUUUGCUUUAAUCUAUAUGUCCAAUUAUAGAGUAUAGAAUAGAUACAUACCAAGAGAAUGAUUGAGGCCAUCAUUUGAUUUUAGCUCACUUACCCCAAAUUAGCCUACCUUCUACAUCAUCCUUGUUAGCCCCCUUGAGCCUUUUAAAACCCCUUUAUUCUAUUUAGCCAAAUUACUAGCCUUAAGCAGAAAAACAAAAGAAAACCCCAAGUGAAUCCUUGGUUAGCUUAAGAUAGAAAAUCAUGAAUAGAGUUAAAUGUGGGAAACCUUUUGGGAACAUUGAUAAAAGAAACAAAAGGUAGAAAAGUUAAAAGAAAUAAAACAAAUUUGGGAAGCAUGCUCAUGAGAAAAUCUAAGUGAUUUAAUUACCAUGUGCAUUAAAAAAAAAGUUAUUUUUCAGCAUUUAAAUAAAAGGGGAUACAAAAGAAAUUCCCCAAUGCAAAAUAAAAACAAUGCACAUGGGAUAAAAAUAAAGAGUGAAACAUGAGCAUGUAACAAUAAGUGGGAUAAUAUGAGAGAAUAGGUAAAGAAGUUUUAUCUUGCUAAAUAUGUAUGUUAGGUGAGAUCUUAGUCUAAUUAAGGAUUCACUUGUUAGCUCACUUAGCCCUAUACAUAAAUCCUUACCUUUACCUUGGCCCCACUACAACCUCAAUUAAAGACCUCAUGACUUUUUGGUAUGACUAUAUUCUAUAAUUGUUGAUUGGUUAGAUGAAGAACAAAGCUAUAGAAAGCAAGAAUAAAAAGAACAAUAGAGUGAAUAAACCCAAUAAACACUGAGUGACUAGAGAGUAAACACAAAAUCCAAUGAGGGUUCUAUAACUCAUCAACAUAUAUAUGUGCUUAUAUUUACUAAUUGUUUUGCAAGUUUGUACAAUGUUUUCUUUCUCAUCUCAUUUGCUAAAAUGCUUUAUUAUUUAAGGGAUAGCUAUAUAUAUAUAUAUAUGACUCCUUGAGAAUGUGAAUUAAUUUGACUAUAUGUAAGCUUUAUAUAUGAGUGGAUAAAUCAGAAUUGCAUGACUCAUUUAGGUAGAUGCAUUUAGAAUAGGUUGCAUUGCAUAACAUUCCACCACUUUAACCUUACCUUAUUCUUUACCUUGGAUUUAGCAUGAGGGAGUUGCAUGAUGCAUCAUCCAUUUAGGUAGUUGCAUUUAAAUUAGGUUGCAUUGCAUGACAUUCCAUCACUUUAACCUUAAUUAUUUACCUUGGAUUUAGCAUGAGGACAUACUAGUGUUUAAGUGUGGGGAGGUUGAUAAACCCAUAUUUCAUGAGUUCUUUUGUGCUUAAUUUGAGUGAUUUAUACAAUCCCUCACCUACUUAUUCACAUUAAUUGCAUGGUUUUACUUUCCCUUCCUCAUUAUGUGAUGUAAAUGAAAAACAUGUUUCCUAAGCUUUAAAAUCAAUUAAUUUAAUUGCCUUUAUUUCCAUUCAAUGCCGUGAUUAGUGUGUUGAGUAGUUUCAGAUUUCCUAAGGCAGAAUGACUUAAAGGAUGGAAAAGGAAACAUACAAAAAUGGAAGGAGAAAUCAAAACGGAGCUUUAAGGAAACUGGUAUCCACGCGAUCGCAUGGAUGACGCGAUCGCGUGCCAAGCACGAAUCAGCAGCGACGCGGCCGCAUGACUGACGCGACCGUGCGCCUUAAGUAGAACGCACAUGAUGCGGUCGCAUGACUGACGCGACCGCGUGGCAAGGAAAAGCUCCAAAUGACGCGACCGCGUGACCCACGCGGACGCGUGACAGAGGCCACACACCAGAAAUUACAGAAUACGCCCCCAGCGAAUUAUGAAGCCCUUUUUGGCCCAGAUCCAAGUACAGACAGCAUAGACCAGAGGUUAUAAAGUGUGGGAAUGCAUCCAUUCAAAGAGAGCUCGCAUAUUUUUAGUUUUCAAUGAUUUAGAUUUAGUUGAGAGGGAGAUCUUCUCUCUCUCUCUCUCUUUCUUAGGAUUUAGGAUUUCUUCUUGUUUUAAGAGUGACUCUCAAUCCAGGUUUUAUAUUUCUUUGUUUUAAACUUCCCUUUCACUUUAUUUAUUUAUUUCAGUAUCUGAGUUGGCUAUUUAUCUUUAUAAUUGAAUUUAUGAAUUUCUCCCAUGUUACAGAUUGUUAUUGGAAUUAAUGAUAAUUGAGGUAUUUUCAGUUUAUAAUUGUUCUCUUUGAUUUAAGUUACCAUUGCUUCCCAUCCAAGGAUAUUUUUAUUAUUCCAGCAAUUUUACUUUUUCCCCUUUUGGUCCUGGUUAAGAAUUCAAUAACUCAACAGUUAUUAAACUCAACAUAACUGAUAAUCGUUAUCUUGCUAAUUGAACUGAACUUAAGUAAUCCCAACCUUUUCUUAGGAAAUAAAUAGGAUUCAAAAGGUCAAUUUAAUUAGUCCCCUAACUUUCCUUUGCCCCAGUAAAGGUUGACCAAGUGGAGUUUAGAUUCAACUUUCAUUAUAGUUGAGAGAGAUAACUAUGUUGGACCUCUAAUUUCUCUUACCUUGCCAAAAGUCUGCUUUACAGUAUUUAUUUAUUUUAAUUGCCAUUUACUUUACUUGUUAUUUAAAUUACUUGCUUCUCAUCUUCUAAACCCCGAUUACAACCUUUAUAGCCAAUAAUAAGAACAUACUUCCUCGCAGUUCCUUGAGAAGAUGACCCGAAGUUUGAAUACUCGGUUAACAAUUUCUAAAGGGGUUUGUUACUUGUGACACCCAAAACGUUUGUACGAAGGGAUUUUUGUCGGUUUAGAGACUAUAUCUACAACACAACUGUUCUAUGAAUCUCUUUACUGGUAAAAAUUCUAACGUCAGGCGGUCAUAGAAGUUAUGAGUGGCUGCCACGGUGUUGUCUUCCUGCUGGAGCUACGAAAAUUCAUCAGUAUAAUGGCUAUAAUCAGCACAGAUUCCGCAAACUCUUUGUGGGACUAACUGUUGGUUUUGCUGUGUUGGAGAAGGUUGAGCUUGCUGAACUUGUUGUUCGUUCAAUUGUAUCUGCUUCAGCAAGUUGGUCAUUUCACAGAUACUCUGAGUUAAAGCAGCAGUCUUUCUGCUAGAGGAUACUUCUGCAACGGCUUUUGCACGGCCUUGGUUUUGCCUGUGAUUCCGAGUAGAUUCAGCUAAGUCGCUGAUCAAUUGUCAUGCCUCAUCAGUGGUCUUGUACUUUUUCAUAGACCCAUUGCUAGCAUUUUCCAAUGUGGUCUUAUCUUGGGGCCUCAUGCCCUGUGUGACGUAACCGAGUAACACUAUCUUGUCAAUCAUAUGGUGGGGGAAACCUUCCAGAAGAUUAUUGAAGUGCUCCCAGUAUUCAUAGAGAGUCUCGGAUUCAUCCUGAAUAAUCAUGGAAAUAUCUUUCCUCAGUUUAGCAGUAACUUCAGCUGGAAAGAAUUUUUCCAAGAAUUUUCUUCUAAGUGUAUCCCAGUUGGAUACAGUUGCUGCGGGUUGAGUGUAGUACCACUCUCUCGCCUUUCCCUCAAGAGAGAACGGGAAGGCUUUUAGCAAAAUAGAAGUUUCAUCCGCACUAUCACGCCUGACAGUAGAACAGGCUGCUUGAAAAUCUCUCAGUUGCUUGAUAGGCUCUUGAGCAGGUAAGCCAUGAAACUUGGGCAUCAAAUUGAGCAGUGCGGUCUUUAUUUCAAAGUCUGUAGCCACCGCUGGGUGAUGCGCUUGAAACGGUUGCAUUGUAAAAUCAGGGGCUCCAGCCUCCUGGAUAGUAACUCUCCUAGGUGCUGCCAUGUCACCUAUACGUAAAUCAACCGAAUCAGUAGAACGGGGGCUGGUUUCUUCCUCAAAUGAUGUUUCAGAUCCGCCCUCUGAGAGGACUAACCGACGCCGAGCUUGCCUUAUUCGUGAAAUAGUUCUUUCAAUCUCAGGAUAGAAUACUGGCAAGCUUGGAUCAAGAAGUGAACGCAUCAUCUAACGAAAGAAACAAGCAGCUCAUAGUAGCAAAAUAAAAUAAAAUGCAAAUAAAUAAAAUCCAAUCAAUAACUUUAGCACUCUAUUGUAACUCCCCGGCAACGGCGCCAAAAAUUGACGUGGCGGAAAUUGGCGAGUUAAGAGUUGUUAUAAGAUAUGCGUUGCAAGUAUAGUUCUUAACCAACUNNNNNNNNNNNNNNNNNNNNNNNNNNNNNNNNNNNNNNNNNNNNNNNNNNNNNNNNNNNNNNNNNNNNNNNNNNNNNNNNNNNNNNNNNNNNNNNNNNNNNNNNNNNNNNNNNNNNNNNNNNNNNNNNNNNNNNNNNNNNNNNNNNNGAAUUAAAGAAAGACAUGAUAAAUAAAACUCAAAGGAAUCAAUUAAAAAUAAAAGUAACUCUUGUAUUAAUAAAUUCUAAAAUAAUCCAAUAGUAAGAUUGAGUAAAUUAAAGGACAUGGAAGAGUAAAGCCAAGUAAAGAAAACGAACUAUAAUGACGAAGUCUUGAUGAGGUAAUAACUCUUCUCAAUAUCCCAAUGCAAAGAACAAUAGAGAUUAAAAUCCUAAGAACUACGAAUGUGUAGAGAGAAAACCUAGAGGAGGAGUAAAACUAGAUCUAAAAACUAAAAAUUGUGUAGAGUGAAUGUUUUUUUCGUUUCUGCAUGUUCUCUAGCUCUAGCCUACUUUUCUGGGCCAAAAACUGGGUCAAAACGGGGCCCAAAAUUGCCCCCAACGAAUUCUACAGAUUAUGCAGAUCGCGCACGUCACGCGAUCGCGUCAUUCAUGCGGACGCGUCAUUCGGCGUUUUGCUUUGCCAUGCGGGCGCGUCGUCCACGCCUCCGCGUCAUUUGUGCUAUUCCAAUCUGCACGGUCGCGUGAGCCAUGCGGCCGCCUCACUGCGAUUUUCUCUCUUUCGCGCGGUCGCGUGAGCCAUGCGGCCGCGUCACUUCUCGCUGGUCAUCUCCUCAAUUUCUUGUGUUCCUUCCAUUUUUUGCAAGCUUCCUUUCCAAUCUCCAAUUCAUUCAUGCCCUAUAAAGCCUGAAACACUUAACACACAGAUCACGGCAUCGAAUGGAAUAAAGGAGAAUUAAAAUGCGUAAUUAAAAGUCUCUAGGAAGCAGGUUUUUAAUCAUGUAAUAAUUUUAGGAAGGAAAUAUAAAUGCAUGCUAAUCAUAUGAAUAAGUGGGUAAAAAUCAUGAUAAAACCACACAAUUAAACACAUUAUAAACCAUAAAAUAGUGGUUUAUCACCAUCCUCUGUCCAAAGGAGGACACUUUGAUGCACAGUAGAUGGUACAACUCCAACUCCAUGAAUCCAAUCUCGACCCAGAAAAGCAUUGUAACUUGCUUUUGAUGGCACCACCACAAACACAGUAUUCCGUUCAGAUGACCCCAAUUUUGCUCCCAAAGUAACCAGACCUUUUGCAGGAGUAGAAGAGCCACUAAAGUCUGUUACAGCAAUAUUGGUGGGGACCAAGUCAUCAGGAUGCUUACCAACCUUCAUCAGCUUAUAAUCUGGUAAGAGACUUAUUGCUGCUCCACCAUCAAUCAAAACUUUAUUCACCAUAAUCCCACUCAAAGUGGUAGUAAUAUGAAGUGGGUGAAGAUGAGACUUUUGCUUCUCAGUAGGCCGCAAGAAAUAUCCUAGUUCAUCCUCAUAUCGGAUGAAAGAAAAAGCCUCUUCAGCAUCCAUGUCAUAGUCCUCUUCUGGAUCCCCUUCAUACUUACCUAAAUACUCAGUUAGAAUAAUCGAAAUAGUUCCAACCAUUUCAUCAUCUCCUUCCUCGAAAUAUUUUUCAUCGAAAUCGGCCUCUUUGCCUUUAUCACCCCUGGAGUAUGAACUAUUUCCUUGCCCUUCUCCAAUUUUGUAGGGGAAGGAAUACUCUUCGGGCAUGUUUCCCCAUCAGAGGAAAAAACUAUUCGGGAGUGCACCGAAGGUGUUGCCCCCUUGCCUUUGUCAACCUGAGGCUUCUUAUUUUGCGGUAAAAUUGACGGUCGAAUUUCUGUUUAGUAAAGAAAUUUUAUAAAAUUAAUUGCGUUGUAAGUAUAGUUUCUAAACCAACAGAGAAUCCUUUCGUACAAAAGUUUGGUUGUCACAAGUAACAAAACCCAAUAAAAUUGAUAACCGAAGUAUUGAAACCUCGGGUCGUCUUCUCAAGGAAUUGCAAGGAGGUAUGAUUUAUUAUUGGUUAUGGAAAAUUGUAUAUUUUUGGGUUUUUGAAAUAGGGAACAAGUAAUUUAAAUAACAAGAAAAAUAAAUUAAUAAUUAAUAAAAUCUCUUGGCAAGGUAUGAAAAAUUGAAGUCAUAUCCUAGUUAUCCUUAUCAGAUGUGAUGAGAAUUGGAUUCUGCUCUCACUUUAAUUAACCCUUGCUACUCAAAAGAGAGUCAAGUGGACUAAUUAAUUUGAUCCUCAAGUCCUAGUCAACUUCUAUGGAAAGACUAGAGUUAUUGGAGUACAAAUUAACCAGCAAAGAAUUCCAAUUUCAAUCAACAGCUGAGUUUGAUAACUCAAGUGUCUCCAAUUACUUAACCAAAGUAAAAAGAGAGAAAAUCUACUUGAAUAAAAAUGCCUUCAGAUGGGAAGCAACAGUAACAUAAAUAAAAGAAAGAAAUCUUAAAUCUGAAAUACCUCAAAUUAUAUUAAAUAAAAGAAAUCAAAUCUAACAUGGGAAUUCAUAAAUUAAAUUGGAAAAAUAAAUAAAAGGGACAUUGAACCUGUAAUUGAAGAGAAGUAUCUUAAACAUAAUAGAAAUCCUAAAUCCUAAUCCUAAGAGAGAUGAGAGAAUCUCUCUCUCUAAAACUACAUCUAAUCCUAAAAUUGUGUAUAUUAGAGCUUGAUUGAUGAAUGAAUGGAUUCCUCCACUUUAUAGCCUCUAAUCUGUGUUUUUUGAGCCGAAAACUGGGCCAGAAAUAGCUCAGAAAUCGCUGGGGGCAAAAUCUGCCAUGCUGAUUUUCGUCACUGCGACGCGUCUGCGUGGAGCACGCGUUUGCGUCACCUAUAUGUAUGGCCACUAUGACAAAUUAUAUAUCAAAUCCAAGCCCCGGACGUUAGCUUUCCAACGCAACUAGAACCGUAUCAUUUGGACUUUUGUAGCUCAAGUUAUGAUCGAUUUAGUACGAGAGGGUCAUGCUGACAGCUUUGCAGUUCCUUCAAUUUCUUGUAUUCCUUCCACUUUUGCAUGCUUCCUUUCCAUCCUCUAAGCCAUUUCUGCCCUGUAAUCUCUGAAAUCACUUAACACAUAUAUCAAGGCAUCGAAUGGUAAUAAGAGAGGAUUAAUAUUAGCAAAUAUAAGGCCAAAGAAGCAUGUUUUCAAUUAUAGCACAAAAUCAGGAAGGAAAAUGUAAAAACCAUGCAAUUUAUAUGAAUAAGUGGGCAAGGACUUGAUAAAAACCUCUCAAUUGAGCACAAGAUAAACCAUAAAAUAAUGAUUUAUCAAAACUCCUUAUUCCUUUUCCCCUCGGGUACCCCCUGGCUCGACCGCAUUGAUAAAGAUAUUGGUUUCGAGGAGGCUCUCGAUGUCCCCAUUGUGGAUUUCGCCGAUAAUGAGCGUCUCGAUUCUGGAAUUCUUGACAAUUCCGAAUCUACUAGACACCUAUAGCUUGAGAACGACUCAAUGGUGGAACAGCAUUCUGCUGAGGAGCCCUUGAACUUUCUUCUUCCACUCGUCUAACAGGUUGUCUUUGACGAGCCUACUCCUCCCUAUGAGCCAACUCUUUUUUCAUCCUUUUUUUUUUAAUUUCUGCAGCCUUCGCAUCAAAUACAGCAGUACAUCGAGGACAUAGAGAUACGUCAUGAUCUUUGAUCUUUUGCUGAACUAAGAAAUCCAGUAAACCACCCCCUGCUCGAGGAUAUACUGAUCGAACUUGUGACUCGAAAUCACCUAGAGCCACAUCAAAAACAUAAGACAUACCAACCACACUUACUCCAAAUUGUGGUUCAACAAAACCAGCAUCAGCAUUGAAAGGAUCAACAUCAACUUUCAUUUCUUUCUUCCCAUCAUCGAACUUCAAACGCCCUUCCAUUAUAGCCUCCUGAAUUAAGUCCCUGAAACGACCACAGCUAUUAGUCGAAUGACUGGUUGCUUGGUGAAACUUACAAUAAGGUUUUACUUUCAAAACUUUUACCAAAAGUAAAGUUCUACCCUUUAUGAGUGGAUUUUUGACGGUUUAGAAUUUCACAAAUGAAAUCUCGUUGCAAGUAUAGUUUCUAAACCAAUAAAUAAUCCUUUCAUACAAAAGAUUGUUUGUCACAGGUACAAACCCCUAAUUUUAUAAACCGAAGUAUUUAGACCUCGGGUCGUUCUCCCUAGGAAUUGCAAUAAAGUGUUCUUAUUAUUGGCUAUGAAGUAUGUUUGGGGUUUUCGAGAUAAUAGCCAAGAAGUAUAAAUGGCAAAGGAAAUAAACUAACAACUAACAAAGCUCUUGGCAAGGUAUGAGAAUUGGAAGUCCUAUCCUAGUUAUCCUUCUCAAUUGUGACCACAAUUGUCCAUUGCUCCCACUUAGUUAACCUCUAGCCAUGGAGGAAAGCCAAGUGGAUGAAUUAACUUGAUUCCACAAGUCCUAGCCUAAUCAUAAUGAAAGACUAGCUUUGGUGGCAUUCAAGUUAAUUAGCAACUUCUAAUUAUCAAUCAACAAAGGAAUUAGACAACUCAAGAGUCAUUAAUUACUCUACCUAGGCCAAGAGGGGAAAAAGCUAUACUAAAAUCCAACCUAGCAUUUCAUCAAACACAUGGAAGGCAUAAAAGGAAAGUAAAAUGAAUUAAGCAAUUCAACAAUAAAGGAACAUGAAUCAUAAGUUGCAUUAAAAGAGAAAUAGAAAAAACAAAGUACAUCAACAUAAAAGUAGAGAAUUACAAGAAUUAAAUGCUAAACUAGAGAGAGAAGAUGUAGAAGAAGAAGAAUUAUAAAAGGAAAAGUAAAUCUAAGCAUGAAAUUAACCUAGAUCUAAGAAAUUCUAAUCUAGAUCUAACCUAAUCCUAAUUCUAGAGAGAAGAGAGAGCUUCUCUCUCUAGAAACUAACUUUCUCUCCAAAACUAAACUAAAAACUAAACUAGUGUGUCUAGACUUAAUGUGUGAUCCCUCUUCAUUCCAUGGGUUAAAUAGCAUCAGAAAUGAGUUGGAUUUAGGCCUGAGAAGCCCAGAAAUUGCCCCCAGCGGAUUGCCUUUAAGUGAGUCACGUGCGAGCACCGACGCGUACGCGUAAAUCACGCGUGCGCGUCGCUUGACAAAUUGCUAUCCAGGCGUAUGCGACACGUACGCGUAUGCGUCUCCAUUCAACCUUACAAUCCACGCGUGCGUGUUUGCUGCGCGUGCGCGUCGUUGAUCUCAUCCCAAAUCCUUGCUUUUCCAUGAUUUCUCCACUUUGCAUGCUUUUCUCUCCAUCCCUUUGAUCCAUCCCUAGCCUUAUCAACCUGAAAUCACUAACAAACAUAUCAAGGCAUCUAGUGGAAUCAAAGGUGAGUCAAAAUUGGCAAUUAAGGGCCUAAAAAGCAUGUUUUCACACUCAAGCACAAAUUAGGAGACAAUCACGAAACCAUGCUAUUUAAUUGAAUAAAUGUGGGUAAAAGGUCAUAAAAUCCCUUAAAAUCACUACAAGAUAAACCCUAAAUGGGGUUUAUCAACCUCCCUACACUUAAACCAAGCAUGUCGUCAUGCUAAAACUAAGAGAAAGCAAAGGGUAUCAACAUUUAUUCAAUGUAAACUAACUAGAUGCAAUCUACCUAUAUGCAACUAUCUACAUGAAUGCAAUUGCUUGGCCAAAACAAAUCAACUCCCAAGAAUAUCAAUAUAAGCACAAGGGCUAAAGGUAUUAAUCAACCAAGCCAAACCACAAUUGAAUUGAGUAUUAAAGAUUAAACAAACUUGCAAGAAAAGUGAUGAUGAUUGUAGGUGAAAACAUGUAAUUGAGCAUCAAACCCUCACCGGAAGUGUUUGCACUCUAGUCGCUCAAGUGUUUAGGGUUGAUUCACUCAAUUCUCCCCUAAUCAUACUUUCUAAGAUUUGUUUUUCAUCUAAACAGUUAUUUCAUGCAUACAUACAUAUAUCAUGAGAUCUUUUCAUAGGUUGUAAUGGGGCUAGGGUCAAGGUAGGAUGCAUAUUUGGUCAAGUGGACUUGAAAUUUAAAUCUUUGAUAAGCUUAGACUUCCCACCUAACCUAUAUAGCAACCUAUACAAAUUAAAGCUAACCUAACUACCCAUUCUUCACUUUUUCACAUACUCAUGCAUUUCCUUUUCAUUGAUCACACUCAUAUGCAUUGAUCUUUAUUGAACUUUACUUUGUGGCAUUUUGUCCCCUUUUUAUUUCUUUCUUUUUCCUUUUUUUCUUUCUUUUUUUUCUAUUUUUUUCUUUUUUUUUCCAUAUUAUUUUUCUUUUCUUUUUCUCAUUUUUCAUUUCUUUCCAACUAUAUACAAGAACAUCAAUGCAUAAGGUCUAUACAUUUAAUCAAUACAUGAGCAUGUACCCAAUUCCCAAUAUUUUCAACAAAAAUACAAAACUACCCUUUUACUCAACCAAUGUCCCAAGAUUUCCCACACUUGAAUGACACACACACACUAGCCUAAGCCAAUCAAAGAUCCAAAUAAAUGACAUUUAUUGUUUUUCGCUUAAAGGCUUGUAAUGUGCUAAUAUUAAGAACAAGUGGGUUAAUCGUAGGCUCAAAUUGGCUAUCAAUGGAAGAUAAAAGGUAAGGCUAUUUGGACGAGUGAGCUAAAUGAAAUGAUGGCCUCAAUCAUAUAAAUGCAUGUCUAUACAAAAUAAUGGACAUAAAGAAUCAAACAAAUCAAGGAUUACAAUCAUAGAAAGAGAAUAAUGUACACAAGAAGGGAGAUAAGUGGUUAUAAGAUGUAACCACACUAUUAGGCUCGAAACUCCAAGCUUGUGUUCUUAGCUCAAAAACAUGCUUCACAAAAUAUAUAUGAUUCAAGCAAGUUCCACAAAAAUUUUCUCAAUCAAUUGGGGUGGUGCCCUAUAGAUAACUUGUGGGUUAAGACAACCAAAUAAGCAAUAAAGAAGCAUGAAAGUAUUCAAGCCAAAAACAUAUGGAUGCAUAGGAUCAUGAAAUACAAUGCAUUAAAAUAGGUGCACAACAUCCAUCAAGAACCACUACAACAUUUUUGGCCUAAGGUAACCCUUAUUCGAAGCAACAUUUAACAAAAGUUUCUUUAGAUAGGUAAAGACAACAUUUUUAACGAGUUGCCUUUGAGUAAGGCAAAGAUAACAAAAUUUUCGGCCACCCAUAAAAAGAGUUGUCUUUGAUAUCUAAAGCAACAUUUACAAAAUGUUACAAAAUAAAAACUUUAAGACAACAUUUUUAAAUAAAAUACAACAUUUUAUAAGAGUUGUAAAAAAAAUUGAACAAAUAACAUUUAUAAAGAAUUGCCUAAAAUUAUUUAUGGUUAAAAAUUUUAGAGAGAAACUUUUAAUCAUAUUCAUACCAAUAAAAUUUUUUCAAUGAAAAAAUAACUUAAACAUAAAAAAACAGAUGUGCUUCAGUAGUUCCACACUUCCACUUCCACUUCACGCCCACAAGAGCCCUAACAUAGCCAUUCUCCCCUGCAACAAGGCACACACCAUGCCCUUUCUCCCCUCCUAACGGCGACAGCAGGUCAGCAGCGUUCAAUCGCUGUGCACUCCUCCACGUACAGCGACGACGCAGUGCUCUCCUCGACGGGCGAUGGCGCGAUGCUCUCUACAAUCCCUAACAUAGCCACUGUAACAACGCACCCUUUCUCCCCUUCCUAACGGCGACAACAGCCUUCAAUCGCGGUGCACUCCUCCACAUACGGCGACGGUGCGGUGCUAUCUUCGACGAGCGACGGUGUGGUGCUCUCCACAAGCCCUAACAUAGUCACUGCAACAACGCACCCUUUCUCCCCUUCCUAACAACGACAGCAGCGCUCAAUCGCGGUGCACUCCUCUACGUACGGCGACAGCACGGUGCUCUCCUCGACGGGCGCGGUGCUCAAUCGCAAGAAACCCCUAUCCCUUCUCUUCUCCUUCUUAUUCUUCCUCUAUUCCUCUGUUUCCAGGUAUUUGAGAAAAAUGAUUUUCAUGUUCUUUGAAUUAAUUCAUUACAGUUUAGUUAGAUUUUAAUUUUUAGCUAGUAAAUUAUUUUGCAAUUGUCUGAUUUGCUGUUCUCUGAAAAAACAUGAGUUGCUGUUCUCUAAUUUGCUGUUCUCUGAAAAAACUAAAAUUCAGUAUUUUAGUGUAUGGCUCCUUCCAAACAAUUUUGGAUGCUCACAUGUGUUUCUAAUAAGAAAGUGUUGCCUAAAAGAAGUAAUAGCAUGACAAAACUUAUAGCAAUACUCUUGAAAUUAUUUUGUUUUCCUUUCGAGCUGCUUUUUCUUGAUGAUUAUGCCGGCAAAAUUGAGAUCUUGUUAGCAAAAUAUAUAUUCCCUCUCAAAACAGAGACUUAUAAUUCAUCUCUUUGGAAAAAUGAACUACUUAUUCAGUAAUUUUCUCCUGUCUUUGAUGUAUUUGUUAUUAUACAAUUUAAUGUUAACCCCUAUACAAAUAUAGAAAAAUUAGGAUAAUUCAUAAUGACAAUAAAAUAAUGAAGACAAAUUCACACCUUUUCAAAAGAAAAAGCAAUCACCAUGAAUAUAGAUAAUGACAAAUUGGAUCUACCAGCUAUGAUCAAAGGGCUCAAAACCUUCACAAGUAAUGAGCCAGCCUUUCCCUCUCUCUACUGUUUCUUUGUAUUAGUCACCAACACUCUAGAAAACUUAAGAUAUUAGGUGGAGGCUCGAGACCUUUGACCUUGAAGUGCGAUAAUGCACUCUGCCUGUCUGCCUUCCACUGAAUAUCAACUUUUUAACUAGAAUGUAGAAGAUGGAAGAGGACCGUAAUAAACUGGUAUCAAUAUCUAUGAAGAGUAAGGUAAUGUAUAAACUGACAUUGUAAUCGAGUGUUUUUUUGUAUCUUAUAUCUUGUUAUAAUUGUAAGAAAAUUGAUUAUUCUGAUUCCACAAUAAAAUUGAAUCAUAAGAAUUUUCUCAAUCAAAUGAAUCAACAAUAAACAAGAUUGUCUUAGUUCAUUAUCCUAUGUGUGUGUGUGUGUGAACAAAACUUGUACAGCUGCAAAACGUAUAGAUCCUGAUCUGAAUUCACAUACAGCAGUUAUAGAAAUCAAUAAAAAUAAAUAAAUCAUGGUAAAUGCAGAAUAUCAACCAAAAAGAAUUGAAAAAUUAAGAGAGACCUUAUUAUCGACAAAAAUGAGGAGAAACUCGCAUCUUUGUGGCUCUUAAAGCUUAAAAAAAUGUCAUUUGCUCAGUUUAUUUGCCAUGAUUUUUGUGAUAGAUAAGGUGGACCCUCCGUUUGCAGUGCUGUCAUAGGAGCCACGGGUGAGCUCACAAGAGGGAAGAUUUUUGCGGCUAUAUUCGCUCUCUACUACAGUGGCUUCCUUUUUCAUGUACACCUUUUCUUUCAUUCCUGUCUUUAACAAGCUUUGUUCUUUUCCCUUGUAAUGGAUAGUCUAAAAUUCAGUUAUGUACUGGUUGCAGACCAUCAUAAUCAUUACUUGCCAUGACUUGGGAUCCCCCUUUCAGUUAUUUGAUGUCAUAGUAUUGGAAGACAUAAUCAGCAUCUUCAUUACUUCUGCAUUUCUUAUAUGGACUAUUGUUGUUCCUGUUUGCUAUGCUAAUUCAAGAAGAAAAUAUACUUGUUAUUCUACUAAGUAUGGAACCUUGGUUGAGGAAUGGUGCUUUACAUCCUAUAUGGUUGCGGCAGCCAUAUACUUAACAAGUAAUGCAGUUAAUGUUGUGUUAUAUCUCGUCCCUGCCUUCUCCAAGUAUAUGGAGGUCUCUAAUAACAAGAUAUGCAAAGUUUUAUCUUGGUGGACUCAGGUACCAAGAUUAGACUAUUGCUUUAACUUGUUGAUUACUUGAACAUGUGCUAUUAUUGUUCUAUGCCAAUUCCAAGGCAUAAUCUUAGUGAUAUAACUAUGCUUUCUGUUUUAUCCUGUGGGAUUGGAUCUGUUUGAUGUUUUUCAUUUUCCAUAAAUGUUUGAUACAUUGAUUUAUAUUUGUAUGUAAUAUUCAUUCCUGGUUUUAAAUGUUUGAAUCUGAGUGUUACAUUUAUUUAUCAUGUACACCCUCCAAAUGAGAAAUUUAGAUUCUCAAACAUAUUAUUGCUGAUGUUUUGACUAUAUUUUUUUUGUCAAUUUAGAUGUCACUGCAGUUUGCCUUUUAUAUCAAUUAAUUUUCAGUUUCUUUGUCUUGAGUUAGGUUCAUGAGUAUGCGAUACUUCUAAAUCUGGGCUCCCUUCAAGCAAUAUCAAUGAAAGAUUGUGUACUUAUAUUUGAAUAUAAUCGGUAAUGUCUUAAUUCCAAAUUAAUACAUUAUGGUUACAUCACUGUCAUCAUUUCAUGGAUAAAGUUAUUUGAGUGGACUAAAGCCAAACUUCUGCCUCUGUUGAUAUUUAUUAGUAAAGGAGGGCAAGCUUUUCUGGAGUCAUUGUUGCCCAGGUUGAACCCCAAGAACAGUAACGGAGGGCUAUCAAUGCCAUUUGAACUCGAGGUUUGUCUGAAAUUUACUACUUUCAUUUAACAUACUUACAUACAUAGUACUGAUUACUGAAUAGGAUAAGGAAAUACACCAAAACUGAACGGUUGGAGAAAUUUUAGAAUUAUAGCUCAGUAGAUCUUUAUGGCCAUAGUUUUUGAAAAGGUAAAAAUAAGUUUCGUACUAUUGUGGAUGUUUGUGUACACAAAGUAUACAGAUAGGAAAACCUAACCAUUUCUUGGCUCUUCAGCAGUGAGUGUCUCUCCUAAGAGUUUUCUUUUGAUUUCUUUUAUGUUACUGAGGCAUCCAUUUGUGGUGACACUAUAAACAAGCGGCUGUGAACUGCCAUCCAAUAAACUAUUAGACAAAUCACAUACAUGGAGCCUUUCCCACUAAACUCUAAACAAUUUACACCCCACUACAAAAUAGAUGGAAAUCCUCUAUUUCAUAUCCUAUAAUCUUCGAGGAUUUCUUAGUUUCCUUUUCAGAGGGAUGUUUAAUAAAUGUAUUCAUAUUUUUCUCAAACAUGUUAAUAUUUUAAGAAUCUGGACCAAUCUCCAUCGACUCAUAUACCAAAUCAUGAUUAGGUAUAGCUAAAUUGUUGUAACACUUGAGUAUACUUGUUAUUGUUAAGCUGAUGUUUUGACUAUAUUGUUUUUUGUCGAUUUAGAUUUGGCUACAACUUGCUUAUAGUUGGAUGAAGUUUUCUGAAGAGAUAAAGGAGAUUCUUGGCACAAUAGUGAAGCACAAAGUCCUUUUGGUUUCAAAUGAAAAAAUUAGUUUUUUUUUUGUUCAAGUUCAUCAUGAGAAAAACAUGUAUUUUAUUUGCUUAUGUUUAAUUUUUAUUUGACUUGGUAACUUAGCAAGUAUAUGUUAAUUGAUACUUGGAACACUUUUCUAUAUACAUGCAAUAUAUAUUAUUAGCCUAUUCUCCCUAUAUUAAAUAAAUUGAAUUUAAAUUUUUAAAUAUUAUUAGUGUGUGCUAUAUAUCCUUCAAUUGUCAUUAACAAAGGUAAAAAAUAUAUUGCUUUAGAUAUAAAAAAAGAGAAUCUAAGAAAAACUCAAUAAAGUGUUGCUUUAGGUAUUAGAAAAAGACAACUGCAAAUAAACUUAGAUAAGUGUUGCUUUAGGUCUAUGAAAAAGGCAACUUAAAAAAAUUUGGAUAAGUGUUGCUUUAUGUAUACGAAGAAGGCAAUUUAAAAAACCUGGACAAGUGUUGCUUUAAGUAUAUGAAAAGGCAACAUAAAAAAACCUGGACAAGUGUUGCUUUAUGUAUUAGAAAAUACAACUUGUAAAAUGUGUUGCCAUAAAAUUUUGUCUAAAGCGUUGUGUUUGGGUCCUCUAAGGCAACUCUUAUGAGGAGUUGCUUUUUUUUUGUAGAAAAGGCAACGCUUUUUGAAGGUUGCCAUAAAAAGGGUUCCCUAUGAUACACAAAAGCGUUGUCUUAGACCAAAGGUAACGGCCGUAUAGCCAACCCCCCAAAAAGCAUUGCGUUUUGUCGGAAAGUGUUGCUUUUGAUCAAAGACAACACUUUUCCUUAUUAUAGGCAACUUUUUAAAGGGUUGCCUCAGCCCGAAUUUGUUGUAGUGAACUCGCCUAAUCGGAGAGGGAUUCAAAUUGCAUGGUGGCCAAAUCAUGCAAUUCAAAAGGAUUUAUAAGCUCGAAGGCAAUUCUCAUCACUUGGUGUUCACAAAAGGUAAGCAUGAAGAACUCAAAACCAAGUAGCAAAAUAUGACCUCAAUCAAGGAAUCCAACAAAGAUUAUAAGCAUAGUGAUGUUAAGAUAACAUCCUUUUUAAUACUCAACAUUUAUUGGGAAACAAGAUUAACAAUUCAACACUUAUAAUGAAAAAUAUAAAUUUAAAUAAAAAUUACACUAACUAAUUAACUACUUAAAUGGUUAUAAAUGGUGUUUGGUAGUGUAGGAUGAUGGGUAGGAGAAGAGAAGAGGAGAGAAAAAGGAAAGAAAUGGAAAGAUGAGAAGAAAAAAAGUGUAGUGAAGGAAGGACAUCCACGCGUAUGCGUAUAUCACGCGUGCGCGUGGGUGGUGGUGAAAUGGACGCAACGCGUACGCGUGGCUCACGCGUAUGCGUGCAUGGCAAACCAGAGAGUUGACGCGCACGCGUCCAUCACGCUUACGUGUGGGUUGAUAGUUGUGCCUCAGGCACAACGUUAGCACAGUGCAGGCGUAACUCUCGGGUCCUUGGUUGGGAGGUGGAAAUCUGGUAUCCACGCGUACGCGUGCAUUGCACGUGCGCGUGGAUGGGCGAGAAUGCUUGGGGCACGCGUACGCGUGAUGUGUGCGUACGCGUGGGUUGGUGCCCUGUUUUUCAAAAUUUUGCUAUGUUUUUGCACCAAUCCACGCAUUCCAAACCUCCAAACAGCUACCAAAACACCAUAAAACCUUAUUUAACAUACUAAACUACCAAAUACUCAACAAAGCAAUUAAAACAUGAAAUUAAACCUAUUUUACCAAUAUUUACAAAAGAGAAAAAAUGAAAAGAGUUUACCAUGGUGGGGUGUCUCCCACCUAGCACUUUUGUUUAUUGUCCUUAAGUUGGACUUAUGGGGAGCUCCUCUCAAGGUGGCUUGUGCUUGAAUUCUUCUUGGAACUCCCACCAAUGCUUGGUUCUCCUACCCCAAGAUUUCUCAUGGAUUGGACCAAGUCUUGAUGGGGUUCUUCACAAGCUUGGGGCUCCCAAAGUCGAUCCUCUUCUUGUAGUCCGGGAUCCCACACUUUAUUUUCACACCUGUCUUGAAGUUGAUCAUUAUUAAUCCAUCCGGGCGGCAAGUAAGGUGAAUUCUCAAUAAAGUGACUAACAAUCCUCCUAGACCCAUCUAGUUGAGCACUACUCCAACCUUUAUAUUUCAUGUUUGAUGUGUCAACCCUAAUGAGCCUUGAUUUGCAACGCCAACCACAAAACAUUUUUCGCUUACGCUUCAUCCCAUAAAGUUUCCUAAGUUGGCCAUCCGUUUCAAGCAAGCCAUAUUUUAGUGGGGUAAUAAAGCUAAUAGAAAUGAAUUUCACCCACUCAAAUGAAGGGGUAGAUGGCAACCUAGGCAAAGACGCUUCCAAGGGUCUUGACAAAGCAUAUCCAACUCCCGUCCUUCUCUUUCUAAGGACUUUCACCUCUUCACAAGUUUUCUCAAAUGUAAUCCUUUGUUCAACAAUUUUAUCUAAGCCUUUUCCCUUACUCAAGUCAUAAUUGGGAGGGUGAGAAAAAUUUACCUCCACAACGCUUUCAAAUCCAACGGGAGAAGAUUCUUCAUGCUCAAAGGAUUUUUCACCACUAAGACUUUAUGCUUGAUCUUCAUCAGCAAGGGAACUCAAUUCUUGCUCUAUCCCAUCCAAUUCUUCAUAUGGAAUAUGCCUUGGAGGUUGUGCACAUUCUUCCUUAGCAUCAAAUUCAAUCUUCUUGGAGGGAUUUUCAUCAAUUCUAGAUUCCCAUGGAGGUUCCGCAUCUCCUAAGUCUUCAACCACUUCUUCCUUGUCUUCAACAAUUGUAGCUUCCUCCAAUUUUUCCAAUACAAAGUGACUUCCCUCAUUUCUCACCGGAGUAUCCAACCUCUCCCUCUUGCUAUGCUCUUCAUUGGAUUCUUCACAUGUAGCCAUGGGAGUACUUUGGGUUCCCAAGCAUUGGGAUGCUAACCGGUUUACCACUUCGUCCAAGGCGGCCGUGAAUUAUUGUACAUCCCUUUUCAUCUCCUCUUGCCCUUGAAGAAGAACACCAAAGAUGUCAUCCAUUGGAAGUUGGGGUGGAUAAGAGGGCUCAUUGUCUUGGGGGAAGGGUUCAUAGUAUGAAGGUGGUUCAUCAUAGUAAGGAUGUGGUGGUUCUAUGUUCUCCAAUUGUUCUACUUGUUUCCCAACACACUCCAAUCCAUUGUUCUCAAGUUGAGAUUCUACAACCCCCUUCAAACUACUGGUACGCGAAAUCGUGAUUACACUUUAGUUAUGUAGAAUUCAUCGCUCUUUCUUUCCCUGGCAAUGGCUCCAAAAACAUGGUGCCAAUACCCUGGUUCACAAUUCCGUGUAACUGACCAGCAAGUGCACUGGGUCGUCCAAGUAAUACCUUACGUGAGUAAGGGUCGAAUCCCACGGAGAUUGUUGGUAUGAAGCAAGCUAUGGUCACCUUGUAAAUCUCAGUCAGGCGGAUAUAAAAUGGUUGUGGAGUUUUCGAAAUUAAAUAAUAAAAGAAGGAUAGAAAUACUUAUGUAAAUCCUUGGUGAGAAUUUCAGAUAAGCGUAUGGAGAUGCAUUCGUUCCUCUGAACCUCUGCUUUCCUGCUGUCUUCAUCCAAUCAGUCUUACUCCUUUCUAUGGAUUAAGUAAUUGAUGCAUAAAUCCACUUCCGGGGCCCACUUGGUGUGUGCUUGGGCUGAGCUUGAGUGUUGCACGUGUAGAGGUCCUUCUUGGAGUUGAACGCCAGCUUUUGUGCCAGUUUGGGCGUUCAACUCUGGUUUUGGAUCCUUUUCUGGCGCUGGACGCCAGAAUUGGGCAGAGAGCUGGCGUUGAACGCCAGUUUGCAUCAUGUAAACUUGGCCAAAGUAUGGACCAUUAUAUAUUUCUGGAAAGCCCUGGAUGUCUACUUUCCAACGAAAUUGGAAGCGCGCCAUUUUGAGUUCUGUAGCUCUAGAAAAUCCAUUUUGAGUGCAGGGAGGUCAGAAUCCAACAGCAUCAGCAGCCCUUCUUCAACCUCUGAAUCUGAUUUUUGCUCAAGUCCCUCAAUUUCAGCCAGAAAAUACCUGAAAUCACAGAAAAACACACAAACUCAUAGUAAAGUCCAGAAAUGUAAAUUUAACAUAAGAACUAAUGAAAACAUCCCUAAAAGUAACCAGAUUCUACUAAAAACAUACUAAAAACAAUGCCAAAAAGCGUAUAAAUUAUCCGCUCAUCACAACACCAAACUUAAAUUGUUGCUUGUCCCCAAGCAACUGAAAAUCAAAUAGGAUAAAAAGAAGAGAAUAUACUAUAAAUUCCAAACUAUCAAUGAAACAUAGCUCCAAUCAAAUGAGCAGGACUUAUAGCUUUUUGCAUCUUGAAUAGUUUUGGCAUCUCACUUUAUCCAUUGAGGUUCAGAAUGAUUGGCUUCUAUAGGAACUCAGAGUUCAGAUAGUGUUAUUGAUUCUCCUAGUUCAGUAUGAUGAUUCUUGAACACAGCUAUUUUAUGAGUCUUGGCCGUGGUCCUAAGCACUUUGUUUUCCAGUAUCACCACCGGAUACAUAAAUGCCACAGACACAUAAUUGGGUGAACCUUUUCAGAUUGUGACUCAGCUUUGCUAAAGUUCCCAAUUAGAGGUGUCCAGGGUUCUUAAGCACACUCUUUUUUUGCUUUGGACCUUGACUUUAACCGCUCAGUCUCAAGUUUUCACUUGACACCUACACGCCACAAGCACAUGGUUAGGGACAGCUUGGUUUAGCCGCUUAGACCAGGAUUUUAUUCCUUUAGGCCCUCCUAUCCACUGAUGCUCAAAGCCUUGGGAUCCUUUUUAUUUGCCCUUGCCUUUUGGUUUUAAGGGUUAUUGGCUUUUUGCUCUUGCCUCUUAGUUUUAAGAGCUUUGGCUUUUUCUGCUUGCUUUUUCUCUUUUUCUUUCUUUUUUUUUUCGCCUAUUUUUUUUCUUUUUUUUUUUCUGCAAGCUUUGUUCUUUGCUGCUUUUUCUUACUUCAAAAAUCAUUUUUAUGAUUUUUCAGAUUAUCAAAUAACAUGUCUCCUAGUCAUCAUUCUUUCAAGAGCCAACAUAUUUAACAUUCUUAAACAACAAUUUCAAAAGACAUAUGCACUGUUCAAUCAUACAUUCAGAAAACAAGAAGCAUUAUCACCACAUCAAUAUAAUUAUGCUAAGUUCAAGGAUAAAUUCGAAACUCAUGUACUUCUUGUUCUUUUGAAUUAAAACAUUUUUCAUUUAAGAGAGGUGAUGGAUUCAUAGGACAUUCAUAACUUUAAGACAUAGUUACUAACUACUAAUGAUCAUGUAAUGAAGACACAAAUAUAGAUAAGCACAUAACAUAAGAAAAUGAAAAACAGAGAAAGUAAGAACAAGGAAUGAGUCCACCUUAGUGAUGGUGGCGUUUCCUUCUUGAGGAACCAAUGAUGUUCUUGAGCUCUUUUAUGUCUCUUCCUUGUCUUUGUUGCUCCUCCCUCAUUGCUUUUUGAUCUUCUCUAAUUUCAUGAAGGAUGAUGGAGUGCUCUUGAUGUUCCACCCUUAAUUGUCCCAUGUUGGAACUUAAUUCUUCUAGGGAGGUGUUGAUGUUCUCCCAAAAAUUUUGUGGAGUAAAAUGCAUUUGAGGCAUCUCCGGGAUCUCAUGGUGAUGAGCUUCAUACGCCUCUUGAGUUUGAAAGGGACCUCAGGGAUCACCUUUUUUUUUGCCACAACAUCAUAGAAGUGGUCUUGAUGGGCUUUGGAGAUGAACCUUUCCAUCUCCCAUGACUCGGAGGUGGAAGCUUUUGUCUUCCCUUUUCCUUUUCUAGAGGAUUCUCCGGUCAUAGGUGCCAUCAAUGGUAAUGGAAAAACAAAAAGUUUAUGCUUUUACCACACCAAACUUAGAAUAUUGCUCGCCCUCGAGCAAUAAAAGAAAGAAUAGAGGAAGAAGAAGAAGAUAUGGAGGAAAGGGGUAAGGUGUUGUGUUUCGGCCAAGAAGGGUAUAUGAGGGUUGUGUUGUGUGAAAAUGAAGAAGAAUUGAGGGAUUUAUAUAGGGCAUGGGGAGUUAAGUUUUGGCCAUAUAGGGUGGGUUUGGGUGGGAAAUUGAUUUUGAAUUUUGAAGGUGGGUGGAGUUUAUGAGGUAGGUUUAUGGGGAAGAGUGGAUGAUUGAGAAGAGAGAAGAGAGUGAGUGGAGGUAGGUGGGGAUCCUGUGGGGUCCACAGAUCCUGAGAUGAUCCUGUGGGGUCCACAGAUCCUUAGGUGUUCAAGGAUUUACAACCUUGCACCAAAUUGGGCAUGUAAAAUGCCUUUGCACACAACUCUGGGCGUUCAGCGCCAGGAUGGUGCCCAUUUUGGGCGUUCAACGCCCAUUUGCUGCCAUUUCUGGCGUUGAACGCCAGAACCAUGCUUGUUCUGGGCGUUCAGCGCCCAGAUGCUGCCCAUUUUGGGCGUUCAGUGCCAGAACCAUGCUCUGUUCUGGCGUUGAACGCCAGGCAGAUGUUCCUCCAGGGUGUGAUUUUUCUUCUGCUGUUUUUGAUUCCGUUUUUAAAUUUUUUGUUUAUUUUGUGACUCCACAUGAUCAUGAACCUAUAAAGACAUAUAACUAAGAAAAAUAUAGUUAGAUAAAUAAAAAUUGGGUUGCCUCCCAACAAGCGCUUCUUUAAUGUCAGUAGCUUGACAGUGGGCUCUCAUGGAGCCUCACAGAUGUUCAGAGCAUUGUUGAGACUCUCCAACACCAAACUUAGAGUUUGACUGUGGGGGCUUUGUUUGACUCUGCUUUGAAAGAAGCUUUUUCUGCUUCCUCUCCAUGGAUGCAUAGAGAGAUCCUUGAGUUGUAAACACAAGGUUGUCCUCAUUCAGUUGAAGGAUUAAUUCUCCUCUGUCCACAUCAAUCACAGCUCUUGCUAUGGCUAGGAAAGGUCUUCCUAGGAUGAUGGAGUCAUCCUCUUCCUUUCCAGUAUCCAGGACUAUGAAAUCAGCAGGGAUGUAAAGNNNNNNNNNNNNNNNNNNNNNNNNNNNNNNNNNNNNNNNNNNNNNNNNNNGUUUGUAUCUUUCCCAAGCUUCAUAGAGGGAUUCACCUUCUUUCUGUCUGAAGGUUUGAACAUCCGCUCUAAGCUUGCUCAGCUUUUGAGGAGGAAAGAACUUAGCUAAGAAAGCCGUGAUCAGCUUAUCCCAAGAGUUCAGGCUGUCUUUGGGUUGAGAGUCCAACCAUAUUCUAGCUCUGUCUCUUACAGCAAAAGGGAAAAGCAUGAGCCUGUAGACUUCAGGAUCUACUCUAUUAGUCUUAACAGUAUCACAGAUCUGCAAGAAUUCAUUUAAGAACUGAAAAGGAUCUUCAUAUGGAAGUCCAUGAAACUUGCAGUUCUGCUGCAUCAGAGAAACUAGUUGAGGUUUCAGCUCAAAAUUGUUUGCUCCAAUGGCAGGAAUGGAGAUGCUUCUUCCAUGUAAUUUGGAAUUAGGUGCAGUAAAGUCACCAAGCAUCCUCCUUGCAUUAUUAUUAUUUUUGGCUGCCAUCUCCUCUUCCUGUUCGAAAAUUUCUGACAGGUGCUUGCUGGUUUGUUGUAAUUUAGCUUCUCUUAAUUUUCUCUUCAGGGUCCUUUCAGGUUCCGGAUCUGCUUCAACAAGAAUAUUCUUGUCCUUGCUCCUACUCAUAUGACAAAGAAGAGGGCACAGAAAAAUAAUAAUAAUAGAGAUCCUUUAUACCACAGUAUAGGGAUCCCUUUGUGGGUGGAAGAAAAGAGGGAGACAAAGAAUGUAAUGUAAUGGAAGAAACACAACUGUGAGGAGAGCAGAGAUGUGAGAUGAGAUGUUAGUAGAUGAAUAAAUAAAUAGAAUAAGAUGGGAGAGGGAGAAUUUUCGAAAAUAAUUUUUGAAAAAGGGUUAGUGAUUUUCGAAAAUGGUUUUUGAAAAAGGUUAGUAAUUUUUGAAAAUAAUAUUUUAAAAAUAAAAAUAAUCAGUUAAUUAAAAAGAAAUUUUGAAAAAGAGGGAAGAUAUUUUCGAAAAUGAGAGAGAGAUAGUUAGUUAGGUAGUUUUGAAAAAGUUAAGAAACAAACAAAAAGUUAGUUAGUUAGUUGAAACAAAUUUUGAAAAUCAAUUUUGAAAAGAUAAGAAGUUAGGAAGUUAGAAAAGAUAUUUUGAAAUCAAUUUUUUGAAAAAGGUAAGAUAAGAGGAUAUUUUUGAAAAGAUAUGAUAGAAAUUAGUUUUUUGAAAAAGAUUUGAUUUUUAAAAUCACAAUUAAUGACUUGAUUCACAAGAAAUUACAAGAUAUGAUUCUAGAACUUAAAGUUUGAAUCUUUCUUAACAAGCAAGUAACAAACUUGAAAUUUUUGAAUCAAAACAUUAAUUGUUAUUGUUAUUUUCGAAAAUUUGUGAUAAAAAUAAGAAAAAGAUUUUUGAAAAAUAUUUUUGGAAUUUUCGAAAAUAACUAUGAAAUUUGAAAAAGAUUUGAUUUUUGAAAAAGAUUUUGAAAAAGAUAAGAUUUUCAAAUUGAAAAUUUGAUUUGACUUCAUAAGAAACAACUUGAUUUUAAAAAUUUUUUUGAAAAAGUCAAUCCAAAUUUUCGAAUUUGAUGGGAGAAAAAGGGAAAGAUAUUUUUUUUUUUUUGAUUUUUUUGAAUUUUUUUAAUGAUGAGAGAGAAAAACAAGAAAAAUGAUGCAAUGCAUGAAAUUUUUAGAUUAAAACAAUGAAUGCAUGCAAGAAUGCUAUGAAUGUCAAGAUGAACACCAAGAACACUUUGAAUGUCAAGAUGAACACCAAGAACACAUUUUUGAAAAAAAAAAAUUUUAAUGCAAAGAAAACAUGCAAGACACCAAACUUAGAAUUCUUUAAUGCUUAGACACUAAGAAUUCAAAAAUGCAUAUGAAAAAUAAGAAAAGACACAAAACAUGCAAAUGCAAAGAUCAAACAAGAAGACUUACCAAGAACAUCUUGAAGAUCAUGAAGAACACUAUGAAUGCAUGAAAUUUUCGAAAAACUGCAAGAUGCACAUGCAAUUGACACCAAACUUAUAACAUGACUCAAGACUCAAACAAUAAACAUGAAAAUAUUUUUGAUUUUUAUGAUUUUAUAAUUUUUUGUAUUUUUUUUUUCGAAAAUUAUUUGAAAAACAAAAAUAAGGAUUCCAAAAUUUUUAAUAUGAAUUCCAGGAAUCUUAUGCUCUAAAGCUCCAAUCAAAGGGUCAGGCAUGGCUUAAUAGCCAGCCAAGCUUUAGUAUGUAACUCAGACAUGACAUGCCUGACAUACCCUAUCCAGAAGGAUUGGGCAUGGCUCCACUGAGGUGAUUAGUUGAAGGCCAAUCCCAAAGCAGUUUGGGUAUGGCUUUACAGCCAGAUAGGCUUCAACAUGCUUCAUGAAACACUAGAAUUCAUUCUUAAAAAUUUUGAAGCCAUAGAAUAAUUUAUUUUUGAAAACAUUAUUUUUAGUUUUUUUUUUUUUUUUGAAAACAGGUGAGAAAAUUUUGAAAGAUUUUUGAAAAAUUUUUGAAAAGAAAACAAAAAGAAAAUUACCUAAUCUGAGCAACAAGAUGAACCGUCAGUUGUCCAAACUCGAACAAUCCCCGGCAACGGCGCCAAAAACUUGGUACGCGGAAUCGUGAUUACACUUUAGUCAUGUAGAAUUCAUCACUCUUUCUUUCCCUGGCAAUGGCUCCAAAAACAUGGUGCCAAUACCCUGGUUCACAAUUCCGUGUAACUGACCAGCAAGUGCACUGGGUCGUCCAAGUAAUACCUUGCGUGAGUAAGGGUCGAAUCCCACGGAGAUUGUUGGUAUGAAGCAAGCUAUGGUCACCUUGUAAAUCUCAGUCAGGCGGAUAUAAAAUGGUUGUGGAGUUUUCGAAAUUAAAUAAUAAAAGAAGGAUAGAAAUACUUAUGUAAAUCCUUGGUGAGAAUUUCAGAUAAGCGUAUGGAGAUGCAUUCGUUCCUCUGAACCUCUGCUUUCCUGCUGUCUUCAUCCAAUCAGUCUUACUCCUUUCUAUGGCUGGCUUUAUGUAAUGCAUCACCAUUGUCAAUGGCUACUUUCGGUCUUCUCUCGGGAAAAUGAUCCAAAUGCCCUGUCACGGCAUGGCUAAUCGUCUGGAGGCAUCACCCUUGUCAACGGUUUACAUCAUAUCCUCUCAGUGAAAAUGGUCAACGCACCCUGUCACGGUACGGCUAUUCAUCUGUCAGUUCUCAAUCAUGCUGGAAUAGGAUUUACUAUCCUUUUGCGUUCUGUCACUACGCCCAGCAAUCGCAAGUUUGAAGAAUGAUUCCAAAGAUGUCUAAUACAAUAGUAAAAGGUCCUAUUUAUAAUAAACUAGCUACUAGGGUUUACAGAAGUAAGUAAUUGAUGCAUAAAUCCACUUCCGGGGCCCACUUUGUGUGUGCUUGGGCUGAGCUUGAGUGUUGCACGUGUAGAGGUCCUUCUUGGAGUUGAACGCCAGCUUUUGUGCUAGUUUGGGCGUUCAACUCUGGUUUUGGAUCCUUUUCUGGCGCUGGACGCCAGAAUUGGGCAGAGAGCUGGCGUUGAACGCCAGUUUGCGUCCUCUAAACUUGGUCAAAGUAUGGACUAUUAUAUAUUUCUGGAAAGCCCUAGAUGUCUACUUUCCAACGCAUCUGGAAGCGCGCCAUUUUGAGUUCUGUAGCUCUAGAAAAUCCAUUUUGAGUGCAGGGAGGUCAGAAUCCAACAGCAUCAGCAGUCCUUCUUCAACCUUUGAAUCUGAUUUUUGCUCAAGUCCCUCAAUUUCAGCCAAAAAAUACCUGAAAUCACAGAAAAAUACACAAACUCAUAGUAAAUUCCAGAAAUGUAAAUUUAACAUAAAAACUAAUGAAAACAUCCCUAAAAGUAACCAGAUUCUACUAAAAACAUACUAAAAACAAUGCCAAAAAGCGUAUAAAUUAUCUGCUCAUCAACUACCCCUUCGGUUGCUCUUCCACAAUCAUCCAUGGACAUACGGUAUGAGUCCCAUGCAUCUAACUUUUGACGGACGGUUGCUUGAAGCCUAUCCAUGGUUUCCUUGAGAGAUGAACAUUGAUAUUCUUUCAUGGAGGGUUGUGGUGGAAGAUAGAAUUUAUCUUGAGGUUGAAAAUUCGUGUACAUUGGAGGUGGCUCAUCUUGGUCAUAGUAUGGAAGAGGUGGUUCUUGGAAGUAUUGAGGUUGGAAUGGUGGUGGCUCUAUAUGUGGCUCAUAUGGCUCAAAAAUUGGUUGGUAUGGUGUGUACGGAGUAGGGUCAUACGAAGGUGGUUGGUGAAAAGGGGCUUGUGAGUAUGGUUGAGGGUUAUGUUGAGGGUAUGGCUUAUAAGCAUAUGGCGGUGGUUCUUGAAAGUCACAAGGAGAUUAACCAUAGCCAUUUGAUUAGUAUGCAUCAUAGAAUGGCUCUUGUUCAUAGUGUAUUGGUGGGGGUUGUUGCCAUGAAGAUUGAUCAUAUACAUAAGGUUCCUGCCACCUUUGAUUGUUCCAUCCUUGAUGCACAUCUUCAUUGAAGCUUCCAUUUCCUACAACAUAGUUAGAACCAAAAUCAUAGCCAAAGUGAGAAUUCAUAAUGAAAAGAGAAAAUAAGAAACAAAAGCUAAUAAGAAAUAAUGAAACAAAGUCCUAAAACUAGCAAAAACUAACAAGAAAUCCAAAAAUCAAGCUAUUCACAAUAUUCACAUAUAUACAAUAACCAAUAACAUAACACCAUUGCAAUUCCCCGGCAACGGCGCUAUUUUGAUGAGUGGAUUUUUGACGGUUUAGAAUUUCACAAAUGAAAUCUCGUUGCAAGUAUAGUUUCUAAACCAACAAAUAAUCCUUUCAUACAAAAGAUUGUUUGUCACAGGUACAAACCCCUAAUUUUAUAAACUGGGGUAUUUAGACCUCGGGUCGUUCUCCCUAGGAAUUGCAAUAAAGUAUUCUUAUUAUUGGCUAUGAAGUAUGUUUGGGGUUUUUGAGAUAAUAGACAAGUAUAAAUGGCAAAGGAAAUAAACUAACAACUAACAAAGCUCUUGGCAAGGUAUGAGAAUUGGAAGUCCUAUCCUAGUUAUCCUUCUCAAUUGUGACCACAAUUGUCCAUUGCUCCCACUUAGUUAAGUGGAUUCCACAAGUCCUAUCCUAAUCAUAAUGAAAGACUAGCUUUGGUGGCAUUCAAGUCAAUUAGCAACUUCUAAUUAUCAAUCAACAAAGGAAUUAGACAACUCAAGAGUCACUAAUUACUCUACCUAGGCCAAGAGGGGAAAAAGCUAUACUAAAAUCCAACCAAGCAUUUCAUCAAACACAUGGAAGGCAUAAAAGAAAAGUAAAAUGAAUUAAGCAAUUCAACAAUAAAGGAACAUGAAUCAUAAAUUGCAUUAAAAGAGAAAUAGAAGAAACAAAGUGCAUCAACAUAAAAGUAGAGAAUUACAAGAAUUAAAUGCUAAACUAGAGAGAGGAGAUGUAGAAGAAGAAGAAUUACAAAAGGAAAAGUAAAUCUAAGCAUGAAAUUAACCUAGAUCUAAGAAAUUCUAAUCUAGAUCUAACCUAAUCCUAAUUCUAGAGAGAAGAGAGAAGCGAAACUAACUUUCCCUCCAAAACUAAACUAAAAACGAAACUAGUGUGUCUAGACUUAAUGUGUGAUCCCUCUUCAUUCUAUGGGUUAAAUAGUAUCAAAAAUGAGUUGGAUUUAGGCCUGAGAAGCCCAGAAAUCGCCCCCAGCGGAUUGCCUUUAAGUGAGUCACGUGCGAGCACCGACGCGUACGCGUACGUCACACGUGCGCGUCGCUUGACAAAUUACUAUCCACGCGUACGCCUCACGUACGCGUACGCGUCGCCAUGCGACCUUACAAUCCACACGUGCGCGUCUGAUGCGCGUGCGCGUUGUUGAUCUCAUCCCAAAUCCUUGCUUUUCCAUGAUUUCUCCACUUUUCAUGCUUUUCUCUACAUCCCUUUGAUCCAUCCCUAGCCUUAUCAACCUGAAAUCACUAACAAACAUAUCAAGGCAUCUAGUGGAAUCAAAGAUGAGUCAAAAUUGGCAAUUAAGGGCCUAAAAAGUAUGUUUUCACACUCAAGUACAAAUUAGGAGACAAUCACAAAACCAUGCUAUUUCAUUGAAUAAAUGUGGGUAAAAGGUCAUAAAAUCCCCUAAAAUCACUAUAAGAUAAACCCUAAAAAUGGGGUUUAUCAACCCUCAGGCAGAAUUAAUUGUUUAUCUUUAAGCAACACAUUGAAAAUCUGAUAAGAUUUCGAAAUAUUAAAACUAUAUUUUUUCCCACUCUUUAGUUUUGAAUCAUUCGACUUUUCAUUACUAGGGAGCUUUUUAAGUAAGGAGCAAACAUAUGGAGGACCCUUCUUAAGUUCAACCAAAUCAACCUCUGCUUCGAGAUCGAAUUCCUCCUCUGAGGACUCCAUGGUCACAUAAGCAACCUUCUCCUUUCGAGUAAAAGGUUUACUUUUUAACUUCUGUUCAUUUCUAUAUUUCACCUUUUCUUUUUUCAUAAGUUUGACUUGACGAACCCUUUCAGCCAAAUGGGCUAAGUCAGGGAUAUGCACAUUAAGUAGCUUUCGACACAUAUAAAAUCCUAACUCCAUAACUGCUAUUUUUACCACUUCACUUUCGGGUAAUGACACGUAACAUCUACUUCUAGUAUUUUUGAAACGUAUCAUAUCGUCAUCAAUGGUUUCACCAUCUUCCCGUUUCAAAGCAACUAGAUCAGUAACUGCUACAUUCAAUUUUCCUUGGUAAAACUGAGCAUGAAAAGUAGUUUCCAACUGAUUCCAUGUUGUUAUCAAAUUUGGUCUAUGAUUUGAAAACCAAGUAAACAUAUUCUUCAUUAACGAAGAAGGAAAAAACUUCAUUUUCAAAUUCUCAUCAUUAACUAAAUUCCCAAUCUCGACCAAAUAUUGAGCGACAUGUUCAGUGGUUGACUCUCCAAUUUUCCCUGCAAAUUUUGUGAUUAUCUUUGAAUUUUUUACCCCUCUUGGCACUUCAGCCAUUUGAACAACUUGAGGGAAAGCAGACACAAAAUGAGGUCGGUUCAUAAAACCAACUCGAUUGAGCACUUCCUCUAGAAUCCUUGUGACUUGAUAACGUUCACCACCAUGAUUAGCACGUAAUCGGGCUAGAACAUCAUCUGCAUUUUGACCACGGGAAAUUAUCUGAGGAUUUUCUCUAUUUAAAACAUUGUUUUCAUUUUGAAAUAUAUUUUCAAAUCCUUCAUUAUUCCCCAUGGUCUCAUGCCUUUCACCUUCAUCAUAAUCAACGAUUCGAGCAAUCCGUUCGACUUGUCUAGCAAGACGUUCGAAUUUCGAUUCGUGAUCAGUCAUCAUAAAAUUUAGAAUUGUAGUCAUUUGUUGAGUCAAUAAGUUGACUAAAUUAUGAUGACUUUCCUCUACAUAUUGUUGAAAUACCGAAAUGGAAUUAGAAGUAUUCGAUGUAGAGCCCACAUUAUAAUCACGAGAGAACUCAGAAUGUUGUUGUGAGUUUUGAGAAUUAUUUACUCCACUUACACUCCCAAAGCGAACAGGAGGAACAAAACCAUUCACUGGUGGAGUAUAACCAGGAGGAAGGCCAUAAGGAGGCCGUCUAGUGGUUAAUGGAGGUUGGACUGGUGGUAAAUUACCACGUGGAUGAAUAUUACGUCCAACACUUCCAGUUUAAACACUAGUAACCACUAUGCUUUCAUUUACAUCCAAAACUUUCCGAAUGUGAAGUAACGUCCGAAGAUUGCAUAGUUACUGGUAUACUGUCAUUGGUGGACAACCACCAUUCACAUUUAACACUUCAUCAGCCAUGUGAAGGAUCCUUCCACUUCUCAAUUGCAUACACCAAAUGACACCAAAAAAUUAAUCUUUUGACACACUUCAGUUUAAAACUGUCCCACUGGGCGUGCCAAUUUGUUUUGUCAAUUUUAAACAAAUCAAUGGUGGUUUGAUUCUAAUGGUCUGAUAGCGAAACAUACUCCUCUUUUGCGGGUACCAGUUCUAUAAGUGCAUCAAAUGUGCUCGAAUUAGACGAGUAUUAAAAUAAGAAAUAAGUUCGAAAAGUGCAAGAAGGAUAAAAGAAGUGUAAAAGAAAAAGGUUUGAAAAAUAAACUUGACUGAAAUCGAAAUGACUUGUGCCGAAUUAUAAAGAAAACGAUUAAAAUGCCUUCGAUUUGAUCAAAGGGCUUUUGACAGAAAACUUAAUGGUACUGAAAUGUAAAUUGGGCAAAUAAGUAAGGAAAACUUUGAAUGUAAAUCUGACAAUAAAAUUAAAGAAUGCUUUGAAGAUAAAUCUGACAAGAAAAAGUAAAGUUUGCAGGAAUUGUAAAUGGAAAAUUAGAGACAAUGGAAGGAACCAUACAAAAAUCAAACUCGAAUGUAGACUCAGAAAUUUUCUGGGGAUGUGAGUAUGCUUGAGUGUAUUUCUGAAGAAAAGUUCCAACCCUUAUUUCCUAAAACUUACUAAUAUUUAUAACCCAUAUCUGUAACCGACCAUUAAUUACACGACGCUGCCUUGUAUGCAAAUUCUUAGGUAGCUGUUCCACUUUUUUGCCCAUAGACGUUACCUAUAAACUCCUCAUUUAGAGAAAGCCUUCAACUUCUCUACUUACAUAAUCGCUCGAUUCUCUAUUCGAACAACUAUUCGAUUUCUCAUUCGAAUGCUUGUUCGAUUUAACAAGGUAUCUAAGUCGAAUCUGUGUCAAGUAACUUCUAUUUAAUGCCUGCACGUGCGUCAUUUCGAACUCUACUUCCUUCUUGACCCUUCACUAACGUUUCGAAUCAACUUAAUCUUUCGAAGAUAAUUAUUUCGACUAACACUUUGAUUUUGGAUUUAAACUUAGAGAAUAUUAGUAGAGAGAAUAGUUUAGUAUAUAUGUCUGCAACUUGGUCUACUCCAAGAAUAUGAACAAUAUUAAAUUUAUGUUGAGUGACUAAGUUUCGAACAAAGCGAAUAUUUAUCUCAAAAUGUUCGUAGAAUUGGGUUUGCUGAGAGAUUAACUGCACGAUUUAUCACAAUAGAUUGUUGGAAUUUCAGAGAGGUUAAAAUGCAAUUUGACUAGAAGAUUUUUGAGCCAUCUGAUCUUAGUAGUUAAUCAGUCAGGGCGCAAAAUUCUGCCUCUGCACUAGAGUGGCUGACACGAUGCUGUUUUCUACUUGUCCAAGACACAAUUUUCGAUCCUAAAUAUACAUACGAAAAUAUUUGGUAACUAAAAAAAUUAGUAUAAAACAGUCAUAAUUUAUCUUAUUUAAUAUUUAUUAAUUGUUGCGAUAAUUAAUGAAUGCUAAAUAAAACAAGUUCUGACUGUAUUUUUUAUCUCCCUACAUAAUAUCCAGAAGUUAAGCUACGGUGAUCAAUGUCUCACGCCCAAUCACAUCUGCAAAGGAGAAAAUUCUUAUUAAGUCCGUGCAUGGAUGAAAGAUAAUUCCUUGAUCCGAUCCAAUGUCCCAGCUAGAUAUCGAAAAACACGCUUCAUUGAUUUUCAAUGAGCUAGCAGAGGUGUUUGCAUGAAUUAGCUCAGUUUGUUAACUGAGAAAGCAAUUUCAGGUCUUGGUAGAGUGCAAUAUUACAAUGCAACCAUUAUGGAACGGUAAUGAGUUGGAUUUUCAUAUGCUUCAUAUCCAUGAUUAAAAAGCUUCUCUGAUGUGAUCAUUGAUGUUGGGGCAGGUUUGGCAUUACUCAUUUCUGCUCUCACUAAGAGAUCUUUGAUGUAUUUGCUUUGGGAUAGAUGGUAAGCUCCUAAGAAAAACUUUACUGCUUCAAUAUCCAAGAAGUAGUUGAAUAUUCGUAGAUUUUUUAGAGAGAAAACACUGUUGAGUUUUUGCAUGAGCUGAGCUAUUAGCUUUUGAUCAUUGCCUGUAACCAAAACAUCAUCUACAUACAUAAAAAUAUAUAUAGAAGACAAUGAAUGAUGAACAAAAAGAUAGGGGUUAGAUCGAGUACUCUUAAAACCAAAUUGUGCAAGGAUUGAUGAUAAAGUAAUGUACCAAGCUUGAAGUGCUUGGCAAAGACUGUAUAUAGCUUUAUUUAAUUUGCAUACUUGAGGAUUGUCAUUCACAAAGACUGGUGGUUGUUUAAGGUAAAUAGUUUUGUUUAAUUUUUCAUUCAAAAAUGCAUUGUUAAAAUCAUACUGAUAUAUAGGCCAAUUAGAAAAAAUAGCUAAGGUUAAAAUUACUCUAAUAAAAGCUAUUUUAAUCAGUGGACGGAAGACCUCAUAAAAAUCCACUCCUUCAAUUUGAUGAUUGUAUCUAUGCCACCAAUCUUGCUUUAUAUCUAAGAACAGUGUCAUUAGGAUUCCUUUUGACGAAAAAAUCCAUUUAGAUCCAAUACUAUUUUAUUGUUAUCCCUUUCUAAAUAGAAUUUUUUUCCUACCAUUUUUCUUUUUUUGUUUUAAGAAAAAUUCGCAUAUACGCUAUGAAGAAAGAGUAAUUUUUUCUGCAUUAAUUUAUGAUCGCAAAUAAAUAAUUAAAGAAAAAGAAUAUAUAAUAAAAAAGAUUUAACUAACAUGUAUUUUAAUAGCACAAGUNNNNNNNNNNNNNNNNNNNNNNNNNNNNNNNNNNNNNNNNNNNNNNNNNNNNNNNNNNNNNNNNNNNNNNNNNNNNNNNNNNNNNNNNNNNNNNNNNNNNNNNNNNNNNNNNNNNNNNNNNNNNNNNNNNNNNNNNNNNNNNNNNNNNNNNNNNNNNNNNNNNNNNNNNNNNNNNNNNNNNNNNNNNNNNNNNNNNNNNNNNNNNNNNNNNNNNNNNNNNNNNNNNNNNNNNNNNNNNNNNNNNNNNNNNNNNNNNNNNNNNNNNNNNNNNNNNNNNNNNNNNNNNNNNNNNNNNNNNNNNNNNNNNNNNNNNNNNNNNNNNNNNNNNNNNUAUAUAAUUUACAGAAAUUAUUUUUUUUAUAAAAUUCUUGUUGGUGUAUUGGUCGAAUAUGGGUGAUGGAGGUGUUUUGCUGGAGGGUGGUGUCAGAUACAAUACGCCGGGGACGUGGUGCCUGAAAGUGUGACAGCUCUCCGUCAACACGUCGGAGGCGUAAGCACAGUCAACACGCAGGGGCGUGUUGAUGUGGCGACAAAACAGAGCACAGUCAACACGGAGGGAGCGUGUUGAUGUGGCAAUGAGAUAGAGCACAGUCAACACGCAGGAGGCGUGUUGCUGUGGAACCCGUGAAACAGUGCAGGUUGUUGCUAGGUUCCAAGGCUGCAGCAGCAUCACGCGGGAGGCGUAUUGCAGGCUUGCUUGCAUGCAGGGAACACCCCCAUCCCGGUAACCAGCACCCUAACACUAACAUCCUUUAUAAAUUUAGUCUUCUUCCCCUCUCCUCCAUUGAAUUGAAGCAAACAAAGAGUGUGGUGAAGGUAUUUAACCAAGAGAGCAAAAAAAGAAGUGUUUGAGUGUUAAAAAAGAGUGUAACGUGGUAGUUUGAAAAAAAGUAGGAGUGUGUAGUGUAGUGUGAGUAGUGGUUUAGAAGGAAAAAAAAUUAUUGAAAAAAAAUUUGUAGUAAUUAAAAAAAAAUGGUACAUAAUUAUUCGACGCCUGAGAAGUAUAUUAUCAAUUAUUUGGAGUAUUAAAUUUANNNNNNNNNNNNNNNNNNNNNNNNNNNNNNNNNNNNNNNNNNNNNNNNNNNNNNNNNNNNNNNNNNNNNNNNNNNNNNNNNNNNNNNNNNNNNNNNNNNNNNNNNNNNNNNNNNNNNNNNNNNNNNNNNNNNNNNNNNNNNNNNNNNNNNNNNNNNNNNNNNNNNNNNNNNNNNNNNNNNNNNNNNNNNNNNNNNNNNNNNNNNNNNNNNNNNNNNNNNNNNNNNNNNNNNNNNNNNNNNNNNNNNNNNNNNNNNNNNNNNNNNNNNNNNNNNNNNNNNNNNNNNNNNNNNNNNNNNNNNNNNNNNNNNNNNNNNNNNNNNNNNNNNNNNNNNNNNNNNNNNNNNNNNNNNNNNNNNNNNNNNNNNNNNNNNNNNNNNNNNNNNNNNNNNNNNNNNNNNNNNNNNNNNNNNNNNNNNNNNNNNNNNNNNNNNNNNNNNNNNNNNNNNNNNNNNNNNNNNNNNNNNNNNNNNNNNNNNNNNNNNNNNNNNNNNNNNNNNNNNNNNNNNNNNNNNNNNNNNNNNNNNNNNNNNNNNNNNNNNNNNNNNNNNNNNNNNNNNNNNNNNNNNNNNNNNNNNNNNNNNNNNNNNNNNNNNNNNNNNNNNNNNNNNNNNNNNNNNNNNNNNNNNNNNNNNNNNNNNNNNNNNNNNNNNNNNNNNNNNNNNNNNNNNNNNNNNNNNNNNNNNNNNNNNAUAUUAAAAUAAAAAGGUGAAUAUUAAUUGCCAUAUUAUUUAUAUUGAUGUUGAUGUAUUGUUUGUAAGUAUUAUUAUUUAUUUAAACUAACAAAUAUAUUUUUUUGAUGUAGCCUAAUAAGAAUUUGUUGGUGCGUAAACUGGAUCCGCCACAGACGUGGAAUCUAAUGGUCGCGCCACGGGAUUUUACCACGUCUCUAGGAUUGGGGUGAUACGAGGAUUUCACCCCAUGCUAGCUGUGUUUGUUGAAAGGUGGAAGCCUGAAACUCACACCUUUGUAUUUUCGGUGGGUGAGGUUACAGUGACAUUGAAAGAUGUCGCUCAUAUAUUUGGCCUACCCAUUGAUGGAGAGUCUGUGAGUGGAUGGACAGAUAGCAGUAAAGACUUCCUACAAAGCCAGAGCAUCGCAAUAUUUGAUCGUGAACCAGAAAUCAGUUGUUCAACGUAUCAGAGACGCAGAGCCAUUGGACACUGAGGAGUCCAUUAGGAGAUACGUCAGAUGUCAGAUCUUCUGUUUGUUAGAGUUGACCCUAUUUAUGGAUAAGUCGACCGAAUAUGCCCACGCGAAGUAUCUACCGAUGCUUCGCGAUUUCGAGCGGAUCCAGUAAGUAAAUCCAGCACGCUUGCGUUCAUGAGUCUCGGCACUCUUCCGCGUAAAAAGUUCAUUUAACCUAUAAUAUGUUGCUCGGACCAGCGCCAACACAGAUAGAUUACGGGCACCCUUCAACACUGAGUUAAUGCACUCGACAAGGUUCAUCGUCAUAUGGCCCCAUCGAUGUCCCUCGUCGAAAGCCAAUACCCAAUGUCUAAGUCCAAUGGCAUCGCAUCACCUGGCAUAUGCCUCGCCUCGCUCUUCCAACCUCUUAUAGUUGAUGUUGUACUCCUCCACUGUUCUUGAAUACCCUAUGUUGAUAACAAGCUUUUGCAAGUGAGGGACUUUGAAUGCCCUCGGGAAGUUGCUGCCGAUGUGCCUUAUACAAAACAUCCACCACGCUCUUGGAGGUUUCCAGUCGCCUCUGAAACAAUUUACUACUGCCCGGAUUGACUCAUGCCAGUCUGAGAUCAUACCCACACCGUCUUUUCUAACAACAUGCAUUCGCAGAUUCCUGAGAAAGAAGUGCCAUGCAUCAGCUGUCUCCCCUUCCACCAAGGCAAAAGCGAUAGGCACAAUGUUCUGGUUCCCAUCUUGUGCAAUAGUGACCAAAAGUGCACCUUUGUAUUUUUCGUAUAGGUGUGUGCUGUCAACCUGAACUAGGGGCUUGCAAUGCCUGAAUUCCCUUAUGCAUGGAUUGAAACUCCAGAAUACGCGAUGAAGUAUUUUUACACCGUGCGCCUCUUCAUUCCCGUUGUACAGUAAUCGUGUUUCUAUUUGGACAACUGAACCAGGAAUCUUCUGAACCAUGACCGAGAGCCACCAUGGCAAGGCUUGGUAAGAAUCCUCACAACCACCGAAAACUUUCGCUAUGGACUUCUGCUUUGCCAACCAAGCCUUUCGGCAACUGAUGGUAUAGUUGAACCUUGACUGGACUUCCGCUAUUAUAGAUUUCACCCUGAUGGACGGGUCAGUCUCGACCAAUAGCGUUAUAACCUCAGUAACGAUAUCCGAGUCCAACUUUGAAUGAUCCUAUGAAAUCAUUCCCAUUGUGCACGUGUGCUUACCGUUAUAUCUGCGGAUCUCCCAACAACUUUUUUUCCGUAUCAAACUAGCUCGGAUAAGCCAGACGCACCCAAGUCCAUACAUCUUGCAUUUUGCAUAGAACGUCUGUGGCUCAGACUCAUACACAUCGUAGUCAACUCCUCUAAAGAUAGUGUAACUUCUAAUGGCUGUGACGACCGACUUUCUAGAACUGUAUUCCAUUUCAAUCCGGAACUCUCCGUCCUCAGGAUCAACAACGCCUACAAAAAGCAGAAAUCAUCGUUCAUUAAUCAAUCCAAAGUUUAAAUUAACAAAACCUUAUUAUUCAGUCAUCACGUACCUAUGUUUGCAUAUUCCGAAAAUUCCUGUGCGUGCAUGGCGUUGAGAUCCAACUCAUGCAUAAAAGGUGGCACAUUCAUCGGUUGACUUCUCGAGGGAUGAACCACUACAUUCUUCGCUGCUAUCUCAACUUCCACAUCACCAUCCUUGUCUUCGUUGCCAGCUUCAUAAGUGGCUUUGAAGUCCUCUUCGCUGUCACUAUUCAUUCCUUCGUAUACUGCAUGUCUAUCAUCCUCUAAAUCUAAAUCAUUUUGUAUCCCUUCUGCCUUUACGGUUUCAAACUCAACAUACAGCUCAAUCUGUGGCUUUCGCAUUUGAGUCUGCCGGUGAAUUUGAAACAUAUUCUGCAUACUUGCUUCGUCAGUGAUUGGCAUCGUAUCAAACUGUAUUAGUCCACCAAAAACUACAACCGGAUUCCGGUACAGAAUUCUGCUCACUCUCAUUAACAUACCGUUUUCCAUGCUUUGACAGAGACCGUUCCGAAGCUCCAUAAAAGCUAAUGGUGCAUGGAACUACAAACGAAAAUGAAUUCUGACACACAAACCUCACUCCCUCAUGAGUAUUCCGUAUUAUCUCACCAUUGCGAUAUACCACCAAGUUUGCGGUACUCUCCAUUACACUACCAACACACUCAGAGAACGCUCAAAGCACACUCUCAUUCAAAAUGAAAAUGGUACCGAACUUUGUCUUAUAUAGAGCGGAGCAUUCAACACGCCUCCCACGUACUGCAUGCCUCAGCCAAUCACGUUUUGCUAUGUGUCAUCACGCCCCGGCGUGUUGACUUAGCACGCCCCCCACAUGCUUGAAGCUUCACCCAAUCACUCUUCGUCACGUGUCAGUACGCCCCCUGGCAUGCUGACUCACCACGCCCCCACGUGCUGCGUGGUUCUUCCACCAGUCUCCGCCACGUGGCUUCUACGCCCCCCACGUGGUGCCUGUAACAUGCCCCCUACGUGCUGGGUCUGUCAUCUGACAUGUCUAUCCAUGUGUAAAUACACUAAAUUUUUCUAUUUUCAGCCAAAAUACCUCUUUUUACUCGAUACCUAAAUUAUUUAGCCUAAAAUUUAAUUCNNNNNNNNNNNNNNNNNNNNNNNNNNNNNNNNNNNNNNNNNNNNNNNNNNNNNNNNNNNNNNNNNNNNNNNNNNNNNNNNNNNNNNNNNNNNNNNNNNNNNNNNNNNNNNNNNNNNNNNNNNNNNNNNNNNNNNNNNNNNNNNNNNNNNNNNNNNNNNNNNNNNNNNNNNNNNNNNNNNNNNNNNNNNNNNNNNNNNNNNNNNNNNNNNNNNNNNNNNNNNNNNNNNNNNNNNNNNNNNNNNNNNNNNNNNNNNNNNNNNNNNNNNNNNNNNNNNNNNNNNNNNNNNNNNNNNNNNNNNNNNNNNNNNNNNNNNNNNNNNNNNNNNNNNNNNNNNNNNNNNNNNNNNNNNNNNNNNNNNNNNNNNNNNNNNNNNNNNNNNNNNNNNNNNNNNNNNNNNNNNNNNNNNNNNNNNNNNNNNNNNNNNNNNNNNNNNNNNNNNNNNNNNNNNNNNNNNNNNNNNNNNNNNNNNNNNNNNNNNNNNNNNNNNNNNNNNNNNNNNNNNNNNNNNNNNNNNNNNNNNNNNNNNNNNNNNNNNNNNNNNNNNNNNNNNNNNNNNNNNNNNNNNNNNNNNNNNNNNNNNNNNNNNNNNNNNNNNNNNNNNNNNNNNNNNNNNNNNNNNNNNNNNNNNNNNNNNNNNNNNNNNNNNNNNNNNNNNNNNNNNNNNNNNNNNNNNNNNNNNNNNNNNNNNNNNNNNNNNNNNNNNNNNNNNNNNNNNNNNNNNNNNNNNNNNNNNNNNNNNNNNNNNNNNNNNNNNNNNNNNNNNNNNNNNNNNNNNNNNNNNNNNNNNNNNNNNNNNNNNNNNNNNNNNNNNNNNNNNNNNNNNNNNNNNNNNNNNNNNNNNNNNNNNNNNNNNNNNNNNNNNNNNNNNNNNNNNNNNNNNNNNNNNNNNNNNNNNNNNNNNNNNNNNNNNNNNNNNNNNNNNNNNNNNNNNNNNNNNNNNNNNNNNNNNNNNNNNNNNNNNNNNNNNNNNNNNNNNNNNNNNNNNNNNNNNNNNNNNNNNNNNNNNNNNNNNNNNNNNNNNNNNNNNNNNNNNNNNNNNNNNNNNNNNNNNNNNNNNNNNNNNNNNNNNNNNNNNNNNNNNNNNNNNNNNNNNNNNNNNNNNNNNNNNNNNNNNNNNNNNNNNNNNNNNNNNNNNNNNNNNNNNNNNNNNNNNNNNNNNNNNNNNNNNNNNNNNNNNNNNNNNNNNNNNNNNNNNNNNNNNNNNNNNNNNNNNNNNNNNNNNNNNNNNNNNNNNNNNNNNNNNNNNNNNNNNNNNNNNNNNNNNNNNNNNNNNNNNNNNNNNNNNNNNNNNNNNNNNNNNNNNNNNNNNNNNNNNNNNNNNNNNNNNNNNNNNNNNNNNNNNNNNNNNNNNNNNNNNNNNNNNNNNNNNNNNNNNNNNNNNNNNNNNNNNNNNNNNNNNNNNNNNNNNNNNNNNNNNNNNNNNNNNNNNNNNNNNNNNNNNNNNNNNNNNNNNNNNNNNNNNNNNNNNNNNNNNNNNNNNNNNNNNNNNNNNNNNNNNNNNNNNNNNNNNNNNNNNNNNNNNNNNNNNNNNNNNNNNNNNNNNNNNNNNNNNNNNNNNNNNNNNNNNNNNNNNNNNNNNNNNNNNNNNNNNNNNNNNNNNNNNNNNNNNNNNNNNNNNNNNNNNNNNNNNNNNNNNNNNNNNNNNNNNNNNNNNNNNNNNNNNNNNNNNNNNNNNNNNNNNNNNNNNNNNNNNNNNNNNNNNNNNNNNNNNNNNNNNNNNNNNNNNNNNNNNNNNNNNNNNNNNNNNNNNNNNNNNNNNNNNNNNNNNNNNNNNNNNNNNNNNNNNNNNNNNNNNNNNNNNNNNNNNNNNNNNNNNNNNNNNNNNNNNNNNNNNNNNNNNNNNNNNNNNNNNNNNNNNNNNNNNNNNNNNNNNNNNNNNNNNNNNNNNNNNNNNNNNNNNNNNNNNNNNNNNNNNNNNNNNNNNNNNNNNNNNNNNNNNNNNNNNNNNNNNNNNNNNNNNNNNNNNNNNNNNNNNNNNNNNNNNNNNNNNNNNNNNNNNNNNNNNNNNNNNNNNNNNNNNNNNNNNNNNNNNNNNNNNNNNNNNNNNNNNNNNNNNNNNNNNNNNNNNNNNNNNNNNNNNNNNNNNNNNNNNNNNNNNNNNNNNNNNNNNNNNNNNNNNNNNNNNNNNNNNNNNNNNNNNNNNNNNNNNNNNNNNNNNNNNNNNNNNNNNNNNNNNNNNNNNNNNNNNNNNNNNNNNNNNNNNNNNNNNNNNNNNNNNNNNNNNNNNNNNNNNNNNNNNNNNNNNNNNNNNNNNNNNNNNNNNNNNNNNNNNNNNNNNNNNNNNNNNNNNNNNNNNNNNNNNNNNNNNNNNNNNNNNNNNNNNNNNNNNNNNNNNNNNNNNNNNNNNNNNNNNNNNNNNNNNNNNNNNNNNNNNNNNNNNNNNNNNNNNNNNNNNNNNNNNNNNNNNNNNNNNNNNNNNNNNNNNNNNNNNNNNNNNNNNNNNNNNNNNNNNNNNNNNNNNNNNNNNNNNNNNNNNNNNNNNNNNNNNNNNNNNNNNNNNNNNNNNNNNNNNNNNNNNNNNNNNNNNNNNNNNNNNNNNNNNNNNNNNNNNNNNNNNNNNNNNNNNNNNNNNNNNNNNNNNNNNNNNNNNNNNNNNNNNNNNNNNNNNNNNNNNNNNNNNNNNNNNNNNNNNNNNNNNNNNNNNNNNNNNNNNNNNNNNNNNNNNNNNNNNNNNNNNNNNNNNNNNNNNNNNNNNNNNNNNNNNNNNNNNNNNNNNNNNNNNNNNNNNNNNNNNNNNNNNNNNNNNNNNNNNNNNNNNNNNNNNNNNNNNNNNNNNNNNNNNNNNNNNNNNNNNNNNNNNNNNNNNNNNNNNNNNNNNNNNNNNNNNNNNNNNNNNNNNNNNNNNNNNNNNNNNNNNNNNNNNNNNNNNNNNNNNNNNNNNNNNNNNNNNNNNNNNNNNNNNNNNNNNNNNNNNNNNNNNNNNNNNNNNNNNNNNNNNNNNNNNNNNNNNNNNNNNNNNNNNNNNNNNNNNNNNNNNNNNNNNNNNNNNNNNNNNNNNNNNNNNNNNNNNNNNNNNNNNNNNNNNNNNNNNNNNNNNNNNNNNNNNNNNNNNNNNNNNNNNNNNNNNNNNNNNNNNNNNNNNNNNNNNNNNNNNNNNNNNNNNNNNNNNNNNNNNNNNNNNNNNNNNNNNNNNNNNNNNNNNNNNNNNNNNNNNNNNNNNNNNNNNNNNNNNNNNNNNNNNNNNNNNNNNNNNNNNNNNNNNNNNNNNNNNNNNNNNNNNNNNNNNNNNNNNNNNNNNNNNNNNNNNNNNNNNNNNNNNNNNNNNNNNNNNNNNNNNNNNNNNNNNNNNNNNNNNNNNNNNNNNNNNNNNNNNNNNNNNNNNNNNNNNNNNNNNNNNNNNNNNNNNNNNNNNNNNNNNNNNNNNNNNNNNNNNNNNNNNNNNNNNNNNNNNNNNNNNNNNNNNNNNNNNNNNNNNNNNNNNNNNNNNNNNNNNNNNNNNNNNNNNNNNNNNNNNNNNNNNNNNNNNNNNNNNNNNNNNNNNNNNNNNNNNNNNNNNNNNNNNNNNNNNNNNNNNNNNNNNNNNNNNNNNNNNNNNNNNNNNNNNNNNNNNNNNNNNNNNNNNNNNNNNNNNNNNNNNNNNNNNNNNNNNNNNNNNNNNNNNNNNNNNNNNNNNNNNNNNNNNNNNNNNNNNNNNNNNNNNNNNNNNNNNNNNNNNNNNNNNNNNNNNNNNNNNNNNNNNNNNNNNNNNNNNNNNNNNNNNNNNNNNNNNNNNNNNNNNNNNNNNNNNNNNNNNNNNNNNNNNNNNNNNNNNNNNNNNNNNNNNNNNNNNNNNNNNNNNNNNNNNNNNNNNNNNNNNNNNNNNNNNNNNNNNNNNNNNNNNNNNNNNNNNNNNNNNNNNNNNNNNNNNNNNNNNNNNNNNNNNNNNNNNNNNNNNNNNNNNNNNNNNNNNNNNNNNNNNNNNNNNNNNNNNNNNNNNNNNNNNNNNNNNNNNNNNNNNNNNNNNNNNNNNNNNNNNNNNNNNNNNNNNNNNNNNNNNNNNNNNNNNNNNNNNNNNNNNNNNNNNNNNNNNNNNNNNNNNNNNNNNNNNNNNNNNNNNNNNNNNNNNNNNNNNNNNNNNNNNNNNNNNNNNNNNNNNNNNNNNNNNNNNNNNNNNNNNNNNNNNNNNNNNNNNNNNNNNNNNNNNNNNNNNNNNNNNNNNNNNNNNNNNNNNNNNNNNNNNNNNNNNNNNNNNNNNNNNNNNNNNNNNNNNNNNNNNNNNNNNNNNNNNNNNNNNNNNNNNNNNNNNNNNNNNNNNNNNNNNNNNNNNNNNNNNNNNNNNNNNNNNNNNNNNNNNNNNNNNNNNNNNNNNNNNNNNNNNNNNNNNNNNNNNNNNNNNNNNNNNNNNNNNNNNNNNNNNNNNNNNNNNNNNNNNNNNNNNNNNNNNNNNNNNNNNNNNNNNNNNNNNNNNNNNNNNNNNNNNNNNNNNNNNNNNNNNNNNNNNNNNNNNNNNNNNNNNNNNNNNNNNNNNNNNNNNNNNNNNNNNNNNNNNNNNNNNNNNNNNNNNNNNNNNNNNNNNNNNNNNNNNNNNNNNNNNNNNNNNNNNNNNNNNNNNNNNNNNNNNNNNNNNNNNNNNNNNNNNNNNNNNNNNNNNNNNNNNNNNNNNNNNNNNNNNNNNNNNNNNNNNNNNNNNNNNNNNNNNNNNNNNNNNNNNNNNNNNNNNNNNNNNNNNNNNNNNNNNNNNNNNNNNNNNNNNNNNNNNNNNNNNNNNNNNNNNNNNNNNNNNNNNNNNNNNNNNNNNNNNNNNNNNNNNNNNNNNNNNNNNNNNNNNNNNNNNNNNNNNNNNNNNNNNNNNNNNNNNNNNNNNNNNNNNNNNNNNNNNNNNNNNNNNNNNNNNNNNNNNNNNNNNNNNNNNNNNNNNNNNNNNNNNNNNNNNNNNNNNNNNNNNNNNNNNNNNNNNNNNNNNNNNNNNNNNNNNNNNNNNNNNNNNNNNNNNNNNNNNNNNNNNNNNNNNNNNNNNNNNNNNNNNNNNNNNNNNNNNNNNNNNNNNNNNNNNNNNNNNNNNNNNNNNNNNNNNNNNNNNNNNNNNNNNNNNNNNNNNNNNNNNNNNNNNNNNNNNNNNNNNNNNNNNNNNNNNNNNNNNNNNNNNNNNNNNNNNNNNNNNNNNNNNNNNNNNNNNNNNNNNNNNNNNNNNNNNNNNNNNNNNNNNNNNNNNNNNNNNNNNNNNNNNNNNNNNNNNNNNNNNNNNNNNNNNNNNNNNNNNNNNNNNNNNNNNNNNNNNNNNNNNNNNNNNNNNNNNNNNNNNNNNNNNNNNNNNNNNNNNNNNNNNNNNNNNNNNNNNNNNNNNNNNNNNNNNNNNNNNNNNNNNNNNNNNNNNNNNNNNNNNNNNNNNNNNNNNNNNNNNNNNNNNNNNNNNNNNNNNNNNNNNNNNNNNNNNNNNNNNNNNNNNNNNNNNNNNNNNNNNNNNNNNNNNNNNNNNNNNNNNNNNNNNNNNNNNNNNNNNNNNNNNNNNNNNNNNNNNNNNNNNNNNNNNNNNNNNNNNNNNNNNNNNNNNNNNNNNNNNNNNNNNNNNNNNNNNNNNNNNNNNNNNNNNNNNNNNNNNNNNNNNNNNNNNNNNNNNNNNNNNNNNNNNNNNNNNNNNNNNNNNNNNNNNNNNNNNNNNNNNNNNNNNNNNNNNNNNNNNNNNNNNNNNNNNNNNNNNNNNNNNNNNNNNNNNNNNNNNNNNNNNNNNNNNNNNNNNNNNNNNNNNNNNNNNNNNNNNNNNNNNNNNNNNNNNNNNNNNNNNNNNNNNNNNNNNNNNNNNNNNNNNNNNNNNNNNNNNNNNNNNNNNNNNNNNNNNNNNNNNNNNNNNNNNNNNNNNNNNNNNNNNNNNNNNNNNNNNNNNNNNNNNNNNNNNNNNNNNNNNNNNNNNNNNNNNNNNNNNNNNNNNNNNNNNNNNNNNNNNNNNNNNNNNNNNNNNNNNNNNNNNNNNNNNNNNNNNNNNNNNNNNNNNNNNNNNNNNNNNNNNNNNNNNNNNNNNNNNNNNNNNNNNNNNNNNNNNNNNNNNNNNNNNNNNNNNNNNNNNNNNNNNNNNNNNNNNNNNNNNNNNNNNNNNNNNNNNNNNNNNNNNNNNNNNNNNNNNNNNNNNNNNNNNNNNNNNNNNNNNNNNNNNNNNNNNNNNNNNNNNNNNNNNNNNNNNNNNNNNNNNNNNNNNNNNNNNNNNNNNNNNNNNNNNNNNNNNNNNNNNNNNNNNNNNNNNNNNNNNNNNNNNNNNNNNNNNNNNNNNNNNNNNNNNNNNNNNNNNNNNNNNNNNNNNNNNNNNNNNNNNNNNNNNNNNNNNNNNNNNNNNNNNNNNNNNNNNNNNNNNNNNNNNNNNNNNNNNNNNNNNNNNNNNNNNNNNNNNNNNNNNNNNNNNNNNNNNNNNNNNNNNNNNNNNNNNNNNNNNNNNNNNNNNNNNNNNNNNNNNNNNNNNNNNNNNNNNNNNNNNNNNNNNNNNNNNNNNNNNNNNNNNNNNNNNNNNNNNNNNNNNNNNNNNNNNNNNNNNNNNNNNNNNNNNNNNNNNNNNNNNNNNNNNNNNNNNNNNNNNNNNNNNNNNNNNNNNNNNNNNNNNNNNNNNNNNNNNNNNNNNNNNNNNNNNNNNNNNNNNNNNNNNNNNNNNNNNNNNNNNNNNNNNNNNNNNNNNNNNNNNNNNNNNNNNNNNNNNNNNNNNNNNNNNNNNNNNNNNNNNNNNNNNNNNNNNNNNNNNNNNNNNNNNNNNNNNNNNNNNNNNNNNNNNNNNNNNNNNNNNNNNNNNNNNNNNNNNNNNNNNNNNNNNNNNNNNNNNNNNNNNNNNNNNNNNNNNNNNNNNNNNNNNNNNNNNNNNNNNNNNNNNNNNNNNNNNNNNNNNNNNNNNNNNNNNNNNNNNNNNNNNNNNNNNNNNNNNNNNNNNNNNNNNNNNNNNNNNNNNNNNNNNNNNNNNNNNNNNNNNNNNNNNNNNNNNNNNNNNNNNNNNNNNNNNNNNNNNNNNNNNNNNNNNNNNNNNNNNNNNNNNNNNNNNNNNNNNNNNNNNNNNNNNNNNNNNNNNNNNNNNNNNNNNNNNNNNNNNNNNNNNNNNNNNNNNNNNNNNNNNNNNNNNNNNNNNNNNNNNNNNNNNNNNNNNNNNNNNNNNNNNNNNNNNNNNNNNNNNNNNNNNNNNNNNNNNNNNNNNNNNNNNNNNNNNNNNNNNNNNNNNNNNNNNNNNNNNNNNNNNNNNNNNNNNNNNNNNNNNNNNNNNNNNNNNNNNNNNNNNNNNNNNNNNNNNNNNNNNNNNNNNNNNNNNNNNNNNNNNNNNNNNNNNNNNNNNNNNNNNNNNNNNNNNNNNNNNNNNNNNNNNNNNNNNNNNNNNNNNNNNNNNNNNNNNNNNNNNNNNNNNNNNNNNNNNNNNNNNNNNNNNNNNNNNNNNNNNNNNNNNNNNNNNNNNNNNNNNNNNNNNNNNNNNNNNNNNNNNNNNNNNNNNNNNNNNNNNNNNNNNNNNNNNNNNNNNNNNNNNNNNNNNNNNNNNNNNNNNNNNNNNNNNNNNNNNNNNNNNNNNNNNNNNNNNNNNNNNNNNNNNNNNNNNNNNNNNNNNNNNNNNNNNNNNNNNNNNNNNNNNNNNNNNNNNNNNNNNNNNNNNNNNNNNNNNNNNNNNNNNNNNNNNNNNNNNNNNNNNNNNNNNNNNNNNNNNNNNNNNNNNNNNNNNNNNNNNNNNNNNNNNNNNNNNNNNNNNNNNNNNNNNNNNNNNNNNNNNNNNNNNNNNNNNNNNNNNNNNNNNNNNNNNNNNNNNNNNNNNNNNNNNNNNNNNNNNNNNNNNNNNNNNNNNNNNNNNNNNNNNNNNNNNNNNNNNNNNNNNNNNNNNNNNNNNNNNNNNNNNNNNNNNNNNNNNNNNNNNNNNNNNNNNNNNNNNNNNNNNNNNNNNNNNNNNNNNNNNNNNNNNNNNNNNNNNNNNNNNNNNNNNNNNNNNNNNNNNNNNNNNNNNNNNNNNNNNNNNNNNNNNNNNNNNNNNNNNNNNNNNNNNNNNNNNNNNNNNNNNNNNNNNNNNNNNNNNNNNNNNNNNNNNNNNNNNNNNNNNNNNNNNNNNNNNNNNNNNNNNNNNNNNNNNNNNNNNNNNNNNNNNNNNNNNNNNNNNNNNNNNNNNNNNNNNNNNNNNNNNNNNNNNNNNNNNNNNNNNNNNNNNNNNNNNNNNNNNNNNNNNNNNNNNNNNNNNNNNNNNNNNNNNNNNNNNNNNNNNNNNNNNNNNNNNNNNNNNNNNNNNNNNNNNNNNNNNNNNNNNNNNNNNNNNNAUAUUUAGAUUAAGAUUAGUUUGAUUUUGGUGCCAUUUUCUCCCUCUGGUGGGUGUAUAAAUACAUGAACUUCCCCCACUGGCAAUCAUCAAAACCAUUCGAAACCACUAGUACUUAAUAUUGAAAAUCCUCACUCAAAUAACUCUCUCCCACCAUGAAACCAUUUUAUGCUCUUCUUACUUUCUUCCUCUUGCUUGUAGUAACAAGUAAGAAGGUGAACUCAGCAUCCGAAACUGAAACAGUUUCCUUCAACUUCAACUCUUUCGCCCAAGGUAACCCCGCAAUAAAUCUCCAAGGCGACGCCACCGUUCAUUCCGACGGCAAUGUACAACUCACCAACCUCAAAAGUUCCUAUAGCGCCGGGCGUGUCCUGUAUAGCACGCCGGUGCGCCUUUGGGACAAAGCCACCGGCAAUGUUGCCAGCUUCGUCACCUCGUUCUCUUUCCAGCUGACGGAUGUGGAAGGUUAUAAUGCGGCCGACGGUAUUAUUUUCUUCGUCGCACCGGAAGAUACGCAGAUUCCGUCCGGCGGAGUUGGCGGCACCUUAGGGGUUGCAAGCUCUAACGGCGUCGGUCAAUUUGUUGGUGUAGAAUUUGAUUCCUACUCCAACUCUGAGUUCAAGGAUCCACCCUAUCAACACGUUGGAAUCGAUGUAAACACUCUGGUUUCGUCCAAGACUGUGGAAUGGAAAAGAGUGAGUGGGUCGGUGGUGAAAGUGACUGUGAUCUAUGACUCUCCAUCAAAGACAUUGAGUGUUGCUGUGAUCAAUGAGAGUGGCGAUAUUAAUACCAUCGCUGAUGUUGUUGAUUUGAAGGCGAAGCUUCCGGAAAAGGUCAAGUUCGGGUUUUCAUCUGCUUCGUCGGUUGGCGGUCGUCAGAUUCAUCUCAUCCGUUCAUGGUCUUUCAUUUCAACCUUGAAGACAACAACAAGCAUCAGCAGCAAUGGAAAAACAAUGGAUAUUGCAACCGCAUGAUUUGGUCUACGCUAACUAGUACUUUUAAAUAAAGAAACAGACCAUAUGUGUGUAUCAGUAUCGACUGUGUCUGUGGGUGACUGCGUGUACGGUUCCAUGUAUACUUUCUCUUUCACUAAUCAACUUGUGGUUGGAUAGUUGAUUAUUUAAAGGUUUAAUUACACUUGGUCCUAUACUUGCGUGAAAUUUUUAAUUAGGUUUUUAUAGUUUUUUUUUUUAAUUGAACUUUUCACCAAUAUGAACUUUGGUAUUUCCAAUAGAAAAAGGGGAGAUACUUGAUAAAAAUGGAUAAAACGUUUUUUUUUAAAUAUAUUUUAUAAUAAUUAAAAUUUAACAUAUGUAAUCAAUUAAAUAAUAUUAUUUCUAUCAUAAGUAGAUUGGACAAAUCGAUUUGGCCGAAAAAUUGAUGAAUAAAAUUUUAAACGGACCAAAUUAAUAUUUUUUUAUAAAAAGAACGUUUUGACUGAGUGACUCCCACAAAAUAAUUCAAAACCAAAAAGAACACGACGACGACUCCAACAACAACGGUGCCCUUCCUCGUUGUCCUCUGUGCGGAGCACGGCGUCGUUGGUGGCAGACAAGUGGCUAGCCUCAUUUGAUAGUGUGUGGCGCGUCGCCGUGGCGUGAUCCCCGACCUUCUUCUACUCCAAAUGCGUGUGGCGUUGUGGCGUUUGCGGUGGAGGCGUCAUGGCCACCGGUCUGGCACGCGUGGCUAUAAGAUCUGUCAUCAAGAGUGGGUGGCAACACGCGUUCAACGUCGAGCGUCCAGCGUCGCGGCGAGAGGUGCUGCAUGGAGAGCCGCACGCAUCACGGGGAGAGUUGUUGCUUGGAGCCGUGUGCGUCGUGACGUAACGAUCAGAAUUGGAUGCGGAAGGGAACAGUGACGCAGAGAGAACAGUUGGGGAGGACACGGCGGCACACAAGGUACAAUUGACCAUGGGGACGCUCGAGAAGAAUUUCGGAGGGAAGACACCGCUUCGCGGUAGCGACGCAAAAGGGAAGUCACAGCAGGGAGGGAAACGGAGGUCGCGGUGUCGUCGUGGUUGGAAGAGAGUGACACGCGAAGGGUUGGAAGGCGUCAUCGUUGAAGAUAUUGGUUCGGUUAAAUAAAAAAAUUAAUAACUAUCCUUAAAAAAAUAAAUCAAAAUUUUCAAUUAAAUCAGUUAUUUGAUACGUGUUAAUAUCUAAUACAACAUGAUAGGUGUGCCUAAAGGUUAAGUAACUGCAUUCAGCUGAGUUAGUUAGAAUGUAACCAGUGAACUCUGCUUUAGUUAACCCUGUGGUCCAAUUAAGUUAGUUAGCUGCACUAGUUAGUUAAGCCAUUUAGAGAAUUGGUUAGUGCUGGAACCUUCUAGUGACCGGUUCUUAAAUUACAACUAUAAUUAGCAAUUCUUACUGCUACAGUGAUCACUUUUUAUAAUACACAAUCACAUAUUCUACAUUCCCUUCUUUCCUCUCUCUUCUCUCUAAUCUUCUUCUUCUUUAGUUCUUUAAUCUUCAACCUAGGUUCUUUAUACCUUUCAUGGUAUCAGAGCUACGGUGUCACUGCUUCCGUAAGAAAAUGCAAGAAGGCAAAUCUGACUCAAUUGAAGCUCAGUCAUAAUGGCACAAGGAUUUACAGCAACUCUAAUCUCGAUGAAAUUGGAUGAGGAAAAAUAUCUACGGUGGAAAGAUCAAGUAAAAUCAACAAUUGAAGGAAAUGACAUGUUGAAUCACAUUACAGGAGAAGAAAUCCCUUGCAGUUUCUAGUGUCAGAGAACGGUGGAGCUGGUACAGUGAACCCUGAGUUUUAGAAAUGGACGAGGCAAGAUGCACUCCUCAAGUCAUAGUUGUUAGCUUCAAUGAGCAAACCGUUCACAACAAGAAUGGUUGGAUGCACCUAUAUAUGUCAAGUUUGAAAGAGAUUGGAAGAUCACUUCUCCCCUCAGAUCAAGGAAAAGGUAAUGCAGCUGAAAAACCAGCUGAUCACUAUUCAAAUUGGUGCUUCUGUUACAGAUUAUGUGUUGUCUAUAAAAUGAACCAUAGAUGCUUUAGCUUCCGUAGGAGAGACUAUAAAAGAAAGUGACCAUGUGAAUGCGCUUGAACGGUUUGACUGAAGAAUACUCCUCGUUGAUAACCUCUGUCCUAACCACAGCAAGAUACCAAGGCAUAACAGUAGGAGAGUUAGAAGCCUUACUUUUAGCACAUGAAAGCAUAUUAGCAAGAUUUCGGAGACCAAAAACCUUUGUUCAAGCCAAUUAAGCUCAGCACUUUCAACCUAGACAAAAUCAGCAGUCAAGAGGUGGAUUUAGAGGUGGUUUUUGAGGCAGAGGUGGCCGCCCGUACAGAGGAGGCAGAGGCUCAUAUGAAGGUGGCAGAAUGAUGCAAGAACAAUACAAUGGAGGCAGAACAACACAAAGUCAUCCUACCUCUGGCUAUGGAAGAGGGUAGUAUGGAAGAGAAAAUUACAGUGACUCAAGAAACUAUGGGGAUUCAAGAGGCUACAAUCAAGAAAUAAGCUAUAGUCAAUUUGACAAGCCACAAUGUCAAGUGUUUGACAAAAUAGGCCACACAGCAAAAACGUGUUGAUAUAGGUAUGGUGAGGAUCAAUAUGAUGCAGGGUACAAUGAAGGAGGAUACAAUAAUCAGAUAUCUCAGCCCACAGCCAAUUAUAGCAAUGUACUGGCAACUCCAGCAACCAUUCAGGAUCCAAAUUGGUACCCUGAUUCAGGUGCUACGCAUCACAUGACACAUGAUGAACAGAUGGAAAAGGAGGAGUAUGGAGGAGAUGAGCAAGUUGUGAUAGGCAAUAGAACAGAUUUGCAAAUCAAUUUUGUUGGUAAUUUGUGUUUUAAGUUUGAUUUGAGCUCUAGGUUGUUCUCGAUGAGAAAAUUGUUGGAUGUACCUGAGAUUACUAAGAACUUGAUGUGUGUGCAUAAAUUCUGCUGUGAUAACAAAGUUUUCUUUGAAUUUCAUGCUAAUAAAUGUUGCAUUAAAUCUCAAGAAAACAAGGAAGUGGUUCUUCAAGGGAGUGUUGAUAGGGGAUUGUAUAAGUUUGUCAAGUUCACCACUGCACACACACCAGCAACCUAUGUUUCUUCUCUUAAAAGCUUGAAUAAUCUCCUUCUUUGGCAUGCCAGAUUGGGACACCCAAGCAAAAGUGUCAUGUCAAAAGUCCUCAAUACUUGUAAUCUUUCUUUUACAGCUAAUAAACUAGAAUGUCCAGCCUGUUGUAUUGGUAAAUCGCAUCAAUUACCCUUUCCUGUUUCACAAACAAUAUACACAAAACCAUUAGAACUUGUAUACAUAGAUAUUUGGGUCCCAACACCCAUAUCUGACAAUAAUAGAAACUAGUAUUUUGUGAAUUUUAUUGAUGCUUUCUCAAAGUUCACUUGGAUAUAUCUUUUUAAAUCUUGAGUUCAGCUUAAAUCAGUCUUUAAUCACUUUCACCAAAUGAUUGAAUUGCAACUAAACACAAAAUUAAAGAUGGUUUAAAGUGACAAUGCGGUUGAAUAUGUUGGUUUGUCAAAGAUAUUGCAGGAAAGAGGAAUUUGUCACAGGUUUUCUAGUCCGCAUGUACACCAGCAAAAUAGCUUAGCAGAAAGGAAACAUAGGCAUGUGGUUGAAAUGGGGCUAACAUUGCUGGCUGGAGCUUCAAUGCCUACAAAAUUUUGAGGGGAAGCGUUCACAACAAUAGCCAAGUUAAUCAAUGUUACCUACACCAGUCUUACAAGGACAGUCACCAAUAGAGAAACUGUUUGGAAAGAGACCUUCCUAUGAGAACCUAAGAGUGUUUGGGUGUCUAUGUUUUCCUCAUCUAAGACCCUUCAACAAGCACAAGUUAGACUUCUGAUCAUCACCGUGCAUAUUUGUUGGGUAUGGUACAACUCAGAAAGGGUACAAAUGUCUCACUCAACAAGGGAAGAUCAUUACAACUCCAAAUGUAACUUUUGUUGAAGAUAGAUUUCCUUUUGAAGAAGCAGCUAAGCAGGACCAAAAGCUAGAUGAUCAUUACAACUCCAUAUUUGUUGGCAUGAGUCUCAGUCUGGGGUUAUAAAGAAGAACUAACUCCCCUGGUCUGAAUUCUCUCCUUUUUAUGUGCUUGUCAUGGACAGUCUUCAUCUUCUCUUUGUAUCGCCUAGAGUUGUCAUAUGCUUCUAGGCGAAGGUUCUCUAAUUCUGUUAGUUGCAGCUUCCUUUCAGCACCAGCUUCUUCAAAAUUCAUGUUGCACUCCCUCACAGCCCAGAAAUCCUUGUGUUCCACCUCCACUGGAAAGUGGCAACCUUUCCGUACACUAAGCAGAAGGGGCUCAUCCCAAUGGGUGUCUUGUAUGCUGUUCGAUAUGCCAAGAGUGCAUCUUGUAGCCUGGCACUCCAGUCCUUCCUAUGAGGCUUUACUAUCUUCUCUAGAAUGCGCUUUAUUUCUCUAUUAGAUACUUCUGCUUGCCCAUUUGUCUGGAGAUGGUAUGCUGUUGCUACUUUGUGAACUAUCUCAUGCUUCUUCAGUAAUGCUGUUAAUCUCCUGUUACAAAAGUGAGUGCCUUGAUCACUCACGAUUGCUCGUGGUGAUCCAAAGCGACAAAUAAUAUGGUUUCUAACAAAGGAAAUAAUAGUGUUAGCAUCAUCAGUAUGGGUAGGAAAUGCUUCCACCCAUUUAGAAACAUAAUCUAUAGCUAACAGUAUAUAAAGGUAACCACUAGAGUUUGGAAAUGGACCCAUGAAGUCAAUGCCCCAAACAUAAAAAAUUUCACAGAAAAGCAUAAUCUGUUGAGGUAUCUCAUCCCUCUUGGAUAUAUUACCAAACCUUUGGUAUGGGAAACAAGAUUUACAAAAGGUAGCAGCAUCUUUAAAAAGAGUAGGCCACCAGAAUCCACAGUCUAAGAUUUUUCUAGCUAUUCUUUGAGGGCCAAAAUGUCCUCCACUCUCAGAAGAGUGGCAGGCCUCUAAAAUGGACUGGAAUUCUGAUUGGGGCACACACCUUCUAAUUACCUGGUCAACACCACACCUCCAUAAGUAUGGGUCAUCCCAUAUAUAAUAUUUAGACUCACUUUUCAGCUUAUCCCUUUGAUGCUUAGUAGAAUUAGGAGGGAAAGUAUGGCUAACUAGAUAAUUAGCUACAGGUGCAUACCAAGGAACUAUUUCAGAUACCGCAUGCAAGCUAUCAAAUGGAAAAGUAUCAUUAAUAGGAGUGGAGUCAUCCUUAAUGUGCUCAAGGCGACUCAAGUGGUCUGCCACUAAAUUCUGGUUACCACUCCUAUCCUUAAUUUCUAAAUCAAAUUCUUGUAGCAGUAGUAUCCAACAUAUUAGCCUUAGUUUAGACUCUUUUUUAGCUAAUAAAUAUUUUAGAGCUGCAUGGUCUGAGUACACUACUACCUUAGUACCAAGUAAAUAGGCUCAGAAUUUAUCCAGAGCAAAAACAAUAGCCAGAAGCUCUUUUUCAGUAGUAGUGUAAUUAGACUGAGCAGCAUCUAAGGUCUUAGACACAUAAGCAAUUACGAAAGGAUCCUUACCUUCACGCUGAGCCAGCGCCGCUCCUACCGCAUGGUAGGAGGCAUCACACAUAAUCUCAAAAGGCUGGCUCCAAUCUGGUCCUCUCACAAUCGGAGCAUGAGUCAGGGCGAUCUUCAGCUUCUCAAACGCUUGCAUGCAAUCCUCACUGAACUCGAACUCAAUAUCUUUCUGCAGCAGUCUGGAUAAAGGUAAUGCUACCUUACUGAAGUCCUUAACGAAUCUCCUGUAGAAACCUGCAUGGCCAAGGAACGAACAGACUUCCCUCACAGAGGAGGGGUAAGGUAAACUAGAAAUGACAUCUACCUUUGCUGGAUCUACAGAAAUACCAGUACCAGAAACAACAUGUCCUAGAACAAUCCCUUGUUUUACCAUAAAGUGACAUUUUUCAAAAUUCAAUACAAGGUUUGAACUAACACACCUGUCUAAUACUCUAGCUAAACUAUCCAAGCAAAGGUUAAAGGAAUCACCAUAAACGCUAAAAUCAUCCAUGAAUACUUCCAUACAGUUCUCAAUAAGAUCUGAAAAGAUACUCAUCAUGCAUCUUUGGAAAGUAGCCGGUGCAUUACAUAAGCCAAAAGGCAUCCUCUUAUAUGCAUACGUUCCAAAGGGACAUGUAAAAGUAGUCUUCUCCUGAUCUUCAGGAGCUAUAUGAAUUUGGAAAUAGCCUGUAUAACCAUCUAAAAAGCAGUAAUGGAAUUUACCUGACAGGCGAUCAAGCAUCUGAUCAAUAAAUGGCAAGGGGUAGUGAUCCUUGCGAGUAGCUUGGUUGAGACGUAUAUAAUCAAUGCAAACUCUCCAUGAAUUCUGCACUCUAGUAGUCAGAAGUUCUCCAUAUUCAUUCUUUACUGUUGUGACUCCAGACUUCUUGGGCACCACUUGUACUGGACUAACCUAUUCGCUGUCUGAGAUGGAAUAAAUGAUAUCUACUUCAAGUAGCCUGGUCACCUCUUUCUUGACAACUUCCAAGAUGGUGGGAUUCAAUCUUUGAUGAGCGGAUAAUUUAUACGCUUUUUGGCAUUGUUUUUACAUAGUUUUUAGUAUGAUUUAGUUAGUUUUUAGUAUAUUUUUAUUAGUUUUUAAAUAAAAAUCACAUUUCUGGACUUUACUAUGAGUUUGUGUGUUUUUCUGUGAUUUCAGGUAAUUUCUGGCUGAAAUUGAGGGACCUGAGCAAAAAUCUUAUUCAGGCUGAAAAAGGACUGCAGAUGUUGUUGGAUUCUGACCUCUCUGCACUCAAAAUAGAUUUUCUGGAGCUACAGAACUCCAAAUGGCGCGCUCUCAAUUGCGUUGGAAAGUAGACAUCCAGGGCUUUUCAGAAAUAUAUAAUAGUCUAUAUUUUGCCCGAGUUUAGAUGAUUCAAACUGGCGUUCAACGCCAGUUCCAUGCUGCAUUAUGGAGUUAAACGCCAGAAACAGGUUGCAAAGUGGAGUUAAACGCCAGAAACAGGUUACAAACUGGCGUUCAACUCCAAGAGAAGCCUGUACACGUGUAAAGCUCAAUGCUCAACCCAAGCACACACCAAGUGGCCAUCGGCCAUUCUACCCUAUUAUCACUUAUGUAUUUUCAAACGGUAGAGUUUCUACACACCAUAGAUUAAGGUGUGGAGCUCUGCUGUUCCUCAUGAAUUAAUACAAAGUACUAUUGUUUUUCUAUUCAAUUCAACUUAUUCCUUCUCUAAGAUAUCCAUUCGCACCCAAGAACAUGAUGAAUGUGAUGAUUAUGUGACGCUCAUCAUCAUUCUCACUUAUGAACGCGUGCCUGACAAACACUUCCGUUCUACAUGUAAACAAGCUAGAAUGAGUAUCUCUUUGAUAUCUAAUACAGGGGACCGAGUCCGAGAUAUUAGAAUCUUCGUGGUAUAAGUUAGAACCCAUGGAUGGCCAUUCCUGAGAUCCGGAAAGUCUAAACCUUGUCUGUGGUAUUCCGAGUAGGAUCUGGGAAGGGAUGGCUGUGACGAGCUUCAAACUCACGAGUGCUGGGCGUAGUGACAGACGCAAAAGGAUAGUAAAUCCUAUUCCAGUAUGAUCGAGAACCGACAGAUGAUUAGCCAUGCAGUGACAGCGCAUUGGACCAUUUUCACAGAGAGGAUGGGAUGUAGCCAUUGACAACGGUGAUGCCCUACAUAAAGCUUGCCAUGGAAAGGAGUAGGAAUGAUUGGAUGAAGACAGCAGGAAAGCAGAGGUUCAGAGGAACGAAAGCAUCUCUAUACGUUUAUCUGAAAUUCUCACCAAUGAAUUACAUAAGUAUCUCUAUCCUAGUUUAUGUUUUAUUUAUAUUUUAAUUAUUAAAACUCUAUAACCAUUUGAAUCCGCCUGACUGAGAUUUACAAGGUGACCAUAGCUUGCUUCAAGCCGACAAUCUCCGUGGGAUCGACCCUUACUCACAUAAGGUUUAUUACUUGGACGACCUAGUUCACUUGCUAGUUAGUUGUGCGAAGUUGUGACAAAGAACUAAGAUUAUGAACUUGCGUAAUUAGUUUUUAGCGCCAUUACCAAGGAAGGAACGAUCACGAUUUCUGUGCAUCAAGUUUUGGCGCCGUUGCCGGGGAUUGUUCGAGUUUGGACAACUGACGGUUCAUCUUGUUGCUCAGAUUAGGUAAUUUUCUUCUUGUUUCAAUUUUUAUUUGGUUUUCAAAAAUUUUUCUUUGUUUUCGUUUUUCUUAAAAUAAAUUUUUGAAAAAUAAAAAAAUUUAAUAAAAUCAUAAAACCAAAAAUAUUUUGUGUUUCUUGUUUGAGUCUAGAGUAAAGUUUUAAGUUUGGUGUCAAUUGCAUCUUUUUAAUUUUCUAAAAAUUAUUUUUGAAAAUUUCAUGCAUUGCAUUCUUCAUGAUCUUCAAGUCGUUCUUAGCCAGUCUUCUUGUUUGAUCUUCAUAUUUUCUUGUUUUGUGUCUUUUCUUGUUUUUCAUAUGCAUUUUCAAUUUGUUAGUGUCUAAAAAAUUAAAAAUUUCUAAGUUUGGUGUCUUGCAUGUUUUCUUUUCUUGAAAAUUUUUCAAAAAUAAGUUCUUGAUGUUCAUCUUGACAUUCAAAGUGUUCUUGGUGUUCAUCUUAACAUUCAUAGUGUUCUUGCAUGCAUCACAUGUUUUGAUCCAAAAUUUUCAUGCAUUGAGUCUUUUUGAUGUUUUUCUCUUUCAUCAUUAAAAAUUCAAAAAAUCAAAAAAAUAUCUUUCCCUUUUUCACUCAUAAAAUUCAAAAAUUUGAGUUGAAUUUUUCAAAAAUUUUUAAAAUCUAGUUGUUUCUUAUGAGUCAAAUCAAAUUUUGAAUUUAAAAAUUCUAUCUUUUUCAAAAAUCAAAUCUUUUUCAAUUUUUCUUUCAAAUUUUCGAAAAUUCCAAAUUGAUUUUCAAAAAUCUUUUUCUUAUUUUCUAUUUCAUAUUUUCAAAGUUAAUGCUAACAAUUAAUGUGAUUGAUUCAAAAAUUUUAAAAGUUUGUUACUUGCCUCUNNNNNNNNNNNNNNNNNNNNNNNNNNNNNNNNNNNNNNNNNNNNNNNNNNNNNNNNNNNNNNNNNNNNNNNNNNNNNNNNNNNNNNNNNNNNNNNNNNNNNNNNNNNNNNNNNNNNNNNNNNNNNNNNNNNNNNNNNNNNNNNNNNNNNNNNNNNNNNNNNNNNNNNNNNNUAUUUUAUUUAACUAAUUGUUUUAAUUUUUAAUUUAAUUUUAUUUCAAUUUUAAUUUUCAAAAUUUAACUUUAAAUUUUAUUUUUAAUUUAAUUAAUUUUCAAAAUUCCCUCUCUCUCAUCUCCUUCUAAUUAUUUAUUCAUUUACUAACACUUCUCUUCCACCCAAAAUUCGAACAUCAUCUUCCUCUCUGUGUUUGAGUUUUUCUCUUCCCCUCCUUUUAUUCUUCUCUUCUACUCACAUACAGGAAUCUCUAUAGUGUGACAUAGAGGAUUCCAUAUUUUCUUUUCUAUUUUCUUCUUUUUCAUAUAAGCAGGAACAAGGAUAAGAACAUUCUUGUUGAAGCUGAUCCUGAACCUGAAAGGACUCUAAAGAGGAAGCUAAGGGAAGCCAAAGCACAACUCUCUGGAGAAAAUCUUACAGAAAUUUUUGAAAAAGAAGAAAACAUGACCGAAAAUAAUAACAAUGCAAGGAAGAUUCUUGGUGAAUUUACUGCACCAAAUUCCAAUUUACAUGGAAGAAGCAUCUCAAUUCCUGCCAUUGGAGCAAACAACUUUGAGCUUAAACCUCAAUUAGUUUCUCUGAUGCAACAAAACUACAAGUUUCAUAGACUUCCAUCUGAAGAUCCUUUUCAGUUCUUAACUGAAUUCUUGUAGAUCUGUGAUACUGUUAAGACCAAUGGGGUUGAUCCCGAGGUCUACAGGCUUAUGCUUUUCCCAUUUGCUGUAAGAGACAGAGCUAGAAUAUGGUUGGACUCUCAACCUAAGGAUAGCCUGAACUCUUGGGAUAAGCUGGUCACGGUUUUCUUAGCCAAGUUCUUUCCUCCUCAAAAGCUUAGUAAGCUUAGAGUGUAUGUUCAAACCUUCAAACAGAAAGAAGGUGAAUCCCUCUAUGAAGCUUGGGAGAGAUACAAGGAACUGACCAAAAAGUAUCCUUCUGACAUGCUUUUAGAAUGGACCAUCCUGGAUAUAUUCUAUGAUGGUCUGUCUGAGCUAUCAAAGAUGUCACUGGACCAUUCUGCAGGUGGAUCCAUUCAACUAAAGAAAACGCCUGCAGAAGCUCAAGAACUCAUUGACAUGGUUGCAAAUAACCAGUUCAUGUACACUUCUGAAAGGAAUCCUGUGAAUAAUGGGAUGCCUAUGAGGAAGGGAGUUCUUGAAAUUGAUACUUUGAAUGCCAUAUUGGCUCAGAACAAAAUAUUGACUCAGCAAGUCAAUAUGAUCUCUCAGAGUCUGAAUGGAUUGAAGGAAUCAUCCAACAGUACUAAAGAGGCAUCUUCUGAAGAAAAAGCUUAUGAUCCUAAGAACUCUGCAAUAGCAGAGGUGAAUUACAUAGGUGAACCCUAUGGAAACACCUAUAAUCCCUCAUGGAGGAAUCAUCUAAAUUUCUCAUGGAAGGAUCAACAAAAGCCUCAACAAGGCUUUAACAAUGGUGGAAGAAACAAGUUUAGCAAUAGCAAGCCUUUUUCAUCAUCCACUCAGCAAAAGACAGAGAGUUCUGAGCAGGAUCCAUCUAGCUUAGCAAACAUAGUCUCUGAUCUAUCUAAGGCCACUCUAAGUUUCAUGAAUGAAACAAGGUCAUCCAUUAGAAAUUUGGAGGCACAAGUGGGCCAGCUGAGUAAAAGAGACACUGAAAUCCCUCCUAGUACUCUCCCAAGCAAUACAUAAGAGAAUCCAAAAAGAGAGUGCAAGGCCAUUGAUUUAACCAUCAUGGCCGAACCUACAAGGGAGGGAGAGGACGUGAAUCCCAGUGAGAAAGACCUUCUGGGACGUCCAGUGAUCAACAAGGAGUUUUCCUCUGAGGAACCAAAGGAAUCUGAGGCUCAUCUAAAGACCAUAGAGAUUCCAUUGAACCUCCUUAUGCCAUUCAUGAGCUCUGAUGAGUAUUCUUCUUCUGAAGAGAAUGAAGAUGUCACUGAAGAGCAAGUUGCUAAGUACCUUGGUGCAAUCAUGAAGCUGAAUGCCAAAUUAUUUAAUGAGACUUGGGAAGAUAAACCUCCCUUGCUCAUCAAUGAACUGAGUGAUUUGGAUCAACUGACAUUGCCUCAGAAGAAACAGGAUCCUGGAAAGUUCUUAAUACCUUGUACCAUAGGCACCAUGACCUUUGANNNNNNNNNNNNNNNNNNNNNNNNNNNNNNNNNNNNNNNNNNNNNNNNNNNNNNNNNNNNNNNNNNNNNNNNNNNNNNNNNNNNNNNNNNNNNNNNNNNNNNNNNNNNNNNNNNNNNNNNNNNNNNNNNNNNNNNNNNNNNNNNNNNNNNNNNNNNNNNNNNNNNNNNNNNNNNNNNNNNNNNNNNNNNNNNNNNNNNNNNNNNNNNNNNNNNNNNNNNNNNNNNNNNNNNNNNNNNNNNNNNNNNNNNNNNNNNNNNNNNNNNNNNNNNNNNNNNNNNNNNNNNNNNNNNNNNNNNNNNNNNNNNNNNNNNNNNNNNNNNNNNNNNNNNNNNNNNNNNNNNNNNNNNNNNNNNNNNNNNNNNNNNNNNNNNNNNNNNNNNNNNNNNNNNNNNNNNNNNNNNNNNNNNNNNNNNNNNNNNNNNNNNNNNNNNNNNNNNNNNNNNNNNNNNNNNNNNNNNNNNNNNNNNNNNNNNNNNNNNNNNNNNNNNNNNNNNNNNNNNNNNNNNNNNNNNNNNNNNNNNNNNNNNNNNNNNNNNNNNNNNNNNNNNNNNNNNNNNNNNNNNNNNNNNNNNNNNNNNNNNNNNNNNNNNNNNNNNNNNNNNNNNNNNNNNNNNNNNNNNNNNNNNNNNNNNNNNNNNNNNNNNNNNNNNNNNNNNNNNNNNNNNNNNNNNNNNNNNNNNNNNNNNNNNNNNNNNNNNNNNNNNNNNNNNNNNNNNNNNNNNNCUUUACAUCCCUGCUGAUUUCAUAAUCCUAGACACUGGGAAGGAUGAGGAUGAAUCCAUCAUCCUUGGAAGACCCUUCCUAGCCACAGCAAGAGCUGUGAUUGAUGUGGACAGAGGAGAAUUGAUCCUUCAACUGAAUGAGGACAAUCUUGUGUUUAAAACUCAAGGAUCUCCUUCUGUAACCAUGGAGAGGAAGCAUGAAAAGCUUCUCUCACUGCAGAGUCAACCAAAGCCCCCAAAGUCAAACUCUAAGUUUGGUGUUGGGAGGCCAUAACCAAACUCUAAGUUUGGUGUUGAACCCCCACAUUCAAACUCUAAGUUUGGUGUUGGGAGGUUCCAACCUUGCUCUGAACAUCUGUGAGGCUCCAUGAGAGCUCACUGUCAAGCUAUUGACAUUAAAGAAGCGCUUGUUGGGAGGCAACCCAAAGUUAUCUAAUUAUAUUUAUUUAUUUUCUAUUGUUAUUUUCUGUUUUCCUUAGGUUGAUGAUCAUGUGAAGUCACAAAAACUACUGAAAAAUCAAAAACAAAAUAAAAAAUAGCAGAAGAAACAGCACACCCUGGAGGAGAGCAGUAUGGCGUUUAAACGCCAGAAACAGGCACCAAGCUGGCGUUUAACGCCAGAAACAAGCAUCUACCUGGCGUUAAACGCCAGAACAGAGCAUGGAAGUGGCGUUUAAUGCCAGAAACAGGCAGCAGUCUGGCGUUAAACGCCAGGAUUGCAUGUAUAGGGCAUUUUACACGUCUAAAAGGUGCAGGGAUGAAAAACCCUUGACACCUCAGGAUCUGUGGACCCCACAGGAUCCCCACCUACCCUUCUUCUCUCUCUUCACACCUUUUCAUGACUCUCUUCCCCAAAUACCCUUCACCAAUCAACUCAAUCACUCUUCCCCAUCACCUCUUCACCACUCACAUCCAUCUUCUCUUCCCCAUAAACCCUACCUACCUUCAAAUUCAAAAUAUUUUCUCUCCCAAACCCAACCCUAAUGGCCGAAACUUAACCCUCCCCCACUUCUAUAUAAAUCCCUCAUUCCUUCUUCUAUUUCACAAACACAACCCUCUCUUCUUCCCCUUGACCGAAACCACCUUUCUCUCCCUCUCCUCCAUUUCUCUUCUUCUUCUACUUCUACUUCUUUCUUUCUUCUUUUGCUCGGGGACGAGCAAACAUUUUAAGUUUGGUGUGGUAAAAGCAUAGCUUUUUGUUUUUCCAUAACCAUCAAUGGCACCUAAGGCUAGAGAAACCUCAAGAAAGAGGAAAGGGAAGGCAAUUGUUUCCACCUCUGAGCCAUGGAAGAUGGAGAGAUUCAUCUCAAAUGUUCAUCAAGACCACUUCUAUGAAGUUAUUGCCAAGAAGAAAGUGAUCCCUAAGGUUCCUUUCAAGCUCAAAAAGAAAGAGUAUCCGGAGAUCCGACUUGAGAUCCAAAGAAGAGGUUGGGAAGUUCUCACCAACCCCAUUCAACAAGUCGGGAUCCUAAUGGUUCAAGAGUUCUAUGCAAACGCAUGGAUUACUAGGAACCAUGAUCAAAGUGUGCACCCGAAUCCAAAGCAUUGGCUUACCAUAGUUCGGGAAAAAUACUUAGAUUUCAGUCCGAAAAAUGUAAGGCUGGGAUUCAACUUGCCAAUGAUGGAAGAGAACGCACGCCCCUACACAAGAAGGGUCAACUUUGAUCAAAGGUUAGACCAAGUCCUCAUAGACAUAUGUGAGGAAGGAGCUCAAUGGAAAAUUGACUCAAGAGGCAAGCCGGUUUAACUAAGAAGGCAUGACCUCAAACCAUUGGCUAGGGGAUGGCUAGAGUUCAUUCAACACUCAAUUAUUCCUACUAGCAACCGGUCUGAAGUUACUAUAGACCGGGCCAUCAUGAUCCAUAGUAUCAUGAUUGGAGAGGAGGUCGAAGUUCAUGAGAUUAUACCUCAAGAACUCUACAAGGUGGCUGACAAGUCCUCCACUUUGGCAAGGUUAGCCUUUCCUCACCUCAUAUGCCACCUUUGCAAUUCGGCUGGAACUGACAUAGAGGGAGACAUCCUCAUUGAAGAGGAUAAGCCCAUCACUAAGAAAAGGAUGGAGCAAACAAGAGAUCAUGGACCUCAACAUGAGCAUGAGGAGAUUCCUCACCAUGAAAUCCCUGAGAUGCCUCAAGGGAUGCACUUUCCUCCACAGAAUUAUUGGGAGCAAAUCAACACCUCCCUAGGAGAAUUAAGUUCAAACAUGGGACAACUAAGGGUGGAGCACCAAGAGCACUCCAUCAUCCUCCAUGAAAUUAGAGAAGAUCAAAGAGCUAUGAGGGAGGAGCAACAAAGACAAGGAAGAGACAUAGAGGAGCUCAAGAGCACCAUUGGUUCUUCAAGAAGAGGAAGACGCCACCCUCACUAAGGUGGACUCAUUCCUUAAUCUUCUUGUUUAUUUAUUUUCCUAUUUUUUUAUUUUUGAGCUUUAUGUUUAUUUAUGUUUGUGUUUUAUUACAUGAUCAUUAGUGUCUAAGUGUCUAUGCCUUAAAGUUAUGAAUAUGAAUCCAUCACCUCUCUUAAAUGAAAACUGUUUUAAUUACAAAAGAAUAAGAAGUACAUGGUUUUGAAUUCAUCCUUGAAACUGGUUUAAUUAUUUUGAUGUGGUGACAAUACUUUUUGUUUUCUGAAUGAAUGCUUGAACAGUGCAUACGUCUUUUGAAGUUGAUGUUUAUGAAUGUUAAAUAUGUUAGCUCUUGAAGAAUAAGGAAAAAGGAGAAAUGUUAUUUGAUAAUCUGAAAAAUCAUAAAAAUGAUUUUUGAAGCAAGAAAAAGCAGUGAAUACAGAAGCUUGCAGAAAAAAAAAAUAUAGCGAAAAAAAAAGAAAAAGAAAAAGCAAGCAGAAAAAGCCAAAAGCUCUUUAAACCAAAAGGCAAGAGCAAAAAACCAAUAGCCCUUAAAACCAAAAGGCAAGGGUGUUUAGUUAGUUUUUAGUAUAUUUUUAUUAGUUUUUAAAUAAAAAUCACAUUUCUGGACUUUACUAUGAUUUUGUGUGUUUUUCUGUGAUUUCAGGUAAUUUCUGGCUGAAAUUGAGGGACCUGAGCAAAAAUCUGAUUCAGGCUUGAAAAGGACUGCAGAUGUUGUUGGAUUCUGACCUCUCUGUACUCAAAGUAGAUUUUCUGGAGCUACAAAACUCCAAAUGGCGCGCUCUCAAUUGAGUUGGAAAGUAGACAUCCAGGGCUUUUCAGAAAUAUAUAAUAGUCCAUAUUUUGCCCUAGUUUAGAUGAUGCAAACUGGCGUUCAAUGCCAGUUCUAGGCUGUAUUAUGGAGUUAAACGCCAGAAACAGGUUGCAAAGUGGAGUUAAACGCCAGAAACAGGUUACAAAUUGGCGUUCAACUCCAAGAGAAGCCUGUACACGUGUAAAGCUCAAUGCUCAACUCAAGCACACACCAAGUGGACCCCGGAAGUAGAUUUCAGCAUCAUUUACUCAUUUCUGUAAACCCUAGUAACUAGUUUAGUAUAAAUAGGACUUUUUACUAUUGUAUUUACAUCUUUAGUUUCAUCUUUAGACCUCCAUGGGAGGCUGGCCACUCGGCCAUUCUACCCUAUUAUCACUUAUGUAUUUUCAAACGGUAGAGUUUCUACACACCAUAGAUUAAGGUGUGGAGCUCUACUGUUCCUCAUGAAUUAAUGCAAAGUACUAUUGUUUUUCUAUUCAAUUCAACUUAUUCCUUCUCUAAGAUAUCCAUUCGCACCCAAGAACAUGAUGAAUGUGAUGAUUAUGUGACGCUCAUCAUCAUUCUCACUUAUGAACGCGUGCCUGACAAACACUUCCGUUCUACAUGUAAACAAGCUAGAAUGAGUAUCUCUUAGAUAUCUAAUAUAGGGGACCGAGUCCGAGAUAUUAGAAUCUUCGUGGUAUAAGUUAGAACCCAUGGAUGGCCAUUCCUGAGAUCCGGAAAGUCUAAACCUUGUCUGUGGUAUUCCGAAUAGGAUCUGGGAAGGGAUGGCUGUGACGAGCUUCAAACUCGCGAGUGCUGGGCAUAGUGACAGAUGCAAAAGGAUAGUAAAUCCUAUUCCAGUAUGAUCGAGAACCGACAGAUGAUUAGCCAUGCAGUGACAGCGCAUUGGACCAUUUUCACAGAGAGGAUAGGAUGUAGCCAUUGACAACGGUGAUGCCCUACAUAAAGCUUGCCAUGGAAAGGAGUAGGAAUGAUUGGAUGAAGACAGCAGGAAAGCAGAGGUUCAGAGGAACGAAAGCAUCUCUAUACGCUUAUCUGAAAUUCUCACCAAUGAAUUACAUAAGUAUCUCUAUCCUAGUUUAUGUUUUAUUUAUAUUUUAAUUAUUAAAACUCUAUAACCAUUUGAAUCCGCCUGACUGAGAUUUACAAGGUGACCAUAGCUUGCUUCAAGUCAACAAUCUCCGUGGGAUCGACCCUUACUCACGUAAGGUUUAUUACUUGGACGACCCAGUGCACUUGCUGGUUAGUUGUGCGAAGUUGUGACAAAUAACUAAGAUUAUGAACGUGCGUAAUUAGUUUUUAGCGCCGUUACCAAGGAAGGAACGAUCACGAUUUCUACGCACCAAUCUUCUUUGGGGUUGACAGACAGGCCUUGCUCCCUCUUCUAAGUAUAUUCUGUGCUCACAAACUUGAGGGUUGAUGCCUACUAUAUCCGCCAAGAUCCACCCAAUUGCUUUCUUAUGUUUUCUCAGCACACUAAGCAGUUGCUCCUCUUGUUGGGAAGUGAGUUCCCUUGCAAUGAUAACUGGGAAUUUCUAAUUAUCCUCAAGGUAAGCAUACUUGAGGUGGGGAGGAAGUGGCUUUAAUACCAAUUUUUGCUCAUGGCUAGGUUCUGGAUUAUCUUGAGCUAAUGAUAAUGGCAAAGUGUCCUCAUUGUGUUCAGAGGGUGUCCCCACACUUGGACCUUGCUCCAUGUGCUUCUCUUCUACUUCUUCUUGGUGAACUUCAGCUACAGUUUCAUCAAUGAUGUCGCAUUGGAAGAUAGAAUGAUCUUCUGGAGGGUGCUUCAUAGCUUCAUUUAAACUGAAACUCACUGCUCUGCCAUCUAUCUCAAAGGAGUAAGUUCCUGAGAAUGCAUCCAGCUUGAACUUCGAAGUCUUCAGGAAUGGUCUUCCUAGCAGGAUUGAUGAUGGUCUUUUUGAGUCAUUAGGGGGCAUUUCCAGGAUAUAGAAGUCAAUGGAAAAUGUGAGCCCCUUAAUGCUCACUAAUACAUCUUCAGCAAUUUCAACUACUGUAAUAAUGCUUUUAUCUGCUAAUACAAAAUGAGCUGCCGACCUUUUUAAGGGAGGAAGCCUCAAAGCAUCAUAUAUAGACAAUGGCAUUAUACUAACACACGCUCCUAAAUCACACAUGCAGUCAGAAAAUAUUACACCUCCAAUGGUACAGUUAACCAUGCAUGGACCUGGACCUCCCAUUAAAGCAGAUAUAGAACUACCUAAAGGAAUAGUUUCUAAUUCAUUAAUUUUUUCUUUAUGUAUGCAUAAAUCUUUCAGAAACUUUGCAUAUUUAGGUACUUGUUGAAUAACAUCAAAAAGAGGAACAGUUACCUCAACCUUUUUGAAAAUUUCUACCAUUUUGGGAUCAAGUUCCAUCUGCUUUCUGGACUUCCGUGCAAGGUGUGGAAAUGGGAUAGGGAUGGCGCCACUUGCAGCCUCUGCAUCCUUUGGUGCUCCAUUCCUUGGCUGAGCUACUUCUUCUUCAACCUUGUCUUGUACUUCUUCUUCCUCUUCAGCAUCUUCCACUUCAACUAUGUCUUCAACUGGGGUGUGUUCUAGCGGGCUUGGUUCCUCCUGAUUCCUCUCUGGCAGUGUGAUUCCGGACCUUAGAGUGAUGGUAUUGAUGCCACCCUUGGGGUUAGGUAAGGUUUGAGAAGGAAUUUCACUGGAGCUUGAAGGCUGGUUGGUGGAAGCAGGUAAAGAAUCUAUUCGGGAGACGAGAGCUUGUAAAGUGGCAUUCAGACCAUUUAGAGUAGAGUUUAGUGUAGUCUGCAUGUCUUGUUGUCCUUGUGCAAGAGAACGAAGCAUCUCGUCAUUUGAUGAGGAAGGGGGAUAAGUAAUUUGAGGGACCUGUUGUUGGUUGUGCUGGGAUCCUUGUGACUGUCUCAGGUGAGGUGCUCUGUAAGGUUAGUUCUGAUUUUGCUGUCUGUUGUUGUUAUUCCACCUCUGAUUUCCUUGGUUGUCUCUGCCUCCUCUGUUAUAGUUGUCCCUCCAGCCAUGGUUGGAAUUAUCUCUCCAACCUUGGUUGGAGUUGUCUUGCCAUCCUUGGUUAUAGUUUCCACCUUGGUUGUAGUUCCCGCCUUGUUGAUUGUAUCAUUGAUUCGGGCGGUCAUAAAAGUUAUGAGUAGCUGCCACAGUGUUGUCUUCUUGUUGGAGCUGCGGGUAUUCAUUAGUAUAAUGACUAUAAUCAGCACAGAUUCUGCAUACUCUUUGAGGAACUAACUGUUGGCUUUGUUGUGGUGGGGAAGGCUGAGUUUGUUGUUGAUUCAACUGCAUCUGCUUCAGUAGGUUGGUCAUUUUACGUAUACUCUGUGUAAGAGCAGUAGUCUCACUGCUAGAGGAAACCUCUGCAACAGUCUUUGAGUGGCUGUUCCUGUGCCUGUGAUUUCUAGUGGACUCAGCUAAGUCACUGAUCAGUUGCCAUGCUUCAUCUGCGGUCUUGUACUUUUUCAGAGAACCAUUACUAGCACCAUCCAGUGUAGUUUUAUCCCGAUGCUUCAUGCCUCGAGUGAAGUAGCUGAUCAACACUAACCUGUCAAUCAUGUGAUGGGGGCAUGCGUCCAGAAAGUUCUUAAAGCGCUCCCAGUACUCAUAGAAAGUCUCCGAUUCACCCUGAACAAUACAGGACAUCUCUUUCCUCAAUCUAUCUGUGACUUCAGCUGGAAAGUAUUUUUUCAGGAAUUCUCUCCUGAGCGUAUCCCAGUUGGCGACAGUUGCUUCAGGUUGGGAGUAGUACCACUCCCUCGCCUUUCCCUCAAGAGAAAAUGGGAAGGCGGUUAACAGAAUAGAAGUUUUAUUUGCACCAUGACGCCUUACAGUAGAACAGGCUGUCUGAAAAUCCCUUAGGUACUUGAUAGGCUCCUGAGCAAGUAAGCCAUGAAACUUGGGCAUCAUGUUGAUUAGUGCAGUCUUCAACUCAAAAUCUGUAGCUAGAGUUGGAUGAUGCACUUGAUACGGCUGCAGUGUAAAAUCUGGAGCUCCAGCUUCCUGGAGAGUAAUCCUCCUAGGUGCUGCCAUGUUAUCUACACGUGAAUCAACUGAAUCAGUAGUAAAGGAGCUUGUUUCUUCCUCAGAUGGCAGUUCAGAUUCGCCCUCAGAUGAGACUAGUGAAUCGAUAACAAUCACUUCACCACCCUCAGAGGCUAACCUGCGCCAAGCUCGCCUAAUACGUGAAAGAGUUCUUUCAAUUUCAGGAUCAAAUGCAGCUAAGCUCGGAUCAGGCAGUGAACGCGUCAUUCAAUGAAAGAAACAUACAGCUCAUGGUAAUAAAAUAAAAUAAAAUACGCAAAUAAAAUAGAAAUAUGUACACUAAUUAAUAAUUCAGCACACAAUUGCAACUCCCCGGCAACGACGCCAAAAAUUGAUGCGUGGCAGAAAUUAGACCAAUUAAGAGAUUAUAAUAUAAGAACAGCGUUGCGAGUAUAGCUCUUAACCAGCAAAAAUCUGCCUCAUCAAUUUAGAAAGGUUGUCACAAAAGUUUAGAAUAAAAAUACUGGGAGUAUGAGUCCCAGGUCGUCUCCCAACGAGUUGCUAGAAAGGGUGUUAAGUUAUUAAUCAGAAGUUUUCCAAGAAUUUUGAGAGUUGAAUAAUAGAAAAUAAACAAUUGUAAUUAAGUACAAUGAAAAUUAAAAGGAAUUUAUAUUAUUCAAAAUAAAAAGUCUUGACUGCGAAAAUGAUUAAUUGGAAGUUCUAUCCUUGUUAGAAUUCUCUCAAGUGUAGUAUAAAGAGGUUGUUAUUUUCACUUAGUUAACCCUUAAUAAAUAAAGGAAAGUCAAGUGAUUGAGCUAACCCUUAUUCGCAAAUCCUAGUCCUCUCCCUUGGAAAGGUCUAGCGUUAGUAAAUACAGAAUUAGCCAACAACUUCCAAUUUAACUAACCACUUGAGCAUUCCAACUCAAGUGUCUCCUCUUAAUCAACCCCCAUGUCAAGUAGGAAAUCUACUCUAUUGACAUGGAUACCAUCUUUGUUAUUGGGAGUUUGGAAUAGAAAAGAGACAUGAUAAUUUAAAUAAAAUAGUGAUUCAAAAUUAAUUAAAAGUAAAAGUAAUCAUUUGUAUUAACAAUCCAUGAAAAUAAUCCAAUAGUAACUUUAAACAAGAAUUAAGAAUAUGGAAUAAUUAAAGGAGUAAGAAAACAAACUAGAAUAGUAUCUUCAACGGAGGUGAUGACUCUUCAAUAUCCAAAAGCAAAAGCAUAAAACUAAUAAUCUAUGAAUGUAAAGAAAACCUAGAGGAAGAGUGAUUUUCUCUCUAGAUUCAGAUCUAAAAACCUAAAACUGUGCUAAUGAGAAUGUCUGUUGAGUCUCUGCAGGUUCUCUGGCUCUAGUCUGUGUUUUUGGGCCAAAAACUGGGUCAAAACUCGGCCCAAAAUCGCCCCCAGUAUUUUCUGUUAUUUCUGCAGAUCGCGCACGUCACGCGUACGCGUCAGGCACGCACACGCGUCAUCUUGCAAAACUCCAAUCCACGCGUAUGCGUCAGGCACGCGCACACAUCACUGCAAAUUUCUCCAUAUCGCGCGCUCGCGUGAGCCAUGCGUGCGCGUCGAUGCUCGCUAGUUAUCUCCUUAGUUUCUUGUGCUCCUUCCAUUUUUUUGCAAGCUUCCUCUCCAUUCUCUAAGUCAUUCCUGCCCUAUAAAGCCUGAAACACUUAACACACGGAUCACGGCAUCGAAUGGUAUAAAGGAGAAUUAAAAUAUACUAAUUAAAGAUCUCUAGGAAGCAAGUUUUCAACCAUAAAACAAAACUAGGAAGGGAUUGUAAAAUCAUGCAAAUGAUAUGAAUAAGUAGGUAAAGACCUGAUGAAACCACUCAAUUAAUCACAAGAUAAACCAUAAAAUAGUGGUUUAUCAGUAAACAACCGACGCAUGAGCUCAUGUCCUGCUUAGGACAGACAUGCAUCAUAUUAUUUGCGUAUUUGUAUUUGGUUGUAUUUUGCUUGUUGUAUUUUCUCUGUGAAUGUGCUAGUUGUCUUAUUCUUCCUUGCUUGUGUGUUCAAUUGGAUCUUUGGUACUACUAGUUUACGUAUUAAAGUGUUUAAGAAUUAUUGUUGUAAAUGAGUUUUGUUCUAAGUUCAGAAAUUUUAAUGAAAGCAAUUAAUUGUCUAAAGUAAAAUUAGAAUGUAUUUUCAAAGGCUUGAGAAAAGAAUAGUUUUACCAAUUAAAGUCAAUUAUUCGCAUUUUGUUCAUUACUUUUACGGCAUUCACUUUUCCUAUUGAGAACAUGCGAGGACGACGUUCUCACCCCACUAGAGAUUUUUCUUUCAGCAAUAGGUUCAGGAAUCCUUGGCAUGGAGCUGCGACUGAACAUCGGAGCUAUAUAUAUGUAAAUAUGUACUCCGUAUUUUCUGUAGUUGGUUUAGCCUUAGACUUUUCCCUCGCCAUUUAUUGCCUUUGAUUUUUUUUAGAGGGGUAGGACUUGUAUUUGAGAAUCUUGGAAUAAGUCUAUGUAUAUAUUGCUAUGUGAGUAUAUAUAUUUUUGUGAUUAAGAGUUUUAAAGUAAAGACCUUUCGAUUUCUUGACUAAAAUUUCGGUUCGUAUUUGUGAAGGCUCAAUAUUAAAUAAGGAUAGUAUAAAAUAAAAAGGUUUAGAGGUAAGUAACGCCUAAGCUUUUAGUAUGAUCAUGAGGUGCUAAAAGUUAGGGUGUUACAUUAUGGUACCAGAGCAGUUCGUUCCUGUUAGAGCCUUGGGAAUGGACUGACUAUGCUUCACUGCAUAUUCUGAGUGUCUAUCAUGCGAUAGGACUUGUCUUAAUGGCAAGAGUUUAGAUUUUAUAUGCAUGAUUGACCGUUGAUUAGCACUGUUAGCUUACCGUUGCAUUCCUCAUAGUAUUAGGUCUGGCCAACUUAAUACUAAUGAUUUAUGUAUAUGGGAACACUAAUGGGUUGUCAUGGACGAAAUAGGAAUAAUAAAUAAUGCGAAAUACGGGGUUUGGGGACGUUAGAGGUUAUGAAGAUAGCUUGGUUUCGAAGUAUAACCCUUAUUCGUGCUAAUGUGGAUCUCUUCCUUGAUUGUUUGCUGUAAAAUUCUUUGUUUCGAACUUCCUUCUUGGGAUAUGAUUGAUUUAUAUUCUAACCAUAUCUUAUCGCCAAUGCAUAUCCUUGAUUGACUAUGUUCCUAUGCAUUGCUUGGAUCUUUUGGAUCAUUCACCAUUAUCGCUAUUUACCUAUCAUUGUUUUGUGCAUCUUUGUUAGAGUCUAAUUUUAAGCAUCUUUCUAAAAUCUCUUUAACAUAGUACUUUUUCUGUUACCUUCAUAAGAUAUAAUUUCUUUUACAUUUGAAAAACUGAACACGCAAAACCUUUCUAUUUCAUUUCUUUGGUAUUUCUUAAAAUGGAGUUGAUAAGAGUCUUUUUCAUUUUAUAUCAAUUUUCGAGAGCAAAAAUUUUUGUAAGAUGGGUAGAAUAUAACAACUCGAGUUUUUAAAAUUUAAAUAAUGAGUGAUUUACGAUUUAUUAUAUUUGUUAAUAAUUUUACUUAAUAAAAGUNNNNNNNNNNNNNNNNNNNNNNNNNNNNNNAUGACACCUGCUUUCUUUCAUUAAUUGGCUAUGCCACCUAAUAAAAUUUACACCACAAAUCCCCAUCAAUCAUAACAUUCAUCCUUUCAAUUUAUUCAUGUCAUGUCAUGGGCAAGAAAAAGAAAGAAAGACCGAGAGAGAGAAUUUGAGCUUCCAUGGAACCGUAACCCUCACCAAAGAUUUUAACUUUGAUUUUUUGAGAUUCGUAACUUCAAUAAAAAAUCUAAUUUGAUAAAAGUGUUCGUAUCCUACUUUUUUACAUAUUGGUAUUACUUUUGUCCAGUAGAAGUUGACAAUGCCAUAGCUUUUCUUUCUCUUAAGUUCGACCAAUUAGAAUUUUAGGAGGCACAAAUAAUUUCUGACGUUUUCUUCUUCAGCAGCUCGAUCAAAAAGUUUUUUCAAAAUCUUCGUUGACUUUGAUUUCGUAUGGAGGUAGAGAUUUUGUUUUUAAAAUUAUAAAUUUUUAAUUCAUGAAUACUCAAAAGCUUAAUGAGUAAUUGCAAAUAGUUUAUGACUAUCUGGAUUGGUUGAAUAACGAAUUUGUGUUAGAUUUGUGAUUGUAAAAAUAAUUGAAUUUGAUGAAUAUGUGUUUGAUUUUCUAAAUGUUUGAGAAUUAUCGAAACUGUGGCUGUGAAAAAAUUAUGUGUAUGCUUUGGUAAAAUGAUGUAAGAAUUGAGUACUGGUUUGGAUUGAGAUAAGUUAAGGAAUGAUGGAAGUAAGCGAGCCGUGAGGGUGGUGAAGUCUAUUUUAAGGAGAGAUUCGACCAAAUUUUUAUAAAAAUAUACAAAAAAGUAAUUUUAUUUUGGAAACCUGAUUUACAAGUUUAUUUUGAAAAAUGACUCUAUGUUAAAAAAAGAUUUGGUUUACAUAUUUACUCGUAAUUGAGAAAAGGGUUUUUGUAUUAAAAAUUUGACUUAUUGGAAGUGAUUUUCGAGAAUUGAAAAUGGUUUGAAAGGGACCCUUGAAGGAUGGCAAAAUCCGGAUUUUAGAGGAAAUACUGCUGAAAUUUUAUAAAACUCCGAGGCUUGUUUAAAGCUUUAUCUAAAAGAAAGUUGAGUUUAAAAACUAUAUUAUUUGUUUUUGAUUUGUUAAGAAAAUAAUAAAUUAUGCUAUGAUUUUAAAUUGUGAGGAAAAGCAUUUUGUUUUGAGAUCUUUUAUUAAGAAACUGAAUUUUUCUUUAAUUAAACGUUAAAGAAGUUUGGGUAUAUGAAAAUUAAAGGUUUUAAUGCUAAGACUGAAAGUAUACCUAUAUGAUGAUGGGGAGGUAAGAGUGAUUGAUUAUUUGGUGAUGUGGAGGUAUGUGUAAUUAAGCGGUGAUGCGGAGGUACGUUUAAUAAUGUAGGUGAUGUGGAAGUGUGUGUAUGUAAUUGGUAAUGUGGAGGCAUAAUAAAGAGAAAAAGAAUGAAAAGUGCUAAUGCGGAAGUGCCCGCCUGACUGAUAGCCUAAGGUUGCUAAUGUGGGAAUGUUCGCCUAACUGAUAGCCUGUUUCUACCGUGAUGCCAAGAUAUCCUAACUGACAUAUCCAUGAUGAUACUUGUGCCUGACUGACACGGUAAAGAAACCAUAUUCGGGGUUCGUCCCGAGUAACGUUGGGUUGCAAGUAGACAACCGACGCGUGAGCUCAUCUCCUGCUUAGGACAGACAUGCAUGAUUUAUUUGCGUAUUUGCAUUUGGUUGUGUUUUGAUUGUUGUAUUUUCUCUGUGAUUGUGCUAGUUGUCUUAUUCUGCAUUGCUUGUAUGUUCAAUUGGAUCUUUGGUACUAUUAGUUUGCGUAUUAAAGUGUUUAAGAAUUAUUGUUGUAAAUGAGUUUUGUUUUAAGUUCAGAAAUUUUAAUGAAAGCAAUUAAUUGUCUAAAGUAAAAUUAGAAUGUAUUUUCAAAGGCUUGAGAAAAGAAUAGUUUUACCGAGUAAAUUCAAUUAUUCACAUUUUGUUCAUUACUUUUACGGCAUUCACUUUNNNNNNNNNNNNNNNNNNNNNNNNNNNNNNNNNNNNNNNNNNNNNNNNNNNNNNNNNNNNNNNNNNNNNNNNNNNNNNNNNNNNNNNNNNNNNNNNNNNNNNNNNNNNNNNNNNNNNNNNNNNNNNNNNNNNNNNNNNNNNNNNNNNNNNNNNNNNNNNNNNNNNNNNNNNNNNNNNNNNNNNNNNNNNNNNNNNNNNNNNNNNNNNNNNNNNNNNNNNNNNNNNNNNNNNNNNNNNNNNNNNNNNNNNNNNNNNNNNNNNNNNNNNNNNNNNNNNNNNNNNNNNNNNNNNNNNNNNNNNNNCUCACCCUUCUACAGAUUUUCCUUUCAGCAACAGGUUCAGAAAUCCUUGGCGUGGAGCCGCGACUGAACAUCAGAGCUAUAUGUAAUUAUGUAUCCGUAUUUUCUGUAGUUGGUUUAGCCUUAGACUUUCCUCUCGCCAUUUAUUGUCUUUUAUUUUUUUAGAGGAGUAGGACUUGUAUUUGAAAUUCUUGGAAUAAGUCUAUAUAUAUAUUGCUAUGUGAGUAUAUAUAUUUUUGUGAUUAAGAGUUUUAAAGUAAAGACCUUUCAAUUUCUUGACUAAAUUCUCGUUCGUGUUCGCGAAGGCUCAAUAUUAAAUAAAGAUAGUAUAAAAUAAAAAGGUUUAGAGGUAAGUAACGCCUAAGCUUUUAGUACGAUCAUGAAGUGCUAAAAGUUAAGGUGUUACAUAUUUUUUUUCUCAAUUUCAAUUAUAAUUUCCAUCAUUUUAUUUUAUUCUAUCAUGAAUUAUAUUUAUUGGUUUGGAUAUUGAUGUAGCUUAUUAGGUGAACAAAAAUGUUUGAUAACCAAAAGAAAUUAACUAAAAACAGUCAGAACUUAUUUAAUUUAAUAUUUAUUAAUGUUCAAUAAGAUAAAUUUUAACUUUUUUUUUUAUCUUCCUAAUAUUAUCGUAUGUAAAUUGAUAUAUUAUGAAUUGAUGAUGUUAUUCAAUAAUUUCUGUUUUGAAUCAUAAGUAUUUAUAAUUGUUUUUAAUACUUUUGAAUAAUUGACCAACAUUUAAAUGAUUAUUGAUUUACAAUGACUUGGGAAAGAAUUUGUAAAUAGAGUUAGUUAUUAUGAACACCAAAAAUUAGAGAUAGACAAACAUAAUUUUUGUGACUAAAUUCAAAGAACAACUUCCUUUUCUUAUGUAAUUUUGAACUAAGAGAUUAGUACAUAUACAUUAUUAAUGAGNNNNNNNNNNNNNNNNNNNNNNNNNNNNNNNNNNNNNNNNNNNNNNNNNNNNNNNNNNNNNNNNNNNNNNNNNNNNNNNNNNNNNNNNNNNNNNNNNNNNNNNNNNNNNNNNNNNNNNNNNNNNNNNNNNNNNNNNNNNNNNNNNNNNNUGGCUCAAGGAAGAAGAAGAAGAGAGGGAGAAGGGGAGGAGGAAGGGGACGGUGAUGGCAGGGUUGGGAGCCAUCGUCGCCAUCGAGCACAAAGAGAAAGAGAGACGGUGACGCGAGGAAGAAGAGGAUUGGAUAGAAGGUUGAGGAUUCCAUUCGAUUCAAAUUCUGAUUGCGGUGUGAACGAAUUAGUUUGAGGAUUCUCUAUCGUUGCAUCACAGUUUCUCUCUGAUUGUGAAGUGUAGUGGACACUAUAUCCCAAGAGUGUGGCGGAUACUAUAUCCCAGAUAGCGCUGUCUCCAGUGAGAUGGUAGAAGGUUGAGGAUUCCCUUCUAUAAGGUUGAGGAUUCCUUUCUUAUUGUUCCUCUUUGAGAUGCAUGACAGAGAAACAAUGUCCAAGUUAGCUACUAGAUGUGUCAGAUCUGGCAGUUUAACCAAUACGUAAGCUCACGACCAAUAGGACAGACAUGCAUCAUACUAUAUUUUUUUUAAAUUGAUUGGGUCUGCAUAAUUACUUAAUUUGCCUAAUUGAUAUUUUGUUAACUUCUAAUUUUACUACUUGUCGUAAUUAUUCUCUAUGUGUGAUUGUUUGAUUGUCUGACUGAUUACUUGUGAUUGUGACUUGUUGGUUCGGAUUAUGAUGGAGUGUUGUGGUAAAUUUUGGGCCGGAGGGCAUGGUUGAUUUGAGUUAUAUGUCUUGAUGUAUUGUGGUGUAUUUUUAAGCUGAAGGCCGUGAUUAAGUAAGUUAUAUGCCUUGAUAAGUUUGGUAAAAUUGUUUCUUUGGUAUAUAGUAAAAUGUUACGAAUUAUUGUUGAGAUUAGAAAAUAAAAUAUGAAAUUGGAUUUGAGAUGAUUAAUUGUUAUUGUUCGAAAAGUUGUAUGAAGAUAGGAUUUUUAAAAUGAGAUUGAUGAGGAUUACAACUUAAAUUUGAUAUAAAUUAGAGUUUCGAUUUUUUUUGUUUUGGAUGAAAAAUCACAUAAUUUAGAAUUAGUGAGUAAUAUGCUCAAUGACUUAGAUUUAAGGAAAGGAUAGUUUAACAAAAAGAUUCAUAAGACAAGCAAUGAUCACUGCUGUAAACAAAUUCUCUUUUAUAUAUCCUUUUAUGACAAUUCUAAAACCCUCUGGUGAGACUAUGUGAUUAGGUUCUCACCCCUUACAACCUUAUCUUUUUCAAAAAAACGGACGGAAAGUCUAUGAAGAUUUUACCGAGCAUUCAGUUGUACUUUAAUUGUUUUAUUUUCUUAGAUAUUUUUUCCUCAUCUUUGUUAUUGUUAUUUAUAUUUUGUAAAGAGGGAUAGUAGUUGUGAUUUUAUGCUAUGGCUUUAUAUAUAUGUAUAUGCUUGUAUAAUUAUUCUUGUGAAUGUAAUAGUAUUAUGAUAAUUUGUAUCUAUGUACUUGGUUAAAGAAAAAUAUUUCUGAUUUUUUAAAGAAAAAUUAAUGAGNNNNNNNNNNNNNNNNNNNNNNNNNNNNNNNNNNNNNNNNNNNNNNNNNNNNNNNNNNNNNNNNNNNNNNNNNNNNNNNNNNNNNNNNNNNNNNNNNNNNNNNNNNNNNNNNNNNNNNNNNNNNNNNNNNNNNNNNNNNNNNNNNNNNNNNNNNNNNNNNNNNNNNNNNNNNNNNNNNNNNNNNNNNNNNNAUAUAGAAGUGGUCAUAAUAAUCUCGCUAUCAGAGUGGCCAGCCAGAAGCGUGACAUUCUGGUAGUAAGAGUGUUACAUUAUGGUAUUAGAGCAGUCUUUCCUGUAGAGCCUGAGGAAUAUAAUGACUAUGCUUCAAUUGCAUACUCUAAGCGUCUGUCAUGUUGUAGGUUUUGUCCAGAUGACAAGAGUUAGAGUUUUAUGUGCAUGACUGUUUAUUAAUUAACUCUGUUAGUUUACCGUGAACAUUUGAUGAUAUUCGGUUUAGCCAACUUAAUGCUAUUAGAUUGUGUAUCUGGGAACACUAAUAAAUUAUCAUAGGCAAAAUAAAAUCGAUAAGUAACGGUAAUGGCUAAGUUUGGAAACAUUAGGUAUUCUUCUUCGAUGGGUUUUUAGUUGACAAAUGUGCUUUAAUUGUACUCUUAGUUAUCUCUUGGAUUUUUGAAAUCACAACUCUUGACUGUGCAUUCCUCUACAUGAACUAAGUAACCCCUUGAUGUGAUACGAACGUACUUUGCUAUGAUAUCUCAUAAUCCAUUAUAUUCUCUCGAAGUGUUUGUCUCAGACCUUUUUAAAGAUGUUUUGAUUGAUUCUUAUACAAGAUUUUUCUCGAUUUUGCAUUUUUUUUUAUGGACAAUACAAUUCCUUGAAAAACUCCGAACUUGUUUGGUUGAAUAUAUCUUUUCUUGUAAUUUUCUCCUAAAGUUCUUGUUUGGAUUCUCUUUGAAGAAAUUUUGAUUCAAUUCUUCUCUUGGUUGAAUGUAUCCAUAACAAUUUUUUAAUUUUGAUAAGGUCAUUUUGAAUUUAACAUGCACUCCUUUAUAUGAAGCUUUGAAACAUCUUUAUGUAGUUAAAAUUUGUUUGUUUGUAAUGCACCACUUAUUUUUCUAUUGAUCUAGAGAAAAACUUUACCUCAAUUUUUUUUUAAAUAGAAUUCGAUUUUCUUCUAACUUUGUUGCAACUUUUAUACACAUUUUUUUAUUUGAUUAUAUAUCUAAAUAUCUUUCAAGAUUUUUAAGAAAAUAUCUUUUUCCUUAGACCUAUUUAAUUUCUAUUUUACAAUUUUUGCACAAUUUAUUGCAACUUGAAUCCGUAUUGACAUAAUGUCAGAUUUAUGCUUUUGUUAUUUCCUUUGAAAAGUGUUUAUUUCGUACCCUUCCUUUUAGAGCAUGAAGAUAAUUUUUCCUUAAGUUUUUCAUUCUUUAUGAAUGUUUCAUUCAAUUGUGUUCCUAAUCAUUUUUUUGAAUAUUGUAAACGAUGCCAUUGACUUUAGUCAUUUUUUCUUGUGAGCCUUGUACUUCUUUGGUUUAGCUUGGACUUAUUCCAAACUAACGCACUCUUUUUCCUUUUCUUGUUCCUAUCAAAGUUCUUUGAUUCAAAAUUCUUUUUUAAGAUGGCAGGUUGAUUUUCUCUCUGGCAUACUUUAUUAUUUUUCUAUAUCCUUACUUACUUGAGAUUUCAACCUUUUUUCUAAAUUCUUGUAAACACCAUUCUUAAUUUUUGUUCUUCUAUUCCUAAGUUUUGUAUCCUUCGAGUUAACUCAAGCUUGUAUCGGCGUAACAUACGAUUCCUAGAUAUAACCAUCAAUACAUUAGUUCUUUAUGGCACUAAGUUGUGGAGCUUUGAUUCUCGCAAAAAAAUUUUGUUGAUGUCAGAUUUAUGAUUGGUAAUAGGUUUACAAAGUGAUUGAUGAGAUUAAGAACUCUCAGAUGAGUUGUGAAUUUAAGCUAUGUUAAAGCUGGGAAAAUUGAAAUCUUAAGACUUGAUGUGAAACUGGUUAUUACCAUGGAUAUAUUGGAUGUGUGCCACAGAAUAGAAAAGGAGAUUAUAAAGUAAGAGUGUACUUGGAGAGUGAUAAAUGAGUUAGAAAUUAAAGCGCCUAGUGUUUAAUUAGUCAAGGGAACAAGAGUAUUGGCAUGUUAACCACAUUGUUUUAGCAUAUAUUUAUCUUAAAAAAUUUGCACCCUGUUAUGCUUCUUCUUCAAAUUUUAGUAAAGUGUUAAAACUAUGCAAUAUUUUGUAUAUUAAGUUAAUUUUCGAGGGCGAAAAUUUUUGUAGAUGAGGUAGAAUGUAAGAUAUUGAAUUUUUAGAAAUUAAAUAAUAAGUUAUUUAUGAUUUAUUAUAUUUAUUUAUGGUUUUAUUUUUGAAAAGUUAUUUUUACCAAAAGUAAUUAAAUCAAAGUUACGAGACUUUGAGUUUAAAAUUAAUUAGGACUCAUAUAAUUUUCAACACAAUUGAAUAUUUUCUUAUUUAAAAUUUAAAGCUUUAGUAAUUGAAAAAUAAUAAAAAUUUGUUAAUUUAAUUUGAAUAUUGAGAUUUUGAAUUUAAUUUCAUGAAUAAAAGAAAAUUAUUUUGAUUACCUUUAAUUUUAAAUUAGAGUACUUAUUUAAAAAUAAUUUGUAAGUUGAUAAAAAAAUAGAAUUCUCAAAAAAAUUAUAUUGAACUAUAUUUGGUUUUAAAUUACUAUUCUAUUCCCUAAUUUAAUUUUAUUAAAAUUUUCAAUUUUACUAUUACCCAUUUUUACCCAAAAUAAACCCUAACCCUAACACAACACACUCACCUCACUCCCUCUAACCUCAGUGCUGCCUCCCCCUUUUUUCCACACACCCUCACCCACAAAAAAUGAAGAAGAAGGAAAAGAUAGAAGAGAGGGAUUGAGGAAGAAGGAGAACAGAAGGGGAAGGGAAGGAGGACGGGGACGAUGUUAGCAGGAUGGAGCCAUUGUCACCGUCGAGCACGAAGAGAGAGAGAGAGAGAGAGAAAGAAGGGUAGGGGAAGGACCGUGCGAGAGAGAAGGUGAUGCAAAGAAGAGGAGGACCGUGAGCCGUCGUGCUCAUCAUCAUCGCGAGAAGCCAUUUCUGUCAGCGUUGCGGGUCGUCGUCGUCACUGUUGCUGACCUGCUGCACCGCCAUCGAGCCGUUGUGCCACCGCAAGAGCUGCCCAGAGCCGUUGCUACCGUCACCAAGGACCGCUGUUGAGAGGAGCAGAAAUGGGAGAGGUUGGUGCUGCGGGAGUCACUAUCGGAGGAGGAGGAGACCGCGAUUCUGGUCACGGAAAUCGACGCUGACGUUGCUGGAACCACCGCCAGAGUUACUACUGCUUUGUUCCGUCAUUUGUCCUUAGUUACAGUAAGUAUUUUUAUUCCGGGACCGUCGCCGUUAGUAUUCUAUUAUAAUCUGUUAAAAAUUUUGAGGUAAUAAUGUCUCAAAGCCGUGCUACUACGCUUGCAUGCUGCGUUUGUGGCUGUCACUGUUGCGAGGAGUCAUCGGAGCUACUAGUACUGUUGUUGUUAUUGUUGUGUUUAUGUUGUUGCCGUUGGUUCAGUCGUGUGGUUGAGUCAUGAUCGAUGUAGGGAGUUUUCUGAAAAAAUACUUUUAUUUCGAGCAAUUGUUAUAAAUCGAUAUCCAUGUGAAAAAUGUAUUUUUCUGUAAUUGUGCGAGUCUUAUAGAUUGAAUUGGGCUGUGCUUGAUAAAUGUGUUUGAUUAAAUGCUCAAAUAGAAUGUGGCUGCCUUGUGUGACUAAUUGGUGAAGUUGAUUUGUCUGUGGUUAUGAGCUGUAAUUGGUUUACUGAUUGUCAGAAAAGGUUUGAUUGAAACAUGAUUAUAUAGAGUUGUGGUUAUGUUUGAUUGUGAUUAUGAUUGAGGUUGUGGAGAUGGUGGUUCGUCCUGCCCAUGGUAAGGACGGUGGCUUUGUCUAGCUCACGGAGAAGCAAGUUGAUGUUGAGGAUUUCCUCUCUUGUGUUAUGGUGGACAAGUGAGGUUGAGGAUUUCCUCUCUUGUUACACCAGAAGAUUGGAUAGAAGGUUGAGGAUUCCAUUCGAUUCAAUUUCUGAUUAUGGUGUGAACUAGUUAGGUUGAAGAUUCUCUAUCAUUGCAUCAUAAUUUCUCUCUAAUUGUGAAGUGUGGCAGGUACUAUAUCCCAAGAAUAUAGCGAACACUAUAUCCCAAAUAGCGCUGCCUCCAGUGAGAUGGUGGAAAAUUGAGGAUUCCCUUCUUAUUGCUCCUCCUUGAGAUGCACGACAGAGAGACAAUCUCUGGGUUAGCUACCGGAUGUGUCAGAUCUGGCAGUUCAACCAACACGUGAGCUCACGGCCAGUAGGACAGGCAUGCAUCAUAUUGUAUUUGUUUGAAAUUGCUUGAGUAUGUAUAAUUACUUAUUUUGCCUAAUUGAUUUUAUAUUAACUACUAAUUGUACUACUUGUCAUAAUUUUUCUCUAUGUGUGAUUGUUUGAUUGUCUGUCUGAUUACUUGUGAUUGUGACUUGUUGGUUCGAAUUAUGGUGGAGAGUUGUGGUGAAUUUUGGGAUGGAGACUAUGAUUGUUUGGGUUAGAGACUGUGUUUGAUUUGAGUUAUAUAUCUUGAUGUGUUGUGUAUUUUUGGGCCGUAGUCCAUGAUUGUUUAGGACGGAGGCUGUGAUUGGGUAAGUUAUAUGCCUUGGUAAGUUUGGUGAAAUUGUUUCUUUGCUAUGUAGUGAAAUAUUACAUAAUAUUGUUGAGAUUGAAGUUUUUGUAAAUAAAAUAUGAAAUUGGAUUUGGGAUGAUUAAUUGUUAUUGUUCAAAAAGUUGUAUAAAGACAGGAUUUUAAAAAUGAGAUUGAUGAAUGUUACAACUUAAAUUUGAUAUGAAUAAGAGUUUCGAUGAUUUUUUUGUUUUUGAUGGAAAAUCGCAUAAUUUAAAAUUGGUGAAUAAUAUGUCCAAUGGUCGAGAUUUAAGGAAAGGAUAGUAUGGUAAAAAGAUUCGUAGGACGACUAAUGAAUCUUUUAUGACAAUUUUGAAACACUUUUAAUGAGACCGUGUGGUUAGGUUUUCACCUCUACAUCCCUAUUUUUUUCAAGAAACAGACGGGAAGCCUGUGAAGAUUUUACUAAGUAUUUGGUUGUACUUUAAUUGUUUUAUUUUCUUAGAUAUUUUUCUCUCGCCUUUGUUAUUGUUAUUUACAUUUUGUAAAGAGGGAUAGAAAUUGUGGUUUUAUGAUAUGACUGUGUGUGUAUAUAUUAUUCUUAUAAAUGUAAUAAUAUUGUGAUUAUCUGUAUGUAUGUAUGUACUUGGUUAAAGAAAAUAUUUUCGAUUUUUCAAAGAAAAGUUAAUAAGGAUUGCACGUAAAAGCUUCUACUUAUUAUUAUUUAUAUGGAAGUGGUCAUAAUAUUCUUAUUAUCAGAGUGACACAGUCAAAAGCGUGACAUUCUAAUAAUAAAGGUGUUACGAGUGUUUAUUGAUCUUGAAAAAUACUUGAAACUAGCUAAGAAAAUUAGUCUUUAUAAAUUCUAAUGAAAAAAGUUGAGUUACUAAAUUAAAUAUUUUUAAUUUCAUAAUGAGCUGNNNNNNNNNNNNNNNNNNNNNNNNNNNNNNNNNNNNNNNNNNNNNNNNNNNNNNNNNNNNNNNNNNNNNNNNNNNNNNNNNNNNNNNNNNNNNNNNNNNNNNNNNNNNNNNNNNNNNNNNNNNNNNNNNNNNNNNNNNNNNNNNNNNNNNNNNNNNNNNNNNNNNNNNNNNNNNNNNNNNNNNNNNNNNNNNNNNNNNNNNNNNNNNNNNNNNNNNNUUUACUAAUUGUUUUUGUUAUAUUUAUAUUUCUACUGCAUUUUUUGGCAGACAAUCGAAUCAGUAACAUAAUCAAAUUUUAUCGAUUUAAAUAAUAGUUAAAAAAAUUUGGUACUUGAUAAUUUUUUGUAGAAAUAAUAUUUUAUUCGUAUAUUAUUUAUACAUCUAAUGAAAAAUUGAUCAAUGAAUAGUAUUGAUUCAAAUGCAAGAUAAAUAAAAAAAUAUUAACACCAAAUAUUUUUUUUAAGAAUAUUUAUUUAAAAUGGUCUCCAAAAAAUUUUAAAAUGACCAUUUUGAUCCUCAAUAAAAAUUAAUUAUAUAAUUGAUCUUAAACAUUUUCUAGCAUUAGACGAAUUGAUCGUUUUUGACACUGUUCCAUUAAGUACUAACGGAACAAUUUAACAUGUUACAUCAAACUGGUAACUUAGCUGUUAAGCGCCACAUGUUACAUUAGAACAAAUUGGUCCCCCUUAUGCAAACCAUUUAUCAGGCAGAUAUAUCUUUAAAAAAAUUCAUAUUAGGCAGAUAAGUCCCUGAAAAACUCUUAUAUCAGACAAAUAGAUCCCUAAUUAUUUCAUUUAACAGUCAGCUAAACCCUUCUAUCUUCUCAAUAUCAGAUUUUAUACACAUAAUUCUAAUACUACUUCAUAGUCAUUUGUCUUAUACAAACAUAGUAAUAAGUAUACAAUUAUCCUCACAACACUAUAAAUGUAAUCACAACAAUAUAAAUAUAAUCACAAUAAUAUAAACAUAAACAAUGCAAAUAUAAUCACAACAUUACAAAUAUGUUUAGACCAUAUUAAAAUUUUUUAACACAAGUAUGUUUUCUUGUUACACAUAUCUCUAAUUUUUUUGUCUUCAUAUAUAGAAUGUAGGCCUAUAUAGAAUGUAGGCCUAUUUUCAUAUUAAGAGUUUUUAAAUCAUAUCAAUACAUCUUUUUGUAUGCAUAGUAGCCAAAUUUUUCAAACAUUUUCUUCAAAUGAAAAUAAUUCACUAGGUCAAGAUCCAACCUAAAAAAUUACUUUACAUUAUGAUCUAUGAGCCUAAACAAAUUUGUGCUAAAGAAUUCUAAUAUGGCCAAAACAUAUUUGUAUUGUUGUGAUUUAUUUGCAUUGUUUAUGUUUAUAUUGUUGUGAUUAUAUUUGUAUUGUUGUGCUUAUAUUUGUAGUAGUCUUGUAAAAAUAAUUGCAUACUUGUCACUAUGUUUGUACAAGACAAAUGACUGUGAAGUAGUAUUGGAUUUAUGUUUAUAAAAUCUAGUUUUGGAGAGAUGGAACAGUUUAGCUGAUUAUUAAAUGAAAUGAUUAGAGACCUAUUUGUAUGAUAUAUGAUUUUCUUAGGGACCUAUCUGUCUGAUAAAUGAUUUUUUUAAAGGAGACUAAUUUGUCCCAAUUUAACACGUAAUGGUUAACGGCUGAGUCACCAACUUGACAUAACACGUCAAAUUGUUCUGUUGGUGCUUAAUGGAGCAGUAUCAAAAAUGACCAAUUUGUUUGAUGCCAGAAAACGUUGAAAACAAGAAUAUAAUUAAUUUUUGUUAGAGACCAAAACAUCUACUUUAAAAUUCUUUAGGGACCAAUUUAAAUAAAUACUAUAUUUUAGAAACAAAGAUAUCAUAAUAACAAGUUAACAACAGAAUAAAUUUUAGUAUUUGUUUAGAUAUUAUUAAAUUAUUAAAAAUUAUUUUUUGAAUUAUAAAAAUUACAUUAAUAUUGUUUUAUACAGUUUUUAAAAGAUGUUUUUAAUUUUUUGAAAAAUUAUUGAAAGUGUUAAGUAUGAUUUUAGUUUCUAACGUAGAGGUCGAAAAUUUAUUUCAUCUUUGACCUUUUUUCGCUACAAAAUGGUCCCAAAGGUUUAACUUAGUUUUAAAAUGGUCCUCCGAACUAAAAUACCUAUUCCCCACUAAAAUGCCUAUUCCCCUUCUUCCCCAAAAUCAAGCACAAACACAAGCAGAAGCAGAAGCAGAACCAGAAGCAACUUUUGUUCAAUUUUUAUAAAAAAAAAUUUAAAAUGAUUAAUAUUUCUCAAUUCUUACACUCAAAAUGUAGUCGAUGUAAAAGAAAUAACAAAAAAUAGAAAAAAAAUUUUAAACGGUUCUUGAAAAUUAUUCAAAAACACAACGAAACCUCAAACAAAAAAAAUUAUGUCAAUCCUAGUUGGGACAUAAUGGAUAAAUCAAUUAAUUAAUGUACUAUGUAGAUAUGUUUGGUUUAUUCAAGAGAAAUUAUUAAUAGAGAGACUAACAAAUCUCACAAAAUUAAAAAUUAAAAAUCAAAAACAAAAUUUUUUCAUUAAAAUCUCGUAAUCUUUCAAAAAAAAUUAACAAAAACUGAGAUAGUGAAUUUUAUUAAACUUUCGUAAUCUUUAAAAAAAACAUUAACAGAGACUGAGAUAGUUAUUCACUUUAUGGAUCUUUAUCUAAUUGUCUUUGUCUUCAUUUCAUUUUUAUUAUGGAUCUUUAUCCAAUUGUCUUUACAAAAGAUAGAUACAUGCAAAUAUUUAUGGAUAUUUAUUUUUAAAAAUGUUAAAAAAAUUAAUACAAUUAUUUAAAGUUAUCAGAAUUGACGGAUUGAAAAAUCCCAGUCACAAAAUUGGUCUGAUUAAUAAAUCUGAUUGCAUAAGGAAUAAAACCGAUGAGACCCAGUUUGGCCCAACUGAAUUUAACAAAAACUGAUGAACUAACCGAUGAGACCCAGUUUGGCCCAACUGAAUUUGUGGUCAGGUUAAAAACUUGGACCGGUAUGUUGCAUUUUUUUUGCCCCUCUUCCCAAUGAAACGGCGCGGUUUUUGGCCUUUUGAAGGGAAAAAAUGAAACCCUAAAAGCUACCUUCUGUUGGGAAUAAGGAGUAUGACCACAAUCCAAUCAAUUAUGUAUCAAAUAAUUUAUUGUUGUUAUUAUAUUAAAAUAUUAAUAUAAUAAGAUCUUUGAUUAAAUUUAGAGAUUUAUCAUUGUGAUAGUGAUCAUAAUAUUGAGAGAUAAAACUUUUAUAAUUUAAUCUAAAUUGUUCUUGGUCAUAGGAUUAUUAAAAAGGACACUAAUAAUCCGAAAAGAUCAAUAUAUAUAUAUAUAUAUAUAAUGGUUUUCAUUAGAUGAAGAUUAAUAGAUCUCAUUUAUAAAAUUAUAUAUAUAUAGAUGGUGCAUAUAGAGAUAUGACCAUUGAACUGACUCACUCUGAGAAUUCCUAAUGGUUAUAAUUAUCGCAUAUUUGUCAAUAGGAUAUUCUCAAGAUGAACAUAGUAAUAGAGUUUCCUUUGACCUGCGACUCUUAUAGUAAUUAACAAUGUAUUUAUUAUACUUUGAUUCCGGACACCUAAUACCCUAGGGUGCUAGUUGAAGGCAUAUUGGGUAUGAUUUAAAUAUUUGUAGAAUUAAUGAUUAGUCAAUAAGAAAUCCGUCAACUUUCGGUAAAGAGUUUGAGCUCUACAAUUAUAAUGACUGAGAUGAAUAAAUCCUUAGUCAAGAGGAUUGAAUGAAUGAAGAAAUGAGUUUCUUAGGUCAUUCACAAUUCAUUAUAAUAAUAGUAACAAGUUAGAGUUUGACCAUUAAACCAUACUCUAAGGGUUAACCAAGAGCUGGAAAGAUGGAAGGAAUUAUACUUUGUUCUUCUCGGGUUCUUAGAAAAAAUAUAUUACUUCAUACUAUCGGAUCGUUGAGGAGUGUUGUUAGACGCCAACCUUGAUUAGUAAAUUUAGCAUGACUAAUUUACUACCCACUUAGUAUUGAACCUAUGGGGUCACACACUAACGAGUGUUCUAAUCUUUACUAUAGAAUUAUUUAAUUAUUAUUUUGAUUUAAUCAAAUAAAUAAUUAUAUUAAUUCAAAUGGAAUAUUAUUAUAUUCUUUACUAGCACCAAGAAUAUAAUAAUAGUAUGAUAAUUGAGAAUAUUAAAUGAUAUUUGAGAAUAAUUAGUUAUUUUAUUUCUAAAUUUGGAUGAGAUCUUAACUAAUUCUGUUUUCAAAUUGAGUUAUGAUAUGAUUCAUAAAUUUGAAGGAUCCAGAUUUAUAAUUUCAAGAUAUGAUUUAAAUUUGAAUUAAGAUUCGAAUUUAAAAUCAAUAACAAAUCUCAUAUUAUAUAUAUAUGUAUGCCAAGAGUAGAGGAAUGUGACGGAGAUGAGAAUAAAACAUAAGAGUUUUAUUCCUUUACCUCUACACACAUAAACGUAUGUGAGCCUAAUUCUUGGAGACGAAUUUUAUAGCGUGCAAAGAGUUGCAAGAGGUUUCUCAAUUUAGAUUAGAUGUCCAUUGGUCAAGGAGUUGACAGCAAAGGUUGGCCUCGAUGUGGAUACGUAUAGUGCCUUCGUACCAUCGAAAGAGAAAAUAAUUUUUACUAGCGUACACAGGUAUUUAGAUCUGAUCUAUAUAUUGUAUAUUACUGGAAUAAAGUUUAAGCACAAAAUAGAUCUUUAAGGAUUAUUUUCUUUUCUUUCGCUGCGUGUUAUGAACACAUGGUAAUCCAACAGUAGUAUCAGAGCUUUGGCUUUUUUGUGUUUAAAUUUUUAUUCCUGUAUUUCUAAAAAUUUGUGAAUUAAUCGGAUUAAUUCAAAUUGUUUUUAAGCAUGUGAUGUAUUUAUUUUCAUUGAGAUGGUUUUCUAAUAAACUAAUAGUUAAUUUAUUUUAAUUAUUUAAUUGUGAUUAAAUUAUCAUUCUUUUAAUAUAAAAAUUAUAUUUAUAAUCAAAUAUUUUGUUUAUAUAUUAAAUUUUAUGUGAUUUUGAUCACAAUAAAAGGAAUAAGAUGUAAAAUAUCUUUUGUUUGUUUCUUAUAUAUAUAAGUGUCUAUAUAAAGGUCAAAUUUGAUUUGAUAAUUUUUUAAGGCUAAACGUUAGUAUAUGAAAAAUCAAAUUUUGAUUUUUUUUUUUUACUAAUCAAAUUUUGAUUUGAUUGAUGUGUUUUGAACACUAUAAUUUUAGAAAUUAGUUUUUCUAAUGUUCUUGAUUAUAAAAAGCGGCUUGACAACCAGGAGUUUUAUUUUCAAGAUAACAAUCAGUGUAUACAUUUGAUGUAUUAAGAAUUUAAUUUUAUAUUUUUACCUAGACAACUUAGGAGUAUAAAAUUUAAUCCAAGAAUACUGGUAGAAAUUCUCUAACAAUAGAGAUAAGUCCUAAAAAUUAGGAUAUAUAUUGUCAAAAAUAAAUUUAUCUCUUGUUUACAAGGAAUGACCUAACAACCAGGAUACUUGUAAUCACGGAUAUAAUUUAUUCAUGUAUAUGAUAAUGCAUAAGGAGAAUUAAUUUUAUACUUGAACCUAGACAAUCUAGGGGUAUAAAAUAUAAUUCAGUUAAAUAAUUGUCUGACAACUAGAUAAUUAUUUGGGAUUAUAAUUGUAUGUGAUACAAUUUAAUCAUAUUUAUUUAGAAUAGGUAUGAGUAACAACUUGACAACUAAGGUACUCAUUCAUGAUUCUAAAUAAUUUUAACAGAAAUAUAGAUUUCUUAAUUUACUUUCAUAUUUUAAAUUUUUAAAUAUGUCCAUUUUUGUGUGGCAUACUUGAAAGUAAUGCAUUGGCUACAAUUUAGAAUUGUUUUUUCAAAAAGUUAUCAUUGAGAUGACAAUCCUACUGAAAUAAUAUCUUCCAAUAAAAUUGGUUUUGAAAUGGUUAGAAUUUGUGAAGUAUUUGUAAUAUUAUUUUAUAUGAGUUGUUUUGAUAACUAUAAGUUCUAAUUUCAAAGACAUCUCUCCACUAUUUAUUACUGAACAUCUUGAGAAGAUGUAUGGUGUCCAAAGUAAGAUAGUAUGACUAUCAAAAAUUUUGUUUAAACUAGUGGGAGUAUUGGACGAUAUAUUUUGAAUUAAACAAUUUUAGAAGUUAGAAUGCCAUUAGGCAAAUGGCUUUAGUGAGAAUUGUUCCUGCAAGCAUUUUUGGAGAUUUAUUUUGUUACAAACAAUUUAUAAUUGGCCUUAAUAUGAUUAAUGUUUGUGAGCUUUUUAGAAAAACUCAAUAUGAGUAUUGAGGAUGCCAAUCAAAAUUGCUCUUAAGGGUUGGUUUGACCAAUAAUAAAGAUACUGAGUAUUUUUAUUAUAAGAGUUUAAAGUAAAAUCUCUAAAUAUUUAAUUGAUAUUCUAUUGAAUAAGGAAUGAGAUUCUCUCAAUGCAUAAAUAUUAGUACUCUAUGUACCCUAUCAUAUUUAAAAAAACAUGAAAUUUAAUUUAGUUGAGUAUCAUUAUUAGUUAAAUAUUUGGAUUACAUUUUAGAAACGUGGAUAAAUUAACAAGGUUUUCACUAAAUCAAUUUUAAACCCAUAUAAGAUGUGGAAAAGGCCAUAAACCGAAACUCAAGAACAUUAGAAUUUGGAGAUGUCUUAUAUGUGUUAAGAGAUUGCACAACAAUAGAAUUGAUAUUAGGUCUGAUAAAUGAGAUUUAUUGGUUACCCUGAAGAAAUAAUGAGUAUUAUUUCUAUCACCUUUCUUAAGAUAAAGUAUUUGUGAUAAGAGAUUGAACUCUUUUUUUUUUUUAUAAAAAAGGGAGAUUUCCUCCCAAAGGAAGAUAAGGUGAACAAAUAGAACUUGAUAAAGUCAAGACAUUCAAAAAGUUUGAUUUAUACAAUAUCAAGAAAAACUUUGUAUUUACAAAGAAAAAGUGGGAGUACAAUUAUUUUUAUUAGAAUUGUUUACCACUCAAUAGAGGAUAUACUUUCUCCGGGAAGUAUAAAAUGUUUGAUCGUCAAACUAAAUUUUUGAAAAAGUAACCUAUUUGUAUAAUGAUACAAUUCUAUAAAAAUAGAUCUAAUGGUUACUUAGAUUUUUUUUUAUAAUCAUGCUCAAUAAGGAUUGUCCUUAAAAUAAAAUUAUACACUAUUGUAGUGGGAGAUUUCAUGUUUUGAGAAAAUGUGAUAUUUAUUAUGCACUAGGUAUACCUUGUAAAAGGUCAAGCACAUGUGCUCAAAAGCUAAGGUGUUUAAGGUCAAAAGAGUUUUGAUAAACACAAAUCUGCAUUAAAAAUUAUACACAUGAUUGAUUGGCUCUAGUGCAAGUGGGAGAUUAUUGAGAUAAUAGUAUGCCCAAGAUCCAAUCUAUCAUGAUUGGCUCUUGUGCAAGUGGGAGAUUGUUGGGAAUAAGGAGUAUGACCACAAUCCAUUAAACUGACUCACUCUGAGAAUUCCUAAUGGUUAUAAUUACCGCAUAUUUGUCAAUAGGAUAUUCUCAAGAUGAACAUAGUAAUAGAGUUUCCUUUGACCUGCGACUCUCAUAGUAAUUAUUAACAAUGUAUUUAUUGUACUUUGAUUCCGGACACCUAAUACCCUAAGGUGCUAGUUGAAUGGAUAUUGGGUAUGAUUUAAAUACUUGUAGAAUUAAUUAUUAGUCAAUAAAGAAUCCGUCAACUUUCGGUAAAGAGUUUGAGCUCUACAAUUAUAAUGACUGAGAUGAAUAAAACCUUAGCCAAGGGGAUUGAAUGAAUGAAGAAAUGAGUUUUUUAGGUCAUUCACAAUUCAUUAUAAUAAUAGUAACAAGUUAGAGUUUGACCAUUAAACCAUACUCUAAGGGUUAACCAAGAGCUGGAAAGAUGGAAGGAAUUAUACUUUGUUCUUUUCGGGUUCUUAGUAAAAAUAUAUUACUUCAUACUAUCGGAUCGUUGAGGAGUGUUGCUAAACACCAACCUUGAUUAGUAAAUUUAGUAUGACUAAUUUACUACCCGCUUAGUAUUGAACCUAUGGGGUCACACACUAACGAGUAUUCUAAUCUUUGCUAUAGAAUUAUUUAAUUAUUAUUUUGAUUUAAUCAAAUAAAUAAUUAUAUUAAUUCAAAUAGAAUAUUAUUAUAUUCUUUUUUAGUACCAAGAAUAUAAUAAUAGUAUGAUAAUUGAGAAUAUUAAAUGAGAUUUGAGAAUAAUUAGUUAUUCUAUUUCUAAAUUUGGAUGAGAUCCUAACUGAUUCUGUUUUCAAAUUGAGUUAUGAUAUGAUUCAUAAAUUUGAAGGAUUCAGAUUUAGAAUUUCAAGAUAUAAUUUAAAUUUGAAUUGAGAUUCGAAUUUAAAAUCAAUAACAAAUCUCAUACUAUAUAUAUGUAUGCCAAGAGUAGAGGAAUGAGACGGAGAUGAGAAUAAAACACAAGAGUUUUAUUCCUUUACCUCUACACACAUAAACGUAAGUGAGCCUAAUUCUUGGAGAAGAAUUUUAUGGCGUGCAAAGAGUUGCAAGAGGUUUUUCAAUUUAGAUCAGAUGUCCAUUGGUCAAGGAGUUGACAGCAAAGGUUGGUCUCGAUGUGGAUACGCAUAGCGCCACUACAAGAUUUUUGUUUAUUUGUGGCAGUUUUUUUCCUUAUUUGUGGAGGUUUAUAACCCCCACCAAAUAGUUUGUGGGGGCUUUUUAAAACCCCCAAAAUUUGAGGUGCCACGAGGUUUUUUGUGGAAGUUUUUAAAAACCUCCACUAUCUAUUUAGUGGGGGGUUUUGUAUAUCUUUAGUGGGGGUUUUAUAUUGGACUUUUGUGACGAUUUUAAAUCACUUUUGUGGUAGUUUAAAACCUCCACAAAUUAUUUUUUAAUUUAAAAAAAAUAAUUAUUUUGUGAAAUUUUCAAACCUCUACAAAUCCUGUAAUUAUUUAUUUAUUUUUAAUUUCAAAUUAUUUAUUAAUCUCAUCUCAUUUACAUACUUUUACAUUAGAAAUUUAUUUUUUAAUAUCAAAAAUAGUAAACACACUCAAAGAAAAGUCUUAAACACCAAUUUGGUUCAGAAAUUCCAUAAAAUCACCACAAAACAAGAUAAUCCAAUUAAAUUAAAUACACAAUUGUAAGCUUCAAAGUUAAGCCAAUCCAAUCAAAAACAGAUUAACAUAGCUUGCUACCUAUAAAUGAAUCACAAUUCUCAUGAAAAAUAUAGAAAAAAAAAAUCAAAAGGGUAUUAUGAGGUAAAUCCAAUGAUUUUCAAACUAAAUUGAGUUAACCUGGAUUCAAAACACAUAGAUUUUAAAUGGAAAUGAAUAUAAAUCAAAGUUAAUUUAAUUCUGAACAUGCAUUCAAAACUCAUAAAAAGUUAAAAACAAAAUGAGUAUAUCUAUUCUAAAACAAUACACUUCUUACUAUAUCAAAUACAAAUUAAAAAUAAUAAAUCAAAAUUUUACACUAUAUAUGGUGUGCAGCGAGGUUCAUAACCUAUCCAUCUCACACCAGCUUUGGCAUAUCCAUCAGUCGACGGGACGAAGAAUGAAGAUCUUCUAAUUGAUGCCAUCUUUGUUGCCACAUAUAAUGGAACCUGCAUCAGAAAAAUCUCAAAUCAGAAAUGAAAAAAAAAAAUUCACAAGAAAAGAUCUUAGCCGUGAAAGCAAACUAACCCAUUUCAAUAUGAGAGUCAACUGAAAUAUUUCAUAAAUAAAUUAGACAGGUAUCCAACUUUUAUAAGUUAACAAGAAAAAAAAGGGUGGAGUGAGGGAAAGAAAAAUAUGAAAAUAACAAAGGCAUCCAAGAAUAUUGAAUUGCACUAUGCAUCAACCUAAUCAAAUUCACGAUCGUCGACAAUGUUUUCCAGUUUCUAAAUCCCAUUGACGACGGAAUCAUAUGCAACAUGUCAAUUUCUAAGAGCAUAGGACAAAAACAGAGCACCAUAGCAACUUCAUGUGAAUAAUAAAGAAGUUUAUGAAACAAAAAUGAUGUUAUGAACUAUUUCCAAUCAUCAACUACUAGUUGCUGCUAUUACAAACAUCAAGGAUUCAUAUAAUGUUGCUAAAAAUUGGCAAGGAGAUCCAUGUACCCCAAUAGCAUAUAUGUGGGAAGGUCUAAAUUGUAGUUUUGAAGGCAAAAGUUCUCCAAGAAUCACAUCUUUGUAAGUUAAUGAACUAGAAAUCAGAUCAUGUUUUUAUUCAUUAAUUAACACCAAUCAUAACCUCUUAAUCUGGUUUUUGAAAUGCAACCAGGGAUUUAUCUUCUAGUGAAUUAACAGGGCAGAUAUCAUCCUACAUAUCCAAGCUCAUUAUGUUACAAUACUUGUGAGUAUCUCAUCUAAUAUGGUUUACAAAUGGUGGAACCAAAUUAUUCCAUUUAUAUUUUUCGCUUUCAAUUUUUGUUUUAAAAUUAUUUGAUAUCCCGAAUUGUAAUAAUAAAUGCAUUUCAAUUGCAUGUUUCAGAGAUUCAUCCCAAUCAAAGACUCCAAGUAAAAGACUGAUACUUUAUAGAUUUAAAAAGUCACGAGGCUUUCCAGAGUGCAAAACUGGGUCUUUAAGGUUGAAAAUGAUGGUAAGAGUUGAAAUACAAAUGAAUAGAAAUUAAAACCACUAACCUUAUUGAUGCGGGGAACUAAUUCCUACAAAUUAAAAAUAAUAUUCUUUGUUAUACUCUAUUAUAAAAUAACAGAAUUUUUUAGUUAAAAAAUAUAAGAUCAAUUAUAUAUUCACUGCAUAUCACUGCCUGCAUAUCCACUCUACCAUCCGAAUUAAGUUUUCUUGAAAGGGAAUGCCCCUAUGAAGUACCAGACCAAGUGAAAUAAAUUUAAUAAGCAAGGCAAUUACAAAUACGCAGCUAUAAACUGAAGUAACUUAAUCCAAUAUUAUUAAUUUGAUACCAAAGAAAUAGUAUAUAAAUACCUUUCCAUUAAUGCCUCUGGAAACUCUGUGAGAAGCUUCCCUUGUAGAACUAGCAGCUUCUUUGGCCUCUUCAAAUAUCACCUAAUAUGUUGAAGAUGCCAUCAGAAAACCAACAAUACACUAAUUCACUCUAGAGAGUUAUUAAACCAGAUUCUAAAUGCUCACCCCAUCACUGCCGAUCCUCCUUGUCGUUGACGAAGUAUAGUAUGGUCCAUUAGCACCACCAUAGCGUACGGGUGAGCUCUGGAAGCAGAAUCUUUGAGUUUAAGAUUCAGCUCCUGUUGUUUCCUGCAUAUCACUACCUGUUGCCCUACACUGUUUUAAAUGGACAAAUAAAAAGGUAUCAUAAAUUUAUUCUAUCACAUCAUCGUUAACUUGCAAUACCUAAUGCAACUGACUAAUGUGAUAUUUGAUGUGAUAAAGAGCAAGAUCUUAUUAGAUUAUCUCUUUUUUGUUCUUUUAUUAUUUCUCAAACUUAGAACCUAAACACAAGCCUUAAGCAGUAACCCAAUCCAAAACCAGAGUGCAUAUUCCAUAUAUGAAAAAAAGAGAGUACCUUCACACGAUAUCCCUUCUCCAUCAACUUUUUAACCAUAUCUGCUUUCAUCUUCAGGUCAUCAUUCACUUUGGAAGUCGUGAGAAGCUUGAGUUGAGGCAAUUUUUGCUUCCUCUGCAAUUCAGUUCUCGAAAUCCAUAGAAGAGGUGCAGAAAUAGCAAUCUGGAAUCAUUGAAAUGAUAGAAGCAAGUGAAAAAGCAUCCGUAUGAAGCUGAACUAGGCACAAAUUAGAUUUAACAGAGAUCUCAAAUUCAAUUCACCUCUCUCAAAAACACGGAGAUUGUCUGAACGAGUUCUGAACGGAAGUGAGUGAGAAAAUUUAAGUAUCGAACUAAACAAGAACAAAUUAGGAAGAAAUUCUCACCGCAAUGACUUGAAACGACAUGAAAAUCUAUUCCACGAUAUCUGAUAGCUUCGAAAGCAGCUUCAAUCGAAGCUUCCAGAAACUCCCGCUCGCUCGCCUUCCAGAUCUCCUCAGCCAAUGCCACCGCGUCCGCGCCGAACCACGCUCUGAGUGCUUCAAGCCACCGGAGCAAAAGCAGAACUAGCGGAAGAACCCUAGAAGACGACGCAGAAGCAGAAGAGAGGCUCCACGAUCACCUCGUCCUCCAUUCGUAAUUCCACCGGUGACGUGCUGAUGAAGGAGACAAUGACGGCAACAAUGGCGGUGGCGAUGCCGAUGACAUUGAGAUUCUAGGGUUUCAAAGAGAUCUCACUCUCCCUCGUCCUCUCUCUCUCGAAGCCCUAUUUGAUUUUUUUUCCUCUUUUGAUUGGGCUGAGUUAAUAUUUGUUUUUUUUGGUGACUUGAGUUAAUAUUUGUUUGAGUAUUAUAACCGUGGGACUUUUUGUUAGUUAUUCAGGGAGUUUUAUAAUUUAUCACAAAUAAAAUAUAUUAUGGAGGUUUUAGUAACUCCCAUUAAAAAACUACCACAAAUAAAUAUAAAUUUUGUAGUGCGCCUUCGUACUAUCGAAGGAGAAAGUGAUUUUUACUAGCGUACACAAGUAUUUAGAUCUGAUCUAUAUAUUGUAUAUUAUUAGAAUAAAGUUUAAGCACAAAAUAGAUCUUUAAAGAUUACUUUCUUUUCUUCCGCUGCGUGUUAUGACUACAUGGUAAUCCUUCACCUUCUCCCUCUUCGAGCAGCAGCCGCCCCCAUCUCCCCUAACUCUCUCUCAAUCUCACUCAAGAAGGAGAGCCUCUGACGGUCAAACUACCAAAAAAGCACUCCCCACUGCCACCGCCGGGCUACUCUGCUUUGUAUCGUGACUCUCACGUCGGCCCCUUUGCAUCUCCUUCCUGACUCGUCGCCUCCUAUGCAUGACUGCGUCUUGCGUCAUCGUUGUCACAUCCUACCCCGACGUGGCUCACCGUCGCUGCUGCCUUCUCCUUGCCAGUCUUUGUUUCGCCGUGCUUGGUCUCCCUCUUCUCAGGUAUAUUUUUUAAUUUUAUUCAGUUAUUGACUUAUUUUUUUAUUGGGUUAUAAUUUGAUUAACUGAGAAAGUGAUUAAUGAUAUUGAUUAACUGAAUCUGUUGAUUCUAUAGGAGUUUUACAAUAUAUGAUAAAAAAACAUUCUACAAUAACUCGUUGCAGGAGCAAUUUGAAUUAGAAUGAAUGACUAAAAGGGUCCUUAAGGUCCAGCAACUAAUCAUAUAUAUAGUUAGACUCUAAAGAGCUAAUAACCCUAACACACCUGUAACUUAUCAAACCAACAUCUAACCAAUUUUUACUUAUCAACCUUACUUUUCUUGUUUUGGAGCCAAUCAAUUCUACUGCGUACUACUAAUAGAUUCUUUAUUGUUGUUAAUUGUAUUUGGUUGAUUGUAAUUUGNNNNNNNNNNNNNNNNNNNNNNNNNNNNNNNNNNNNNNNNNNNNNNNNNNNNNNNNNNNNNNNNNNNNNNNNNNNNNNNNNNNNNNNNNNNNNNNNNNNNNNNNNNNNNNNNNNNNNNNNNNNNNNNNNNNNNNNNNNNNNNNNNNNNNNNNNNNNNNNNNNNNNNNNNNNNNNNNNNNNNNNNNNNNNNNNNNNNNNNNNNNNNNNNNNNNNNNNNNNNNNNNNNNNNNNNNNNNNNNNNNNNNNNNNNNNNNNNNNNNNNNNNNNNNNNNNNNNNNNNNNNNNNNNNNNNNNNNNNNNNNNNNNNNNNNNNNNNNNNNNNNUUUUUUAAAACAGAUUAUUCAAUAGUGUAAUAUAUUAUUAUUUUAUAUUAUUGUUGUUCUAUAUUAUUUUAGAAUAGUUUUAUCAAAUAUACCAUCAAAUACACUAUUAAAAAUACCACUCCCAAAAUUUGUUGGCAGAUAAUUCAAAUUUUAUUGAUUCAUUGUAAUAUAUGUAAGUUUAGUGGUUGAUUGAUAUUUUUGUUUUUUUUAUUAUUAGUAUUUAGGUUGAUUUGUUGCUGUUUUUAUAUCAUUAUAGUGAAUUGAGAGACUAUUUUUAUGUUGUUGUUUUUAUAUUAUGUGAAUUUAUAUUGUUGGAUAGCGGAUAAAUUUUGUGAAUUAAACUAUUUUGUUUAUAUUAUUUUAGAUAAUAGAUCAGUUUUGUUAAUUUAUAUUAUUCUGCUCAUGUUUAUUUUGUUGCAUAAUUUUUGAUGGCCUGAUUUUGUUUGCAAGAGUUUAAACUAAAAAAUAUUUGGCACUUCUUAGGUUCUAAAUUUUUCGUGUAAAUGUUCAAAUUUUUGAAACUUUAUUGUUUUCUUCUAUCUUUUAUCUGCAGCACACAACUUUGACAAAUAAUAAUUUGGCAGAAUUAGUUAUUUUUAGAAAUUUAGACGAUUGUUAUUAAAAUAUUUGUGAUAAAUUGACCAUAUGUAUUUUAAAUUUUAAUUUUAAGUUUAAUCCAAUACAAUUCAACUAAAAUUUAUUAUAUUAAAAUACAAAUAUAAAUUUAAUAUAAUCUACAUACAAAAUUUUUUUUAGGUCAUUUAUAGCGUACAAAUGUGGAGAUAAAGAUAUUCUCAUUGAUUGAGCGGUAUGUUGACACCUGGCACUGAGUUAGCUGGGAGGAAGCUUGCGAUAUGUGUCAGGGCUGGCUUGGGAUGGAGCUGGAGCUUAGUUGACGUGAUCAAUCCCCAAAUCUAUAAGUGUAGUUUUACUUGUUGGACUCCGUUUUUUGUGGGUGUGCCUUACUAGACUGCUUAAUGAAUUUAUGAUAUACAAAUUUGGGUAUGUUAAUGGAUUUGACUAUAUCUGUUGUCUAAGUAUUAACUGAAUUGAAAAAUUUGUUAUAAGUAGAAGCAUAUUUAGUCCAAACCCAUAGGGAAGAAAAAGGGAAUGAAAAGAAGGAUAUUUAGUAAAUCUUUGGUACAUAGUAAUCUUCUGCUAAUAUUAAAAAAAUGCAUUAGAUAUUGGAUUUUUUUUUCAAACAUUCGUUCUAAGUAUUUAAAACAAAAUUGAAUGAUGCCUUAAUUUUGGAAUUUUGAAAUUCUACCAGAAAAUCUUAAAUAGUGUCGAAAAAUUAUUCCAAAAGAUAAUAAAAUUUUUUACCCAAAAAAAAAAUUCUUUUCAGUAUUUUAUUUUUAUUUCUAUGAGAAUAAUUAAUUUUUUUGUUAAUAUUUUUUAUCUUGAUUAACGGAACAUGUCUAUAUAACACAUCAAACUGUGAUUUUUUUUUGUUAAUUGUCAAUUAGAAUUGAUAUAUUUUUUUUUUAUGUUAGGGACCUUGUUGUAUUUUAGAGUAAUUAUUAGGAAUCGUUAGNNNNNNNNNNNNNNNNNNNNNNNNNNNUUACAAUAAAUAUAGAAAAGUUCAAAAAUUAUUAUUUUGCACAUUCAAAUAUUCAUAGAUAAAAGUGAAAAAACUAUAAAGUGCUGCAUAUCAUGACUUUAAAAAUAACGGUCAUAACAACGGAAGUAUAGAAGUUUAUCAUUCUCUUAGAGGGAACAAAAUUUCUUUCAAUAGUUUAUUUAAUAUUUUAACAAAAUAAAAAUGAAUUUUACUAGAAUAAAUUUCAAUAUGAGUUGGUGGUUGCACUUUAUUGAUUGAAAAAAAAAGAAAGAAAAAAAGAAAGAAGGAAGAAAAGACAAGUUUAUAGAGUUAGACUUGAGUACUGACGAAUCAUAAUUCACUAUAAUUCUAUUUUUGAACCAGAUAAAGAAAAAAGAAAGAGAUGAAGAAGAUAAAAAAACACUAGAGAAAUACUAUACACAUGUUGGUCGAAUAUUUUUUACCGACUGAAUCGAUCAAAUGGUCGAGUCGAUGAGAGGAGAAUUGAUGAUAAGAGUUUUGAUUCAUUAGAAGUUGUCGAAGGAUGAAGUCAUUAGAUUGAAAGAUCGAAGUGAAAGACAAGCUGAGCGAAAGUGGCAAUUAUUUGGGCUUGUAUUUAGCGGAAACAUUUACUUUAUGAUUAUUUAGAGAUGAUAUUUGAUAGAGUAGGAUUGGUCAAACUAAUCUAUAGAUACUUAGAUAAACAAUGCUUGAAAAGAAUAAGGGAUUGGUCAAAUUAAUCUAGCCGUUGAGAUUGUCUAGCAUGAUAAAAUAUGGUCAUAUCAUCACUCCGAUAGCUGACUCAGCAUCGAAAAUGACAAAGGGACCAAUAUAAUAUCCGGAGCUCUAUUUGGAGGAUCACUAUAAGAAAAUUUAGGCUUCGAUGACCAUUUCGGAAAAUUGCGUGAGUCUAAAGAACUAUUAUAAAAAUUUAUUCGACUUUAACCCAAAGAUUUUGAUCGUAUGCAUUAUGCAUGUUCUCUAUGAGUUGUAACUUGUUUGUGUAAGACCCAUAAAUUUUAGAAAAAAAUCUUAUUAAGAGUUAAUUUUGAUUUAUUUAUUCAUUACGUACCUUAGCCUCAGAAAUUAUUUUAUUAAAGAUAAAUUAAAGCAAAUUUUGAUUAAUUGAGUUUAAAAUAAUUUAAGGUUUUAUCUGAUUUUAUAAUUAUCGAAUUAUUUUCUAAAUUUGAAUAAUAAAGUUUAGCAAAUAUAAAAUAAUAAGAAUUUUAUAUGGCUUGGUUUAAGUAACUGAGGAUGAGAGUAGAGGGGGAUCCGAGAGAGAGGAAGAGAGCGUCGGGGGAGGAGCUGUCUGCACCGCCAUCACGCGUCACCGCCGCCAAGCCUCGUCGCCGUCGCCAUUGGGGCCGCCGAGCCUCGUCGUCGCCACUGGGGCCACCGAGCCGUCACCGUCACUAUUGGGUCGUCAUCACCGCCAGUUCCACCGAGAGGAGAGUUCGCGCGAGGGAGAGGUGACGUCGAGAGAGAGAGCUGCGCGAGGAAGGGGAGUUCUGUCCAACCGUCGCCUCCACUGUCACGAGUUGGGGGUUGUGCCGCCGAAGCUCCGUUGCCAUCCAUGGAGCCGCAAGUGUGCAUCGCGAUCGAGAGGAAGAGCGCCACGUUGAGGGAGAACCAACUGGAGAGAGGGAGAGGUGCUGCGUCUGCUAUGAGCCUGCUAUCGUCACCUUCAUCGUGACUUGUCACUGCUGCUUGUGAGCCUCUUCUCCUGCCAUUCAAGGAGCUGUGCCCGGUUUCCGUUUUUCCACCGUUGGAGCCGCCAUCUCCUUCUCCUUGGUAAGCUUUAGCCCUGUUCUGGUUUUUUCUCAUUGUCGGUCAAAAUUCUGGUAACUAUAAGAGUUGUUGUUGAGAUUGUUUGUGCCAGGGAUUGUUUAUCAUGAGUUGCUCCGUCGUACGCCACCGUUGGAGCCAUCAUUCCGCUGCUGCCCCCUUGCUCUGAGCCGUUCCAUUGUUGCAGCAAGUGUUGUUGUUGUGGCUGCUCGAUUUAGUCGCACCUCUUUAGUAUGGUAAGCUAUUCCUUGAUUCAGUUUCGAACUGUCAGUCACUGUUCUAUUAUAUAUUGUUAAGAUUCUUGUGACAUUAAUGCAAUAGGAUCGAGAUCCAGUCACCGCACGUUGGUGAAUUUAAGUUACUGCUGUGGGUGCAAAUACCGUGGAGCUGAGAUUGCGAUUGUUGCUGAUCACAGGUCGAGAGGAAAGGUUUUCUUUGAUGCGUUUGGUUUGUGGAUUUCGACUUUCCGAGGUAGGGGCACUUUUCUUAAACUUGUUUUACUUUUCAGAGUUGUUAUAAAUCGAUAUUAAUGCGUAAAAUAUAUUUUUUGUGUAAGACCCAGAACCUGUGAAAAGUCUUUUUAUGAUCAAGUCUCAAAUCAUAUGGUUAUUUAUAGCCUUAAUUUCAAAAAUUAUUUUAUUAAAGGUAAUUAAGGCAAGUUUCGAUUUAUUGAAUUUGAGAUAAGUUAUGAUUAUUAUCCAAUUUUACAAUAAUUGGAUUAUUUUCUAUAUUUGAAUUAUAAAGUUGAUAGUUAUGAAAUAAUAAGGAUUUUAUAUGAUUUGGAUUAGAUAAGUAAUAUUUUAAAUAUUAUUACUGCUAUUUUGGAAAAUGAAGAAAUCAAGUAUAUUAUUUCUAAUUAUUUGGUUGGGACAUUUUAUUGAGAAUAAUUUGUGAAAUUGAUGAGUAAAUAGUAUUUUUAUACAUUAUUAUUGUUGGGUUAAAAUUCAUUUCUAGUUACUACUAUAUUGUCCCUAUUUUCAUUUGAAAUUACAAAAGUAAACCUAACCCUAAUUUUUGAAAAUGAACCCCUAACCCUGAAAACCCUAACCCGACCCGUUUCACCCAGUUCCCUAAUGCUACAGCAGCAGCAGCUGCUGCCCCUCUCUACCCUAGACACACAAACACACGCACACAGUGAGACCCAAGGGGGAGAAAGAAAAUGAAAUAGAGGGAGAAGAAGGAAAGAGUUCGCUGGCGGGGGAGUGAGGAGAGCGACGCAGCCGCCGAGCCCAUCACCAUGCCGAUCAUCUUCAUCGCUGCCAGCUGAAGAGAGAUGUGAUGGAGAGGGAGGGUCUGCGAACGGAGGUGUCGCCGUCCCCCUGAGGCCGCAUUGUCGCCACUGCUUCUCCCAACGACGCUGCUGCACGACCCAGAGGAACUCGUCUCCGUUGGAACUGCCGCACCUAAUCCACCCGCGCUGCCGUCGCAGAGCAUAUUUGAGGCGAGGGAGAGGGUCGUGAUGGGGGAAGGGUUGCACUGCCCAGUCGCCGGUCUGCUCGUCGCCAGCGUUGCCGCGAGCUUGCCGCCGCCGUUGUGAAGGAUCCGCCAUUCCCUUGUUGCCGUUGGAGAGAGGGAGAUCGGAACGAGUAAGGGGGAGGAGCGUUGUGUCCGCCACCAUCUGAGCUCGCUGCUGCGGGUGAUGGCAAGCUGAACUGGAGCCAGAAGAGUGUUCAAGCCGCCGUAGGUGCCGCUGCCGGACAAGGGAGUUACGUCUCCGUGAUACUGACCGCCGGGAGUGGUUCUGUGACUUCCGGGACCACCGCCAGAGCCUCUGGUUACUUCUGCCGUCGCCGGAAAACUCUACCGGUAAGGGAUUUGAACUUGGUUUUCAUUCGUUUGAGAUUCCAGAAGCUUUAUCGCCUCUGUAUGUGGGUUUCAGUUACCAACGCCGGAGUUCGGUCGCCGCUGUCGUUUGAGGUGGCUGCCGGGCUGCCGCCGAACCGGUUCAGAGACCGCCGCUGUUCGGUUCAGCCGUUCCUUCUUUGUUUUGGUAAGUAAGUAUUUUCGGAAAGCCUCGCGUUAGUAUUUCGUUGUGUUUGGUUAAUGAAUAUGAAUUUUGGUAACGUGGGGUCGAGUCCUGAUUAUUGUAUGUUGUGAUUAGUGUCGCUAUGGUUAUUGCGGAUGUGGCUUGAAGCUGAGUUUGCAGUUGUUGAUGAUUUCGGGUUGAGGCGGAAAGGACUCUGUGACGCGUUUGAGUUAUGGAAUUUGCGUUUUGAGGUAGGGUGCUUUCCAAAAACUAUAUUCUUAUAUAUUGGAAUUAUUACAUAUGGAUACUGUUGUGAGAUAUUGUGUAUGGAUUUGGCUUGCCUUGAACUGAUUUUGGAUUUUGGGCUGUUGGAAAAGGAUUGUGGAAUGGUUUUGUUGGGACCCGAACCAGGUGGCAAAGUCCAAGUUUUAGGGGAGAUGCUGCCAGAAUUUCUAUAAAAUCCGAGUCUUUAUUGAAAUUUUGUAUGGAAAAAUGAUGAGUUAAAGACUUCUACUAUUUUAUUUGAAUUGUCAAGAAAAGGAUGAUCCAUGCUUUUGAAAUGAAUUAUUAAAGAGGAAAUUGUGAUUUAGUCUUGCUUCUCAAGAAGGGUAUGCUGAGAGCGGCUUUGUUUUAAAAAGGGAACUCACUUUGAGUAAAUUUGGCUUAUGAGCCUGAGAUGAUUUGAGAAAUGAGAUCUUUAAAGCCAAGGCUGAAAAGAGUUGAAACUUGAUUUCAAAGUGAAAUGAAUUGAGAAAAUGAUUUAUGGCUUAAAUGCCGAUUUCAUGAAUUUGAUGAUUUUGAAUGUGGAAGUGCUGUUUUGUUGAGAGCCGGAAUGGCUGUGUAUGAUUACACAUAUUGAUUGGUUCUGGAUUGAACCGUGAGCCGAAAUGGCUGUGAAUGAUAUGAAUAUUGGCUGGUUCUAGAAUGAACCGUGAGCCGGAUGGCUGAGAUGGAUGUUGAUCCAUGGAUGAGAUUGAAUGCAUGUUUAUGCUGAAUCAUUGAUAAAUGUGAAUGUUACACUUCCACUAUCGGAGAUAAGAGUUUCCCUGGGAGAAAGCAGUGGCUAGCCACCACGUGCUCCAGGUUGAGACUCGAAGCUCUUGUGACCCUAUGUCGUAAGUGUGGUCGGGCACUGUGAAAGGCCCGGAUGAGCUCGCCCCCGUGAAUAUACACCAGUGAGGGUGUUGGAUAUGGAUCAUGAUUAUGAUCAAGUUUAUAUUGAGUAUAACUCGAGUUGGGGAUGCGCGACAGAGGGACAGUCCAAUGGUUAGCUACCAAGACUUGUCGGGUUGGCUCUAUAACCGACAGAUGAUAUCAUCAGCCACUAGGGACAGGCAUGCAUCAUAUGCAUCUAUGUGACAUUGUUUGGGUGUGCAUAUUAUACUUGGUGUACCUAUGUGAUUAAUUGCUAAUUGUUCUACUCGCAAUAACUGUUUGUUUGUACUUGCAUCUUCCUAUUUGUGUUUGCUACUGGGAUUCUGUUGGAUUGUGGUGAUUGGUUGUUGGAUGGAUUGUUUGGGCCUAGAGCCGUGGUUGAAUUAAGAUGGACCGAUGGUUGGUUUCGGUUUUGUGGUUAUGGUUUGGGAAAGUAUGAAAGGCUAUUUUGGUUCUGCAUAGAUAAACUGUUUUGAAAGGCUUUUGAGUUUUUGAAAAUUGAACGGUUCUUCUUUCAGAAAAGAUUUCCGACUUUACUUUUAUUGUAAAUCGUUGUUUUUGAAAAGAGGCAUAAGAUGGUUAUUAAUCACUAGUGCGGUUAUCUUCACGUAUCCUAUUACAGUAAUUCCCAAAAACCCUCUACUGAGUACCCUUUCGAGGAUGAUGUUCUCUCCCCCCCUACAUUUUUCCCCUUUCAGGAUAUGGGCGCAGAAGUCACGAAGAGUUUAUUUAGUUGUUGAAAUGCUCUGUAUUGCUUUAGAUUAUUACUUGUUGUACCCUCGCCUUCAUCUUGAUAUAUUCUGUAAGAGGGAUAGGAAUUGUAUUGGUUAAUGCUUGUAAUGUUAUUUAUAAUAUAUGGAUGUACUCUUUAUGAGUUUUUGUAAGUUGUAUGGUAUCUAUGGAUGUACUUUGUCGAACGAAAGUAUUUUUGGGAGCGGUUUUGCGGUUUAAAGUUUUAAACAGGCUCAUAUUUUAGUAUUAAAUAGUAUAAGUGUCGUCAUAAUGUCCAAGCUAUCAGAGUCGCGCAGCCGGAAGCGUGAGCUUUGGUAGUUAGGGUGUUACAUUAUGGUAUCAGAGCAUUCCUUCCUGUAGAGCCUGAGGAAUGGACCGACUAUGCUUCAAUUGCAUACUCUGAGCGUUUGUCAUGUAUUAGGUCUUGUCGAAUUACGAGAAUUAGAGCUUUAUGCACAUGAUGGUCUAUUGAUUAACGCUGUUAGUCUUGCAUUGCAAAAUUCUUGGUAUUAAGUUUGGCCAGCUUAAUACUAGUGAAUUAUGUAUAUGAAGGCACUGAUGGGUUAUCAUAGAUGUUAUACGAGUUUUGAGUAAAGCGAAUCGCGGGUUUUGAGAACGUUGGAAACUAUUUCUCGAGGCUAUUCAGUUGUGUGUCUUGAAUUCUGUUCGAGUCGACCUGUUCUUUCGUAUCCUAACUUGAAGUUCUUGUUUGCUAAUUCUUUUAAAAAGUAGUUUGAUUUUUUUAACUCUAUUCCUCUAUUCAUAUGCAUUCUUGUUUGAUCUCAAUUGCAUAUGCUUGUUUGGAAUCCUUGUUGCAUCUGUCCUUUCUCUGUUUGAGUUCUUCCUGAUUCAAAUAUUCCUUGAUAUAGCUUUGAACUUGUCUUAAUGCGCUGUGCCUUUUAACUCCAGAUUCCGAGUCCAUUCUUGAGAAAUUAUUGAUAAAGUUUUUCUCUUGUUUGACAGUGAUUACAGCCAAUUUUGAGGUUUUAUAAAAAAAAAUUGCUGUUGAUUAGAUAUAUACUUAUCUAUAUAUGAAACUUCAUAUUUCUUAUACAGUUUAACAACUAUUUAUCUCUAAUACCUCGCCUGUACUUUUACUGGUUUACGGAAUUGCACUUACUUUAAAAGUAAAUUGACUUUCUAGUAAUUUUACUAUAGUUCCAAUGCACAUCUUCAAUUGAUUAUGUAUUUGGAAUAUUCUUCAAAAUUUUGAAAAGAAAGGAUUUACCACUUUUGUCUCGGUUGAGUUUCGUUUGAUAAACUUUACUUAAUUCAUUUUGAUUUGAGUUUGAUUUAGCAUACUACAUGGCUUAUGCCAUUGUUGUUCUUUUGAAAAUGUUAGACUCAUAGCUUUCUUCUUAUGAUCGGACUCGCUCCUUCUUAAGCUUUUCACCUCUAUGAAUGUCAUAUGUGAUUCUGUUUUUAAUUAUACAUCUACCUUUUGGGAACACUACAAUCAAUCUCAACUUUCCUUUCUCUGGUGAAUCUCAUUCUUAUGAGUUAGUUUGAUUCGUUUCAAAUUAGUGCAUUGUUUAUUCUCUCAUUCUCUCUACAAUAGUUUUUAGUUAAAGAUUUACCUUUGAGAAAUUACUAAUGAUUGAGUUGUCUUUUCCUAUGACUUUUGUAUUCUUUUGGAUCAAUUGAAAGCUUGUUUGAUGACUCAUGCCUAGUGAAUCUUGUUUGGACUACUUUGGUUUAAGAUCCUUUCUUGCAAGGCUUGACUCCUUUUAAGUACAUUCUAAUCUCCUUGAAUAUCCUUCUGAGAUGGUGAUUUCAAGAACACUUUUGGAGUCUUGUUUUGAACUUUUUAAAGAAGUUUUGAAUUCUCUUUAAAGGAGUUCUAAACUAAAUUUAUUUUUCAACUGCUUGAUUGUAAUGGAAACCAUCAUUCAACUUUGACAAAGUUGUUUUAAAGUGGCAUGCGCUAUUUUAAAUGAGGUUUUGGAAAGCUUCCUUGUUUAGUGGAAAUCGGUUCGUUUGUAACGCACUACUUAUUUCCUUUACCAAAUUGUAAGCAAAUUUUUACUUGGAGUUUCUUUUCUAAAAAGAGUUUAACUUUCUCUUUCGUACUUACUAUAAAUGUUAUACACGCUUGUUUGAAUAUGGACUUUGGGAGUUUCUGAACAAGCAUUUAAUUUCUUUCCUGAGUUUUGUGAAUUACUUUUGGUUAAGAUUGUGCACUUAACUAAUUUUCUAAAAGAGUAAAGUAUCGUUUUUGUCCCCAACGUUUGGGGUAAGUCUUAUUUGUGUCCCUAACGUUUAAAUCGUCUUAUUUGUAUCCCUAACGUUUAUAAAAGUGAUUCAAUGUUAUCCUACGAUCAAUUAUACUAACAAAUUAGAUUAUAUUUUUCAAUUAUUCUCAUUUGGAUGUAUUCAUUAUCAAUUAGGUCUCACUUAGAUGUGUUCGAUUUUAAUAUUAUACCAACUAUUUGUGUUUAAAUUCAAUUAUGUCCCUAGAAAAGUGAAUUAUGUAAAUGUUGUAGGAAUUAGUUUCAACUUUUGAUGAGUUAUUUUUCAGAGUGGAUCACCGAUUUUAUCCCAAACAUUUAUAUUCUAACUUCAAGAGAUUUUUAAAACUCAAACUAAAGCGUUCAUGAUGUGUAAUUGACAGCAAGAUAACAUUGAAUCACGUUUACAAACGUUAGGGAUACAAAUAAGACGAUUUAAACGUUAGGGACACAAAUAGAAUUUACCCCAAACGUUGGGAACAAAAACAAUACUUUACUCUUUUCUAAAAUAUUUGAUGAAAAUAUUUUAGCUCUUAGCCAAGCCGGUGUGCAUCUUGUUUUUAAAACUCUACAUGAUCUAUUUCAACAUGAAAUUGUAUUGAAGUGAAGCCACGUUUAUGCUAUUGCUACUCUCUUGAAGAAUGUUUGUUGCUCAACUUUUCUUCUAGACUGCAAAGUGGUUUUUUUCGCAAGUUUUCGACUCUUUCAUGAACAAUGUAUUCGAAAGUAUUUUUAAUCAUGCUCUUGAGUUCUGUGAGCUUUGUCUUGGGUUUGGAAUAUUCUCUUCUGUAAACCUCAUGCUUCCUCGACUCAGCUUGAGUUUGUUUCAAACUGAUGCACUGGUUUUCUUCUUAUUGAUCCUAGUGAACUUCUUUGAUCUAAGGGUUAUCUUUGAAGUUGUCAAUUGAAUUGUGUCUAGCAAACUUCAUUGCUUGAACAUCCUUGUUUAUCUGGAAUUGGAUAUAUUCUUUCAAAUCUAUGAGUAUUGUCUUUGACAUUUGUCUCUCCUUUCUAAGAUCUCAUAUUCUUCUGAGUAGACUCGAGAAUUGUUUUGAUAUCACGUGCGAUCUGUAGAUAUAGUAACGCGAUGCGUUAGUUCUUUAAGACGUGAUGUGUGCAUACGAAAGUUGAAGCGGUAGGUGUGCAACGUUAAGAGUUGUGGGUGUUUUAUUCCUUGUGAACGGGUUUGCGAACAUUAGGCUUAUGAUCGGAUAUGGGGAUUGUAAAGUGCUUGGUGGAGUUGGGAGAUUGAAGUUCUAAAGUGGGAACGAGAUUUGUCAGCGAACGUUAUGCCGCUGUUUAAAUACCAACAUGCUUUGCAGCCUUUUACCACACUAAUUACCACUUUGCUUGGUGAACGCCUAUCUUGAUUUGCACCCUAUUUUGGCACCUCAAGUUUUUGUAAAGCCUUGAGAUCAUAUGACCUUGUGCAUUGAGCCUAUCUUGUAAUGGUUGCCUUGCAAUCACACUCCUACCCUUGCAUCCUUAUGCAUACGAUAUGAUUAUAUUUUGAGAUGUUUUUGCUUCUUCCUUAAAUGUGUUCAAGGGUGAACUGUUAUGAAAUUUCUUUCGUUUUGUAUCAAUUUUCGAGGACGAAAAUUUUUAUAAGGUGGGUAGAAUGUAAGACCCAGAACCUUUAAAAAGUCUUUUUAUGAUCAAGUCUCAAAUCAUAUGGUUAUUUAUAGCCUUAAUUUCAGAAAUUAUUUUAUUAAAGGUAAUUAAGGCAAGUUUCGAUUUAUUGAAUUUGAGAUAAGUUAUGAUUAUUAUCCAAUUUUAUAAUUAUUGGAUUAUUUUCUAUAUUUGAAUUAUAAAGUUGAUAGUUAUGAAAUAAUAAGGAUUUUAUAUGAUUUGGAUUAGAUAAGUAAUAUUUUAAAUAUUAUUACUGCUAUUUUGGAAAAUGAAUAAAUCAAGUAUAUUAUUUCUAAUUAUUUGGUUGGGACAUUUUAUUGAGAAUAAUUUGUGAAAUUGAUGAGUAAAUAGUAUUUUUAUACAUUAUUAUUGUUGGGUUAAAAUUCAUUUCUAGUUACUACUAUAUUGUCCCUAUUUUCAUUUGAAAUUACAAAAGUAAACAUAACCCUAAUUUUUGAAAAUGAAACCCUAACCCUGAAAACCCUAACCCGACCCGUUUCACCCAGUUCCCUAAUGCUACAGCAGCAGCAGCUGCUGCCCCUCUCUACCCUAGACACACAAACACACGCACACAGUGAGACCCAAGGGGGAGAAAGAAAACGAAAUAGAGGGAGAAGAAGGAAAGAGUUCGCUGGCGGGGAGGUAAGGAGAGCGACGCAGCCGCCGAGCCCAUCACCAUGCCGAUCGUCUUCAUCGCCGCCAGCUGAAGAGAGAUGUCAUGGAGAGGGAGAGUCUGCGGACGGAGGUGUCGCCGUCCCCCUGAGGCCGCAUUGUCGCCACUUCUUCUCCCAACGACGCUGCUGCACGACCCAGAGGAACUCGUCACCGUUGGAACUGCCGCACCUAAUCCACCCGCGCUGCCGUCGCAGAGCAUAUUUGAGGCGAGGGAGAGGGUCGUGAUGGGGGAAGGGUUGCACUGCCCAGUCGCCGGUCUGCUCGUCGCCAGCGUUGCCGCGAGCUUGCCGCCGCCGUUGUGAAGGAUCCGCCAUUCCUUUGUUGCCGCUGGAGAGAGGGAGAUCGGAACGAGUAAGGUGGAGGAGGGUUGUGUUCGCCACCAUCUGAGCUCGCUGCUACGGGUGAUGGCAAGCUGAACUGGAGCCAGAAGAGUGUUCAAGCCGCCGUAGGUGCCGCUGCCGGACAAGGGAGUUACGUCUCCGUCAUACUGACCGUCGGGAGUGGUUCUGUGACUUUCGGGACCACCGCCAGAGCCUCCGGUUACUUCUGUCGUCGCCGGAAAACUCUACCGGUAAGGGCUUUGAACUUGGUUUUCAUUCGUUUCAGAUUUCAGAAGCUUUAUCGCCUCUGUAUGUGGGUUUCAGUUACCAACGCCGGAGUUCGGUCCUCGCUGUCGUUUGAGGUGGCUGCCGGGCUGCCGCCGAACCGGUUCAGAGACCGCCGCUGUUCGAUUCAGCCGUUCCUUCUUUGAUUUGGUAAGUAUGUUUCGGAAAGCCUCGCGUUAGUAUUUCGUUGUGUUUGGUUAAUGAAUAUGAAUUUUGGUAACGUGGGGUCGAGUCCUGAUUAUUGUAUGUUGCGAUUAGUGUCGCUAUGGUUAUUGCGGAUGUGGCUUGAAGCUGAGUUUGCGGUUGUUGAUGAUUUCGGGUUGAGGCGGAAAGGACUCUGUGACGCGUUUGAGUUAUGGAAUUUGCGUUUUAAGGUAGGGCACUUUCCAAAAACUAUAUUCUUAUAUAUUGGAAUUAUUACAUAUGGAUACUGUUGUGAGAUAUUGUGUAUUUGGUGAUUGUAUCUGCCUUAUGUGUCAUUUGAUUGACUCGAGUGAUUAUGGAUGCUGGUUUGGUUGAAUUGUUGUGCGGCUUUGUGAAAUGUAAUGUUUUGAAGUUGAUUCUUUAAAAGAUUUGAAAUCUGAGUUUAAUCCGUUGAGAAUUGGUUUGAAUUGAGUCAAUUAUUUUGAUGAUGUGGAAAAUAGAAUACACUCUUGAAUUCAGCCUGGCUUGCUUUAAAUGAUCUGGUUUUUGAUAAAUGAUUGUUACUGAAUCGUUUCUUUAAAGCUUUGGAAAUGAGUUUAUUCGGCUGAUAACGAUUUGAUUUUUGAAACGGUUUCCUUGAAAUAUGGAAUUGAGAUGACUGUUGGAUUUGGCUUGCCUUGAACUGAUUUUGGAUUUUGGGCUGUUGGAAAAGGAUUGUGGAAUGGUUUUGUUGGGACCCGAACCGGGUGGCAAAGUCCAAGUUUUAGGGGAGAUGCUACCGGAAUUUCUAUAAAAUCCGAGUCUUUAUUGAAAUUUUGUUUGGAAAAAUGAUGAGUUAAAGACUUCUACUAUUUUAUUUGAAUUAUCAAGAAAAGGAUGAUCCAUGCUUUUGAAAUGAAUUAUUAAAGAGGAAAUUGUGAUUUAGUCUUGCUUCUUAAGAAAGGCAUUGUAUCUCUUUCAGAAAAAAGUUAUUUAGAUGAAACGUAUGUUUUAAAGCUGUUUUAAAUGUGACAAGGGCAAUGCCUGAGAAAAUGAUUUAUGGCUUAAAUGCCGAUUUCACGAAUUUGAUGAUUUUGAAUGUGGAAGUGCUGUUUUGUUGAGAGCCGGAAUGGCUGUGUAUGAUUACACAUAUUGAUUGGUUCUGGAUUGAACCGUGAGCCGGAAUGGCUCUGAAUGAUAUGAAUAUUGGCUGGUUCUGGAAUGAACCGUGAGCCGGAUGGCUGAGAUGGAUGUUGAUCCAUGAAUGAGAUUGAAUGCAUGUUUAUGCUGAAUCAUUGAUAAAUGUGAAUGUUGCACUUCCACUAUCGGAGAUAAGAGUUUCCCUGGGAGAAAGCAGUGGCUAGCCACCACGUGCUCCGGGUUGAGACUCGAAGCUCUUGUGACCCUAUGUCGUAAGUGUGGCCGGGCACUGUGAAAGGCCCGGAUGAGCUCGCCCCCGUGAAUAUACACCAGUGAGGGUGUUGGAUAUGGAUCAUGAUUAUGAUCAAGUUUAUAUUGAGUAUAACUCGAGUUGGGAAUGCGCGACAGAGGGACAGUCCAAUAGUUAGCUACCAGGACUUGUCGGGUUGGCUCUAUAACCGACAGAUGAUAUCAUCAGCCACUAGGGACAGGCAUGCAUUAUAUGCAUCUAUGUGACAUUGUUUGGGUGUGCAUAUUAUACUUGGUGUACCUAUGUGAUUAAUUGCUAAUUGUUCUACUCGCAAUAACUGUUUGUUUGUACUUGCAUCUUCCUAUUUGUGUUUGCUACUGGGAUUCUGUUGGAUUGUGGUGAUUGGUUAUUGGAUGGAUUGUUUGGGCCUAGAGCCGUGGUUGAAUUAAGAUGGACCGAUGGUUGGUUUCGGUUUUGUGGUUAUGGUUUGGGAAUGUAUGAAAGGCUAUUUUGGUUCCAGAACCCUUUCGAGGAUGAUGUUCUCACCCCCUACAUUUUUCCCCUUUCAGGAUAUGGGCGCAGAAGUCACGAAGAGUUUAUUUAGUUGUUGAAAUGCUCUGUAUUGCUUUAGAUUAUUACUUGUUGUACCCUCGCCUUCAUCUUGAUAUAUUCUGUAAGAGGGAUAGGAAUUGUAUUGGUUAAUGCUUGUUAUGUUAUUUAUAUAUAUAUAUGUGUAUAUAUAUGGAUGUACUCUUUAUGAGUUUUUGUAAGUUGUAUGGUAUCUAUGGAUGUACUUUGUCGAACGAAAGUAUUUUUGGGAGCGGUUUUGCAGUUUAAAGUUUUAAACAGGCUCAUAUUUUAGUAUUAAAUAGUAUAAGUGUCGUCGUAAUGUACGAGCUAUCAGAGUCGCGCAGUCGAAAGCGUGAGCUUUGGUAGUUAGGGUGUUACAUUUUGUGAUUUCGUAAGUCUUAUGAAUUGAAUUGAGUUGCUUUGGAUGAAUGAGAUUAUUAGUUCGAUUGAUUGGUUGAUCGAUUAAGAAAGUUGAACAUUCUGAUUAGUUGACUGAUGUUAUUAAAGUGGUUUUCCUUGAAUUAUUGGAAGAGAUUUAAUAUUGGCAUUUAGUUUAAUUUUGGAAACGAUUUGAUUUAAUAUUGAAACUUGAUUUGAUAUUGAACCCGAUUUGAUAUCGGAAUUUGAUUUUAAAAACAAAUUUGGAAAGGACUUGAUAUUUGAAAACGGUUUGUUUAUUGAGAAUGAUUUGCUAUUUUGGAAACGAUUCGAAAAGGGCUUGAGGAAUGGUUUGGUUUGAAACUAUUUGAGAAGACCAAAAAUUCUUAAUUAUUGAUUGAUGCUGUUGAUUGAAGUUGGUUUAAAUUGCGAUUUAUAGGAUUGGUUAAUGGAAUUCUGGAUUUUGUAAUUUCCUUAGGUUGAGUGUUGUUAUUGUGAUAAUAGUAAUUGGAAGUGAUUUGAAUGAUUAACAGGUGUUUGGUUUGGUUUGGUUGGGACCCGGAAAGGGUGGCAAAGUCCGAAUUUUAGGGGAGGUGCUGUCGAAAUUUUUAUGAGGAUUUUAUGGAGAUUUUAUUUUUGGUUAAUUGGGAUUUGAAGAAUUAUUUUAAUUGAAUGAUUUGACUAAAGAAAAUAGUAUGGUUUGGGAUUUCUGGUUGGAUAAAAAAUGAUUAUUUAAAUUACUUUUCUACGGAAUGAAUUUGGUUUUGUUAAUUACAAAGAGGAGUAUGUUUUCAGGUAUUUGAUUGAACGGAAACGAAUUUUAUUAAAUUAAUACGAAUCAGAGAAUUAUGGUUUAAGGAUUUUGAUGAAUUUAAAGAAAUGAGCCCCUAAAGCUUAGAGGUUUUGCCAUGAAAUUUGAUUAAUUGAGGAAGUGCGGAAGGUUGCGAAUAUGCCGAAGAUGCAUAUAUGAGUUAAUGAAUGUAUGAAUGGUUUAUAAUGAAUUUGAAAAUGAAACUGAUUUUGAGCUUGACCUGGCAAGGAUCGUGGUGAUUUACCACUUGUCCAGUGUCGAUAUGUUGUGGGGAUCGUGGUUAGUUACUGCCCACGUGUGUGUUGUUUUCCAAUUGAAAAUGUCUGUGAGGAUCGAGGUGGUUUACUUCCCGCAGAUGGUGGGGAUCGAGGUGGUUUACCGCCCACCAGGUGAGGAUCAUGGUACUGUACCGCUCACCAGUUUUCAAGAGGACGAUGCCCGGGUUAGCUACCGGACAUGUCGGGUUGGCUAUAUAACCGACAAAUGAGCUCAUUAGCCAUAGGACAGGCAUGCAUCAUAUGCAUUUGUAUGCUUUCCUUCCGUUUGAACUUGUUUUGCCUAAUUGUUAAACUGUUUUUAACUGCUACCUGAACUAUUUGCUGUAACUGCUACCUAAACCUGCGUUUUCCUUGUCUAUUUUGCCUGUGUUUGUCCCGGUGUGCUACAUUUGAGAAUGGACUUUGGUGCUAAAUUAAUGAUUGUGUUGAUUGAUUGCGUGGUUGGUUUCUGAUUAGGAUUUUCUCAUAAGAAAAGAAAGGUUCUAGAUUUCUGAAAGGUUAAACAUUGUUUUUUUGAAAAGGUUUUGAAUGAUUAGCUAUUGGUUUUUAAAAGAUUCAUAAGGCAAUGAUAAUCACUGAGCUUGAAAACAGUUUUCUUAUUAAAUAUCUUAUGACAAUUCUAAAACUCCGUGGUGAGACCGUGUGGUUGGGUUCUCACCCCCCUACAGCUUUACCUUUUCAGGAAUCGGAUGAAGGAGCAUUAUGAAGAGUUAUACUGCGUUUUGGUUUAUAUGAUAUUGUAUUAAUUAGAUAAUCUUUCUUCCCUCGUCUUUGUUAUUAUAAUUUUAUAAGAGGGAUAUGAGUUGUAUGUUUUAUAUGUAUAUUACAAUAUAAGCUAUUAUGUAAGAAGUCUUGUAUAUAAUUCUAUACCUGUUUGUUUUUUUUAGGUAAUGUAUUUAUUUCUGGUUAAAAAAAAAAUUAGCGAUACGGUGUCGAGUCAUAGGCUCCUAUUUUAAUAUUAAGUAUAUAAAGUAGUCGUAAUACUUCUUGCUAUUUUUGUAAUAAAUCAAUAAUCAGUUUAUUUAUAUUGUGUAAUAUAAUUGAAAUAUUAACUAAUGAAAUAUAUCUAUUGAAUAAAAUAUUUAUUAUCACAAAAAAAUUAGGAAAAAGGUCAUACUGUGAAAUGAAUAUUUUAUUAAAAGCACAUUUAGUUAAAGGUAUGACGGUUGGGUGGAACAUAUCAGCCAAGUAUCAAAUUAUCCGUUUUAUAUUUUGAUCAUAGUGCAAUAAGUAUAAUAUAUUUAGCACCAACGAACUAUAACUCAAAUGGCAUAGUUUCUCUAUACUCAUUCAAGAAGUUGUGGGUUCGAGUCUUCCUAUCUUCGAUAAAAAAAAGGUAUAGUAUAUUUAGUUAUAGUCCAAUUCUUUUAUACUGAAGAUGGUCGAAAGUAUUUAGAAAGAUGAUAUAUUUUCGGCAUUCGGGGUAAGGGUUAGCUUAUAUAGUUUAAGGUUUGAAUGUAUAGAAUUUGGAUUUAAGUUUAGAGUUAUAAUUAGGGUUAAGUACGAUUUUGGUCUCUAACGUAGAGGUCAAAAAUUUAUUUUGUCUCUGUCUUUUUUUCGCUACAAAUAUGGUCCCGAAGGUUUCAGUUUAUUUUAAAAUCGUCCUUUUUACCAAAAUUUUAAUUUUUAUUCCAAAAAUACUCCUAAGUAAAAAAAAAAACAAAAACAUUGAAUAAGGGGGAAAGGGGGACAUUUAACCAAAUUUUAAAUUUUUAUUCCAGAAAUACCCCUAACUUAAAUUAAAAAAAAAACACACACACACACACACACAAAAUGUUGAAUAUGGGGGAAUGGAUUCAAUUCACGCUGGUUCAGGGAAGGGAAGGAAAGAGGGGAAAGAAAAGGGGGAAGGGAAGGUGGGGAAGAGAAGGGUAAGGGCCGCCGCCGCCGCUGCUCCUCUCCCCUUCGCGCUAACCCUAGAGCAACCGCGACCCUCUCCCCUCUUUCUCUCCUUCCCUGUCUCGGAUCUCCUCGAACCAGAGCUCACCGCCGGUGAGCCUCCCCUGCUUCACCACUGCGCAGCAACGUGGAGCCUCCCUUGCUUCACCAUUGCCAGCGAGCCUCCCCUGCUUUCCCUCCCUCAAUCCCUGUCGCAGAAGGAACCAGAGCCACCACUGCCUGUUACCCUCCCUCCAGCCCCUUCCUGUCAUGCCCAGACCGCCGGCGCUCCACCACUGCCUCCCCUGUCCCCUCUUUUCUAUUUUUGGUUAGUGUUAGUUCCUUGAUUUAAUUUUGGAUUAGUUUAGCUAGAUUUUAAUUUUCUAUUAGUUGAUUUUAGGUUAUUGAAUUGCUGAAAAUUGCUGCUGAAUUAUCGUUGUUGUUGUUGAAUUAGCUUAGCUUUGAUAGAAUUAGCUUAGGUUAUUGAAUUUCUAUUAAUGGUUAAUUGUAUACAUAAUUUUAGUAGGUUGAUAGUCCAAAAGUGUUGUAUGUUAUUCUUAUGAAAAUUUGAGUUUCAUUGAGAGUUUUCUAUUAUUUUUACUUAAUAUUUUGGACAAUAUUUUUACAUCAAAGGAAUAUUCCACCAAGAUGAAGAGUUGCAUAUGAAAGUAUUGAAUCCGAUUCAUCCUAUAACUUCAGAGUUGUUUAACAUAUCUCUUUCAGAGUUUAUCAUUGAAUAUUUUAUUUGUAAGUUUUAUCUUUUUUUAUUUCAUUUCGGUAGGAAAAGGCAUUUAAGUGAGACAUUAAAAAAAAGUCAUAGAGAAAAAAGACAAAGAGAUACUUAGAGAAAAAAGUCAAAGUUUAUGUCUAAUUUUUUUUUAUUGUAUUUCUAUUUUGAAUCUUGUAUGUGAGAUGUAUCUCUUAUUAAGUUGGGUGAGCACUUAGUGUGUUGUGAGUCUAGAAAGUGAACCUAGGCAAAUCAAGAUUAGUUAGAAGUUUGGUUUGUUCUUAUAGGAUUAGAUUAAAUUUUUGGGAAUUGGUGUUUAUGAUAUUUGAAAAGAUAGUGAAAAUUCUACCACUAUUGUGAUAGAGACUGAAUGUAGAUUACAUGGUACAAGAUAGUUGAACUAGGAUACAUGGCUAUGUCUUCUUCUCUUUCUUGUUUGGUUUUUGUUUUUGUUCUUUAGAAGAUAAAAUAAAAUUAUCUCAUGCAUAAUCAAUCUUACAUUUUUUUUAUUUGAGAAUUAAUUAAUUAAGUUUAAAAAAAAUAUAAAUUUAACUCCUUAUUCUCUAGGCCUUAAAAAACCUUCAUAACUGAAAGAGAUAGNNNNNNNNNNNNNNNNNNNNNNNNNNNNNNNNNNNNNNUCGCAUCAUUCGCAUCAUUCUUCUACGCGAUUUAUACAUUAAAAUAAUAUUUUAGAUGAAAGGAAUUAAAAAAGUAAUCCACAUGAUAUGAACAACAACGCAUGUUAAAAAAAAUCACACAUUUACUGUAGUUACUGGUCUAUUAGGACAAGUAGGAGAAUAUGUAAAACGGCUUGGCUUGGACUCUUCAACAAGGCUUCACAAGAAUUCAAACAACUUGAUCAGAAUCUUUAAUCAGAAUUUCUAAUCAUUUAUUACACGUGUCGUUCAACUAUGUAAAUCUGUAUAAAAUUAUAUGUAUACACUAGAAUGACCUUUUUUUUAACAUACACAUUGAUUCAGAUGGGUUUCGUGAAAAAUAGAUUAAGUGAAAAAUAAUAGUUAAGAUGAGAGAUUAGGGGUAAGUAAACUUGUGAGGAAGACACUUCUAUUAAUGGCAAAUAAGCAAUACAAGAACUAAUAUUGAGGAAGAGAGGUGGAGAACAAGUGUUGAGACCUCCACUAAUGUCACAAGAGGAUGAAUGAGCUUUGUUUAAAGUGGACAGGAAUGGUUUACAGAGAAGAGAAGCUCUCAGAAGAGGAUGAAGGUGAAGGUGAAAAAGUGAAAGUGAAGGUGAAAAGGGUUUCAAGGUCUGUGAAGAAGAUGAUCAAGGUGAAAGUGAAAAGUGAGAGUGAAGGAUGAAGGAUGAAGGAAAAGAUAAAAAAGGUUGAAAGGUGAAGGUGAAAAGCGAAGUGCUUUACAGAGGUGGCUUGGGGUCCUUUUUAUAGUGUAAAACCAUGAUGAAGAGGACACCCUUGGCCAAUGGUUUUAGUCUGACAUUUGGUUUACUGCUCUUUCCAAAAUAUCUUUAGGUAUUUGGGAUCACCUCAAGUCUUGUCCACUGAAAAGGGUAGGAAGUUGAUUCCCACACGUUAAACUAAAGCUCGUGACAUGUGACAUUAGUGAAGGGACAUCUAGUUUAGUUUUCUUUCAACUAGAUGACACCUUUACACUCCAAAUCCAACCAAUCCACUUCCACCAAUAUAGUUCCCACUGAAGAGAAAUUUAACUCCUCAAGGUGUUCUUUUUGGUUCCAUCCUUUUAGCCCAAUACCUUUAGGAGGAACUUAACUCUUUUUUGACCAUGUUUGUAGGUCAUUAUAAAAAUAAAUUAUGUACAAAAAAGGUUUAUAUUUUUAGUACACAAUCAUAAGCCCCCAUGCAGUAUUUGAGGGUACAAAGUAUUCCCUCAAGCUACAUUAAACUUUUUUGUACUCAACAGAACAAGAAUAAUAAUUUUUUUUUAAGAAGCUAACAUAUCAUAACUCUAAAGAAUCAAAUCUUCCAUCUUUUAUUCAUUUUUUGUUAUAAUAAGAUAUGUAUUUGUAAAUAUUAUGAUAUUCAAAUAUAAAUAUGUCUGUAUAAUUUAUUAUGUACCGAGCCCUCUAAUGGUUUAUGUACUAAAAAAAAAUGAAUAAAAGAAUGUUAUUGUGCAAAUAUUUAAAAUAUUAAUAAAAUAAAUAAAUAAGUAGUAUAUAUAUUCAUAAUUUAUUUGUAUGAAAAAAGAGGGAUGAUUUGAUUUAAUAUAAUAAUUUAAUAUAUAAGGGAAUAAGAAGGGGAGAAAUUCUUACCCUUUUAAUUGGACGCGUUUUAAAUUUGAGUACCUGAAUUUGGAGAGACACAUAAGGAGAGAGAACACCUGAAGGGUAGGGGAGAGGUGUUCCUCAUCAUCUCUGCUGGGCAUUUUUUUACACAGCGCAGUAUCAUCACUACUAUCACCACCAUCAUCCAAAUCCUCUGUCUUCUUCAACAAUUGGGAGUUUUUCUUAGGGCAAAGGACACUCCCACAUUCAACUUCGUUCUGUUCUUUUUACUCUGUCUUCUUACUUGGUAAGACCCUUUUUCUUCUUUUUCUUGUUUUUGUAUUAACCCCUCUCAGCCCCAUGUAUAUUGGGUUGCUAAUUUUGGAAUUAGCUAUAGGAAUUUUUGAUAAAGAUCUUUCUCCUUACAACCUUGGAUGUUAUAUCCUCAUUUGUAUACGUUUUCAAUGAAAUCACAAAUAAAAAAGAAAUUGAAUUAAAAUUAUGAGCAAUGUUCAUUUGUAACCAUAAAUAGAUAUUUAAAAAUAAAAAUAAUUUAUUUUAAUUAAUUUUUUUUUUGCAGGGAGAGUGUAUGAUUUUAAGAAAAGCAGUAGCCAUUUUUUUUUAGGCCAAAAAAAGGAAGGUACCCAUAACUUUCUUGCCCUGUUUAUGCUCGACUCUUUUUAGGAGCUUGGAGGGUGGGACACUUCACUUUUUCGAAACAGUUCCAAAAAAAAGGAAGGUACCCAUAACUUUCUUGCUCUAUUUAUGCUCGACUAUUUUUAGGAGCUUGGAGGGUGGGACGCUUCACUUUUUUGGAACUAUUUUGUACUGCAAAUUUCUUAAGAUGCAUCACUCACAUUUUGAGUGUAUGAUUGCUAAAGCAGUUUUCUCAUGCAUUGCAGGAUGCUUGCAGAAUAAUAUAACAUAAACAUUGGCUCUUGAUAAAGAAGCCUUUUGGAAUUAAAAUUCUAACUUCUAAAACUGAAAUUAGGCAUAGUACUAUUUAACGUACUUGAAAUUGAUGGGGCCGAUGGUUGUUCCAUGAUUUGGGUCCAGCAAGAUGCGGUGUCCGUUGGGGUGUACCUCAGAAACAAUGUAAGGACCCUCCCAUUUGGGAGCCCAUUUUGGCAAAGACAUUUUCCUUAUUACUGCGUCUACUGAUUUUUGGUACCAGAUCUCCCUCUAGGAACACCCUGGGCCGAAUGUGCUUGUCAUAAGCUAAUGCCAGUCUCUGAUGAUAUUCUUCCAUCUUGCUUCCCACAACUUCUCUUUUUCCUUCCAACUCUUGUAACUCAGCUUCACGAUCCCUUGACUUUUAGAAUACGCGUCAACUAUCUACAAGUAGUUGGGGUGUUCUCGUCUUCCUUUAUAUUCUCUAGAUUCGCGAACAGAGGUGGUGAGGGAGUUCUAUACCUCGUUUGAUCUCUAGCCAUCAUGUCGAAGUGUUCCUCCCCAGUGGAGUCGCCAGAUGAUUCGGGUGGGUUUCGUGAAAAAUAGAUUAAGUGAAAAAUAAUAGUUAAGAUGAGAGAUUAGGGGUAAGUAAACUUGUGAGGAAGACACUUCUAUUAAUGGCAAAUAAGCAAUACAAGAACUAAUAUUGAGGAAGAGAGGUGGAGAACAAGUGUUGAGACCUCUACUAAUGUCACAAGAGGAUGAAUGAGCUUUGUUUAAAGUGGACAGGAAUGGUUUACAGAGAAGAGAAGCUCUCAGAAGAGGAUGAAGGUGAAGGUGAAAAAGUGAAAGUGAAGGUGAAAAGGGUUUCAAGGUCUGUGAAGAAGAUGAUCAAGGUGAAAGUGAAAAGUGAGAGUGAAGAAUGAAGGAUGAAGAAAAAGAUAAAAAAGGUUGAAAGGUGAAGGUGAAAAGCGAAGUGCUUUACAGAGGUGGCUUGGGGUCCUUUUUAUAGUGUAAAACCAUGAUGAAGAGGACACCCUUGGCCAAUGGUUUUAGUCUGACAUUUGGUUUACUGCUCUUUCCAAAAUAUCUUUAGGUAUUUGGGAUCACCUCAAGUCUUGUCCACUGAAAAGGGUAGGAAGUUGAUUCCCACACGUUAAACUAAAGCUCCUGACAUGUGACAUUAGUGAAGGGACAUCUAAUUUGGUUUUCUUUCAACUAGAUGACACCUUUAUACUCCAAAUCCAACCAAUCCACUUCCACCAAUAUAGUUCCCACUGAAGAGAAAUUCAACUCAUCAAGGUGUUCUUUUGGGUUCCAUCCUUUUAGCUCAAUACCUUUAGGAGGAACUUAACUCUUUUUUGACCAUGUUUGUAGGUCAUUAUAAAAAUAGAUUAUGUACAAAAAAGAUUUAUAUUUUUAGUACACAAUCACACAUUAAAAAAUAAAAUAGAAAUAAUUUUUAAUAAAAUAAUAUAACAAUUUUUCUAUAUAGGUGAGAGUAUUUUAACAAUUUCAUCCUUGGUACAAUCAACAUGCAUGGUUUUCUUAUGCGUGCGUUUUUCACGUCAUCACGUGGAACCAGCAAGGCAGCAAACCCCGCCCGUAUAAACCGUGCUAAUAACUUUAAUAAUCGUUCUGUAACAAUUAAUAGAGUCGCUCUAAAUACAAUAAUAUUGUCUCCCUAGCUCUAAAUAAUAUAGCGGUCAAUAAAUACACAACAUCAAUAAUAGAGCGGUCAAUAAUAUUACUGAAAGAUUUAUCCUUAGCACUAUUGUUGAGAGAGUGAUGAAAACAGAGAAGACAAGGAACUCUGCAGAAUCUAAAGUUAUUUUAUUUGUAUUUUUAAGUAGGUCAAUUAAUAGAUGUAAAUUUAUACAAAAAAUACAUAUAUUAGUAACACUGUUGAUACACAUAUAUUUAUACACGUAUAUUUAUACAUAUAUUUUUAAAGAUGUAAAUUUAUACAAAAAAAUACAUAUAUUUAUUUUAAUCUAUACAAAUUAUUAUUUAAUAAUAUUAGUAACACUGUNNNNNNNNNNNNNNNNNNNNNNNNNNNNNNNNNNNNNNNNNNNNNNNUACACGUAAUAUUUUUUAAUAAAAAAUACUACAACAUCCAUAUUUUUUUAGAUCGCAUAAAAAUAUACAAUAUUGCAUAACUCUCAUUGUUAGUCACCGAUUAUAACAUCCGAAAAAUCUUCAUAGUAAUAUCUAAAAUUACUUAAUUAUACAAAAUAUGCAAUAUAUUAGCUAGAUAUAUAAACAUAUAAUAACACUAUUUCAUAAUUAUAAGAAGUAUCUACAUCUUUCAAGUAAAAAAAGCUCAAAAUAUUUUUUAAAUAGCUACAUAUUUAAAUUUUUUUAUAAAUCAAAUUCAACCAAAUUAUUAAAUAAUAAGACUUAGAAUAAUAUUAUAUAUUUAUAAUUAAUUUUUAUUAAUAUUAGAUUAAUUUAGUUAAACUUAAUAAUUAACAAAAAUAUUUAGAUAUAUAACAUUAUUUAUAUUUCUUUUAAUGUGAUUGAAGACAAUGAAAUUAAAGCGAAGAUCACAAAAAUAUUAAUUAUCAGGAUUUAAAAUAAAAGUUUUUUUUUAAAAUGAUAUAUAUGCAUAUUCGUACGAAUUUAAAUAGAUAUAAUUUAAAUUAAUAAUUUAAUUUAAUUUGAUAAAAAUAAAUGUAGUCGUAUUUUUGUACUCAUAAGAACAACAACAAUUAUGUUUAGUAAAAUAACUUUUAAAAAAAUUAAUUUAACAACAAUGGACGAACUUGUUAGUUUUAAUGAAGUUCGCUGAUGCAGUGGACAAAUUUUAACAAAAUCUACAAAUUUGUCGAUACAAUGGACAAACUUGCUCUAGUUUAAACAAAAAACGGAUUUUGAAAAAUAAAGAUGAAAAAAUUUGUUUUGGGAAAUAAUAACUUUUUGAAUUUAUUUCAGAUUUUUUUCUAAAAUUAGUCACUAAAAAUGAGAUAUUAUGUAUUUGUGUAUAAAUAUAUAUAUAGUUUAACUUAUUUUUAAUAUGUAUUUUAUAUUUUAAUGUGUAUUCUACUUUAAUAGUUAAUUUAGUAGUUAAGUUUACGAUUAUGCUAAGUGUACAUCAAAAUCAGCCACCAAUAUAAAAUAUAUAUAUUGAAAUAUAAAUACACAUUAAAAAUAAAUUAAAUCACACAUACAUAUAGUAUACACAAAUAUAUUAGUGACUGAUUUUAGUGGUAGAAUUUAGUAUAAAAAUAAUAUUUUUGUUAAUUUAAUAUACACCUAAAAUAGCGUGAUUCUUAAAUAAGAAUUAUUCUCCAUAUCCAAACAAUUUUAACAUCUAAGUGAUUUAGAGUCACGCGCUUCUUGUUUCAAAUUCACUUCUUCUUCUUCUUCUUCUUAUUCUUCUUCUUCUUCACUUUCGUUAUUGUCAUCACCAACACCACGACCUCCUCCUCCUCCUCCUCCUCCUCCUCCUCUUCCUUUUCUCAUUGGAAUUUCUUCUACUCCUUCUUUUUCAUCAUUCUCUUCCAUCAUCAUCAUAAUCAUUAUCUCGCUAUCGUCAUUGUCGUCUUCUUCUAAUACGUAUCGUCUUUAUCGUUAUCAUUUCAUUCGGAAUAUAAUUUCGGUUCAUUUUAGAUUUAAAUAAGGUGCACUUAGUCAGUGCUUAUUUUGAAACGAGUUUAUAUUCUAAAUUUAAUUUUCGAUUCAUUCUUAAAUAUAAUUUCGGUUCAUUUCUGAGUGAAAGAUGCAUUUGGUCUCGUUGUUCUGCAAAAUUCAAAACUCUUCCUCCUCAACUUUUACUGCUUCUUCUUCUUUUUUAUUUUUAUCUUCUUCAUCUUUUUCUUCUUAUUUCAUUUGUUAUAAUUUUUCUUAUUUCACUCUUGAGAAGAAUAAAACAAAAAAAAAGGAAGAAAAAUCAAACAAAAAAAACAAGAAUAAAAAAUUCCUCAUCGUAUUCUUCUUCUUCUUGUCUUGUUUAUCUAAUCAAACAAAGAAGAAGAAACAAAUAAUGCUCUAAAAUUAUUUGAUGAAUUUGGAUGUGUUUUUGUUCAUGAUUCAAUUUUGUUUGUAUGUUUAUUUUCGAACUGAGUUUGUGUGUUGCAAUUAUUAAAUAAUUUUGGUUUAUUCUGGAUUUAAAUAAGAUGCAUUUAGUCUAUGCUUAUUUUGAAAUGAGUUUACAUUUUAUAUUUAAUUUUCAGUUCAUUCUAAAUAUAAUUUCGGUUCAUUUCUGAGUGAAUUAAGGUGCAUUUGGUUUCGUUAUUUUGCACAAUUCAAAAUUCUUCCUCCUCAUCUUCUACAAUCACUUGAUGGAUUUGGAUAUGUUUUUGUUCAUGAUUCAAUUUUGUUUGUGUGUUUAUUUUUGAAUUGAGUUUGUAUGUCUCAAUCAUUAAAUAAUUUCAUUUCAUUCUAGAUUUAAAUAAGAUGCACUUGGUCUGUGCUUAUUUUAAAACGAGUUUACAUUCUGAAUUUAAUUUUCGGUUCAUUCUAAAUAUAAUUUCGAUUCAUUUCUGAGUGAAUUAAGGUGCAUUUGAUCACGUUAUUAUGCACAAUUCAAAACUCUUCCUCCUCACCUUCUACAAUCACUUAAUGGAUUUAGAUGUGUUUUUGUUCAUGAUUCAAUUUUGUUUGUGUGUUUGUUUUUUAAUUGAGUUUGUGUAUCACAAUUAUUACGUAAUUUCGGUUUAUUAUGGAUUUAAAUAAGGUAUACUUGGUUUGUGCUUGUUUUGAAACGAGUUUAUAUUCUGAAUUUAAUUUUCGGUUCAUUUUAUUUGAAUAUAUAAUUUCGGUUCAUUUUAAAGUGAAUUAAGGUGCAUUUGGUUUCGUUGUUCUGCACAAUUCAAAACUCUUUCUCCUCAUCUUCCACAAUCACUUGAUGGAUUUGAUGCGUUUUUCAUGAUUCAAUUUUGUUUGUGUGUUUGUUUUCGAAUUGAGUUUGUAUGUCAUGAUCAUUACAUAAUUUCGGUUCAUUCUGGAUUUAAAUAAGGUGCACUUGGUCUGUGCUUGUUUUGAAAUGAGUUUACAUUCUGAAUUCAAUUUUUUCAUUUUGAAUAUAAUUUUGGUUCAUUUCUGAGUGAAUAAGGUGUAUUUAAUCUUGUUGUUCUAUACAAUUCAAAAUUCUUCCUCCUCACCUUCUACUAUUUCUUUUUUUUUUUAUCUUUUUUAUUAUAUUUUAUUUUGUUAUAAUUUUUCUUGUUUUACUCUAUUGAGAGAAAUAAAAUAAAAAAAAAAUAAAAUAAAAAAAACACUUAAUGAUAUAAAAUCANNNNNNNNNNNNNNNNNNNNNNNNNNNNNNNNNNNNNNNNNNNNNNNNNNNNNNNNNNNNNNNNNNNNNNNNNNNNNNNNNNNNNNNNNNNNNNNNNNNNNNNNNNNNNNNNNNNNNNNNNNNNNNNNNNNNNNNNNNNNNNNNNNNNNNNNNNNNNNNNNNNNNNNNNNNNNNNNNNNNNNNNNNNNNNNNNNNNNNNNNNNNNNNNNNNNNNNNNNNNNNNNNNNNNNNNNNUAAAGAAAACACAAGCAAAAAAUUUCGGUAUGUGAAUGUACCUGUUAUCACACUCUUUUAAUAAGAAUGAUUUUUAUUGGUGUUAAAACCUACUUAAAUAAAUUUAAAUGACAAUAAAAAUUGAAUGCGUAGCAAUUCCCUUGAAUAACUAUUAUUAUAGGAGGUUAUUGCCACUACAAGAUUUCUAUUUAUUUAUGGGACUUUUUUUAUGGAGGUUUUUUAAAAUCUCCCCAACACAUUUUGUUUAUGGCAAUUUAAAAAACCUCAAUUAAUUAAAACUCAAAAUUAUUAAUGGAAAGUAUAUCGUGUGAAAAUGGAAUUUGAGCGUGGUUGCUUGAUUUUCAUUUUGUUCCAUGCUCAUUUUCUCUUUUUCCCCAAAUGAGAGGCGCUGAGUUAGCCGAGAGAGAGGCAUGAAACCCUAAGUUUUCUACCGCCAUUUUUGCCACCAUUUUCGCCGCCGUUUCUGCCGCCGGCACCGUUAUCACUGCCAUAUCCGUUGCAGUAGAGAACUUCUAGAUCGAGCCACCUCUUCUAUUAACGCAUCUAUUCUCUCUAUACUGUUGUUGUUGCCAUUGUUGCCACCGCAGUUUUCACCGUCGUUGCCGCAAUAGUUUCUGCCGUCGAUGCCACCGUAGUUGCCGUGGUACAACGCAUUUUCAGAUCUGUUCACUUCGGAGCUUCUUCUUCAACGACGCUUUCUCUCACUCUAAUUUCUCCUUUGAACUGCUGCUGGUACUUCUUUUUCUUCUUCUUCCCUAUUAAUUUGCUGAUAUUACUCCUUUGAAUGACGCGUUGUUUAUUAUAUUUCAAGAUUGCGGUGUUCGAACAAACAGGAAUUGAAAAGAAUGCCAGCCACGUAUGUUUCUUCAAUUUCAAUCACUUCUCGAUGAUUUGAUUCUUUUUCACGAGGCUUUUUUUUUCUACAACGAAAAUCAUUGUUAUUCUUUUUGAAUGUUACUUAAUUUUGUUUUCUUUGCCAAAGUCUCAAUGCAAUUAUCUUAUUGACUCAAUGCAAUGAUCCUUUUGGAGCAGUCAGUAAUCCGGCUGUAUCAGACUACUACUUUUAAGCAGGUGAAGCUUUGAUUUUUUGAUACACACUGUGACAUGAACCUUUCCAAUGUAUUUGUACAUAAAUGUGUCUAGAUACAUUAUUUUUUGAUGUACCGAAAAAGUAAGAGUGCUAAUUGGAAUGGAGGGAGUAGUUUUCUCUUGAUCUCAUUAUGUUUAUUGACCAGUACUCCUAUUCAUGCAGCCUAAUGCAAUAGAAAAUGGUCCCUAUGAUUAUACCAGAAGUGGAAAUUCCACUCGAGAUGCUUUAGAAAGGUUCACUAUGUCCUAUUAGUUGUGUUUAUUUACCAUUGCAACUGUCAAUAUUGUGGCAUUAAUGUUUUCUUUUCUCACCAUGUUUAACCUUACAUGAUGUGUUCUCAGUUUGUUGGCGAAACUUGAUAAGGCGGAUAGAGCCCUAUGCUUCACCAGUGGAAUGGCUGCUCUGAGUGCUGUUUCUCAUCUUGUUCAAGCUGGUGCCUUUUCUUUCUUCAUUGUGCUAUAAUUUGGUUUUUCUUCAUUUUUAGUUGUGAAAUUUAGAUUAGAUUCAUCACUGAGAAUUUAAGAAUAUGAGUAGUUUCAUGCUUUGGAGUCUCUGCAUGCAUUCACUCCUGCAGUGCCGUGUCAUUACUAUUGGUAUUUUUCUUAGAUUAUUCGUUUGUUGGAUUCAUUUUUAAAACUUACCGAUUAAUGCACUAUGGGACUGAAAGCCAUGAAUUCUCAAAGGACUGUUUUUUUCCCCUUUUUUGAUGCAAAAAUUAUAUUUUCUGAUAUUUGACGCUAAUAAUAUAAUAUAAUGUAGAUGAGAAAAUUAUUGUUGGAGAUGAUCUAUAUGGUGGAACAGACAGGUUGCUGUCCCAAGUAAUUCCAAAGAAUGGCAUUGUGGUCAAGUUAGUCUAACUUGUCAAUUAUGCUUGUUCAUUUUUUUUCAUAACCAGUGAUUAAUUAUGGCAACAAACCAAUCAAGUUUAUUUGUUCCAUGAAGUAAAAGACCAAUUACUCUUUGGUGGUUUGAUUCUUUUAGGCAAAUUAAAUGACAAAAACCAAUUACUAAAUAAGCAAUUAAAAUAAAAGAUUGAUUCUUUUAGGCAGUCGGAAAGAUUGGCAACUAUUAAUUUUUAGGUGAAUGAUACCUAACUUUCUCUAAAAUAACAUGUAAGUUACCUUUUAUGAUAUGUCAAAUUUUAAUUAGUCAUUAUUUUACCCAUAGUUGAGUUAUUUUGUAAUUUAUUAUUUGAUAUGGAUAAUGGUAUAAUUUCUUCAAAUAUCAAAACCUCACUCCCGUUAAUUGAAGCACCUUUCUACUCUUUCAUUCUUUCUUCAUCGCUUAUCUUCGGUCCUUCCAAGUAUCGCCGUCACCGUCGUGACAAGAAGCGCCGACGUCGUUGUCAUCUACUGCCCUCGAUCGCAUGCAAUUUCUCUUUUUUCGGUGCAUCAUCCCUUAACUACUCGUCGAAUGUCCGUCCUUUCUAGUAUAGGCAGCAUCGAUGUCAUUGCUAUCUCUUAUCUUCUCAUUCCUUAUCAACAUAAUUAAUGGUUAGUUUGGUUAUUAAAUUUUUUUAUUAAAAAAUAUAUAUCUUUAUUUAAUUACAUAAUGGAACAUAUAUUCAUAUGUAAAAUAUAAUAUAAUAAAAUAAAUCUAUUCAAAGUACUUAAAAGUAUAAUUAAAAUCAGGAAUAUAUAAAUAUAAUAGUAAAAUUUGUACUCUAAAUAAGUAAACAUAUUUNNNNNNNNNNNNNNNNNNNNNNNNNNNNNNNNNNNNNNNNNNNNNNNNNNNNNNNNNNNNNNNNNNNNNNNNNNNNNNNNNNNNNNNNNNNNNNNNNNNNNNNNNNNNNNNNNNNNNNNNNNNNNNNNNNNNNNNNNNNNNNNNNNNNNNNNNNNNNNNNNNNNNNNNNNNNNNNNNNNNNNNNNNNNNNNNNNNNNNNNNNNNNNNNNNNNNNNNNNNNNNNNNNNNNNNNNNNNNNNNNNNNNNNNNNNNNNNNNNNNNNNNNNNNNNNNNNNNNNNNNNNNNNNNNNNNNNNNNNNNNNNNNNNNNNNNNNNNNNNNNNNNNNNNNNNNNNNNNNNNNNNNNNNNNNNNNNNNNNNNNNNNNNNNNNNNNNNNNNNNNNNNNNNNNNNNNNNNNNNNNNNNNNNNNNNNNNNNNNNNNNNNNNNNNNNNNNNNNNNNNNNNNNNNNNNNNNNNNNNNNNNNNNNNNNNNNNNNNNNNNNNNNNNNNNNNNNNNNNNNNNNNNNNNNNNNNNNNNNNNNNNNNNNNNNNNNNNNNNNNNNNNNNNNNNNNNNNNNNNNNNNNNNNNNNNNNNNNNNNNNNNNNNNNNNNNNNNNNNNNNNNNNNNNNNNNNNNNNNNNNNNNNNNNNNNNNNNNNNNNNNNNNNNNNNNNNNNNNNNNNNNNNNNNNNNNNNNNNNNNNNNNNNNNNNNNNNNNNNNNNNNNNNNNNNNNNNNNNNNNNNNNNNNNNNNNNNNNNNNNNNNNNNNNNNNNNNNNNNNNNNNNNNNNNNNNNNNNNNNNNNNNNNNNNNNNNNNNNNNNNNNNNNNNNNNNNNNNNNNNNNNNNNNNNNNNNNNNNNNNNNNNNNNNNNNNNNNNNGAGAAAUAGAAAAUUAUUUUGUUUGUUUUAUUUAUUUUAUGCAUGUAUUUCAUAUUUAUCUCUUAAAUAUCUAUAUAAUUUAUUUUUGUAUUUAAAAUUUUUUAAUAUUAACUAUUUUUUAUUUAAAAUAUCAUUUUUACGUUAUUUUCUAAACUGUUAUAUUAGUCUCUUCUUUAAGAUAAUACAAAAAAUAAUUUCUCAUAAAAAUAAUUUGUUUAAUUAUUAAAUAAAUAAUAAAGUAUUAAUAAAUUAAAAUUUAAAAAAUAAAAAUAUUAUAAAAAAUACUUGUAAGAAAGUUGAAUUUUAUCAUUUUAAAUUUGUGUUAUUAAUUUUAACCAUUUAUUCAUUUUUUUAAAUAAUUUAUGUAUGAUAAAAGAUAUGUUUACUUGUUUAAAAUACAAAUUUUAUUAUUAUAUUUGUAUUUUCUUGAUUUUAAUUAUACUUUUAAGUAUUUUAAAUAGAUUUAUUUUAUUAUAUUAUAUUUUACAUAUGAAUAUAUGUUCUAUUAUGUAAUUAAAUAAAGAUAUAUAUAUUUUUAAUAAAAAAAUUUAAUAACCAAACUAACCAUUAAUUAUGUUGAUAAGGAGUGAUCCACGGCAGGAAGAGGGAUCGAGUGAGAGGAUAGGAGAUAGCGAUGACGUCAGCACUAACUAUAUUGGAAAGGACGGCAAAGUUACGGACCACUAGAAUUUAACGAUAUCGUUAAGAGAUGAUGACGACGACGUUGGCGCUUUUGUCACGACGGUGACGGCUAUGCUUGGAAGUUGGAAGGACAGAAGCUACGCGAUAAAGAAAGAACGGAGGAGUGAAAAGGUAUUUCAAUUAACGGGAGUGUUUUGAUAUUUUAAGAAAUUAUACAAUUACUCAUCUCAAAUAAUAAAUUACAAAAUAAUUUAAAUAUGAUUAAGAUAAUGACCAAUUAAAAUUUAACACAUCAUAAAUGAUAACUUAUAUGUUAUUUUAGAGAGGGUUGGAUAUAAUUCACCUAAUUUUUCACAUUAAUGAUCUUGACAUUCUACCCCUUUACCCCUUAGUCACCGCGUUUAGUGAGUUAGAAGGAUAGGAACAUUUUCCCCCUUGUUAAUGUCUUUUGCAAUUAUUGAAAGGCUGUAAGCCACUAGUAUCAUGCUUAGAACUAGAACUUCUGGAUGCAUAACUAUUAUUCUUUUUCCCCUAUAAAUACACGAACAAAAUCCCAAUGCAAAUCGUCAAAACCAUCCCAGAGCAAUCUUUUCGGUACAUUAUUCAAGUAUAUACAAAAAACGAACCCUCGCUCAAGUGCUCUCCCUCCCACCAUGAAACCAUUUUGUGUUUUACUUACUUUCUUUCUCUUGCUAGCAGCAAGUAGUAAGAAGGUGAACUCAGCCAAAACCGAAACAGUUUCCUUCAACUACAACUCUUUCAAUCAAGGUAACCCCGCAAUAAGUUUCCAAGGUGACGUCACUGUUCUUUCAGAUGGCAAUCUCCUACUCACCAACCUCAACAAGUCCAAUAGCGUCGGCCGGGUUCUGUAUGCCACGCCGGUGCGCAUUUGGAGCAGUGCCACCGGCAAUGUCGCCAGCUUCGUCACCUCCUUCUCUUUCGAGAUGAAGGAUUAUAACGAUUAUGAUCCUGCCGACGGUAUCAUAUUUUU